rnacentral:lncRNA from 1 species
UCACCAAGGGUAAAACGAUCUUUUUACCCCUGACUUAACACCGUCAGCUGCCUAAAACUGACAAAAGACAUAGAGCCAAAUAAGUGUUGUUUUGAGGCCAUAGAGCCAAAUUCAAAAAAAAGGCCAUAUACCUAAAGAAACUUUUUUCCACGGCCAUACACCUAAUUCUCUCUUCUAACAAACUAUUACAAUUGGCGCGAUAUGGAGUACCAAAUAUGACCAGACUUGUGUCCUUCGGCGAGUCGUGAGCGCCGAUAAUGUUCAGCCCAAUAUGCAAUCCCACAUGUGCCAUGCCUUUUACUUGUAUGCCAUUUUCAAACGGAUGCAAGUAGCAAGGAAAAGUCACAUACAUACCUUAAGCAGGGAAGUGGAAACGAAAAAAAAAGAAUCAGGAAAGGCUAAUGAAUACGUCUUUCAUUGAUAAAAACGGGAUCGGGAAUUUUUUUAGCUGAUGAACAAGACCGAGUCAAUUUAUGAUUAUAGGUUAGAUGAAAAUCUAAGGUGGACUGAAAUUUUGCCUCUUUAUUAUUAAGUAUAUACACUACUACACAAAAUAUUAUCCGAGGCGGACAAAAUAGAUUUACCAAGGUGGGCAUCGCAACCGCCUCGGACAUAAGGUCACAGUAAAUAGAGCAUUUUCCGAGGCGGUUUGAUGCCCGCCUCCGUAAAUCAAAUAAAAAACAAAAAAAAGAAAAAGCCCGUGGACUGGCCCGCUGAGCCCAUCCAUGGUCCCGCCGAGCCCAUCCAUGAGCUACCACCACUGCUGCCGCUGCUCCGGAGCCACUGGAGCCAUGGAGGGAGUGGAGGAGGCCGGAUCCACACCCGCUGGGCUCCAACCCACUAGAACCGUGGCCGUAGCCCACCUCUUCGCUGGAUCUGCAUCGUAGGGAUAGGAGGGAGGAGGUCGAAGCAUGGCCGGUGUUGCCAUGAUGAGGGGGUGGAGGAGCAUCGUUGCGGAGAGGCCGGAUCUGGCCACCACGCCACCAGAUCCCGCCACCACACCACCGGAUCCGCGCUCACGCGCCUCUAGAUCCAUGCUCUGGGCACAGGAGGGAGGGAAGGGAGAGGCGUCGACAUCGAGGGAGGGGAGGGAGAGGCGCCGGCGCCGCGUGAGCUCGGGCGCUCUGGGCCCAAGAGGGAGGGGAGGGAGAGGCACCGGCGCUGAGGGAGGGAAGGGAGAGGCCGCGUGAGCUCGGGGGCUCUGGUGACGGAGAGGGAGAACGAGGGGGGAGGGGAGGCGCUGUUGCUUGGGCACAGGAGGGAGGGGAGGCGCGUGAGAAAGAGAGGGUGAGUUCUAAGUGAAACCUUAGGUUAGAAAUUUAUACUUGAGCGCCUAUCGGGCCUCAGUAUGGGCCUGUUUGGGCUUUGGCCUUUUUUCUGAGGUAGGCAAGUUAGGAGGUGUGCCUCCGAAAAUAGAAGUAUUUUGGGGGGCGGGCUUUUUAUAAGGCCUGCGAGACAGUUAUUUUGUAACCGCCUUCAUAAAUUGAUUUUGCGAGGCGGUUCAUUGUGGCCGUCGCGGUUAAUAAAAAGUGACCGCCUCGGUUAAUCACACGCAUUAACAGAGGCGGUUUAUAUUUUUGCCCGCCUUCGAGGCCCAUUUUAAAACGUCUCGUAAAAGAUUUUUUGUAGUAGUGAUAGAUAAAAUGUCUUUAAAUUUAAGCAAAUAUAUAUAAUAAAAUCAUAAUAUUUAUUAUGUAUAAUUAUUAUCAUUAGUUUAGAUAAAUUGAAUCUAUUUUUAUAAUAAAUUUAUCAGAGAUACAAAUAUUUAUAUAUUCUUUUAUAAGUUUAGUUGAAUUUAAGUAUGUUUGACCAACAUGAAUUUUGUAGUAACAUUUUUUUUAAAGACGGAGGGAGGAACUCUUUAUGCAAAUGGCAGUGCCAAAAAAGCUCAUGUGAUUCAAGCUGGCAAGGUAUUGCUUUUCCGGUAUCCUCCUUUCCUUUACCAUGCUCAUCAUAUCCAGUUAUGUCUUUUUUUUUAGCUCGGCAUCACCGUCGUCGCGGCGCCUAAUCUCGACGGGGCUUUACCAAUUGCACGAGACAAACAACACAAGCGACAGAAAAUGGCAUUGCGCCACGAGCUGCCGGUGCCGGAGACUCGCCGCUGCGUUUGCCGGCAAAGAAGAGUUCCGCCGCGCGCCCUUCUCCUCGUCGUCACAUCACGCGUACGCGCCCGGCCCUGGAGUCAAAAAGCUGUACGCACAAGAGUCCACAGCUUCCGAGCUGAGCAAAACACAAACAACGGUCCAAAUAUUCCAGUUAAAAAAACACACACACAGAGUCCAAAUAUUCCAGUUAGGGCUUGUUUUAGUUUCCAAAAAUUUUCAAGAUUCUCCAUCACAUCGAAUCUUUGUAUACAUGCAUAGAGUAUUAAAUAUAGACGAAAAUAAAAACUAAUUACACAGUUUGUCUGUAAUUUGCGGGAUGAAUCUUUUGAGUCUAGUUACUCUGUAAUUGGAUAAUGAUUGUCACAUACAAAUGAAAGUAUUACAAUAGCAAAAACAAAAAAAAUUUGCGAACUAAACAAGUAUAGGCUGUGUAUGUUUUCGCAACAACGCACGAAUACAAUAUUCUAGUUAAGAAAACAAGUCAUACUACAGUCAAGGAAAGAAAAAAACCGUUGAAAACUCAUGUAUUUCGCUGGCUGAUAUUGUAGGUAGGACGGCAUAGUAGUAUAUUAUUUAGGGACCGGUAAAAAAUGAAAUUAUGCUUCCACUCCAGCAAACUACCUAUUCCACCCAACACAUUUAUUGAGUACCUAAAUCUCCCUCUCCACUACCUAUUCCUGUUGGGUCAAGGACACUACCUAAAUCUUCUCUCCCACCCACGUGCCUCUCUCUCCUAUUCAUGCUCUGAUUAUGGGACCCAGAAGUCAUCCUUUACUAAGACAAAAAUGGGUAGCUAGUUUUAGGUAGUAGUAGUACUGCUGGAGUUGAGAAUUAAAUCUAGGUAGUAUUAAGUGGGUGGUUACCCAAAUAAACAUUUAGGUAGUCUGAUUUAGGUAAACAUCGCUGAAAAUGCUCAAACAACCACAUUGCUGAAAAUGCUCAAACAACCAAGUCUAAGAGUACCAGGACUCAUGCCUAUGGCACGUGACAUGAAUACCAAAACUUGUCACGCCACACGGAUGUUACAGAUGGUUAGGUAAUUGUUUGGUUGACUCUCGUAACUAUGGUGUGCUAUAUUUUCUUAGCAAUAUAUCCUAUAAGUCAUAAACUCAUUUUUUUAUCAACCUUUACCAUAAAGUGUGGCUUUGAUUUUACUCACGCAUUUUUUUUAAUUAAUGUUGCAACACUUUUACUCUGCUAUAGAUGCCAUCGAGCCUGCGCUCGCAUCCAUCCAUCACCUGUUUCACAUGUUGUUGAGCAAACUCCCGUUGUUAUCACCUAAUUCGAUCGACUGUCACCGAUCAGCCUGGGCAACAAAUACCGAGAACCGAACCGAAAAUACCGAUAACUGAACUGAAAGUACCGAAACCAAUUUUUUUUGGUGCCUUGUUCGGUUCCUAAUUUUCCGAAUUUACGGAAAUGUGCUGAGUUUGAGUGUAGUUAUAUUAUUAAUAGUACUAUUUUAGUCUAUUAUAUUUUAUACAUGUGGUACUAUACUCAUAUAAUUGUGUAUGUAUUUGACACUAUUAUUCUUUAAGAAUUAUUUUCAAAUUAUAUCAAAAUUAGCUUUUGAACUUGCUAUUAUAUGUUUAUGUGAUCAGUUCGGUAUUUUUUGGUAAAUACCGGAACCGAACUGAAAGUACCGAAACCGAAUUUCCUCGGUACCAAUUUUUGAAAGAAACCGAUCCGUACCUAUUUUUCGAGAAACCGAUUUUCCAUAAAAUUCAGACAUAUAAAAGGAUCUUUAUGCCCAUGAUAGGCAGUUUUCUCAUGUAUACUCGCACUUGCCUCGGCUGCAGUAGGUACUACGUGAACAGAUCGCCGAGGACGCAGUCCAGCAAAUCUGACCACCUGCCCUAUUUUCUCCUCUCUCUCUAUCUCUGCAGCUGCCGUCAUCGCGUCUCCUCCGCAUCUAAGCGGCCAACGGCGACUCACCCCACCCCCAUCCCCGUCCCCGUCCCGACUCUCCUUCCUCUGCACCCUGCAUCGGCUGGUUCCCUCUCAUCAACUCACACGCUCACAGGUGAUGAUUUCUCUAUGUUCUUUUCUCCUGUCUCGCGUCAUAUGUGGAUUGGGAAUUGAAGAACCGCUUGAUCUCUCGUGGCUGCUGCGGCGUUGGGGCUACCAGUAGAGAGGAAUACUUGCUUCGUUUUGUGGGGCUAGUGCGGGUUCGAGGGGUGCGCUGGCGUUGGCUAGUCCUUGCCUGCUUGCCUGCUAGUGAUAGUUUGUGUCAGCGGCUACUGUCUUUCACGGUCCAUACUUUAUUUUGCUGGAUGUGGUUAGAUGAUACACUUAUACUAGAUGGGAAUAUAGGAUUGGUAAGAGCCUGAUAUGAUAUGGUACUAUAGACAAGGAAAGGGAAGAAGCCCCAAUAUGGAUUACCUUCACAUUGGUAAUGAAACUAGUUGGCCUUUUCUUGUUUUUGGAUGAACCUUAUGCUUUCAAUUGAGAAUUAUAGCAACACGUAUCCAUGUACAAUUAGCACACAUUGCAUACUAUGUCUACCUAUACUUAGUGGCGGAGCCAAAAGUUAUAUCAAGCUUGGGCGUAAUGUCAUAGUAAUACUAACAAGAAAAACAUGAUAAAAGAUUAUAAGAGGGGUUAAGUGCUAAGAGAGCACUGACUUGCUGACUAAGUUUAAGCAUGCUCAAGCAUUCCUAAUCCCUUAAGAGUUCUGUGAUGUAGUAGACAUUACAAUUUUAAUCUUAAAUUGAAUAAAUAAAGAAGAGAGUGGAGAGCAGUUGAGAAAGAGCAAAUGAAUACAUAAGUUUUUGUCUAUCUCCCCUUUUUCCUUUUUAUAGAAAAUGUGUGAGGGAAAUUUUUCAUAAUUUCCCCUAAUAGGGUUUGUAUUUUAAAAAAUAUUUUUAGAGAAAUCAUUAUGUUACAAUGUUAUGUGAUUGAGCCCUGUUAACAUUAGUAUGAUCCCUAACAUAUAUUAUUAUAUAUAUAUAUUAAUUAUAUAGGUGCUAAUUUGUCAAAAGAUGUUAGAAAAAAAAUAAAAGUUGCUCAAAAAAAUGAAAAAGAAAAGAGAAAAAAAUUGUAUGGGCUUUUAUUUUGUGGCCCAUCAAACCCAUGCACCGCUAAGGAUGGCAAUGGGGCGGGUUCGGAUCGGAUGAAGUCUAUGUGCACCCGAACCCGAAACCCGAAAUCGAAACCUGAAACCAAACCGAACACCGAUUCAGGUGAUAACUCCUCCUAAACCAAACCCAUGGAUACCCAAAAACCCGAAUGGAUACCCAAAACCCGCUUUCUAUGCCAACAUAAUAAUAGCAAUAAGUACUUUCUAUAAAUAUAUACAUAAUAUAUGUACACAUAUUUACAUGUAUAAACAAGAGACAAUAAAACAUAAAUAUUUUCAUGAGUUAGCUUAAAAUAAAUUUUAUAAUCUAAGUAAACAAGUUAUUAUUAUCAUAUUAUAAAAUAUAAAAAUUAAUUUUAGUGAUAUAUUUUGAAUAUCUAUUGGGUAUCCACGGGUGGGAAUAGAUUUCGGGGCCGUCGGUAAAAAAUCAACCCAAACCCACGAGAACCGAACCGCGGAUAUCCGACCCAAACCGGCCCGCUCCCAUCCUUACGCCGCCGGCUCCUUGCAGCGCAGCGCCCACUCUCAUCCCUAGUUAUUUGAACCGAACCAGACCGGCGGUUGGACCGCUAAAAGACCGAACCAGAGCUUAAACCGGUCCGGUUCACUUAAAAGACCGUUUAAGUAAUUGAACCGGUAAAAACCGGUCAAACCGGCCGGUUUUUUUGGAACUGGUGAACCGGCCGGUUCUAGUGGAACCGCCCCGGUCUGUGCAGUGGCACGUGAUCAUCUGUAUUUGUCAAGUCCUGCUGUGCCGCGUGGUGCUAGUUGGUAGAGCGCAUGCAUCGAGCAUUGAUGGGCCCCACAUUGAUGAGCAUUGUUGGAGUGAGUUGCAUGCACGAGCAAGAAGCACUGCAAUGGAUUGACCCAGCAAGCGGUUGUUGAAUUUUUUUUGAGUGUUGACUUUUGGUAGCGCCAUGUCAGUAUUACCUUUUAAAUUUUAAAAAUUUAUAACGUUUUUAAAUGAGCUCUAAAUUAGAUGAAUAAUAUAUCUAUUUUGAUUACCACAACGAGCUCUUUACAAUGAUGCACUCCAUUUUAGCAUUUAUGAUUGUUUUGCAAUGAUGAAUAUUUCUAUUACUAUUGUAGUUAUGUGUUUUAAAUUAUUACAAUGAGAAUGUUCACGUCUGAUGUUUUGAAUUUAAGAACAUGUCAUUCUGUAUCUGCAUAUGUAUGAAUCUUAUGGGUAUACAAUUAAAUUUUAUUGUCAACCAUCUAUUAAUUUUUAAUUACAUUAUAUAUAUAUAUAUAUACCGGUUAAAUGUAUUUGUGACCGGUUCGAUUUAGCCGGUCCAAUCCAAUUGAACCGGCGGUUCAAUCGGUUUUAAACGGUUGGACCAGUGAAGCAGUGAAGACUUCACGGUUCGAUCUCCAGUCCGGUCUUAAUAAUAACUAUGCUCUCAUCUCCCUCGCAGUCGCAGCGCCGCUCAGGCUCGGUCCUCAGCGCAGAUCUUCUGCUCCUUUCCCCACUCGCGGCUCGGUCCCAAGGAUCGGAUCUUCCGCGCGUCGGCGGCUCCCCCUCGGCGGCGUCCAGCGACGGAGGGGCAGUCCCAGGUUCGCGGCGGCGUCGGCGGCUCCCCCCACCUUCUCUCGCCAGUCGCCUCGCGCCCUCGCCUGCGUCCUCCGCGCACCGGCCGACGACCCUGCGUACGCACCUCCCUCUCCCCUCCCGCCUCUGCUGUUCCCGUGGGAGCCCGGCCAGCUGCCCAGGGUGGCCGGGCCUUGGCUCCGCCGGUGUCUGUACUGUGCGCUUGCGGAUUUCUCUUUGCUGCGCCCAUGUGCUUCCGCGGACAUUGAUGGAGAAAAUGGUGAAACCACUCAUGAUUUCUCUGGUCAUAUGAUUGAGGUUAAGGACGAAGAACUGUACAUGAUGUGAGAUUGGCCAAGCAGCUGAUAUUAGUUGUAUGGUUCGGAUUGGGUUUCUCAAGUGUUUCUGCACUGUACUAGUUCUAUGACCAUUUUUUUGGUGGGAUAUUUGGUUUUACAGUUUUGGUAAAUUCUGUUUGAAUGUGGGGUUGUAUUAUUGAGUUGGUUUCCGUAAAGAUCUGGCAACUAUUGUCUUAGAGAGAUGGGAGAUAGUUCAGAGCAUUCUUUGUGGACAAUGCUGAUGGCUGAUAUUUGAAACAUUGAAUUUGGUUGGUUGACCAUUGCUCGUGAUAAUUACUAAUGGUGCUUAAUUGUGGCGUGCCUUUAAUUGAACCCCUAUUAUUGGAAGGCCAUAUCUUUCCAUUAAUCUGCGGGGUUUUGUUUUCAUUUUGUUUUGACUUUUGAGAGGGUGCAUACCUCCACAAAUAGACAACUUAUUCCCAUUCCAGACAAUUUUAACCAGUCUUCUAUUUCACAUGCAAAAGAAAUUCUACUCCACCUAAUGUUCCUGCCAUAUUACUUCACCUCAAUCCUCUGCAGGGUCGGUUGGAUCAGUCACAUUUUACUGAUUGUUGAGACCAUUUUAGCUGUUGUGACUUUGCGCUUUGUGAGCUAAACAUUGCAAAAAGGAUAAAGAAACAGAAAAACAAAGUGCUGCAAUGGAUCAGUCAUGCUCCUAUAUCCUUGUGAUGGCCUCAUUUCUUGGGUUGAAAUUGGCUAACAGCUGUAUAAAUAAUCUGUUUAGGUAACACUAGCUGGAGAAAACACAAGCAUGUGACCCUUCAUUCAAGAGAGCUAAUGCAAACAUGGAAGGUUUGCGAUUGCACUUGACUACUUGACAGUAGUGUCCUGGAAUUGAUGGGGGCUUUUAGAGUUGGAGAUCACCAUGAUGAUGUAGGGUGUAGUCAUGUUUGUGUGUGUAUUUGGGUUAUGUGAACUUGCAUAUGAAUCUUCUAUGUUUUGGUUUGGGUUCACCAGGGCAGAGCCCUGACUAUAGAUUGAGAAGGGGCAAAGGGGGCCAUCCUGCUGCGGGAAGUGGUACAGUGCUGCAUGAUACUGUCAAGCAUCGAUGAGCAUGAUACACUGCAAAUUGAAUGUCCAAGCUGAGGAUCUGAUGGGUGGUGCCACUGGAGCUCAAGGAGAUGUACAGUGGUGUAAUGGUGGCAAGUUAGAGGAGGUGGCAGUGCUGGGUUGUGCCCACAGGAUAAUGGCAGCUGAGGUGGGAUAAGGAUUUUACAAUUGACAAAUGUGAGGAGGAUUCUUUGAUGGAGACCUAGUCAUUCAGAGUUUGAGUACUCUGUAAUACAAUGAAAAACUUCACUCAGAUGCUCCCUGGACGCAUUCGUGUCAUAUACCUCUUUUGUUGUUUAUUCAUUUGCAUCUGGUUCCAUCUUGAAUGUGGUCUACUGCUAACUGAAUUAUAACACCAUUGGAUAACUGAACUGCCAAGGCAGAAUAUUUUUCCACAUAAUUUGAACAGUGCCAAUAUUCUGCUUGUGGUGCAUUUAAUCAUUUAUGCUGCCUUUCAGAGUGCUUUUUUCCAGUCAGUAGCGUAGCCUGGAUUUGUAGCUGGGGUGGUCCAUUGCCUUGUUUAAAAUAAAAUUUAGCCGCUAUAAAUAUAACAUGGUGGUACACAGAUAUAUAAGCUACAAAACACAAUACAAUUAAGCUAGAGGACAUACGAACAUCACAAAAUAGACGAGUCUAGAUUGAUUAAUGUACCAUUGAAAGAUUACAUACCUAUAAUAGGUAAAGAACAGUCACAAGAGUCAGUGAACUAUACACAACUAGAUACAAUUAGCAUUAGAAUGGAUCAGACAGAAGUUGGGCACAGAUUGACAGAUACUCACCAUUUUCUUUAGGUUUCAACCGUGCACCAGGAAGUUUGCAAAAUGUAUUUCUGGUUUGCAGGAGCAGUAUGUGAGGGUGGUUCUGCUCUUGUACCUGUAUAGGAUAGCGCCAAGUGAAGAUUUUAGGUUUUCAUUUUUCAAAUUAAAGGUUCAUUCAUAGGCAAUAGCAAGCAGGUUGAUUGACUGUGAGGCAUACCUGAGGACUGAGUUCUCAGGUGUGCUUCACUGCCCGUCACUGCUGCCGACGUGUGCAGCUGUUGCCUGUCGGAUGUGGAUGAAUAUGAAGGGUCACAGAUGGUCGCACAGAGGAGCUAAUAGGUUGAGUGGAGCAACAAAUAGGAAGGGAUGCAGGCAACUGGCAUCUGGGACCAGCCAUGCCUGUGAAGGUGGAAGCGGAAGCAUCGUGGUGGAUUUUUUUUUCUCGAACGACACAGGAGAGCUGCGUGUCAUUUCAUUAAGAAAGAAUAAGAGUACAACAAGUCCGUACAAGGACCAACCCAAGAACUAAACCCACACACCCACAUCAUAUGAGCUUUUAGGAACGGUGGAUUAGGAAACAGAAUUAGAAUUCCUAAAUCCUAUGAGCUUUUAGGACAGUGUGCAGGGUAGUCCAUGGCCCACAGGAACCACCCUGUAGCUCCGUCCCUGCUUCGAGUAUCAAUCAAAUAUGCUUUCACUAUAGAUGGAAUCAAAUGUUGUAACCAUUUGUGAGACGUAAACUGAACACAAUGGAGAAGUAUCUAAAGUUUCUUUAAAAAACAUAGCAAAUGAAGCAAUUAUGGCACAUAAGUUUAUGACAUAGCUAAUGCAUUAACCGGCUAAUUUUAAAACAAAUGAGAGGUUCAUAUGUUGUAACAUAACUGGUGUAUUGACUGAUGGGUUUGUAGACUAGCUUGUGUUUAACUGUUUGUCUAACUCUGAGAUGAGAAGUUCAAUUGGUUGCCAUAAAAAAAUUAACUUGAUUGAAUUCUAUUUUUAAGCAAGUUUUCUCACAGGUUUCAUAUUUUGUAGGUUUUAUAAUUGUUUGCAAAAGGGCUAUAGUACUUGAUGAGAUGAAGUCAACAGUGUUUUCGGCAGUUGUUGUUUCUAUUGGGUAUGCAAUGCUUGGAUGGGAUUUUGCAGCAUUAUUAGGUAAUUUUUUUCUUUGCUUUAUUGAUUGUCAUUAUACAUUAAUCACCUCCAUUAGAGAUCUCAACUAUCUGACAAUCAUACUAACCUUGAUUUUUAUUAUCUGACAGAAGCUAAUCAUCAUAUGAAAAAAGAAUUUGAAUUGUUGAAUGGACCUUCUAUUGAAGGUAUAACUUUAGCUGCCUCAACAUUUGGGGCUAUUGUGAUAACAAUAUUCUCUGGAGCACUAUUAGAUUGGCUUGGAAGACGUGCCAUACUGGUUUACUCGUCUCUGGUAUUAUUUUCGGGAGGUGUGCUGAUGCUGUGGUCUCCUAACAUCUACAUUGUACUUCUAGCUAGGUUAAUCGUUGGAUCAGGAAGUGGGUUGGUUUUCACCUGUGUCCCUAUUUAUAUAUCUGAAACAUCUCCUCCAAAUAUGAGGGGAUUACUUGGAACUAUGCCACAGUUUAUGUUCUUCAUAGGAACUAUCUUUUCAUAUUGCCUGAUAUUCUGGUUAACACUAAUGUCUUCACCUAACUGGAGAAUCAUGAUUGGUGCAAUCUUUGCUCCUUCCAUUGUCUACUUUGCUUUGUUGGUUUACUACUUGCCAGAGUCACCUAGGUGGCUUGCAAGUGAUGGAAAGAUUAGUGAGGCCAGAGUUUCUCUGCAACGGCUUAGAGGGAAGAAACAUGAUGUUUCAGGUGAGAUUGUUACCACUUGACAGUGCUUCCAGAUUUAUUCACAAGCUACUAUUUCAUCUGAAUAUGGUUUGGUCUUAACUAUUAGGGAGCUGAGUAAUAGAUGUAGUUAUUGUGGGGACUUGAGAAAUGUAAAGUUGUAGCCAAUGUCUAACAGCAUGGUCAUACAAACUAAAUUUGCAGUUUUGGAAAUAUUACUGUUAUCGGUUGAAUUGUGGGAUCAUGAACCUGAUUUUUGUGGCAUUUAAUGGGUGAUGGUGCUAUUCCAUCCACCUCUUUCUUUGUCUGGUGUUCAUGCAGUCAGAACUAUGAGAAAUGAAGAGACAUGAUCUUUUGAUUUCAGCUUGUCAUUGAAGGUGCUAACUGAACCUCUUACAUUACAUAAAAGGCCUCAUAACAUAGAAGAUACUAAUAGAACUAUGUAAGUAACAUAGUAACCUAGUAACACAUGACUUCAUAUCAAAGAACUGAAUGGGAACUAAUUCAGUCCUCUUAUUCAUGUCCUAGAGAACCUUUAUGCUGUAAAAUUGUAUACAUAAGGAACGUUUGACAUUACAUACUGAACAUAGAGAUUGAACAAUUGGAUGGGGGUUUUGUUUUACAGUUAAAGGCUGUGAGACAAUGUUGAUAAAGUACCGACAAAAACAUGUCAAUAUAAUUAGGGGUUGAUGGUGGUUUAAUUAUACAUGAUGCAUUAACAGAGUGUCUUGUUUUGGUGAAUUGAGCCAAUCACUUCUUCAUAUCUAUUUUUAUCGAAAAUAAAGAAGCAUAAAUGCAUCUUGACAUCACAUAGACCUGCAGGAGAGAUAGCUGUUAUUGUUGAUGGUGUGGACAUCAUAUCGGACUCCGCUGUUGGCACUGCUCGAGCUCAAAGUUUCUCUGGAACCAGUGCUAGCCGCACUUGGCCCCGUAGUACUUUUUAUUGGCAGCUUUCGGAUCCACUAGUUGAUCUUCUCGGAAGCAUUCAUGAGAAUAUGUCAGAAGGAGGAAGUAGACGGAAUAGUUUCUUCCCAGUCUUCAACAGUUUUUCUUUUCCAGAACAUGAACAUAUGAAUGAGCACAGGGAUGGUAACAGUGAUCAACAGACUAGGGAGGCUUAUUCUGCUGGAGAAGUUAACAAUGGAGAUGGUUUGCGGGCUUCUCUGCUUUCUCAGGCAGCAAGUGUUGAAGUAAAUGAUGCAAAUACCUCUUUUACUUCUGAAGGGAGCUCUUCAUAUUUAAGAAGGCAUGGAACAUCAGUACUUGCGCAAGAGUUUAUGGCAUCUAUACAUGAUCAUGACAUUGAAGAAGAAGAAGAAAUCCAUGGUUUUGUAUUGCCUCACCAGUCUGCACCUCGUGAUAUGGAAAGCAGAGGGCGACAUCAAGUAGUCCGGCUAUCUGAAACAGCUGAUAUGAAGUUUAAAUGGCGGGUGCUUCUUCAACCAGGAAUCAGGCAUGCCUUGUGUUAUGGCAUGUUAAUUCAAGCCCUUCAGCAGGUACAAUUCUGUGUUAUUGUAGAUUUUAUAUUCAAUUCAGCAUGGAAUUAAGUUUACAAUCCUCCUGCACUGGCUACGUUAUAUAUAUAAUGCUAGUUAGUCUGCUGACUUUUUUUUGGGGGCUUGUUUCUUGUUUGCUCUUCUCAAAAAUACAGUCUACAGGAAUCAGUGGUCUUCUCCGCUGUGCUCCUGAAAUACUUGAACAGGUUGGAGUUAGCUUGUUUUCAGACAUUGGACUUUCUCCGCAUUCAACAUCAAUUCUCAUAAGUACCCUCCAAGCUUUGCUGAUACUCCCUUGUAUAACUGCCGCAAUGCUGCUGAUGGAUGUCUGUGGAAGAAGGUAAACUUUGAGACACCAUCAACAUUACAGUUUCACAAUAAUGUUGAUUUACAAUUAGUAGAAAUGCAUCCUCAUGACCAAGAGAAAGAGGUCUGUUCAUAGAUACACCAUCUGGUCUCAUUAUAUAGCCUUUUGCUGCCUCACCAGCAGCAUUAGAUGUUGUACCAUUUCUGAACUCCAAUACUCUGACAUUGUAUAGUUGUGAUUCCACACUCUGCUUCUUAGGUUUAUUUGCAUUGGGUAUCCUAAAAAAAUCCCUUGCCAACAUUAUCUACCAACAUUUCGCUUUGCCGGCUUAUCCAGCAACAAGUUUGUCAUGUAGUGAUCAUGAUUUGGAAGUAAAUAUUCAUUUUAGUUAAUUCUUUUACAUGUUUGUUCCUGUUCCUGUCUUCCUGAUAGAAACUACUUUUUAAUACAACUCAACCUUUUUUUGUAGGGUUCUUGUGCUGGCCACUACUCCUAUCCUUAUAUUAUCAUUGAGCGUUAUGUCUAUGUCCAUCCUGUUCAAUAUGGGACCGUUUGACCGUGCCAUCGUCUUCCACUUCGCAUUAACAGUUUGCUUCUGCUCCUAUGUCAUUGGUUUGGGACCAAUACCCAACAUUCUCUGCUCAGAGAUAUUUCCAACUAAGGCCCGUGCGACCUGUGCAAGUUUCUGUUCGCUUUCCUUCUGGUUUGGGGGCCUGCUUUCAGCGUACUGCUUGCCUGUGAUGAUGAGCACCAUUGGGCUUGGCGGAGCAUGCGGGAUCUAUGCACUUGUGUGCUGCGCUCCACUUUUUCUGUUCUACUAUCGGAUACCAGAGACGAAGAUGCUCAACUUGGAGCUCAUCGCAGAGCUAUUCAAGCUUUCAAGGCAGGAGUAUGUACAGUAGACUGUCCAGGACUCAAGGUAGCCCAGGCUGAGUGUUGAUGGAUGAUGUGUGUACAUAUGACAAAUGUAGCUUUGAUUGUUGAUUUUUUUUUUGCUAGUUAGGAGGAUUGGUGAUAGUUUAUGAAGUGGUUUACCCUUUUAUUGUACAUAGAUUUGUAGCAGUGUUUGUAGUGUUUUGUUUUAUUGCCUUCAGAUGUACAACAAGAAAUCCUUGAGAACAAGAUUCAUUUCUAAGAGCGAAAUAAUAUUGCUGCGGACUUACUCAUUAUGUUACCAUUGGUUCCUCUAAGAAUAUAUACAUUUUUAUUCUUAAAAAGCUUAUUGCUGUGGUUAUGAAAAAUAAAAACAUAUAUAAUUCCUGAUAGAUAAAGGUAAACAUCCCUCAAAACAUUACCUCUGCCCAAUUUUCCUCAGGUGAACUGUUAAGUCUGCAUUUUGAUUUGUAGCAUGUUAUAUUCAUGCAAUGCAGCAAUGAACAUGAAGCUGUUUCAGUCUUACUAAUUUAAUCCUUUCUUAUUUUGCUCCCUUGACUAUAUUUAGUCCUGUCUACAAAAACCAGGAAUCAUUUUUACCUGCCAGGGAGAAAAUCAAAGUUUUAGCCAUAUAGGCCAUCAUCCUCUGCUGUAAUCCAACCUUUUGUCCCAUUACAUUCCACACCUGCUCUGAUUUCUGAAAGAAGCUGGAACACCUCUCUGCUCUUUGUAUUGUAUCCCGUCGUCUUCUCCGUUGGUCGCUUGCCGCCUCAGCUGCGGCACCCUAUUUUUGGGUCCGAUCGAGAAGGCAGCAGAAGAGGCGUUGACAAAAACCAGGGCGAAGCAGCGCCACGAGAAGGGAGAGAUCAUCCGUCGUCCGAGAGAAGCGAGCUGGAAGAAAGCUAGAGGACAGGCUCUGACCACCACCACACCCGGUCAUGGUCACCCUCCUCGCCUUCCGGCUCCCACCUCUCUUCCUCCUCCUCGCCGCCGCCGCCGCCGCCGCUGCUGCUGACAAUGGCAACAUGACGGAGGCAGAGGCGGCGGCGAUGGCUGCGCUCGUAAAUCUCAAGAAGUCGUUCACGGACCCGACCGGCAGGCUGGAGGCGUGGUCGGCGACGUCGCCGUUCCCGCCGUGCGACGCCGCGAGCCCCUGGCCCGGCGUGCAGUGCUACAAGGGCAGCCUCGUCGGCGUCCGCCUCACGCACAUGAACCUCUCCGGCACGUUCGACUUCGGCGCCAUCGCCAAGCUCCCCCGCCUCCACUCCGUGAACCUCAAGCACAACGCGCUGUCCGGCCCGCUGCCGGCGAGCCUCGGCACCCUGCGCGGCCUCCGCGCGCUCUACCUCUCCUCCAACAACUUCUCCGGUCCCAUCCCCGCCGACGUGUUCGCCAACAUGCGGUGGCUCAAGAAGCUCUACCUCGACAACAACCGCAUCACGGGCCCGCUCCCCGCGGACGCGAUCGCCAAGGCGCCGCGGCUCAUGGAGCUCCACCUCGACCGCAACCAGAUCGACGGGCCGGUUCCGUUCAAGCUGCCGGAGUCGCUCAAGCGGUUCAACGUGUCCCACAACCGCCUCAGCGGCACCAUCCCGCAGAGCGUCGCCGAGCGCUACGACGCGUCGUCGUUCGCCGGGAACCCCGGGCUGUGCGGGUCGCCCGGCAGCGACGCCGCGGUGUGCGUGGCGGCCGGGCCGGCGCUCCCGCCGGCGUUUCCGCCGCCCACGGCGGCGGAUUACAUGGCCAUGGAGGAGGAGACCAGCGUGUUCGUCGUCAUCGGCAUCAUCCUGCUCGUCAUCCUGCUGGUCAGCGGCGCCAUGGUGCUGAUGCUGCGGCAGGACGAGAGGAACAGCGUCGCGACGGCGUGGGACUACUACGCGGGCAGCACCACCACCGGCGGCGCCGGCGCCGGCGCCAGCGGCUCCAGCAAGUCCGUGGCGGAUGCGGCGUCGACGACGGCGGCCGCGCCGCGCGCCGGGGAGGCGGUGGCCGUGGACAUGGCCAGCGGCGGGUCGUCCAGCAGCCACGGCGGCGGCGGCAGCAGCUCCGGGCGGCGGAUGGGCGAGUUCGUCCUCCUGAACGAGGACAUCCCCGCGUUCGGCCUGCCGGACCUGAUGAAGGCCUCCGCCGAGGUUCUGGGCAACGGCACCCUCGGGUCCGCGUACAAGGCCGCCAUGCGCAACGGCGUCACCGUGGCCGUCAAGCGCCUCCGCGACAUGAACCGCUUCGGGCGCGACGAGUUCGAGCAGCACGUCCACAUGCUCGGCCAGCUCCGCCACCCCAACGUCCUCCCCCCCGUCGGCUACCAUUACCGCAAGGAGGAGAAGCUCAUCGUCUCCGAGUACAUGCCCCGCGGCAGCCUCCUCUACAUCCUCCAUGGUUGGUUAAUUUAAUUAAUUAUCCUCCAUGAUUAUAUGAUCUGGCUAAUUAAUCACGUGAUGACUAAUCAUCAAAUGGCAUCCAUGGAUGGAUGCAGGCGACCAGAGUCCGAACAGGGUGAUCCUGGACUGGCAGGGGAGGGUGAGGAUCGCGGUGGGCGUGGUGCGGGGGCUGGCGUUCCUGCACGAGAGGCUGGGGAUCCCGGCGGGGAGGCUGGUGAGCAUGGACGGGGCGGACUUCGACGCGCCGCCGCCGCCGCCGCCGCACGGGAACCUCAAGUCGGGGAACAUCCUGCUGGGGGCGGACAUGGAGCCACUGCUGGUGGACUACGGCUUCUUCCCGCUGGUGAACGCGGCGCAGGCGCCGCAGGCCAUGUUCGCGUUCCGGUCGCCAGAGGGCACCACGCGCGGGGUGGUGUCGGCGCGCUCCGACGUCUACUGCCUCGGCGUCGUGCUCCUGGAGCUCGUCACGGGCCGGUUCCCGUCGCAGUACCUCCUCAGCGCGCGCGGCGGCACCGACGUCGUGCACUGGGCGGCCACGGCCGUCGCCGAGGGCGGCGAGGCGGAGCUCGUCGACCCCGCCAUCGCCGCCGCCGGAGGGGACGCCGCCGUCAGGCUGCUCCGGGUCGGCGUGCACUGCGCUAGCCCCGAGCCCGAGUGCCGGCCCAGCGUCGCCGAGGCCGCGUGGAUGGUGGAGGAGAUCGGCAGCGCCGCCGGCGGCGCGUCGUGAAUCGUGAUCACGGACGCACAAACGUCACUGGUGCAUUGGAGUGUGGCACGUCCACGUACGCACGGGUGGAGUCGAGGACAUGCAUGCAUGGGGAGGACCUCGGUCGUCAGAUCCUGGCCGUUGAUCAGAGAUGUCGAAUGGGUAUGGUUGCGCCACGUGUACAUUACGGUUGUGGUCCGAAUUUGUGUGUAAAGGAAAAAAAGGACUAAAAUGAAAGAGGGAGACGAGGAGCUGGGGGUGUACGCAUGCCAUAUUUGAAAAAACCUAGGGGCCAUUUCUUCUAGUGGAGGAGAGCGUUUACGACCAUACUUUAUAUCAAGGGAUCAAAGAUCAUGUGUCCUAUUGUGUGUGCAUGUCAAAAGCAGCGUUUUGUCUUAGGAUGCUAUGGGUUUGUUGUAAUUAAGGAUACAUGUAUUUUAGCUUUCAAAUUGGUGUCUAAUUUUGAGUAAAAAUGUCACGAGCUACUCUGUCUUUAGUAAAAUCACAACUAAAUCUCACAUUUCAGAAGUAGUCUACCGACGCUCGGUGGUGGACCUCAUCAAUUUUCACAUCUAGAGCCAUUCUGAAAGUACAUACUCCUAUGCUAGGCCCAAAUAUGCUCCUCUUGGCCCAAAUCAAGCGGAGUCUUCUUAGUCAUAAUUUUUCUUAGGCUAGUUCUAAUAAAAAUUUCAUCUCCAUCUAAUAAGGUGGCACAUCAAUGAAAAUGAUGAUGAUGUAACAUCUGAAUUAUAAGUAGAGAGAGGAGUUAAGUUUUAUCCAGAUGAAAUCUAUAGCGUGCAUGGUUAGUUGGUUACUAAUGCAUCGGACACGUAGUGAGGCUCCACUGAGAGCGUUUUAUUUCAUCCACACACAUUACAAAACGAGUGAACCACUAGAAGCAUUUCAUUUCAUGCCACCGUGCAACGGUAAUUAAAUGCACAAGCCUAUGAAACUAUGCACUGUAAGUCUUCUUGUUUUAUUUCGUCACCUAAAAUCCACUUUUGAAAACAAUGCAAUGGAUGUCCAAAUAUUGUUGAAAAAAACCUUUUGUUUCUCCAGCCGCACUAUAAUUAUAACUUAUAAACUUUAUGGAAAAAUAGUGAUCAUCAAACGACGCUUUGGCCGAGUGGUUAAGGCGUGUGCCUGCUAAGUACAUGGGGUUUCCCCGCGAGAGUUCGAAUCUCUCAGGCGUCGUUGUUUUUAUGUCUAUAUUUAUCCUUUUUUUUGCCCAACGUAUAUUAUUAUGUAUAUAAAUUCAUUAUUACCUUCAAAUUAUUUUUGUUAUUAUUAGAUAGCGUGUCCAUGCCUUGCUAUAAGAUAGCUAAUAUUUUGUACUAAAAACAUAGGAUCGCACUAUAAGAUAACAAUACUAUAAAAUUAAAUACCAAUGUUAAAAUAACAGUUAAUCUAAAAAGCAAAGUUUAUGAAAUUAACAAUCACAAAAAGUGUGGUGUUGUAGGCUCACAAACUCUAUUGUAUAGACCUUUCCAUAAUACAGCUAAGAUAAUAUUUUGUAUCAGUAGGAAGAAAUUUUCGAUAUCUAUUUCUUUUAUACAUCAAUAAAUUUUAAAAUAAAUUCCGCCACAUCUCUGUACUAUCCUGUACAUAGGUUUGAUUUGAGUAUAUGUGCUGUCACAUAGUCAAUACUAUGUGUCUUGAAACAUCUCACAACCUUAAAACAAAUAUACAAAUAUGUUAUACUCACCGUAUAAACCUUUUCAACAAUUACAUUACAACUUCACUAAUUACAAUACAAUAACAACACAUCUGACAAGAAAUGUAUAUUGUAUCUCUAAUUUUUUUUGAUAAAACUGACCACAAGUUUCUUGAAAGAUGGCGGACACCCUGUGCCGUUGUAGCCCCAGCCGAGCCACCACUGGUGAUAUGUUGUGCAACAACCUCUAAUGUUUGACAAUAUCCUGUUCCUCAAAUGCAAUGAAUGUUAGUGCUUAUUCACUUGUCCUCAGAUAUUUGCAUGCAGAGAGGCAGUAGUAACACCUCCAACAAUUCAAUGAUGAGUAAAAACCAACCCUUUUUCCAAAGCAGUGUCAAAAUAAUUAGAGGGCUAAUAAGUAAUUAUAGAGAUUAUAAAACACUCACAUUACUUUUUUAGGGGAUACUGACAUUAUACUCAACAGAGUUGUGUCCUAAAAAUCCCCUAAAAUGAUCCACAACACAUGCAAGAUCACCAAAAUGUUAGCACCGAACGUUGAAUAGUGUUUAGCCACAUCUGAUGAGCAGCGUUCGAUGCUCUCAGGAAUGACCAGACACGCAUGUCCCUGCGUUCGGUGCUUAACCCUAGGUGAAACUCUCUGUGUGUUGCAAGUCACUACUGACCGGAAGCACGCCUAGCGUUCGGUGCUCACGCCUGUUGCAUUUGGUGUGUAGUUCUCAGUGAGAAACACUCCCGCGACUUCACUACCUUUUCAAGCCACCUCCGACACAGUGGAAAAUAGGCAAUUCAUUUUCACAAAGACGCUGAACCCCUUUCUAUCUCUCAAACUCCAUCUACUUUGCAAAUGUGCCAACACCAACAUGUGUACCAUUAUGUGCAAGUGUGUUAGCAAUUACACAAGCAUUUUCUCAAAGGAGUUAGCACUCACACUAGAUCUUACUGCAUAUGCAAAGAGUUAGAGCAUCUAGUGGCACUUUGACAACCGCAUUUCAAUACAAGUUUCAUCACUCUUCAUAGUAUGGUUAUCAAUCCUAAAUCACUCGCACCCUCUAUGGUGUCUUAAGUGUAAACCAAAAAGCUCAUAACCAAUUAUACCUUUGCCUUGAGCUUUUUAUUUUUCUCUUUCUUCUUUUUCAGGCCUGAGCACUUGAUCACCUUGGUUCCACCAUCACCAUGAUGAUCAUCACCCAUGUUGCUCACCACUUGGAGUGUGCUUUCCUAUCUCAUGAAUACUUAGAGCAAUAGGUUAGCGCAUAGGGUUUCAUCAAUUUACCAAAACUAAACUAGAGUUCUCACGUAUUACAUCUAUUCAUCAAUUGACCAAAAACUCCCAUAUAUAGCUUGUGUUUCCUGUUAUUUAUUAAACAAUGUCUAAUAAUAUAUUGACUAAAUAAUAGAUAAAAUAGAACACCAAUAGCUUGUAUAUCGUCCACACCUUGUAGAACCAAACAAAUCACCUAGUGCCUUAUAGGAUUUCAUUAACCUAUUGGUUGAAUCAUUAUAAUCUGACAUAACCUCAAGUGUUUGGAAUACGUAGAGAUUAUUUUGUAUAUUUAUUAUUACUUAAUAAGUCAAUGUCCUAUUAUCCCGGGAUUUAAACGCUCGCCCACAGGCAUGUGGCAUGCCCACCUCUUAUACCUCCCUCCCUCCCUCCCUCCCUCUCUUAGAUAUUCGAUAACCUCCUCCCUGGCGGUGACCUGCUCCCUGUGGCCACACUUGUGCCCCGCCUUCUCCCACACGGCCCCCCUCUCUCCUCUAUGGCAGCAGUGACAGUGCUGACGAGGUCGACCUUCUCCUCGUGGAUAUGCUCUUAUGGUUCCGGCGAGCUCUCUCUCUCAUCUUUCCAAACUCCAACAUCCUUAGAAGAAAAGAGGUUUGGGGGAGGAAGGCCGUCCAAGUGGUGGGAGACCGACAGGCGAUUUAGGGGACGUGGAGGCGGGAGGCACCCGGGGUAGGAGGCACUCGGCCUAGGUCGGGGCAAGGGCGCUAGGGCCACGGCAACUGCAGCGGGGCGGGGGAGGGGGGGUGUUAGGCGAAGGGAGAGAAGGUGGGGUCCUGGUUGCGGAGCUCCGACUUGCUGCAGCAGGGGCGAGGGCCAUUGUAGAGGGAGAAAGCGCCAGCUAAGAGGAAGAAGAGGAAGGGGGCGAAAUGAGGAAAGAGACGGCUGUGCUUGGCGCCAAACGCACGCACGGCUGCACGGUAGCCACGUCCAUUACUAUAAUCAGAGGGUGAUAUAAACACACCGCUAAUCAAAUGGCGGUCCCACACCCUAUCUCCGGAGAUCUUUCAGUCAACACCUUUUCUUUUAUCGGUUUCACUUUCAGCCCGUGUGAUUGAUGGUUCAGUUCAAGAAAUCUUUGGCCCUCUAUUCACAUCCACGUUCCCAUUGGGACUCUUUGAUCAGAGUCUGCUCCUGAUCCCAACAUCCCAGCGGCCCAAUCUCAAAAAGAAAAAAAAAGAAGUCAACGGCAGCACGGCGACUCAACAGUGGCUUCCAUCGAUUCAAGCUCAAGCUAGCGACGGUCCCUCAGAUCCGGCGAAGAGCGGCCGCGCCGUACCCCACCGCCGGGGACACCGGUCAGUACAGUACGUUCUCCUCCCUCCAGGCUGGCUCUUUCGCUCGCCGCCGUUCUUUAUCUCAAGAUCAAGGUCGUCGCGUCGCCCACAUUCUAUUCUUUGUGUUCUAGAGCACACAAAUAGUACUAUACACAGCAAUCUUUUACAUGGAGGUCGUGACGGGGGUGCUGACGGGGCUUGUCUUCAAGCUUGGUAAACUGCUGGUGGGCGAGUACAAUCUGCAGAAGGGAGUGAAGGGGGAGAUCAUGUUCCUCCAACCUGAGCUCCAGAGCAUGCAGGGCGCCCUCAAGGAGAUAUCCAAAGCUCCGUCAGACGAGCUUGACCACCAGGACAGGAUCUGGGCCAGCGAAGUGCGAGAGCUGUCCUACGACAUAGAGGACAGCAUCGACAUGUUCGUGGUGCGCUGCGAGGGCGGUCAGCAGCUCCUCGCAGCACCGGAUGGCAUGAGAGGGUUCAUCGAUAGGAGCCUUGAUCUGCUGACAAGGUUCCGUGUUCGCCGUCAGGUUGCCAUGGACAUCAGAGACAUCAAGAGGCGUGUCAUAGAGGCGCGCGAGAGGCGCGAGGCGUACAAGAUCGACGGUGUUGGUGGAGCUCGGCCUGAUGUUGUUGAUCCUCGGUUGUUGGCUCAUUACACAGCGGUGACAGAGCUCGUUGGCAUCGAUGACGCUAGAGAUGAGCUAAUCAAGGUUCUGACGGAUGAUGGGAGCCAAGAAGCUUCCAAACAGCAUGGCAGGGUAGUUUCCAUUGUUGGGUGUGGAGGCCUGGGAAAGACCACUCUGGCUAAUGUUGUGUACCAGAAGAUCAGAACGCAAUUUGAUUGCUGGGCUUUUGUUUCAGUGUCUCAAACUCCUGACAUGAGGAGAUUAUUCGAGGGUAUACUCUCUGAACUUGGCAAGGACAUCAACGAAGAAACACGGGAUGUGAGGCACUUCAUUGAUGCAAUCGGAAAAUUCCUUCAGACAAAGAGGUAGUACUCCUUUGAAUGAAUGUACUGUUUUCCAAUGUUAAUCUACGCCACAUGUCUCACAUCUGAAUUUUACGUAUGACAUGCCAUUGUUAUGUGUGCAGGUACUGCAUUGUUAUUGAUGACAUAUGGGAUAUCUCAGUUUGGAAAAUGAUUAGGUGUGCUUUGCCUGAUAAUAUGGGUGGAUAUGUAAUUAUCACAACUACCCGUAAUUUCAAGGUAGCUGAAGAAAUUGGUGGCGCUUACAGCAUGAAAGCCCUCUGUCAUGAAAGCUCCAGAAAAUUAUUUUAUACAAGAAUAUUUGGCAAUGAAGAAAAAUACAAAUGUCCUGAUGAGCACCUAACAGAAGUAUCUCACAGAAUAUUGAAUAAAUGUGCCGGUGUGCCAUUAGCUAUCAUUACGAUAGCUAGUUUGUUGGCUAAUAAAGCAAGAGACAAAAUGGAGUGGCUCGAGGUGUACAACUCUAUUGGUACCGGACUCGAGGAUAGUACAGAUGUUGAGAAUAUGAGAAAGAUUUUGGCAUAUAGCUACUAUGAUCUGAAAUACCAUCUGCGGGUUUGCUUACUAUAUUUAAGUAUGUUUCCAGAAGAUUACCCAAUUACAAAAAAUCAUUUGAUAUGGAUGUGGAUAGCUGAAGGUUUUGUACAAUGUGAACAAGGGAAGAGCUUAUUUGAACUUGGAGAGUGUUACUUCAAUGAGCUCAUAAACACAAGUAUGAUCCAGCCUGUGUACGACAGGCAUGAGGCCAUGAUUGAACAUUGCCGUGUACACGAUAUGGUUCUUGAAGUUAUCCGUUCCUUGUCAAAUGAAGACAAUUUUGUUACCAUAUUGAACAAUGAGCACAGCACAUCAUCUCAAUCGAAAAUGUUUCGAAGGUUGUCCCUUCAGAACAGUGUUGUACACCUGGCUAGUCCAUUCCCUAGUACGAGCAUGCUACAAGUGAGGUCAGUUAUUACCUUUUCAUCUGCUCUUGAUCAAAUGCCGGCCCUUGCAAGCUUCAGGGUUUUGCGUGUACUAAAUUUAAAAGGUAGUUAUCUCCCACAAGGUUGCGAUCUUAAGCAUCUUGGAAAUCUAUUUCACUUGAGGUAUUUGGGACUUGGACGGACUUAUACUAAUGAGCUACCUGAAGAAAUAGGAAACCUGCGUUAUCUACAAACAUUGGACGUAGUGGGAAGCUACAUUGGUAGCCUGCCAUCAACUGUUGUUCAGCUAAGACAUUUGAUGUGUCUUUGUGUCGACCAAAAUACAAGAGUGCCAAACGGGAUUGGGAGACUAACAGCCCUCGAAGAGCUCUCAACGUUAUACACCUGCGACGAAUCCACGGAUAUCCCAGAAGAGCUGUGCCAUCUAACAGAACUGCGGGUGCUAGAACUUUUCUUCUGGAACAACACCUUGGAGAAAUCUUUGGUGGCGUGCCUAUGCAAGUUGAGAAAAAUCCAGAGUCUAGUUAUCUGGGCCUCUGGUGGUGAAUACAAUUUCGAUGCAUGGGUUGCUCCUCGACAUGUCCAGAGAUUGCAGCUACAAUCCUGCUGGUUCUCAAGGCUGCCAGAUUGGAUGAAUCCUUCACCUCUGGGCCUCUCCUUUCUGUGGAUCAACGUGAGGGAGCUGCGCCAGGAGGACCUAGAAACUCUUGGGAGGUUACCAGCACUCCGUCAUCUGUAUCUGAAGCUGGACCAUGAGAAACUCAAAAUCCCUCGGAGAUUCAUCGUUGGUGCUUGUUCGUUCCCAUGCCUGGUGGAAUGCAGGCUGUUGGGAUUUAUGGGGGCCGUGUUCUUCCAUCAAGGAGCUAUGAUAAAGCUCAGGAACCUUUCCCUGACGUUGUAUGCAAGGGAUGUGAGAGAAAUUAUGGCGAGCAGCGAUGGUAGUUGUUGUUUCGACUUGGGCCUAGGGAACCUGCUGUCACUUCAGGAGUUCAGGGUGUCAUUAUUUACUUCCGAUCUGGAGGCGCCAACGAGAUGGAAGUGGAGAAGGCCAAGGCUGCAGUGAGCCAUGUGCUUGAGAUUCAUCCCAAUCAUCUCGAAUAUCACAUAUGGGGUUGAAGGUUAGCUUAACUAGGAGGAUUCUCCGCGCGUUGCUGCGGGUACGAAGGGAGAAUAUAAAUAUAGCCUUAUUGUAGUCUAUUAAGUCAUCUAUAUAGUUUUAGUAGUCAGUUUCAAAAGAGAAAGAGAGAAGAUCACGUGAGAGAAUAAUUGCUAGCAGUAUGCAUGCAUGGUCAUGUGUAGGUAGUUGCAUCUACUACUGAAACUAUUUAUGAGUGGACACUUAAUUGCAUACAACAGCAGAAGAAGUGGAUGAUGAUGUGGUGCAAGGAGGUGCAAGAGAAUUAGCUUAGUGGAGUUUAUCUUUAUAGGAUAUAUAGAUAGAUAACCCUGGUCGUUGUUGUUUUUUCUCCAUUCUGUUGCUUUUUCCUUUCAUGCAACCAUAACCUUCCUCUGUUUCUUUCUCAGAUUCAUAUUGACGAGCUGGGAAAAAGAUUCAAUAUGAACGGCAUCCAAACCAGAGGAAGCAAAAGAAAUUCAUACGUUUUCCCACUCCUAAUACGCUGCAAGUAGUGGAAUAUGUGAUUUCUGCGCUGCGGCAUGCCACUGAAAUGCAUCCCAAUCAUCCCAUCCUUGACCCUUCAAAAUCCGAUGAAGCCAAUACACAGCUGAAACCAAUCCAAACCGGCCAGCCCUUGCAACUAACGGCAGCAAAAGAACCUCAGUUUGUCUCCUUUCUCUGUAUUCUAAUCUUUUUCCCCUGUUUUCCUCAAGAAAAGAACCUCAGUUUCUGUCGCAGGUUCAGAAUAGUGAUGGCCAAUGGAAACAAGUAAACAACAGGCCGACUCCACCCCUGAGAUUCUGCAUAAACGGAUGAUCCUAACUGUACAUCAACCCCGCACCCCAGCAAUGAUGUUAUUAUUUACUCAUUGCCCAUGCAAAUGUCACAGAUCAGGAUAUACGAGGAGACAAAAAAUGUGCAGUUGUGAUUGUAAUUCUGGGAUUCUUUUUCUUUCAGACUGUAGAACUAAAAAAGGAUUGGUGAUCAAGGUUUUUUUAACUUGUGAAUGGUGACAUCUCACCUGUACCACCUAGUUUUGGAAAGCCCUCUUCUUUAAGAGAUGGUUAUUGUUGUGAAUGACUGCGAAUAAACGACGAAGAACACAAGAUCAAAUCACAACGGAGACACAAGAUUUAACGUGGAAAACCCCUUCAAUAAAGAGAAAAACCACGGGCGCCAGCUAGCAAACACUCCUCACUAUUAUCAAAAGUCGAGGUUACAACGUCGUGCGGCGGCCGAGCCUGUUCGCUUAUCUUAUAAGCCGUACCUUUUCUACCAGUGAACAGUGUUUUUCUCUUACAAUAAAUUAGCGAACAAUAUUUCAGCUAUAACUUUUCAGACUAGCGAACAGGCUCAGUGGAACUCUAAUUUGGGUACGUACCGUGGGGGGCCAGCCCCCGCACCCCCCAUGUGACAAUGAGGGCACACACCAAUGGGCCACCUCAGACUCCGCUUCGCUCCAGCCCAGCCUUUGCCUUCAACGGACCUCCUCUUCGUUGCAUGAGAAGUCACCCUUUAUAAUGUGCAACUGAAUUUGAAACAUAUUCAACAGCUAUGACUUAUAAAUUAUCGUAUAACUUCAGGUAUUGGUGAUUAGCAGAUACAACUGUUUUUAUUCAAAAUUGAGGAGGUACCUACGAUAUUUUUAUUAGCAUUUGAACAUCUAACCAGAAUAUGUUAAGUUUUGUGGCAACAUUGCAUCACAUUGAGGCUUGCAGAUAUUUUAGGUUUCCAUAUAUAAUAACAAUGAUAUGGAGACAAAGGAAUCCGCUGUGAACCUCCUGUAGAGGUUGAGGUAAACUGUAAAGCUUGUUUGGUUGCAAGCCUGGACUAAGGCCUUGUUUAGUUACAAAAAAUUUUGGGAAAUCGACACUGUAGCACUUUCGUUUGUAUUUGACAAAUAUUGUCCAAUUAUGGACUAACUAGGCUUAAAAGAUUCGUCUCGUCAAUUCCGACCAAACUGUGCCAUUAGUUUUUAUUUUCGUCUAUAUUUAAUACUUCAUACAUACGUCUAAAGAUUUGAUGUGAUGGGAAAUCUGAAAAAUUUUGCAAUUUUUUUUUGAACUAAACAAGGCCUAACAGCUACAGCCUAUUUUCCUGUGUGUUGUUCGGAAUCGUGGCAGCACCAGGCAACUGUUGCCCCAGUCAGAGCCAGGAGGACAAACGUGAGUUCCUGGGCCAAAAGAGCAGUUGCUGCCUGGGUUACUGAAAGUCACCGUGGGUGUGUUUGCAGCAUUGCAUGAAGGCAGCCAGACCCUAGAUCAGCCAUAACCAGACUAACUCGGUACAAGCCCCCGGUGGUAAGCCAGACCCAAUAGAGAUUGUGUUUGUUUGUUAGCCCAAAUAGGAGAUAGGAGGAUAGGAGGGUCACUUGCUCCCUCCAUCUGGCUAGACGAGCGCUCAAUCUAGCCCGACUCUGAAAAAAAAAUAUGCCCCCAUCGUUUUUCUAGCCCUAGCCCAAGUGCUUUAAGCUCCUUACGGGGUGGACUCUGAGGCUGGGCCAGCAACAUCAAACAUGGACUGCUGCAGCUAGGGAGCUCGGGCAAUCCUCUGCCCCCACUAGCAAACACACCCUGUAUCUAUUCUAAUCUAAAUCAUAUGGCUGCCUAAACUCUAGUUUUUAUAUAAAAAAUACAAUAAACAAGUCUUUUAAAAAACUUAUUUCCUUUUCCAGUUCUCUGCCUAGUCUUUAGUUAAAUGUACUACUAGCUUACUAUUCAAAUAUUUAUAUUUCCAAGUAUAAAUAUUUACUUUUAAGAAUAUUAUAACUUGGGAAAAAAUCCAAAUCAUUUAUUCUGUUAAUCAAACUAAAAGAGUGCACAUUCACUGUACAUACAACCUUUGGAUAUGACCAUUAAAGUUAAAAAUAAAAUGAGCUCAUUCUUCUCUAUUGAGUUCAGCACAAAUGAUCUUUUACAGAUCGCAGAGCAGAAUUCUGUUCACUGAACCAAUGCGCUUCAGCCUUACAAAUAGUGAGAAAUGAAGACACGAAAAUUAAAGAGACGGCAAUUUGAACGUCUGAUGGACGCCGGGUCCUCAACAAGCAUGAACAGUGUGAAAGGGCCUCUAACCUAGUGGUUAGAGCACCUGAGUAGUACCAGCAGACCUGAGUUCAACUCCUCGUGGGAGCGAAUUUAAACAGGUCUAUAUUAUAAAAAAAAAGAGACCUAAAAUAGAUACAGGUCAUGCACAGUUAAAUAGGCAACCCCUCAAAUCUCUCCUUCUCCAACAACUACGGCAAAUAGAACACCCAAAACUACUGCUCGCAUAGAUACGCCGCGCCGCUGUGGCCCCUCGCCGUGGAUGCCGCAUGGCCUAGCCGCGGACCAGAUCAGCCUUCGUCUUUGCCUGCCGCCGGCCACCGAGCUGUGAGAUCCAGCCAACCGAGAGCAGAGGAGACGACAAAGAGAAAAAAAAAAUCCCCAAAAUCCUAGGCCAAUUUAUUCGCGGGGAACCGAUGAUGGAGUCCAUGGCGACGGCGCCCGCCACCUGCGAGAUCGCGCGCCUGCCGGACAACCUCCUGGCAGCAUAGCUAGCCCGGACGGGGCUGCAGAACACCUGCCGUGCCGCCUUGGCCUCGCCGGCCUUCUGCGCCGUGGGCGACAUGACCUGCCCGCGCUCGCUGACGGGGAGCUCCCCGCUGACCAACAACCCACCAAGAAGCAGCGGCAACCUCGACGGAGGAAGAGGCACAGUCGUCCCACUCCUGCUGCGUGGUGGUGGUGGGCCCUGCUACGUGGAGACGCAAAGACAUCGAGGCAGACGCAUAUUUGCGUUCCGCAACGACGACGAUCGUAGGUUUGGGUACUCCAUUAUAGGGUGUUUUUUUUCUACUGAAACACUGUUCAGGAGGCAUUUUGGGUAUGAGUCUUUUUAUGCCUAUCUUGUUGGAGAUAGUCUUAGUUCCUAAAAUAUUUUGUAAAAUUUUUCAUAUUCCUCAUCACAUCGAAUCUUGCGGCACAUGUACGGAGCACUAAAUAUAGAUAAAAGAAAUAACUAAUUACAUAGUUACCUGUAAUUUGCGAGAUGAAUCUUUUAAGGCUAGUUAGUCCAUAAUUGGAUAAUAUUUAUCAAAUACAAACGAAAGUGCUUUAUUUCUAUUUUAUAAAAUAUUUUAAAAGUAAACAAGGCCUUGAUCAAUCUAACAAGUCGAAGUUACUUUUCUUUUCUGAAAUUAUGUACUGUCGCUUGCUGAUCUCAAUGAUGCGGUGCCAGUGCAAAACACGGGUACUUUUGACGAACUAUUGCGACAACGAACCAUGCCCUGUUUCGGUGUGCAACGAGGUUACGUGAUAAGAUAGUGGUGAGUGGUGACUGCAUGCUCUGUUUCGGUUUGCUCUGUUCUGUGGAUCACGUACAGUACAACGUGACCAGGCUCCUCUGAAAAAUCACGUCAAACUUGGAUUGCUGAUUACGCGUACUCGGAGCUGUCCUCAUAAUCUUCGAUGUCACGGAUUACGCAGGCUCAUCGGUACAGGUUACUUCAUGGUUAUGUACUACUCCAGUUUGUAGUACAACCUGCAGCAGUGGAAAAGUACUACGUACAGAUUUGUGUUAGAUUGGAUCGACCAUUACUUCGGCCUUGUUCAGUUUCAAAAACUUUUUAUUUUUCGAAACUAUAUCACUUUUAUUUUUAUUUGACAAACAUUAUUUAAUUAUGGAGUAAUUAGGCUUAAAAGGUUCAUCUCGCGAUUUAUAGGUAAACUAUACAAUUAGUUUUUAUUUUCGUCUGUAUUUAGUACUCUAUGCAUGUACCACAAGAUUUGAUUUUUUUUUUUAUUUUUAGGGUGAACUAAACAAGGCCUUACUCAAAACGAACAAGGCGAUCCACGGCAGGAGUAGUCAACAAAAGAAGCUUUGGACUUGUCCAUGUGAAUAGAGGUGCAAAGGCUAAGCUUUAGGUGCACCUCCAAACCUCUUUAGUAUUUUUUAAUUUUUUUUUAGAGAAGUAGUAUAAACAUUUGAACUAAAGAGAUUUAGAGGUGCACCUAAUCAUCACUCAUUUGCACCUCUACAUGUGUGAAGCUAAUCUGUCUGUGUCAUAUGUACCCUCGCUUUGUGCAUGGUGCACAAGUAUUGCACGAGCCGCCAAAAGUCCACCACAGCAAUAGCCGCCGUGGAAAGUGGAAUGGAAUAGGUCACCACCAACUCCUACAUGCACCUGUACAUCAUGUCGACACCACCAGGUAGGCGUAGGCCCGUACUUAGCAGCCAAGCAACUAUAUACACAUGGCCACGUACUCACAUUCACAUGGUGUAUAUAUAUAUAUAUAUAUAUAUAGGUGGCAACGAUCGUCCUGCUGUGUGGCUCUCUUGAUCAGUCUGCACAGCGAAACAAGAAAGGCAGACCAUUUGCAAUUGCAACGAGGAGAGAGUGAGAUCGAUCGGAAGGAAAAUGGAGAGAGCCACACAACAGCAGGACGAUCCACGCCCACACUUCGUGCUCGUUCCGUGGCAAGGAGGCAUCAGCCACAUCAUCCCCAUGACCGACAUCGGCCGCCUCCUCGCCUCCCACGGCGCCGCGGUCACCAUCAUCACCACGCCCGCCAACGCCCCACUCGUCCAGAGCCGCGUCGACGACGACGACGACCUCGUGACGACGCCGCCGGAGGGCGCCAUCACGGUCACCGCGAUCCCGUUCCCAGCGGCGGAGGCCGGCCUCCCCCCCGACGACGGCUGCGAGAGGCUGGACCUCCUCCGGUCCCCCGCCGACGUGCCCCGCUUCUUCGCCGCCAACAGACACUUCGGCGAGGCCGUCGCAAGCUACUGCCGCGCCGGCGAGGCUAUGCCGCGCCGGCCCAGCUGCGUCGUCGCCGGGAUGUGCCACACGUGGGCGCUCGGCAUGGCGCGCGAGCUCGCCGUGCCGUGCUACAUCUUCCACGGCUUCGGCGCGUUCGCCCUGCUCUGCAUCGAGUACCUCUACAAGCACAGGCCACACGAGGCGGCGGACGACGACGACGGCCUCGUCGUCAACAUCCCAGCCCUGCCGGCGCCGUUCGACGACUGCUGCAGGCUCUCGCGCGCGCAGCUACCGCCGCAUUUCGCGCCGUCGACGGCUGUGGGUGGUGGAGCAAUGCAAGAGAUACGGGAGUUCGACGUGGCCGUGGACGGCGUGGUCGUCAACACCUUCGACGAGCUCGAGCACGGCUCCUGCGAGCUUCUCGCGGCCGCGACCGGCAAAGCCGUCGUCGCCGUUGGCCCCGUCUCGCUGUGCCGCCGCCGGUCACCUGAUCUCGAUCCACAGGCCAUGGCGGACGACGAUGCCAGGCGGGUUAUGGAGUGGCUGGACGCCAAGGAGACGACGAGGUCCGUGGUGUACGUCAGCUUUGGCAGCGCCGGGUGCAUGCCGCCGGCGCAGGUCAGGCAGCUGGGCAUGGCACUAGCGUCGUGCCCUUGGCAUGUCGUCUGGGUCGUCAAGGGCGCCGACGCCAUGCCCGGCGACGUCAAGAAAUGGCUAUCUGAGAGCUUCGACAGCGACAAGUGCUUGGUGGUGCGAGGCUGGGCUCCCCAGGUCGCCAUUCUAGCUCACCGUACUGUCGGCGGCUUCCUCACGCACUGUGGGUGGGGCUCGACGCUGGAGGCCAUUGCCGCCGGCGUGCCCAUGGCGACAUGGCCGCUUUUCGCCGAGCAGUUUCUCAAUGAGAGGCUCAUCGUCGAUGUGCUUGGUGUUGGGGUGUCUGUAGGCGUGACAAGGCCAACAGAAAAUGUCCUUAGUGCUGGUAAGCUCAACGGCGGCGGAGCGGAUGUUGAGGCGGAGGUGGGUAUGGAACAAGUGAUGAAGGCAUUGGAGAGGCUGAUGGAUGAAGGUGAUGAAGGGGAGCAGAGGAGGAAGAAGGCUCAGGAGCUCAAGGCCAAGGCAAAUGGAGCGUUAGAGAAGGGUGGGUCGUCCUACAUGAAUUUGGAGAAGCUAAUCCAAUGUGCUUCAUGAUAGAAUAAUUAAUAAUUAUGUUUUGCUGAAUAAAAUAGCCAGUGUCCAACCUUGGGUACAAAUCACCAAAUUUGUUUGAUGUCUUUGAGAUUGUAUGAAGAAGGUUAGAUCGUUUGGUACGUACGUUUGUGUUUGAGACUUAACUGUGAAGGUACUGAAUUGUUUUGUCACAAUAACAAAAUUUUCUAUUGGAAUAAUUACCGAUGCCAUAUAUAAAACAAUUGGAUGUAAUGGCGAAGUUACUCCAAGAACUAGAUAACACCCCGUUGCUGCGGAAAUUUAUAGUGCUCUUGAUGGAACAUAAAUACAUAAUGCAUUAUGUUAUAUGUAAAAUGGUAGAAGGAUGUAUGGAAGGUACAAAAUUAUAUGUAGUAAAUAAUGACAAAAGCAAGAUUAUAAAGACACCCAUAGCUGGAAAACAUGACUAAACAGGUGGUUUAGACAUUAAAAAUGAUUAUAUGUAUUAAUUACUAAUAAUUUGAUUUAUUAUGGACGCGAAACACACAAAUGGAAGUAAACGCUGCUAAAACAACUUAUUGAAACUUGUAAUGAUGGAUUCCAAGAAGUAUGAGAAAUGGAAAUUGUAAAUUAAAUAAUAGAAAAAACAAAGCAGCCAUUCAGAACAACAUGAUGAAUUAGGGAGGAGUAGAAACCUAUUUGUUAGGACAUCACACUCUCGUCUGUACCUAAAACACAAAAUGAGAUUUCGUAUCCCCAACCCCAAUGGCAAUGUAGAGGGCCUCGAGAACUCUGCUAUAGCCAUCGAGAAGCUAACAUUAAAGUGCCAGUGUAAUAUGAAACCAAUCCUGCUUAAAGUCUGAACCCCAGCCAUCGUUUCAGAGAUCAUGAAGAGACCAUCUCCAUGACGACAGACUUACAAACAUAGCUAGCCUAGACUUGGUCGGUGACCUGUUGCAUCCUCGUCCAAUGCUAUCUGAAGAAUCUCUCAACCUCGGUGCACAUACUGAGCCAAUAAUCAUCAUAGCCAGUAAACUCGAUAAAGAGGUUGUAGUGGCUUGUUCAGCAACGACCAAACCUGGAAAACUCUAUGUAGAGGUCAAAGCAGAAGCAGCAGGCUAAGGAGUUGGACGGCGUCACAAUUUGACUCCAACUGGAUUGUGCUAGUGACCCCAGCAUCAAAUGGACUCCAGACAGACCCUCAAAAAAAAAAAAAAAUGGACUCCAGACCGCCGCUGCACACACCCACAACCUGCAUCCCCUACUUCGUGCGUCGUGGGGAGCGCCGCAACCACCAUGGCUCUUGUCGCCCCAGCUAAGCACAACCAGGGCUGGCUCUAUAGUUUUAAGGGCCGUUGGACAAGUAAAGAGAUAAGGGCUCGUUCAGCUAAUUUUUAUAUCAAAAUUACUGUAUAUACUAUCGAUAAUAAAAAUUACUACCUCCGUCCCAAAAAAAUAUCGUUUUAGAUUUUCGUGCCACAAGUUUGACUCGAUUUGUAGAAAAUAUGAGCAAUAUUUAUAUUUCUAAAUAAAUUUGUUAAAAAACUAGACUUAAAUGUCUUUCUAAUGAUACUAAUUAUGUACUAUAAAUAUUAAUAUUUUUUAUAUAUUUAGUUAAAGUUAUUUCUCGGAAAGCGCAAACGACACUUAUUUUGGGAAGGGGGGAGUACUUUGCAAUAUAUAUAUAUAAUUCAUAAAAUAUAAGUACUUUGUUCUUUUUGUUUUUCUUUUCUUUUUUGAGUAUCCGACAAACGCUUCUUAGGCAACAUCUAGUAUAUUCAGAUAACUACAUUGAAUUAUAAAUUUAUAAUGCUAGGACCUAGCACUAUACGAGCAUAGCGAGUACAUAAAACAAUUAAGAAAAUAUAUAAAAAAACUAAUCCAUCAUGGUUGUUGGUGUAUUGCUUACUGUGAUGACAUGUGUACUAUCCGAUGUUUCCCUACCGUUAUGUAGAAUAGGACCAGAAGGAAGAGUAAUCUACGGCUUUGACUAAUUUAUCUUAGAUCUUCAAAUACUUAUUAUGCCAAAUAAAAAAUUAUAUAUACUAAUUACCUAUAUUGUCAAGGGCCUCUAAGGUUCAUGGGCCCCCGGCGGUCGCACCGGCUGCCCCUCCCUUAGAGCCGGCCCUGAGCACAGCUACACUACAACCUUGGAACUCUGGCGCUUGGAAGCGCUCACCCGUUCUUUGAUCUGUCGCGGUUGCACGCGGCCGCUCAGAGCCAUGUGAAAGGUCCUAAUAUGGCUAGAGGGGGGGUGAAUAGCCUAUUUAAAAAUUCUACAAAUUCACUAGAGCAAGAGGUUAGUAAAUAACAAGCGAAGCUUUUUGCUCUAGCUCUAAAGAGGGUUUUGCAAGCCACCUAUCCAACAAUUCUAGUUGAUAUGAUCACUAGGCACACAAGAGCUAUGUCUCUACUUACACUAGAGAGCUACCUAGAGUUUCUAUACAAGUAUGUAAGCUACUCUAGUUUGCAAGAAAGUAAGAGAGAAGGUUUGAUCUUUAUACCACCGCGUAGAGGGGAUGAACCAAUCAAUGAUAUGAAGUCCAAUCAUCGGGAGAAAUCCAAAGUACAAUCACAAUGGAGACACACGAUUUUCUCCCGAGGUUCACGUGCUUGCCGGCACGCUACGUCCCCGUUGUGUCGACCAACACUGGGUGGUUCGGUGGCUAAGAGGUGUAGCACGAACCUCAUCCUCACUAGGACACCACAAGAACCUACCCACAAGUGAGGUAGCUCAAUGACACAAGCACUUUACUAGAGUUACCUUUCGGCUCUCCGCCGGGGAAGGUACAAGACCCCUCACAAUCACCGGGAGAUGGCCACGAACAAUCACCAACUCGUGCCAAAGCUCCUCCGCUACUCCAAGCCGUCUAGGUGGCGGCAACCACCAAGAGUAACAAGAACCGCAGCCAAAUCGAUCCCCAAGUGCCACUAGAUGCAAUCACUUAAGCAAAUGCACUUGGAAUCACUCCCAAUCUCACAAAGAUGUAUAAUCUAUGAAGGAGAUGAGUGGGAGAAGUUUGCUUAGGCUCACAAGGAUGUCUAGUAUGUUAGAAUGCCAAGAGAGUUAGCCCUAGGCCGGCCAAACACAUAUUUAUAGCCCCUCAAACAAAUAGAGCCGUUGGCUCUUUCACUAGGCGAAAUACGGAGUCACCGGACGCUCUUAAAGGGGCACCGGACGCUCAACACCUGCGUCCGGUGCUCCAAAGUUAGCCACGUGUCAGGGUCCAACGGUAACCUGCAGAGCACCGGACGCUAAGCAAGUUACCACCAGACGCGUCCGGUGCACACCGGACCCGUGCGCAGAGAGCUCCGCAAACUCGCAGGGUCACCGGACGCGAGCCACCGGACGCACCCUGAGCGUCCGGUGCUCACCGGACUCAUGCGCAGAGAGGGUCGCCAAACCGCCCGCACACCGGACGCUGAGCACCGGACUCACUCCGGUGCGUCCGGUGCACUCUGCUACACCCGACAGCACACCAGACGCUAAAGGCCAGCGUCCGGUGCCUCUGUGCAGAGCGUCCGGUGAGUGUUUCUCCGAUGACUUCUCCAAAAAUUCCCACCGGCGCAAUAGAAAAUAUACACUUAUUUUUCUCAAACCCAUCCUCUCGCUACCCUUCAAACUUCAACUCCCUUCUUGAAGUGUGCCAACACCACAAAGUGUGUACCAACAAGUGCACAUGUGUUAGCAUUUUCACAAUCAUUUUCUUUGAAGGAGUUAAGUUAGCUCACUAGGUUCUAAAUGCAUGCUCAUGAACAAUGACACCUAGUGGCACUCGAUAACCGCUCAGCCAAAGAAUUCCCCUCUUUAUAGUAUGGCUAUCUAUCCUAAAUGUGAUCACACCCUCUAUGGUGUCUUGAUCACCAAAACCAAAACCCUAAGCAAUACCUUUGCCUUGAUCUCCAUAGGGUUUUAUUUUUCUCUUUCUUCUUUUCCAAGUUGAGCACUUGAUCAUCUUGUGGUCAUCACCAUCAUCACCAUGAUCAUCUCUUGCUCCAUUACUUAGCAUGUACCAACCUCAAUAAGUCUACACCCACUUAGUAUGGAGGUUAGUACUAGGGUUUCAUCAAUUAUCCAAAACCAAACUAGGGCUUUCACCAUGGAAGACCUGCCUGCCUUCGCCGAUCGAGAAACCUGGGGGAUGGGAGAUGAAUGGUUUCUGUAACACCCAAAAACUGAUUUUGAAUUAAUAGGAUUUAAUUGGAGUUAUUUAAGCAUUUUUGUGAGCAUUUAAUUUAGUAAAUAAAUAAUUUUUGUUAAAAAUUAAAAUUUAUCAUAAGGUUAGAAAACCUGUUUUGCAUUCAUGCUGGAGCAUAUUUUAUUAUGUGCUGAUUGUUUCUGUUGGAGUUUCUUUUUUAGAAUUUAAAAUCUGUUUGGAGAAAGCUUUUGAAAAACAAAUUAAAAAGAAAAGAAAAGAAGAAAGCCACCCUCGUGGGAUCAGACCAGAGGCCUAGCUUCCCCCCUCCCCCUCGCGCGGCCCAGCGAAGGCCCAGCUGCGGGCCUCUCCUCCCCUAUCUUCUCUCACUGGCGACCGGGCCCCGCCCUUUCUCCCACCGACAGCAUGGACCCACAUGUCAGCGCCCCUCUUCCUUCUUCCUCGAGUCGUAACCGAGCCCGACGCCAACAAACCCAACCGAGCCACCAAAUCCCAAAAACACCGGGAUUCUUUGCCAAAUCGUGCUCUACCAAGCCCUAUAAAGCUCCCAGCAACGUCUCCACGUCUUGUUUUUCCGUUUAUGCGACCAAUCCGAACCCUAAGCGUCAUGCUCGACGAUUUUUGGAUCUCACCGAGGUACCUCACCGCCACAGCCGUGGAACUUCCUAUCCAUUGCCCGGUUGACGAAGACAGGACUGUGCCGAGCUUCGUGACGCCGUUGCGGAGCUGCUGGACCAUGUUUUCCUCCUUCUCGUGUUUCCUAUGACUCGCUGACUUGUGCCGAACCUCUGUAGGAGCCCCGUUUUCGCCCACUACGGCUACAAGCUCUCUCCACUCCUUCCUCGUCCAAGCAAAACUCAUUGGUGAGUUCGCGUGAUGCCCCUAUUCGUUUCUGUGUACUCAGUUUUGUCUUUGGUGGACAGCAGUGGAGGUUCCCGAGCUCCGGUGAGGCUCUCCCAUGGCGCCGCCGCGCCGGACUCCUGGGAGAUGGCCGGGCCCCCGCUGUUUCCCCUAGAAUCGUUCUCGGCCGUCGGAUGGAAGAUCAACGGUCCUCAAUAGAACUUACCCCUUUGUUGUCAAUUUUGCUAAAGAGUCCCUGGUUUCUUUAUGAUUCGAACCCGCGGUCCUUGGCGUAUUCACUGGUAUACGCUUUUUGGUUUCGAAAGCGUAUUCUGCGUCGGUUCUUUCAAAAUACGUUUUCCAGUAAUUACAAAAAUGCCAUUGAUUUUAUAACACUUAUAAAAUGCUCAUUUUAACUCCGAUUUGAUCCAUUCAAAUUGCGUUAGAUUCGUCUUCUCGAGAUCCAUAUGUUAGUGGUACUGUUUCACCAGUUUGAAACUUUUUAAUUUCGUGGUACUAUUUAAUUAAUUAUUCUUUUAUAGGAAAUCUUAGAAAAUUUAUAACUUCUAGUUUUAAUUCUGAUUUUUAUGAUCUUUACGUUUGUGUGAUAGUAGCGCUGCGUAGAAUGUUUUUAUAAACUUUUAUAUUUGUUUUAUCACUGUUGGUGUAUUGUUCUAGUUAUAGCUUGUUUGCUUUGUGUAUGAUUGUCUCCAUUGAAAUACGUGUUGUUGAUUGUUGAUUGAGAAUAGACGGUGAGCCGUACGUUGAUGAGCAAGACUAAGUCUUUGACGACCAGAGCUUUGAUCAAGGCAAGUAUAACUUAGAACUAUCCUUGUUACCUAUAAACAUUUAAUACAAUAUAUAUCAUAUGCAUGUGUCCACCUUGACGACCUUAGCAAAAUCAUAGAUGAUUGUUACCUUGGAUUCCUUGUUACCUAUUUGAUAUGCAUUUGGGGUAGUUAUUUUUAGUUCUUGAUUUUAAUCCAUGAUCUUGUAAGAUGAUUAAUAGCUAUGCAAUGAACGUUAAAAGAUGACUGAUAACCGUAUGAGAUCUUGUCUGUAAGUGAUCAUCGGGAUAACAGUGCAAUUAUAAGGGCUAUAAUGGCUCUGGCUUUAGCUCAGUAUGAAGACCUUUUCUAGCUUGUUAGAGGUUACCCGAAAGGGCGCUAGAGGGGCUUGCCGUUUUGAGUAUAUUGUGGCCUAUGUCUUUAUGUGUAUAGGUUGCGCGUCAUUGUGCCAUUGGAAGGGGGGCUCUAUAUAUGCGCGCCCAGAAAACCUUGCGGCCUUAACAUGUUAGACGAACUUUUUAAAGGCUUCAUAGUGAUUCCUGCCGACCUUCUUUAAGAGGUUGAUCACCUCGGGUGAAAGGAUAAAUCAUGACUCAUGGGUAAAGACGUACAACCUUUUGCAGAGUGUUAAAAACUGUUAUACUAGCCGUGCUCACGGUCAAGAGCGGCCUUGGAGAUUCUUAUAUUAAAGAUGAUGACACUUAUUAAGUUAUUAUGUUCAUUUGUUUAUCGUUUAUGUUUAGUAUUAACUAUGCUUACAUUUGAUCAUGUGGUUAUGGGAUUUAUUUAUGAUACCUUGACAUUUGCUAUUUAAAUAUGAACAUGGUAUACACCUAAAAGCUAAAUGCAAUUAAACCAGUGUCAGCUAAUUGAGCCUCAUGAACCCCUGGUUAUACUUGUUGAGUACGAUAUGUGCUCACUCUUGCAAUUUCCCAACACCUCAGGUUAUGCAAAUGAUGAUGAUUGGAUUGAGGAUUAUCGAUAUGAGUACUAGGUUUGGAGUCAACCGGUCAACAGUUGUCCCUGUGUGGUGCUUCCGUCGAGAGAGUUUGUUUAUUACCGUUAUCUUUAUUGUAUAAGACUAUGUGAUUAUUAUUGUUCCGCUAUGUAAUAAACAAUGUGAUGAUACUCUUGAGAUUUGUCUACUUAUGUGUGCGACUGUUUCUGGGGCACAUAUGAGUCUUUUAUGCAUCCUAUCUUGUUCUUGAAAUAUGGGUGUAAUAGUUUUGAUCAGUCUCAAUGGUGAAUUUCACUUUACUGUUUUGAAGACUGCCACAUCAGCUAUGAAGAUUUAGAUUGAGAAAUGAAACUGACUCUCUCAAGUUCAAGACAAGCUGUUGUAGUUGGUAAAAAAAAGAGACAAGCUUCUGCAGUUAAUAUAUACAUGAUAUUGAGAUCCAAUGUGCCAUUUUGACUAUGUAGCCAUAUGAAUUUGAUAGCCAAUAAGUAGGAAUUACGUGAAAACACGCAGCGACGACACAUACUCCCUCCAUUCCAAAUUGUAAGUCAUUCUAAGAAUCUUGGAGAGUCAAACUUUUCUAGGUUUGACCAAAUUUAUAUUAUAAAAUAAUUAUUAUUAUGGUACUAACUAAAUAUCAUUAGAUUUUUUCUUAAUUAUAUUUUCAUUGUAUACUCACUUUACGAUACAAAUCUUAGUAUUUUUAUCUAUAACUUUGAUCAAACGUGAAAAUGCUUUGACUCUCCAAGAUUCUUGGAAUGACUUACAAUUUGGGAUGGAGGGAGUACUACACAAGCGAACUAACUUCCUAGGAUUUGCAUUUCACAGAACUGACGUUUUCAUCUAGCAGCUUGUCUAUUUGUGGCCAACACCAUGUAGCAUCAACCGACGAGCCACAAUACACAAUAUGGAGAAUUUGCCUGAAAUAACAUCAUGACUUUCCCAGAUGCAUGAUUCUUCCUUUUUUCAGAUCUUAAAACUUCAAUAUUUGAGACCGUAGUACCAGUUUACUGCUGCUUGUAGGUAGCCAUCAGUUUUUGUCUUAUGCUCCUCAUGCUCUUCCUGUGAGCCUUGUUGGAAUAAAAAAAUACCAUAUCUAUCACAAGGCUAGUAGUAGAUAAUUGAACUGGACAGCAAAUAAGUAGGAACUAUAUGAAAACAUAAAAGAGGCGUUUGUGAGGGUGGCUCAGCUGGGCUGCAAGGCGCACUUGGCCCAGCACGCAGACCGGCCACCCGCAGCCAAAACAACCCUCUGAGUCUAGCUCUAGAGAUACGCUGGGGAUGGGCGUUGUUUUGGAGCCAGGUCCUCGCGGCGCACAACAGGGGCAAGUGGGGGGCAAGAUAGUUGUAUUUGGUGGUUUGGCCUGGCCCUAACAUGGUUCACAAACACAAUCUCCUCUGAACCAGACCGUUUGCAUAUUGGAAGACAACACAUAGGCUGUUGCAGCAUUUGGGGCUGGUCUAGCGUGGCCCGGGCCUAGCGAGCAAGCCAGGUUGACCACGGCCACCCUCACAAACACCCCCGAAGUGAACUUGGAGUGAAAAUGGAGACAGUUUAACAGCAGCCGAGUAUUGGCAUAUCACAUUUACACCUAUACGCUCUUGGGUCAGACCAUAUCAAAUAUACUUUCAGUCAAAAUAGCUUGACUGCAGCCGAGUUCAAUCUUUCAGUUCAGUGACAUAUACCAUAUCAAUAUACUUUCAGUUUCAGUACACUGGUAAAGUCAUAUGAAUGCAAAUGCAGAUAACAUUUAGGCAAAUGCAGAUAGAUUUUCAUUCCAGAACAAAAAAAUUCAGAUAGCAUCUCUUUCAGUUCACUUAAACAUUCAGGAAUAAGGGCACCUAAAUCAUCACAAUUGAAUGCUUUGCCUUUAUUUUAAUUAAUAUUCAGUAGGGGCUUCAAGCCCCUCCUGUUCUUAAAAAAAAAUCAUGACAAUGGUGAUUUUUCUCCAACUCUGCAUCCUAACUUGACAUCGGCACUCCUCUAACAUUUUACUGGCUUUAUAGGUCGGAGAAAUCUGACGCAAAAUACAUCUGAUGCUCCCAACCAGCUAGCGCUCACCACAUAUUCACUGAGUUCUUGUGCGGGAGUGGACUGCACCACCACUGCCACCGAAUCUGGACCAAAAUCCUUCAAUUGGGAAGGAGGUAGUGCAGCACCCGGUGACGCAGCCGGCGGUGGCCAUGGAACUCGACGCCCACAAGCAGCAGCCGGCAUGGAAGGAGGCGUGAGUGUAGGAUUGGGGAGGGAAGGAUUUGGCGCGAAGCAGGGAGGCGGGGCCAGGAAGGAGAAUCGCACGCUUCACAGGAGAUCCGGCCGAGCGCGUAGGAACGAAGCUCUCCGUGCUCAGUGGGCGUUUCAUCCAAUUUCAUUGCCAAACGAUUGAGAGUUUUUUUUAUCUGGACUUAUAUAUAUAACUCGUGCUUAUAUGAGUUAUUACAAUAAGAUCUUAUUUAGUUUAUUACAGAAACUAAAAUUUUUCAAGAUUCCCCGUCACAUCGAAUCUUACGGCAUAUGCAUGUAGCAUUAAAUAUAGACAAAAAUCUUGCGACACAUGCAUAGAGCAUUAAAUAUAGACAAAAAUAAAAACUAAUUGCACAGUUUAUCUGUAAAAUCACGAGAUAAAUCUUUUGAGCCUGGUUAGUCCAUAAUUAGAUAAUAUUUGUCAAAUAAAAAUAAAAAUACUACAGUGUCGAAAACCAAAAAAUUUUUGGAACUAAACAAGGCCUAACUUGCGUCUAAAUUAAUAUGGAGUAGGAGUCCUAAUAUAAAUAGAUUCCUCACAUCCUAAGUAUUCUAAUUAGAACUCUUAAUAGUCAAAUAGAAAAUGAUAAGAAUUACGUUCUUUAUUUUGCUCUGCUUUCUUUAUUUAGUUAGAUAUUGGAGACAAAAGAAAAAUCAAAGUCCUAGUCUAUUUUCCUUCUUCUUCUUCUCUAAUAAUAAAAAGACAAAAUUUUUGGUCAUUUUGGAUUUUGGUCGAGCCCAACUAUUCGCUUGUUUUAGUCUAAAUUGGUUAAAACUCGUGUUAAACUUACAAGUUAGAUUCCGCCCAUAACUUUCCUUUUUUCUCUCAACCCAAUUGGACAAGGAGUCCUAGUGCCAUAAACAGAAAAUAAGAUAAAAAUAAUGGAAACCAGAUCCGAGACGAGCAUCAUUUAAUUAAUCUUUAGACUCGUGGACAUAUAGAAAAAAUCAUGAACUAAAAUUUGCACAAUUAUAUAUUAAGAAAAUGCCCGUGCAUUGCUACAGGAGAAGGAUCGUAUGGUUGGAACUGCAUGAUCUUCUUCCUACUUACCGAUGCCGCCUUCAAUCUGCUCUCGCUUGCGUGCACUGCUUCAUGCACCCCUCAGUUGCCUCCUUCUCCAUUGGGCUUCUAGCACCCACAGUCGCCACCUCAUACAGGAUCACUGCCUUACCAACCUUCUAUGACGUCCUACCCUAACCAUAAGGUUCGUGUCUACCACUCAAGCAUAACGCUCUCACCGCUCACUCUAUGCAAACUUUUAUAAUUGUUUGCUGAGGAUUAAAAAAAGAAAAGAAUGAUUUUAUUUAUGUUCUUGAUUUUCUAGUAUCUAGGUAGAUCUUGGUUCGUCAGGUGUUGGGUUCAAGCCCUUAGGCUUGCGUAAUUUUUUCCUAAUUUGCUAUUUAUGAGCGGACAUAGAAGUGGACAGACUAAAAUUUUUAUGAUUAAAUAUUAGAUAAUUUAUUAUUUAUAGGCAGACAAACAAAAUAGACAGACUGAAAUUUUUAUGAUUAAAUAUUAGGUAAAGAUUUACACGUUCUCUAUUAUAAUAGAUUUUUUAUUAGCUGGAUCCGUCGCUGCCGUGACUAAUUUGUUUUUUUGAUGAAACGGUGGGGGAGCUCCCCACCCUUUUUUUUUGUAUUUCAAAUUAAAUAAAGGAAUAGUUACAAAGGCAGGAGCCGAAGAUUACAAGGCAGCACGCCCAAAAUAAAAAAAGGCAAAACUGUUACAUGUAAGACUCUUUCCAACUACUAAGAGCAGAGCUAACACUGGGUCGCUGCCGUGAUUAAUUUGUUGCAUCGUUGGAAUUUGGGAAUGGAUCGGACUCCGUAUUCUACUCGAACUCAACUGACCUGGCUGAGCUGUGUUCAUAUACUAUGGGCGGAUAGAAAAAGUGGAUAGACUAAAAUUUUCAUGAUUAAAUAUUAGGUGAAGAAUCAUAGUCCUAUAUGAAUGGACUGGUGAAUAGAAUUUCGUGGUGAACAUAAUUUUAUAGAGAACUGAAAUGUUCACAAUUUAUUAUUAGAUGUAGACAUUUAAUGUGACGGGUGAUAAACUUUACCGCUCGCAACCAAACACGCCCUUAAAGAGACCGUGGAUAGUCAAGAAACAUGAACAGUAGAGGAGCUCGCUCACUCUCUAAUGGGCACCUUGGCCCUUGAUAGAAAGUGAGGAAAAAAAAAAGACAUCAUCAAUUAAGCCCGUGGACCAUCACAAUGAGGCCGUCUCUGUCUUCUGUCCUCCACAGUCCACACCACACUAGAGCGUCCGGACGCCGGCCGGGAGAUAAUGCGGACAUGAUCUUUGCCUUUUGCUGUAGCAUCACGAUAAUCCUCCCCUUCAACCUGUUCCAACGGCUGUAGCAGCCCGGAAUCAGGGAAGGCUCCUCGGCUGGAUCCGUUAGUUGCCUUGACCACGGGCGGAUCCGGCCGGCGCGGCGCUGCGACAAAGGGCGGUCGUGAUUCGCGACACCAGCGGUGGCCGGUAACUCCUCGGUGAGUUCAAUCUCGCGCUAGCUCUUCGUGCCCAUCCGAAUAGUUCCUAUAUUCUAGCUAGAGUUCUAGCACUUUGUGCCUUACUUUUGGUUUUGGGUCAGUAUGCAUCCGCAGCACAGCUGCCUCACUCCUUAGCGCGUUCGUCCAGGACAGAUCCAUGGCGGUAGUGACUGGGGCUCUGCCAAGCGUCCUCGCCAAGCUCGGCGAUCUUCUCAUCGGAGAGUAUAAGCUGCAAAAGGGCGUCAAGGGGGAGAUCAUUUUCCUCAAAGCUGAGCUCGAGAGCAUGAAGGGCGCACUCGAGAAGCUCUCCAGUAAACCGGCAGACGAGCUUGACAUUCAGGACAAGAUCUGGGCCAAGGAUUUGAGGGAGCUCUCCUAUGAUAUAGAGGAUAGUAUCGACACGUUUAUGGUGCGUGGCAAAGCCAGUCAGUCGGCCAAGCUGCAUGGCAUCAGGAAGUUUAUUGACCGAAGUGUCGGUUUGUUCAGAAAGGCAAAGAUUCGCCAUGGGAUCGCUACUGAGAUUAGAGACAUCAAGAGCCGUGUUGUAGAGGUGCACGAGAGGCGUCGCAGAUAUGAUGUCAGCCUCGGUGUUGAUAAGCCUAGCACAGCUGCUGUGGACCCACGUUUAUUUUCUCAGUACACAGAGAUUGAAGAGCUUGUUGGCAUUGUCGAGACAAGAGAUGAGCUAAUCAAUAUCGUGAUGGAAGAGAAUGAAGUGCCCAUUCAGAAAGGCAAGAUAGUUACCAUUGUUGGAUUUGGUGGGUUGGGAAAAACUACUCUUGCUCAUGCAGUUUUUGACAAGAUUAGACCAGGAUUCGAUUGUUGUGCUUCUGUAUCAGUCUCUCAAACUCCUGAUUUGAAGAAAUUGUUGAAGGGCAUCCUGUAUCAGCUUGACAAGAAGUAUGAGGACAUCAAUGAAAAACCAUUGGAUGAGGGUCAGCUCGUCAAUGAACUAAGAAAAUUCCUUCGACGCAAAAGGUAUGGAAGCAUUCCUGCCAUCAAUUUGUACAUGGAAAGAAUUUUUUUGUCCUCCAGUAUUUUAGGGCCUCCAAUACGUUUCGUAACACUAAUUGUACAUACAGUUAAUGAGAAAUGUGCUUGCUGUUGUGGUUAAACAAAAAAACAACCAGUAGAGCCUUUUUAAUCACUAUUCUGGCAAGUAAAAGCAAUGCCAACAAUAACUCUCAGCUUCCAGAGUGCCUUGGUAAAGAUUUUGAGUGGACAUAUUUAAUUUGCCCACAGACUUGAUAAUCGAGUAGACCAUAGCUAACUUUGUCUAAUUAUUACUAGUAUUCUAUAAAGCGUGCACAACGUCUUAUAUGAGCAAUAUCAGAACUUUCUGUCCUAAUUUCAUUAGUUUUUCUUGCUAAUAAUAACCUACCAUAUCUAUAGGUAUUUCAUUGUUAUUGAUGACAUAUGGGAUAUCUCAGUCUGGAGAAUGAUCAAAUGUGCUUUGCCUCAUAGCGAUGCUGGAUACAUAAUUAUUACAACCACACGUAAUUCGGAUGUUGCUGAAAAAGUUGGUAGUCCUUAUAACAUGAAACCACUUUCUCAGAAUAACUCCCGAAAAUUGUUGUACAAAAGAAUAUUUGGUAAUGAAGGGAAAGACAACAAUGAAGAUAUAGAAAAAUGUCCCGAUGCAGAGUUAACUGAAGUAUCAGAGAGGAUACUAAAGAAAUGUGCCGGUGUACCCUUGGCUAUUAUUACAAUGGCUAGUCUACUCGCUUGUAAACCAAGAAAUAAGAUGGAUUGGUAUGAGGUGUGCAACUGUAUUGGUACCGGUCUUGAGAACAGUAUAGAUGUGGAGAAUAUGAGAAAGAUCUUAUCAUUUAGCUAUUAUAAUAUGCCGUCCCAUCUGAGGACUUGUUUAUUAUAUUUUAGCGUAUUUCCAGAAGAUUAUAAAAUAGAAAAACAUCGUUUGAUAUGGAUGUGGAUAGCUGAAGGCUUUAUCCAAUGUGAGAAACAUGGGGAGUCCUUAUUUGAUCUAGGGGAGAGUUACUUCAAUGAGCUCAUAAGUAGAAGUAUGAUCCAACCCAUACAUGGUUAUAAUAAUGAUACGAUAUAUGAAUGUCGUGUACAUGAUAUGGUGCUUGAUCUUAUAUGCUCCUUGUCAAGUGAAGGAAACUUUGUUACUAUAUUAAAUGGUACAGAUCACAUACCUCCAUCAAAUACGAUUCGGAGGUUAUCCCUUCAAAAUGGCAAGGAGCAUCUUUCUGAAACUCUGGAAACCAAGAGGUUGCAACAAGUAAGGUCAGUUGUUGUCUUUCCAUCUGGCAUUAGUUUGAUGCCAGUUAUUAGGAGUUUCCACUUUCCAUCUGCCAUUAGUCUAAUACCGGUCUUUAGGAGCUUCCAAGUUUUACGCGUACUGGACUUACAAGAUUGUGAUCUUUCGCAAGGUUAUGGUCUCAAGUACCUUGGGAACCAAUUUCACUUGAGGUACCUAGGACUAUGUGGCACAAGCAUUGCGCAACUGCCUGAAGAAAUAGGAAGCUUGCAGUUUUUACAAAUAUUGGAUGUACGGAGAAAUAAACUCUCAUGCUUGCCAUCAACUGUUGUUCAGCUGAAACAUUUGAUGUGCCUGUACACCGACUUGUCAAUCAGAGUGCCAAAUGGGAUUGGGAGCUUAACAAGACUUGAAGAGAUGUCGGAACUAUUAAUUGAUGACUCCAACAUGGACAUCCUAGAAGAAUUGGGAUGGUUAUCGGAGCUAAGAGUGCUGCGUAUUGCCUUGGGCGGAUGGAACAACAAUCUGGUGGAGUGCCUAGGCAAGCUGCAAAAGCUCCGCGAGCUUAGUGUCUGGGCUCGCGGUGGUCAAACCAACAUUGGUGGAUUGGAUGCCUGGGUUGCCCCUAGACAUCUCUUUAGUCUGUCGACACGGUGGGGCUGCUGGUUCUCAACCCUGCCAGCAUGGAUUAAUCCGUCGCUUGUGCCGGACCUCUCCAAGAUAUUCAUCGGCAUAAGGGUACUACAGCAGGCCGAUCUGGAUAUACUUGGGAGGUUGCCUGCUCUUUGCUAUCUAGAGAUGCAGGUGGAGCAUGAGGAUCUUGGAAUCCCUAGUGGAUUCCUCGUUGGUGCGGAUUCAUUCCCCUGCCUUUUAUCCUGCGAGUUCCGGGGAUUUGUCAGGCCUGUAUUGUUUCAGCAGGGAGCUAUGCCGAGGCUGAGAACGCUUUGGUCCUGGUUUUCUGUACGAGGGGCGAGAGAAAUCGCCAACAGCUAUGGUGGUCUCGACUUGGGCUUGAUGAACCUGCCAUCGCUCCAGAAGGUUAGCGUUGGAUUGGAUUGCAAUGGCGCUAAUGAUGAGGAAGUGAAGGAAUUGAGAGCUGUGCUGAGCCAUGGUACUAAAAUCCAUCCUAAUCGUCCACGCCUUUGGAUAAAUAGGAAAGCGGUUAAAGAUACAGGUGUGGUUCCUCCCAUAUUUACAAAAUCCAUUUUAUUGAUUGAUCCUAUCAUCCUUUCCCUAUCCACUUUUUAACCUUAAUCCUUUUUUCUGCUUCUAUCUCUGUUUCAGAUAAUGAGUGAAUGACUGGUGUUACGGCGUGCCUUGCUGCGGAGGAAGUAUGGAGGGGAGACAGGGAGGUUAGGGCGCCCUGAUCUGCGGCGUGCCGGAGCCGUGGCUGGGAGGCAGCAGAUCGGGACAGAGGUAGGAGGAGACGCCAGGCGCUCUAGGGAGAUAUAAUCUCAAUCCUGGGCUAAGCCCUUUUCAUUAAACCGAGUUGAACUCUUAUAGUCUUUUACAUAAUAGGAAAUCUGAGUUUCCAACAAACUCUAUCUAAUAACCCUCUGUAAAUAGAAUUAAUAAUUAAGACUUCUAAAAGUCUAAUAACUGAGAGUCCUAGAAACAAGGGACUCAACUCCCUGGGCGUGAUCAGCCACCUGAUCAGCCACCCAGCGCCCUAUCCCUUCUACUAUAGACGUUGCCAGUCAUAACAACUGGACUGGGCAAAAGAUUUCUAAUUAUGCAGCUCCAGUCCAUCCCAAUCGGCCAAUCAUUGAGGUAGCGACAUUAAAAUCACAAAGUGCGCUGGGCUACAAUUGUUUCCAUGUCUCCCUAAAUAAAAUAUCCCUGCUUCAAGUUCACCUCCCUGCAGCCUGCAAUAGCUAAUGAAGUUGCAACACUUAAACAGACUUCUUUUUUUCUAAAAAAAUGGUGUCAUUUAAUCUCAGUGACAUUUAGAGAGAUGGAGGCCCACAGUUUUUAACUAAAAUGAUACUAGCACUAAAUUGACAGAAUCAGCUGUUUGAAUGUCAGGUAAAUGAUUAUGAUCAGUUGCAGUCUCAUGUGAUGGAGAGUCCCAGUUAAGGUGUAAUGUUUUGCCAAUUAUACUUGAAUGAUAAGCUCAGUUAAGGUGUAUGUUUUAUGCACGCAUGCUGCUAACUUGGAGGCCUUCAUAGCCUGCUAAUUAAUUCUUAUCAAACACUUGUUAGUGAUGUGAAUUAUACUUUUUGUUGCCCUAAAAAAAAAGUUUUCGUCUCACAUUCAGAUUCACCUCCCCGCAAUAUCCAACUUGUGAGUUAAGUUAAAACCACUAAACUGAAUAUGAACACGGUUAUGAGGUGUAUUUUGUGCAUGCUUGCUACUAACUUGGAAGGCAUCAUAACAAGCUCAAUUUCGCUUCUCAUUUAGAUCGUUUCUUCCCAUGUGUUGCAGGGACAGUGGGAGUCCAGGAGACCUUGCCUUUGGCGAAUGGUAGUACAAUUGGAAGUGUGUUGCAACAAGUCACUUGAACGUCUGUUAAAAAAAAACAAAAAGAAUGUUACACAUACAGAUUAUAUCUGUACAUUUCUCAGUACUGAUGUCUGCUUACAAAGAAGUACAAGUUAGCAGCAACUGUGCACAAAAACACCUCAUAACAGUGCUCAGAUUGUACCUGUACAUUUUUUGGUUGCCUGAUCCUCUUGCGACUCAUUGUUCCUCUGUUGUAUUGCCUGGUCUAGGUUUUUCUUUUUUAAUAAAACCACCAGCUCUCCUGCUUGAUUCUUUUCAAAAAAUAUAUUUUGCUUACUCUGCUGUCGAAGGCGUGUUGCAAAACUUGCAAGCCAGUAAAUACAGGGCACGAAAGAUAUAUAGCUCUGCAAUUGCAACUCUAGUCUUGGGAAUCUUUUUUUUUUGUUUAGAUUUCAGAUUCUAUCAACAAAAUGUUGUGAUAAUUUCCAUAGUUUCUACUACAUUGCAUGUAUUGCACAGUUUGUUCACAGUAGUCUACCCUUGACGAAAAAGGUGAAAUUUGCGUUGAUUUUCCAGCUUGUGGAAUUGGUCAUGUUGUGAGCUAGUGAGACGGCAGUCUGUUGUAGCUACGAAGCAUAUUGUUGCAGCUAGGGAUGAAAAUGGUACGGAUAUUUUCCGACCGUAUUCGAGACCGAAUUCAUUUAGAGGGGUUGAGAUCUGUCCGUAUCCGAGUCCGAAUGUUUAAUAUCCGAUACCGUAUCCGUAUCCGAAUAUUUAAAUCGUAUAUUUAUGAUGUCGACAUCCAAUCGUAUCUUAUCCGACAUUGUUGAUAUUAUCCGUAUUCGAAUCCGAAUCCGACCAAAAAUAUGAAAACAAAUAUGAUAUCAGUGAUAUCCGUUCGUAUCCGAUCCGUUUUCAUCCCUAGUUGCAGCUACGAAGCAUGCUCUGUUUCUAUGUGCUCUGUUCUGUGCCCAUGACACAUUAAAAUCUGGACCACAGAGUGGGGUGCCAUAUAUUGUGGAUGAGAUAAAAAUCAUAUGGCAGUACAACAAUCCCAGCUUUCUUUCUGGUGCCAGUGCCAUCAGUCACUGAUGCCAGUUAAUUGAUUAUUUAACUCAUCACUCACUGAGGCCAGUUAAUUAAUUUUUAAGCAAGCAUAGUAACUGGGAAGUUGGGCCUUGUUUAGUUCCAAAACUUUUUGCAAAAUGGACACUGUAACAUUUUCAUUUGUAUUUGAUAAAUAUUGUCCAAUUAUGGACUAACUAGGCUCAAAAGAUUUGUCUCGCAAAUUACAGGUGAACCGUGUAAUUAGUUUUUAUUUUUGUUUAUAUUUAAUACUUCAUGCAUGCGUCUAAAGAUUCGACGUGACAGAAAAUCUGAAAAAUUUUGCAAAUUUUUUUAGGAACUAACAAGGCCUGGUCUACUCCACCACCAAAUCCAUCCGUAGAAAAAGGUGGGAGAGGGUACCUUUUAUAUUCUACUUAAUCCCCUCCAACAAUUGUCUGAGACAAGAAGUUCCUAAUUAACAACAUCUCCCUUUACCCCUUUUUGCAGAUUGUACUCCCCGAUGAGGAGAUCACCGAGCUUGGUUAUGACGCGGGAGUUGUUAGAAUAGAGGUCAUUCCCUGCAGCAGCAUGGGCGAAAUGCAUGGUCCACGUCGCGUCCGUAGUAGAGUCGUCGUGUGUAGGAAGCCUGGCGCCGAGACCGGGGCUCGGGCGAGGCGUCGAUUGCGCUCGAGAUCGGGGCUCGGGCGAGGCGUGGAUUGCGCUCGAGACUGGGGCUCGGGUGAGGCGUUGAUUGCACUCGAGACCGGGGCUCGGGCGAGGCAUGGAUUGCGCUCGAGACCAGGGCUCGGACGAGCCAUGGAUUUUGUCCGGGACCAAGGCUUGGACGAGUCACUUAUUGCUUCGAGCGAGUUGUGGGUAGUGUUCCGUUCGACUAGGCCUCUCUGUUGGGCCGAGAGGAAGUGGGUCUUCCUUUGCCGCUUUUCCCCCUCUUGAUUUGAGUAUCCUGGUUCAUGGUACCCGGCAUAUAGCUUUAUUAUGCACAAUCAUAUAGGUCAUAUUAUGAAGAAUAAACUUAGUGAGUUGAUAUAUCCGACAGUUUGUUUACAUAUUUAUAAUUUUUAAUACUAUUUUAGGAUGAAUCAAAAUCUGCAGUAGUGAUGCAGUUCUUUGUUUUUCAAAAAAUUGUUAGCAAAAAGAACUCUUGAACAGCUACAACAUGGAGCCUUCACAUGUGUAUGUAUGUAUAAACUGAAACCUGCAUGGCUGCUUCAAGGUCUCUUCACAUCCACAUCCAAGCAGGGAGUUAAAAUUGUAAAAUUUAUCACAACCAGUUCAAUGGUGAGUGGAUUACCUUUGAGAAUUCCUUGAUGUAAACUUGUUUACAAUGCCAAAUCAAAAUGAAUUUUAGAUAAACGUCAACAGAACCAGAUAACUGGAUACAUAGAAAGAUUCGUUGGAGUCAAACUUCCACUUUAAUUGGAUACACAUUAAUAGGAUUUGUCUUACUCUUAGCAGUGCUCGACCUGCCCUUUAGGGCAAAAUUAUUUAUAGAUGGAUCUUUCCGAGUUAUAGCAGUAAGACCUGCUUCCGCAGCUAACCAGAUAAUUUUCAAUUGCUCAUUACUUUUAAGCUUAUAUGUGCAAUUUUUUACAAACUACAACUGCUAAGGAGAUAGCCAGUCGGUCCCCAGCACAGAAGUUUUGAGUUUAUUUGUUACACGAAUGAAACAUAUAUUUUUGUCUUUCAGUUUUCAGUUUUUUUAUAGGAUUUAGAAGUCACUUUGUACAAUGUUUGGGUCAAACAUUAAAAAUAUAAAUCAUCAAUAACUUUUAAAUUAUUGACUUUGCAAAUGUGAAAAUUAUAUGAAUAGAUUUGUCUUGAAUAUAUAUAUAUAUAUAUAAUUUUUUCUAAUUUUUUUUAUAAAAAUAAGAGGUCAAAGUUGUAUUUUAGAGACCGUGUCACUGUCCUAAAUGACUUCUAAAUUCUAUAUGGAGAGAGUAAUAACUUCAGAUUUGAUGAUUUUUCUUGUUUUUUUAAAUCAUGUUCUAGCAAUUUGUUACAUUCUUACAACUAUUAUUUUAUCUAUCUUUUCAUGUGACCAUGUUUUAUUUAUUUAAAUUUUGAAUUUCAAAAAAAUGACAACUUCAAACGUUAUUUUGGAACACUAAAUGGUUUCAGCUGAAAAAUUCAUGAACGUAGAAGUUAUAGAACUUAUCAAGAUCUACAACUUUUAUUUUGGUCAUUUCUUCAUCCGAUAAAGUGAUGGCAACAUUGUUCACAAAAUUUACAUGUCUCUCCUAUAGUUUCAUAGACUAUGAGAGGGAUGUGUGAUAUUUGUGAACAAUGUUACUACCACUAUGUCAGAUGAAUACAUAACUAAAAUAAAAGUUGUAAAUCUUAAAAAGUUAUGCAACUUUAUAGUUGAUAAUUUUUUUUAUUUGAAAUCAUCUUAUCUUGGAAAACAAAGUUUAAAUUCGUAAAAAAAUGAAUUUUGACUUUUUUAAAUGACCUUGGAUGGAGAAACUUCUAAAAUAAAAGUCAUAGAUCUCGGAAAGUUAUGAAAAUUUUUAGUUGAUAACUUUUUUAUUUAAAAUAAUUUUGUCAAAGAAAACAAUAUUUGAAUUUCCAAAAAAUUUUAAAAUUUGAAUUUUUAAAACGAUCACAGAUGGACAAACAACAAAAGAAAAGUUGUAGAUUUUAAAAAGUCAUGAUGCAUUGUUAUUUGAAAUCACAUUGUCAUGAAAAAUCACGUUUGAAUUUCUUAAAUUUGAAAUUCAAAUUUUGUAAAUUAUGUCAGAUGGAGAAACUACCACAAUAAAAGUUGAAGAUCUCCAAAAGUUAUAAAACUUUGUAGUUAACAACUUUUUCAUUUGAAUUGGUUUAAGGCUCCAAAUACUUAUUUUAAAAUCAGAUGAAUAUAAAAUGGCUAGUUCGAAAAUCUCAUUUGGACACAAACAUGUUACUGGCAGAGUGGUUAGAGGCUGAAGACGUGCAGCAGGAGGUUGGGGGUUUAGGUGCUUUAUGGCUAUCUAUGGUGGGUCCUCUUCUAGUAAUAAUUAUUGUACUAUCGGUUUAAAAUCCAGCAGUGAUGGGUUUUUUGAAUCAACAAUGAUGUGAAGAUAUGGAGUAGUGCAAGUGUGCUGCUAGCCUGCUACCACACGUAUUUAAGGACAAACUUAGAAAAUUUUGAUUCAUGAUGACUCGUAUUUAAGGACAAAGAGAGUAGUUCCAGUUUCCUAAUAUUUUUUUUUUCUAAAAAUGCAGGACAUAGUCUCAUUGUGCUCCUACUUUUAAAAUUUUAAUUAAAAAAAUUUAGUGUAGAGGUUGCAAUUAAUUGCAGGUUGCAGCGAGGUGAAUCUGAAGCUGAGGAACAGGAGAAAUUAAGGUUUGCAAAAGAGCGAAAGGAAAGAGGCAAGGCAACAAUAAAGAACAACAUUUGUAGGCAGCACACUUUUAUGUGGCCCACGCCCACCUCAAAGCAUUGGAUGAUCCAAGGGUGGCCGAUCGAAACGAUGGCCUCCUUCCUUGCCACAUCAGCAACAAAUACAAACAGACUCUGCAAUAAAUACAUUAUUAUAGUAUACAAAUUCUCCCUUCUCAAUUACUCCGCGGUGCUCGGCGCAUAAUUUUUUUUUUUUUGAAAAGAAUCGAACAACAGAGCUGCUGAUUUCAUUAAAAAUGAACAACCUAGUUGAGUCGUUGAAACUGAACUCACAAGUUGGAUGUUGCAGGGAACAUCAUUGCCCUUGGCUGCAAUCUCAUAUCCAAAAUGUCCCAGCAGCACAAAACAGAGCAUAUAAAACAGAGCAUGCCGUCACUAGUGCCCAGUAAAGUAACCUAAUUGCCAUUGGCUGUAACCAUUUUGGAAAAAAAGAAAGAAAGAAUGUCCAGACUAAUCACCAUGCAUACUGGCAUCUAUGUCUGAUGACCAUAGCCACAGGCUGGAAAUUAACAUGAAACGGGAUAGACUCCUGAAGAUCCAAGUGACCAUACAUAAUGUGGAAUCGGUUCAAUGUACUGAAAGCUAUGCAAAUGAAUUUGCUUUUUGACAGCUUCGAGUAUCCAUACAAAUUAUGAUAGAUAAAUAAAUAAAUAAAUAAAAAGAAGUAUCCAUACCAAUUGCACUCAACAGGAACGUAAACAGACCCUGCGAACUUUUAGGCAUCCUGUGACCUGUGGAAAGUAACCACAAAUUGGUGCCAACAAGUUCCGGUUCCAACAAACAAUGUUAGCGAGCUCUGGUCCCAACUCUUCCUCACCGGAAUAACCUUGUGUUCAAUCUAUUGUUUCCUGGUCUCCAGGCCACCGACUGUAGAUUUGUGAAUUGUGAGCCCAACUCUGCCAGUGAAACAGAGGAUUCUUUGUUUAGGGAAACAGGCGGGAGAAAUGGCGAAGUGAAAGGACAGAAAGGCAAGAGAGAAGAGUUGUAGCCAGCGAUUUUUUCAUCUGUUCGUGUCGCAUACCUCAAUGUGCUUGGUGAAUUAUGAUGGGCUGCGGUUGCAUGUAGAGGAACAGAUAUCUUUUCUCUGGGACAUCAUUCAUUCAUCUGAAACAGAGGGCAGAAAAAGAACCAAUUAAUCUCACAAGAAAAGGAAACGGACACGAAGCAAUACGGACGAAUUUGAGCAAGCAGCACCUUGGUCUUCAGAGCAUCCGUCUAUUAAAAGCCUGGGACGAUUGGGAUGAAUUUUACUGGCAUGCCACAGCUUAGCCUUCAAUUUCUUCACCUCCUCCUCACUAGCGCCUUCAGAGUCCAACAAAAAAAAGAUAUACUGGAGGGAUGGCAAGAUACCCAGGCCAAAAUCGAGACCAACAACACCGUCGCUGCUGCCGAUUUCAAUGGCCUCCCGCACAAAGAACCCAGAGCAAAGGGUUCUGAGCCUUGGCAUAGCUCCCUGCUGAAACACUAUGGGUCCCACAAAUCCACGGAAGUCGCAGUAUCUUAGGCAUGGGAACGAACCAGCACCAAUGACAAAUCCCCCAAAGAUUCCGAGUUCAUCAUGGCCCACAACCAGAUUUAGUUGACGGAGAGCAUGUAAGUUCCCAAGUAUGUCGAGAUCACGCUGCUGUACCUCCCUUACGGCGAUGGAUAGGAUGGAGAGGCACGGCACAUGUGAUGGAUUCAUCCACUCUGGCAGCGUUGAGAACCAGCAGACCGACUGUAUACGCAAUCUACGGAGACAUCGAGGGGCGACCCAGGCAUCCAAUCCACCGAUGUUCUUUUGAUGCUGCGGGACCCAGAAAUAAAGGUCUUGGAUGUUUUGCAGCUUUGGUAGGCACUCAACCAGCUUGUCGUUCCAUUCAUCCAAAGUAAUCUCCAGUACCCUCAGUUCUGUUAGCUGACCCAACUCUUCUAGAAUGUGGAUAUUGGAGUCAUCAACGCGUAUAUGUGACAGCACUUCCAGGCUUGUUAGGCUCCCUAUACUAUUUGACACCCUCGUUGAACCUUCAAUCUUCAGGCACAUCAAAUGUUUGAGCUGAACUACAUUUGAUGGCAAGCAAGCAAUUUGAUUUUCCUGUAUAUCCAGUAUUUGUAGAAAUUUCAAGUUUCCUAUUUCUUCAUGGAGCUCCACAAUGCCUGUGCUUCAUAGUCCUAGACUCCUAGGUACCUCAAGUGAAAUAGAUUCCCAAGACACUUAUUAAGGUUGUAACCUUGUGAAAGAUCACAACAUUGUAAAUCCAUCACUCGUAAAACUUGGAAGCUCCUGAGGACUGGUAUUAUUAGACUACUGUCUCGUAGCGGGACAACAAUUGACCUUACUUGUUGCAGGCUCCUAGUUGCCAGAGUCAUAGAAUCAUCUUCCUUGCCAUUUUGAAUGGAUAACCUCCGAAUCUUACUUGAUGCAGACAUUUGGUCCAUACCAUUUAGUAUAGUUACAAAGUUUGCUUCACUUGACAAGGAGCAGAUAAGAUCAAGCACCAUAUCAUGUACACGACAUUCAUAUACAUUGCUAGAGACGCCAUAUAUGGGUUGGAUCAUACUUCUGUUUAUAAGCUCAUUGAAGUAAUUCUCUCCAAGUUCAUACUGACUCUUUCCUUGUUUCUCACAAUGGAUAAAGCCUUCGGCUAUCCACAUCCAUAUCAACCUAUCUUUUUCAACUUCGUAAUCUUCUGGAAACAUACUCAAGUAUAAUAAGCAAGUCCUCAGAUGGGAUGGCAUAUUAUAGUAGCUAAACGACAAAAUCUUUCUCAUAUUCUCAACAUCAAGAUUAUUCUGGAGACCAGUACCAAUAGAAUGGUAUACCUCAUACCAAUCCAUCUUAUUUCGAGGUUUACAAGCUAGCAGACUAGCCAUUGUAAUAAUAGCCAAGGGUACACCGGCACAUUUCUUUAGUAUUCUAUCAGAUACUUCGGCCAACUCCUCGAUAGGGCAUUUUCCCAUGUCUUCAACAUUGUUGUUGUUUUCAUUACCAAAUACUCUUCUGUACAAUAAUUUCCUCGAGUUAUCCUCAGGGCUUUCAACUUGUAAGCACCACCAACUCUAUCAGCAACAUCAACAUUACGUGUAGUUGUAAUGACUGCAAAUCCAAUAUCAUUUUCAGGCAAAGCACAUUUGAUCACUUCCCAGACUGAGACAUCCCAUAUGUCAUCAAUAACAACAAGAUACCUAUAAAUACAUAGGAAACUAUCAGUAAAAAGCAACCUUGGAAGGAAAAACAUUUACAAUCAAUUUGAUUAAGCAACAUACACCUUAAGCUGAAAUCGUUAGGUCCAACAGGAUUAACAUGUAAAAAUAGUCAUUUUGGACAAGGUUUGAGUAAACAUUGGGAAUAUAAAUCAUGAAUAACUUUUAAGUAAUUGAGUUUAGAAAUAUGAAAAUCAUAUGAAUAGAUUUGUCUUAAAAAAUACUUUUAUAAACUUAUACAUAUACCAUUUUUUAAUAAAUAUUUUAUAAAAACAAGGAGUCAAAGUUAGGCCUAAACAACUUUCUUUAUGGGUGUGGAGGGAGUAUGUAAACAAAAUUGUUCCCUAAUAAUAUAUGUUUGCCAAAUAAAAAAUAAUUCCACUGGGGAAUAGAAGAUUGUUCCCAUUGCUAUUUAAUUUCCACUCAAUAACAACGUGAAAAAUAUUCUGGUUGCUUUUUUUUAUUUUACCAUGUCACGAAUGAACAUUCCUUACUGACCAUGUGCAUCGUAAGAUAGAACUUCAUAUGUACAAAUUGCUGUCAGGAAUGCUUCCAUACCUUUUUGGUAUAAGGAAUUCUCUAAGUACAUUGAUGAGCCGCCUCUCAUCCAAUGUUUCUGCAUUGAUGUUCUUGUCAAGAUCAUAGAGCAAUUCCUUGAAUAAUUUCUUCAAGUCAGGUGUUUGGGACACCGAAAUAAAAGCACAACAAUGAAACAGUGAUCUAAUCUUCUCAUACACUACUUUGGCAAGAGUUGUUUUUCCAAGGCCUCCAAAUCCAACAAUGGAAACUACCUUGCCCUGCUGAAAGGGCACUCCAUUUCCAUCCAUCAGUACCUUGAUUAGCUCAUCUCUCGUCUCAUCAAUUCCGACAAGCUCUUUUGCCUCUUUGAACUGAGCAAAUAAACGAGGGUCCACUACAGUAGUUGUGGUAGGCUUAUCAACACCAUUGUUAACAUUAUACCUAAGACGCCUCUCAUGUACCUCUACAACACGGCUCUUGAUGUCCCUUAUCUCAGUACCAAUCUCGUGGCGAAUCUUAGCCUUUUUGAACAAGCCAACACUUCUAUCAACAAACUUUUUGAUACCAUGCAGCUUGGCUGACUCAUCACUCUUGCCACACACCAUGAACGUGUCAAUGUUGUCCUCUAUAUCAUAGGAUAGCUCCCUCAAAUCCCUUGCCCAGAUCUUGUCCUGAAUGUCAAGCCGGUCUAGCGGCGUGUUGGAGACCUUCUCGAGGGCACCCUUCAUGCUCUCAAGUUCAGAUUGGAGAAACUUGAUCUCCCCCUUCACCCCCUUCUGCAGAUUGUACUCACCAGCAAGCAGCUCGCCGAGCUUGGUGAUGACACUUGGCAGCGCCCCUGUCACAACCUCCAUCCUUUUUUCAAGCUAGCGUGAGUGAGGAGACCGCUGUGCAAGUCUGCCGCUCACCUGCAGUAAAGUAAGCAGCGGCAUGGGGAGUCACAUGGAUUGUGAACAAGAGAAUGCAACAGCUUGUGAAGUUGAUCUUGUGAAAAAACAAAAAGCAGAUCGAUGGAGACCAAUUUUACUAACUCACCGCUCACCAGAUGGUUGCGAAGGGAGCCGAUGGUGAACGCUGGAUCAAGCUGUGCUUGUGGCCAGAUCGAUGGGAUCUGGCUUGAUUUUGAGUUUUGAAUCUGCCCCGGUGUAGCCACCCAGCAGCUCACUUCUCAGUGCCCUAGAUUCGAAGUUGGAACCUGAAGAGGAUGGAGCCCGACUCGAUGGAGGAGCAGCAGCAGGGAUUGCUAGUGGUUAUUGAACAGCCAGCAACUAGGCGUCUGGACUUCACAAUGGCCACACAAACACGCUCAGUCUGCGAGUCUGCAGGUCAAGGUAAGAGUGUUGGAUGCCAUCAAUCAACUAGCUAAGAGUGAUGAACAGACACAUAGAACUUACGCAUGUGAUUUACCACUUAACACGAGCGUUUUUAUACUGUGAUGAACAGUAAAGACGUAGAUAGAAAGAGAAUUAGUAAGACGCACCGAUCGCUGCAGGAUACGUAUGGAGAUGCUGCCGAUUUUCCAAUUCAGCCGCUGCUCGUGGCUGAAUCACCCAGUCCCUCACUCGCUCGUCGCUGGAUCACACACUCACUGCAAGUCUGCAGUGCAAAGUGCGCUGAGAGGUGAGAGCUUUCUGGAUGGGAUCUGGCAUGAAGAGGAGGAAGAGCCUGGUGAGACUAAGGGUGGGAGUCAUUAAUUAAUUAUUAGAAGGGUGAAUUAACAUCAAGCACAGUACUCCCUCUGUCCCUAAAAGCUUUAACUUUUAGAGUUGUCUUAAGUCAAAUUUUUAAACUUUGUCCGAAUUUCUAGAAAAAAAAACACUAAGAUUUAUACUGUCAAAUUAAUACCAUUAAAUUUAUCAUAAAAUAUAUUUUUAUAAAAUACUUAUUUUAUGUCAAAGAUAUUGAUAUUAUUUUUUAUAAAGUUGAUUACACUAAAAAGUUUGACUCAGCUUUUAAGGACAAGGGAGUGUACUGGUAUUUUUUUUAGAUAAUGGAAAAUUCCAGCUUCAGCCUUCUUCUUAAAAGAAGAAGCAUCAGUCCAAAUUUAUUACAGUAGCACACCCAUAAUUAAAACUUAUUAUAGGUUCAGAAUUAAUGUUUAAGACGGUAAAUGAAAGACCAUCCAUGCGAUGCGAAGAACUCCAUGGCUCUCGAUUCUAGUAGCUUGCAAGCGUCACGAAUCCGUUCCUUGUCGUCAUCCGAGCGCUGCAACAGAGCCUAAAAUCGUAACCAGUGUGUCCCCCUGAAAAGAACCUGCAAAAAAGUUUUUGGGUGACCUUUGUCAAAAACCAUAUCGUUCCUUGUGAUCCAUAUUGCCCAGCAAAACGCCGCAGCCCCAGUUAAUAAUAGAUGAUUAUGAUUGGAUCCUCCUAGCUUUGACCAACUAUUGAAAAGAUGGUUCACGUUCCUUGGAGGAAAAAUACCAAACAAAACAAAUGCAGCACGCCAAAGAAAUCUGGCAUAAUGGCAAUCAAAAAACAAGUGUUGGAUAGUUUCAGGUGUGCUACAAAGACAACAAGCCUUACUCCCAUUCCAAUUCCUUUUAGCAAGGUUGUCUUUUGUGAGUACCACCCCCUUUUUUAAGAACCAAAGAAAAAUCUUAAUCUUCAAGGGCACUUUCAUAUGCCAAAUUUCCUGGGUAACCUUAAUCCCAUUAUUAACUAGGUAUUUGUACAUGGAUUUAACAGAAAAUAAGGCAUUAUUAUUUAAGUUCCAGACGAAAGUAUCCCGACCCUCAUUUAAAUUAAUAAAAGCAACUCUCGCAACUAGACUUUGCCAUUCCAACAACUUGUUCCCAACUAGUGCCCUUCUAAAAGACACAUUGAGAGGGGUGGAAUUAAGUACAUCAGCCACUGUUGCUUGUUUCUUGCGCACUAUAUUAAAUAAAUUUGGAUAUUGGAUUUUUAAGGGUUGGGAGCCCAACCAUUUAUCUUCCCAAAAUCUAAUUUGAGUUCCAUUGUCUAGUUUAAACUUCCCAAGACUUAAGAAAAUGUCUUUGACUCCCAACAAACUAAGGAAGGACCAAGUUGCUAUGAAGGCACACCUUGAUGGAGUUGGUGUAAGUGGCCGGCAGCAAGGUGUCGUUUUGUGCUCAGUACCCAUUAGGCCACUAGUCACAAACACUUGGUCCGUGUUGGUUUUGAGAUCGAAAUCACGCUUUGUUGAAUUUAAAAUAGAGCUAGGUAGCAUCCACUAGCUAGUAGUUUACAGCCGAGAGCUCUAUGAUUCAUGUUUUGGUCGGUCGUUCACUUUGGCUCGAUCCAUACUUUUGCAUAAUCUAUGUUUGUCUCAUAACUCGUUCAGUUUCAGACUAACUCCGUUACAAAGCAAGCCACCAUAUAAAAAACCAUUCUUUGCCGUGCUGUUUGGGACUUUGUGUUGCAGGUGCAGAUUCUUUUUUCUGCUGCACAAGGAGCAUAAUAAUGAUGACAAAUCAAAGAGGGUUGGUGCCUUGGUGGUGGUUCACCAUCUCCAUAUACGCAUCCAUGCAUUGAACAAUUUGUGCAAUCACAUCUUGGUCGUCACUCCCAAAUUGUAAAUCUCAAUAUGCACGUUUUUAUAGCUCCACUUGGUCGAAUAGCUAAGUUCACAGCAGCUCCAAAUAUAUGAUUUUUUUCUCAUUAUUUUCUUACAAAAGGUUUAAUGUUACGCUUCUCCAGAAAUAUACGAGUUCUUGAUAAGCUAACUGUGCAAUUGUGAGUGUUAGGAAAGGAAUGGCAGCACUAGUCAUGGUGGUACUUGACUCAUUCUCAGCUUCAGGUACUGCAUGCAUGGUAAACGACAUGUACAGUCUAUCAAACAGUAAGUAUCUCAUCUAGACUUGGCUCACUAAGGCAUACAUGUAAACAAACAACUAAAAGUAGUCUGGGGACUGACAGUGGGCUGGGUGUUCUUUAGGCCUUAUUUCACUAGUAGAAAAGAGUACAACGCCGACGGUCCCUUUUUAUACUACAGGCGGUUGUAGUGAUCACGCGCCUGUGGUGUAAAAAGGGUGGUGUCAGAACUACGAACUGUCUGUGAAGAUGCAUUUUCACAGGCAGUUUUCCUAACAAAACCGCCUGUAGAAAUCAUGUAUUUCUACAGGCGGUUCUCCUAAGAAACCGCCUGUAAAAAUCAUAUUUCUACGGUUUCUUAAGAAAGCCGCCUGUAGAAAUAAUUUGAAAUUAAAUUUUUUGAGUUUUUCAAAUGACCUUGUUUGAAAAAACUGUCAACAUGAAAGUUGUAGGUCUCGAAAAGUUAUGAAACUUUGUAGUUGAUAAUUUUUUCAUUUGACAUCAUCUUGUCGUCGAAAACUACGUUUGAAUUUCUUAAAUUUGAAAUUCAAAUUUUAUAAAUGACCUCGGAUGGAAAAACUUCCAAUAUAAAAGUUGUAGAUCUUAAAAAGUUAUGAAACUUUGUAGCUGACAACUUUUCCAUUAGAAUCCGUUUAGGGCCUCAAAUAAUUAAUAUAUGCUCGGUUUGAGAUAAUAUGUGGGGAACUAAACUCUAAUAUAGACACAAGUUAGUGAUAGGUGGAGUGGUAGAGGAGGCUACACACAAGGGCAAGGUCUUAGGUUCAAAUCUCACCGGCCGCGAAGCACGCGAUUUUACGCGAAAAGAAGCGAAUAGCCAAUGGGCCUUUCCUAUAAUUAAAAUCAUUUUUUUCUAUUUUUAAAAGUCGAUUUUGUAUUUUCUGUAAAAACAUUUCUACAUGCGGUCCACAUAACUGAACUGCCUGUAGAAAUUCAUUUCUACAGGCGUUUCUUAGUUACCGCCUGUAUAUUUGGCACAUUUCUACUGGCCUCCAGCACAGGCGGUGCUGAAAAACGCCAGUAGAAAUAGGUUUCCAGCCGUCUGUACAGUAUGUCUCUGUACUAGUGUUUAGUUCACCAUAAAAUCCAAAUUUUUUUGAAAGUUUCUAGUCAUAUCGAAUCUUGCGGCACCUACAUGGAGCGUUAAAUAUAGAUUAGAAAAAUAGUUAAUUAUACAGUUUGUCUGUAAUUUGCGAGAUGAAUCUUUUAAGCCUAGUUAGUCUAUGGUUGGAAAAUAAUUGCCAAAUACAAACGAAAGUGCUAAAGUACGCAAAAAAAUUUCAACCAGAGAACUAAACAAGUUUAUAGUGAACAUUAGUGGCAUAAUUUAAAGUGAAAACAAAACUUAUGACAACGUAUUGGCCUGGUCUUACUGUAGUACUGAGUGUGAACAUAAGUUUAAAGCGAACAUUAGUUGUAUAAUUGCAUUAGCCGUUUGAUCAAGUGGGAGAAUGUUGGAAUAUGAACGGCUCGGCUACCCAAACUUAAUUAUAUUAAUUAAAAGUUAAUCUUUGAUUCACCCACUGGUCAUUAAUUGUAACUAAAUAAGCAUUGUCGUGAUCGGUGACAACCCUUAGAAUUCUAAGGAUUCACCUGGCCCACGAUGCAUUAUAAAUAAGAGAGGUGCCGCUAGUGUCAAAAUCACUCCAAACCACAUAACUUUUCACAUAACCGAUCACUUAGGCACUGGAGGGUUUAGGAAGCUCUGUAUCCCGUCCAAUACACCGCCGGUGGUCCAAAAGGCCGCUGCUACCUGGCAUGAUGAGUUCAUCACCUGCAGAGGGUUCCCAAACCCUCAGCCCGUGAUCUACAUUCAUCUACACCAUCGUCAACGACUGCAUCACCACCGCCGGAGGCACUAAUGGCGACCACCAAUACUGGUCUCGCACUAUUUACUAAAGGCUUUGUUUAGUUCCGAAAAAAUUUCGGAUUUCGCUACUGUAGCAUUUUCGUUUUUAUUUGACAAAUAUUGUCCAAUCAUGAACUAACUAGGAUCAAAAGAUUCGUCUUGCGAUUUACAGACAAACUGUGUAAUUAGUUUUUGUUUUCGUAUAUAUUUAAUGCUUCAUGCAUGUGUCGCAAGAUUCGAUGUGACGGGAAAUCUUGAAAACUUUUUGGAUUUCGGGGUGAACUAAACAAGGCCUAAGUAUUUCCACAUUAGAUGAGUUGUGGUCUUGAGUUAGACUAUGUAUAAGAUCCUAUAAUCAUGUGCUAUACGUUUUAUGAUAAAGUUAAUUUCAAUAAGCUCCACAAAUUACUCAUUCUUUUAUAGUUAGAUGAUGGUUGAUUUGAUUUGAUGAUUGACGAUUGAUGAUGACAUGGACUAAUUACUGGGUCACCAGCCCCGCCCACAACCUGAGCGCCAAAGUACAACCAACGACGGUGGCGAAGAAUAAGGAUGAAAACAGAAAUGAAAAUUCCCGACCGAAUCGCAUCGUUUUCUACAUUUGAUCCGAUCGUUUUCACUUUUCUCGGAAUAAUUCGAAAACGGUACGAAAUUCGGUAGACAAAUUCGAAAACGGUGCGGAAUUCGAAAUAGGCUUAUUUCGACCGUUUUCUACUUUUCUUCAUUAUAUUCGAAAUUAUCCGUAUUCAAAAUGCGAAAAUAACCGAAUUUGGCCCAUAAUCUGUAGUGUGUAGUCCCCCCUCCCCCACUACCACUGCCAGACUUUUCCUUUCCGGCCCGGCCCAGUAACACAAGUACACAACCCUAAAUCCCUAAUCCACUCGACCACCCGCACCCUCCGGCCUCCACCCGACCACGACGCAAAGAGUGGCGGCACCCCUAUUCCCUUCCGUCGCGACUCGCGAGUGGGACGCCGCCGCCAGUCCGCCACAGCGCCGCCCGGGCUCCACGCCUCCAGCGCCGCCAUGGCUCCACGCCGCCAGCCUCCAGUGCCGCCAACCACCAGCGACAACAGGGCUCCAGCACUGCCAGCCACCAGCGCCGCCAGGGCUCCAGCGCCGCUAGCCUCCACACCGCCAUCCCGCCCGUCAAGCAUUCGAUGGCGCCUACUGGUGCUUCUGCUCCUAGAACGAAGGGCGCCAGCAAGGGGGCAAGCACAAGACGAAGAGCGUGCGUCGUCUUCUAGAGCCACCUCCCAUACCGGCAGCGGCAACAACGUCUUCAAUAGCAGGUUCAUCUUCCAUUCUUCCUUGAUUAUUUGGCUACUUUAGAAAUUUUUUGGUGUCCUGUUAGUUUUGGCUGUUGGUAGAGGAAGAAUGGAUCACUGGAAUCCUGUUUUUGUUGUCCUGAUAGUUUUGGCCGUUGGUAGAAUUGUAGAAAGAAUUUAUGGAUGUUGUAGGAUUGUAGGAAGAAUUUGUGGAUGUUGGAUAGUCCCAUUUAUCUAAUUUAGCAAUGUUUCACUUGGUUGUUUGUAGGAUCAGGGAGUAAAAUGCCAUCUCAAAGUGUUGCACUUACUAGUUUGGUGACUAUGUACUUGUGUGUCGGUUAACUAUUAUGUGCACUUGAACUAAAUCAUGCAUUUGUUAGUUUGGUCAUGCACUUGUUUAAAACUAUGCACCGUGAGUUGGUAUUUCGUAUUCAAUUUUCGUACGUCGACCGUUUUCGACAUAAUUCCGAUCGAAUUGGUUUGUUUUCGAAUACCGUAAUUUCGCUUUCGUUUUCGUUUCCGACUAUACCGUUUCCGUUUUCGUGUUCGUAUUUAAAUAUAAAUAUAGAAAACAAUAGAGGAGUUUUUCGACCGUUUCCGACCGUUUUCAUCCUUAGCGAAGAACCAUAUGUAAAUACGAGCAUGCAGCCCGCACUGGUGGCCUAGCAUGAGGCCCAAAAUUUUGGCCUGAUGGCUAGCGGGCCCAGACCAGCACAGACGAGCCCAGCCCAGAGGACUAGGCUGCUCUAUUGGUCCUGCGGGUGGCAUGGCCCAUCCUAGUAAAAUACGCCAAGCCCAGUGGAGUCUUAGCUAGCACCAUCUCAUCCUAUUUUCACGAUAACCCUAAGUAUUUUCAUCCCACUUCUCGCAUCCGACAUCCCUAUCCCUGCGCCGCAUUCAACUCAUGCGAAGGCGUCUCAUAGUAGCGACCUCGCCUCUACACCCGCACCAUCCAUGGCGCCAAACUCCUCGCCCUCCACAUCAACGGAUGCCUGCUCCUCCUCCAUGCUCCACGCCCUAGUACCAUUGGUGGCCCCCUCCUCGCCCUCACACAACUGACCAGUCACUGCAUUAUCCUCCAAGCCUCCUGCACGGCUGCACCGUAGGCAGUAGCCUCAAGCGCGGCGGGUGCGACCGUGUCCUCCUCACCCUCACUUGGCGGCCUUGAGCUCCCUCCUCCUUCGUGACCCAGUGGUGGCUUGCCUGGCCUACUAAAAAGGCCAUACUUUCUCGGCCGGCCUGGUAUGGAAAGUGGCUCGAUAGGCCGACAUAGGCCGGGCACAAAGGACUAGGGCAGCACAGCCCGGCGGCAAGAUGGGCCGUACCGUGCCAUUGCAAGCAUGGGCCCGUGUGGCUUGUUUGCUCAUAUAUAUAAUAAAUAUUUUUAUAAUGGUUGGAGAGGUGAUGAGAAGCGAUUGUUGUGUCUACGGCCGGUGGACCUAAAACAUGAAAAAUAAUGAGAGACGAUGGGAGCAAGACGAUGGGAGGUGAUAGGUGUGUCUAUGGUCGGUGGGCCAUAGACGUCACAUUGCCUCCUAUCGCCUCCGAAAUUAUAGGGAAUAGGAAGCCUAAAUAGCAAAUCAAAGAGGCUCGGUGACAAAUAAAGAAAAAGCUCCCUGUUGAUGCCUUCAAACAAAGCAUAGAGCUAAUAAAUAAAAAAUACAUGAAGCGACAAAGAGAGACGACUAAUAGCAAGUCAAAGAGGCUCGGUGACAAAUACAAAAGAGCUCCUUGUUGCUGCCUUCGAACAUGAUUUUUUUAUGACAUAUCUAGUGAGAAUUAAGUGGCUUCUUUGUUCGAGCCUCCAAUUAAUAAUAAUAAGAUUGGACUUGCUAGGAAAACCGGCUUAGCUGGUUUCUAAAUCUAUAGGUGUAGAAACUUCACAAUUGCGUAAAUUUCUUUCUCUGAUUCCUAAAUUGGAUGAUCUGUACAUGUUUUUUCGAUCAUCGAUCUCGACAAGAGAAACACAAUGUCAAGUCCUUUCUUCAAUUUAGAGAAGUUUAUAAAACUGGCUUACCUAGUAGUUUAGGACGCUUAGCUGGUCAGAAGCGGCUGCAGUGUCCUCGACCUUCGCCAUGCCGCCAAGCUAGGCCGAGAGUGGCUGCUGCGUUGUCUGCCAGGCAGCUCUGGCUCUGUGCAACGACGGGAUGAGUGUAGCCGGCCAAGGAGACAAGGAGUUUUUUUAAUAGGAGAGAAACGUGAGCAGUUGGUCCAGCGAAUGGGCCGCAAGUGGGUAGAAAGGGAGUGGGUGGACAGUUGGGCCAAACCAAGAAUGGGCUGGACCAAAAUGAAGGUAAGGACAAAUUUUGCUUUUUUAUUAUUAUAUAAGUAUAGAUAAAUAUUAAUAUUUUUUAAUAUAUAUUUGGUUAAAGUUAAAAUUGUUUGAUUUUUAAAAAAAGUGAUAAUGGUAUUUUUAAUGGGAUGGUAGAAGUAAACCAUGAGAUACCCUUUUAAAUCUGGGUGACAUGGUAUGGCAAGUAUGUGGAUCUAAAACAACACUUUGAUAUUGACAUUGAUGACACAUGAUGACAAGCUAUGAGACUUGAAAAGGCAUUUGAGAGUUUAGUGGAGCCAUUCUAGGAUCACAUAUGUAUUUUACUAUAUAAAAUUUGAAGUACUCCAUCUGUCCCAAAAUACUUGACCUUAUAGUAUUCAAAUUUUAUUCCAAAUUAAUUAUCAUUCUCAUUUCUCAAAAGGCACCUUUCUUUUCUCAGAAUACAUUCUUUUCUUUUUUUACAAUACAUUUUUAUCUCCACUUCUAAGGAUACUAAGAUCUUUUACCCCAAAUUGGUAUCAAGGAUAGAACCUAAAACAUCUACUAUUCCCAGGCAGAGGAAGUAUCUUACUAUUACUAAUUGAAGGCUCCAACGGAACCAUCACAUUAACUCAAUAUACACAUUAAGAAAUAGAUAAACCCUAGAAAUUCCAAUAAUAAUUAGAGACAUGUAGCGUCUAAUCUGAUAUACUCUAAUCAUUGUCACAAAUAAUAAUCCUUGUAUCUAAUAUAAUUUAUAGCCUACUAUUGUUGUUAGUGACGCUCUCUGAAUCUGUCAUCGAGAAUAUGUCAUAGAUUAAGAGAUUUGUUGUAGUGUUUUGAGGCAAAAGAGGAUGCACUAAUUGAUGUGUUGAUAUGCAUAAAUGAUGUGAUCAUUACCCAAUGGGCAAUGUUCACUACAUGGACUACUCCAGGCCUCCAGGGCACGUGGUAACCAGUAGUAAUGGGUGUGCUCCACCUAUUUUGUAGCAAUGAGACUUUGGUUUUUAAUGACUUUAUCUCUACCUAUUACCUAUUAAGUAUGUAUAUAUGGUUUUCUAAUUAUUAUGAGAAAUGGGAUGGAUUGUGAGAUAGUAAUAUUAUACAAUAACCUCUAUUUAAUUGUACUAAUAAUGCAUAUACUAAAAUGGAUAAAAUGAGGAUCCAUGGUGGUUGAAACCACUAAUUGGCAAUGACCUGCAGUCAUAAGGGCACUCACAAUGCAUACUCUAUCAUAGAGUCUAAAGUUAUUUAUUACCUCGAAUAAUAUGGACUUAGAGUCUAAAUAAGACUUGGAGUCUUAUUUUUUCUACCUAUUUUUCUUCAAUAAAUAUGCUGCCAUAUCAGCAAAAUACCAUAUAUAAUAUGUAACUAAUUAUCUUGGAGUCUGUGAUUGAGUCUUGCGUUGUGAGUGCCCUAAGUACAAAGUAGACUCGGCAGUGGUCCAUAUACUAUUACUGUCGGGUCAAUCCUUGGACCGGCAGUGAUUUUUACUCUGUGUACCAAGAACCAGCGGUGAUAUUGGAAUUUCUUUGCCGGGUCCAAAACCGAAACCGGUAGUGAUCACCCCAUCACUUCUGAUUGACCACUGCUAAUAGUGAUGUAGGGUUUCAACCUUGCAAUGAUUGCAUGUUCUAUAUUAGUGUGUUAUUAGCUCCGGAGGCAUCUGAUGAUCAAAAACCACAAAGCUGAAAGAUAAUCAGUCAGUUAAUUUGUUACAGAAAAGGAACAAGAUAUACAAUGGAAGGUAAUAAUAAGUUGGCUUACUGCAGUAAAGCUGGGAAUAAGUUUUGAUCUGCCUAAAGUUGUGCCAGUGACAUUACACAAUCACAACAUAGAAGCCUAAACCAGUUACAAGUGACACCUAUAUCUACCCCUUCAGUGUAUAUACAUAUGCAGAUGAAAACUGCGCACCCACAACAUAUAUCCUUGCAUUUCUUAUUAGGCCUAGUUUUGGUGGACAAUGCAGCAAGGGGCGUACAAAGCAUUCUUUCAAGCAUCAUAAGUCAUUGUAGGGUUCUCUUAACUCCAGUUCAACUGGACAUCCAAAAACAGGCGUAGGUUUUGGAUCCUUCUUGUAGGCUUCAUCUUUGAAGCACAACUUCCACCUGAACUGUGUCACUAGAUAGUGCAUGGCUACCAUUGUUUCUACCCUAGAAAACUCAGUUCGAGGGCACAUUCUUGGCCCUCCCCCAAACGGCAAGAAGCUGUAUGGUGGAAUUGAUGAACGCUUCUCAAAGCGAGAUGGAUCGAACUUGGUGGGUUCGGUGAAGAACCUGGAAUCCAUAUGCGUAAUGCUUUGGGCUGCGAAGACCUGUCAUGUUGUGAAACAAAAGCGUCUUGAUUGAUAUUUCUGACAAAGGAAAAAUAAGAUCCAGUUUCUGAAAACAUGUGCACACAAAGAUGCCUACUUUCCAGCCUUUGGGGAUGUGAUAGCCCUGGUAUUCGAUGUCCUUGGUCGCAGUUCGGAAGCUCCCAAACACUGGAGGCACUGUCCUCAGUGUCUCCAAUGCGACCCUCCAAGUGUACUUCAUGCUUGAAACAUGUUCCCAUGUUAGAGCACCAUCUGUUCCUUUCUUAUUUGCGAUCUCAUCUUGUUCUGCAAUCACGAGUAUAUGAUAUUAUUGAUAUCACAAGGAUCACUUUAAUCAAAAUAAAAGGCGAUACCAUGUAGAUGCAAAAGUGUAGGCACUGUUGACACUAACACACACCUUCAGUGAUUUUAGCAAGGACGUCUGGCUCGUUUGCGAGGUGGCGCAUCAUGAAGGUGAUUAGAGCUGAGGUAGUACCAUGUGCGCCGAUGAUAAUGCCCAUCACAUUGUCAACAAUGUCCUCUAGGGUGAUGGAAUGCGCACCCUUGGAGCGCAGAAUGAGCAUGUAGGUGACAAAAUCAGUGGUAGAAAUAGUGCAUCGUUCCUCCAACAAAGACUCCUCCCUCUUCUUGGCAAACUUUCUGACGGCUUCCCUAAUCUUAGCACUGGACCUCAUGCCCUUGCCGAACCUGUCCACCCCGCGGGUCCGAUGACCCGAUGAUACUGGAGGCUUCCUACCUCGACAGCGUUCCGACGGCCCCUGAUGAUGCACAUGUCGCGCCGCAAUCUCCUGCCUACAUCCCAGUUUCCGCCCUCUGGUGGGGGAACAAGCAGACCAACUGUACCCCAACUGUCCAGGAUGAGAUCGUCUUUGGACCAGGGGUGCAGCAACAGGAGCCUGGAGGCUCACAAGCUGGUUCGAUGGAUGAGGUUGGAGUGAUUUCAGGCCUCGUCACCAAGAUGGACAUCGACACUGCGACUGAACGUGGGCCGACAGCUGCUGCUAUGACGAGUAGCCCAGCAGGAGUACCACCACCGCCACCUGAGAACCAACAGCCACCCAACCUCUACACUGGCUUGUUCUGCGAGCUCCCGGCACCAGUCCUACAGGCGCCGGCACCUGGUGAGCCCGCGCCUCGGGCGCGCAAGAUGAAGAAGCCCACGGUGUCCACGCGCUCCAGUUCACGCCUGGCAGCUAGGCCAUCGGCUGUGCCUGUGGCCCAACGGGCACAACGGAAGCUGAUGCAAGAGUUGAGCUUCAUCGACAACAAUCAGCAGCAGGCACCAGAUGCAGCGGUGACGGAGUACCUUGACCUGUAUGCAGACGACCUCCCGGAGCAGGCUGUGAAGGCCAUUCAGACAGCUGCUCGCCUGGGGAACAAGAGGCUUGUCAAGAUCCUCGAGGCUGUUGUGCAGGAAGCUGAUGCCCUGGAGAUGGAGACCUAGAGUCCUUGCAUUUUAUUUGUCUGUGUGUGCUAGUGUUUGCUAUGUUAGUUAGAACAGUGCCAGCGCCGGCCGGUCUUCAACCGGUGAAGUUAGGUCUCUUUUACUUCUGUGAGGUAUGUUCUGAGCUUGACAGUGAUGGUCUGUGUGGCAGUUUUAGUGAUGGUGGAACUGUGGGUGUGAUGUUGUCCAGCCAUAGCAUGAAGGCUGUUGUACCAGGUUGUUGUGCUGUUUCAAUAGAUGAUCACGGUUUGCUGGCCACCUGUGUUUUCCUCCUGUCGCUCUCUAUGUUCAAUAAUGUCUGAAAAUGAUGCAAGAAUCCUAAAUUGGAACGUCAGAGGUCUGAACAGUGCAGCAAGAAGAGAAGCAGUGAAAUUGAUCUGUCAACAGGCAAGGCCAUAUGUCAUUUGUCUGCAGGAAACCAAGCUUGAUGCUAUUGAUGGCCUGCUUGCCAUGGAAUUCUUGGGGAACAACUAUUACAGUAGUUUUGAAUUUCUUCCUGCUGACAACACUAGAGGAGGUGUCCUAAUUGCCUGGGAUCAGGAUUACAUUCGGGGAAAUCUUGUGAGACAGGAUAGGUUUUGCCUGUCAAUUGAUAUCACCCUGAGACUAACCAACCACUCUUUUGUGUUGACUACUGUAUAUGGCCCAGCAAACAACACAGAGAAGAACUCCUUCCUCGCAGAGCUCAUCAGAUGUCAACCGAGGGGCAGGCCAUGGCUCUGCCUAGGCGAUUUCAACCUUAUCUGUGAAGCCCAAGACAAGAACAACAACAACAUCAAUAGAGCACAUAUGAGGAAAUUCAGGCAGGCACUCGAUGCUAGUGAGCUAUUGGAAAUUAAGUUGCAAAAUAGAAAAUAUACGUGGAGUAAUGGUAGAAAAAAUCCAACACUUGUACACUUAGACAGAGCCUUCUGCAAUCUGGAUUGGGAUGAAAUUUUCCCCUCGGCCACACUGAUAGCCCUGAGCAGCUCGCUUUCUGAUCACUGCCCUCUGUUCCUCUGUAACCAGCAACAGCCGCACCGGCGAGCCACCUUCAAGUUUGAAUCCUUUUGGGUACGUGUGCCGGGCUUCCUCCAAAUUGUGCAAACAGCAUGGGCACUACCGGUCCGAGGUUCAAACCCACUAACGUUGCUCCACAAUCGACUGCGGAAUGCAGCCGAGGCUCUCAAAAAGUGGAGCAAAUCGCUAUUCAGUGAAGCACGCCUACAGCUGGAAUUAGCAAAUGAAGUAAUCCUACGGUUGGACAUCGCUCAAGAAUCAAGACCAUUGUCUGAUGCAGAAGUUGAUCUCCAUAGACAGUUGAAACUGCAGUUACUUGGCUGGGCAGCAAUUGAACGAUCGAGAAGAAGACAAAGCUCACGGAUCAUUAACAUCAAAGAGGGAGAUGCCUGCACAAAAUUUUUUCAUCAGCGAGCCAAAGGUCGCCGAAAACGAAACUUGAUCACUUAUCUUAAGAAUGAAGGUGGUGAGAUGGUCUGGAAGCAUUGUGACAAGGAAACGAUCCUCCACCAACAUUUCCAUGGAGUCUUAGGGAGAAUUGGGGAGACGGCACACUCUGGACUGGGAAAGUCUAAAUCUGAGCAGACUGGAUGUUCCAGGACUUGAUCAACCUUUCACAUUGGAGGAGCUCAAGCACACGGUUGAUGAGCUCCCAGCAGAAAAGGCUCCUGGACCCGAUGGGUUCAAUGGACUCUUCUACAAGAAGUGCUGGGAAAUCAUAAAAACAGACAUACUGGCGGCCAUGAACAGCUUUCAUAGCCUAAGAGCUGGCCCAAUGCGAAGUCUGAAUGGAGCAAACAUAACACUAAUUCCCAAAUCCGAUAAUGCAGAAGACCCCAAAGACUUUAGGCCGAUCAGCCUGAUCCACUCUUUUGGAAAAUUUGUGACCAAGACACUUGCCAUCCGCCUCUCUCCUCACAUUGAUCGGAUGAUCUCCAAUUCCCAAAGCGCGUUCAUAAAGCACCGCUGCAUCCAAGACAACUUCAUGUAUGUUAGAAAUCUGGCGCGAGCAUACCAUCGGAAGAAAAUACCGGCAUUGCUGUUUAAAUUGGACAUCUCCAAGGCUUUCGACACAAUUUCAUGGGAAUAUUUGCUUGAGCUGCUGGAACAGAGGGGUUUUAGUGCUAGAUGGAGAGAGUGGCUGACCCUCAUUUUCAAGACCUCGCACUCAACAGUCCUCCUCAACGGUACCGAGGGAAGGCAGAUCAACCAUGUCAGAGGGCUGCGACAAGGUGAUCCACUCUCCCCGUUUCUUUUCAUACUCGCCAUAGACACGCUGCACAGGAUCCUUGAAGUAGCAACAGCAAAUGGUUUUCUGUCGCCGCUAAGAGGGAGGAAUGCUAGACUCCGACUAUCUCUCUACGCCGAUGAUGCUGUUAUCUUCAUCAACCCAAUCAGGGAGGAGGUCACAGCGCUGUUUGAAAUCCUCGAGCAGUUUGGAGCGACAACCGGCCUAAAGCUAAAUAUUGGAAAAUGCACAGUAGCCCCUAUCAGAUGUGCUGAGAUCAACCUAGAUCAUGUUCUUGAGGGUUAUAGAGGAAAUAAAACAAACUUCCCAAUCACAUACCUGGGUCUACCAUUGUCCUUAGGUAGGCUGAAGGUUGUGCACCUGCAAAAGAUUGUUGAUAAAUCAAGAUCUCGGUUAGCUGCGUGGCAAGGAAGACUAAUGAACCCGGCGGGCAGGCGAGAAUUGGUACGCUCUGUGCUUAGCUCCAUGCCUGUAUACCUAAUGACUACUCUCAAGGCGCCAAAGCAGCUGAUUGCGGACAUUGAUCAAAUGAGGCGUCGCUUCCUUUGGGCGGGAGAUAAUGAGAUUUCAGGAGGCAAAUGCAAAGUGGCUUGGACAGCUGUGGCCAAGCCGGAGGAGUUUGGUGGAUUGGGCAUUAUUGAUUUAGAUAAAUUCAGCAGGGCACUGCGCCUUAGAUGGCUUUGGUUCCAGUGGACUAAACCAGAAAGACCAUGGAAUGGGUCUGAACUACCAGUGAAUGCUGAUGAUGUGGCGCUCUUCAAUGCAGCUACAACUGUCACCGUUCGAGAUGGAAGGAAGGCCUCCUUCUGGCACUCUAGUUGGAUCGAAGGGAGAGCACCGGCCAGUCUGUGGCCGCGGCUGUACGCCCACAGCAGGAAAAAGAAUAGGACAGUCAGAGAAGCAUUGUUGAACAGAAGAUGGGUGAGUGAUAUUGCACACAAUCUGAAUCAGGAUCUGCUUAAGGAAUAUUUUGAGUUCUGGUUGGCUAUCGACCGUGUCAGGCCAGCUCUAGAUGAGGCAGGUGGAGACAUAAUUAUCUGGGGCCUUGAAAGUUCAGGUCAAUACUCCAGCAAAUCGGCAUACAUGAUUCAGUUUGCUGGCCAAGUCCAAUCCCCUUUCCCAGCCUUAAUCUGGAAAGCCUGGGCACCGCCAAAGUGCAAAUUCUUCUUAUGGCUGCUGUAAAAAACAGGCUAUGGACCUCAGCACGUCUGCAACAGCGUCAUUGGAAGAAUAACUACUUCUGCGCACUAUGUGAAAGAAACCUGGAGACAGCACACCACUUAUUCUUUGAAUGCCCCUACUCUCGACUAGUUUGGCAAGCCGUAUCCUCCUGGAGUUCAUGCCCUAGCUUGCAGCCGGCUUCAUGGGAAGACAGGAGCCGCCUCGAGGACUGUUUCAGCCAAACCUUGACAACAGGGGAGAAGAAGGCGCAUACAUUGGCAAUCCUAACUCUAUGGAGCAUUUGGAACCGACGAAAUGCAGUUGUUUUCAGAGAAGAUCGAAAGACGACCAUUUCACUAGUGGUGGAGAUUAAGGACAUGGCUCGCCAAUGGUCGUUGGCAGGAUGCAAAGCUCUUAGGCCUCUUAUGGUUGCACAUGUAAUUAGUGAGUAAUUAGCUAAGAACAAAAGCCCCACGCGGUCUAGGCUGCGUGGGGGAGCGCUGCUCGCGCUUGUAACCCGAUGUUUCCUGCUUCUCCUCUUAUUAUUAAUCAAAGCCGGUAAAACCGGAUCUUUCAAAAAAAAAAAAAAAAAAAAAACCUGGUGAAGGGUAUGUUCACUGGAAAUGACAAGAUUGCAUCACCUAGCAACUGGAAGUCGGUACCGAGGGCAUCUACUAUGGUGGCUGCUUCUUCGCCGAAGACAACUGAACAUAUGACCCCAAGUGUAAGAUUCCUUGCCAUCGGCAGGACCUACAUGGUAAUUAAGAAAAAACACAUACUUUACAUAUUAACCUUAUAGUUGUUUUUGUAAUAACCCUCGUAAUAGUGUCGAAUUUAGUUGUUGUAAGUGGGUUAUAUUUGGUACCAGUACAGUCUACAAGGUUAAUCUUAGACUAACGAUGUCUACGAAACGAUAGAACUUGAAUAAAGAUAAUUAUGUACUAUGAAAGCUAAUUACUUUCCAUGAUGAAUAUAUAGUAGAAUCAACCUAAAGUUGCAUAUCUAUUUAGAAUUUAAUUACUGUCGGUCAAAGCUCACAAUGUUGGACACAGAACAAAAUUAGAAACACAUAUAUUAAUUGGCGGGACCACGAGGUAGUGUGUGUGUCUAUACAUACAUACAUACACACACACACACAUAUAUAUAUAUAUAUAUAUAUAUAUAUAUAUAUAUUACUCUGUAGCUGGCUACAAAAUAACUUAUUUUGUAGCCACUUUGAGUUACGAUAAUUACUAUAUUAAUUUACAAGAUUAUAGUAACUCCUUACGAACAUUACGGUAAAUAUCUCGAUGUGUUAUAGUAACCCAACAAUUGUAAAUAUGUACACAUAUUAUCGUAAAUUAGUAUAUAAAAUUAUCGUAAAUGGAGGUGGUUACAGAAUAACAUAUUUUGUAGCUAGGUACAGAGUAUACUCUAUCUCUCUCUCUCUAUAUAUAUAUAUAGAGGGAAAUAUAUAUAUAUAUAUAUAUAUAUAUAUAUAUAUAUAUAUAUAUAUAUAUAUAUAUAUAUAUAUAUAUAUAUAUAUAUAUAUAUAUAUAUAUAUAUAUAUAUAAGGAAAUAUAUAAACAGAAUUCACUAUACAAUGCAAAUGAAAAAAAUAUCUUAGUGUCAAUCAUUUUGUCCUUACGUUGACAGUGCUGCGACCAACCCAGUUGAGCUUCAGUUGCCUUCUGACCUCGAUAUCCAUCUUCCCCACGUACCUUCUGACCAUCUCAGGCCUCAAGUAACCCUGCAGAGCACUACGCACCUGCUUCAGCUUGUCGCCGGUGAGCGUCAGAAUAGACCGCCGGAGGAGGGAGCGAAGCGCACGCGUCUGCGUGAGGAUGAGGUCCUCGUUGGUGAAUAUGAAAUGGUUGGCCGCCGUCCCAGCAAGCAGCACCGUCGGCGAGCCCAGCACCGACAUCUUCGACACCGGACCGUAUCUCUUUAUCCGCGCCCUGAACCACCGGUCGUCUGUGUUGGUGCGUAGGGCGUGGAGGAGGGAGAAGGUCUGGCCGAUGACCGGGAUACCGAGGUUGCCGGGAGGGAGGCUGUAGGUUGGGUGAGACCGGUGGUUUUUGGUGGCAAGGUGGAGGACAAAGGCUAUCACUGCUGCAGCAGCAGCAAGGAGCACGAUGAAAGCCAUUGAAAGUAUGCUGGGAGAGGCCGGCCGCCGGCGGGGCACGAUGAAACUUGGGGGUUAUUUAGCGGCGUUGGACACUUAAACGCGUGUGCGUGUGGAGAUAUAUACAUAUAGUGCUGUGUAAAGUGGAGAUUAAUCCAUAUACAUCUUAUUUUUCUUCGUUUAGUUUUGACAUCAUGUCAUCCCAAAAGAGUAGGAAAAGCAUGUACUGUUGAAAUAGACCAUGCCAGAUAUGCACUGGUCGAUGUGUUUUGCACCUGUGUUUAACUUAAACACCUGAAAAACACAUGUGAUUGUGACUUGGAGGGAGACUGCAAUUUUCAGUUUUUCGUGGAUGACUUGACUUGGAGGGAGACUGCAGUUCUUCGUAUAUAAAAUCUGUUUCAGGGUGCAACUAACAAAAUUGCCAUGCCUACGUGUGUGGUGGUCUGUUGUUCACCAGCUACAUUUAUUGUCCAAAAUGGAUAUGCAGUGACACGUUGUGACCGCAAGAAUCUGUGGCAGGAAACGUACACACAGAAGUGAACAGCAGGAGGGCUGCUGUCAUCGUUUGGGAAAGCUGGUGAAGACGUGCCAUCAUCUUGCGUUCCCAGAAAUACUACUACGCCUUGUUUAGUUCUAAAAAAUUUUGCAAAAUUUUUCAGAUUUCCCAUGAUAUCAAAUCUUUAAACACAUGUAUGAAGUAUUAAAUAUAGAUAAAAAUAAAAACUAAUUACACAAUUUAGUCGAAAUUAAUGAGACGAAUAUUUUGAGUCUAGUUAGUCCAUAAUUGAACAAUAUUUGUUAAAUACAAACGAAAAUGCUACCAUUAUCGAUUUCUCAAAAAAUUUUGAAACUAAACAAAACUCGUACGGAAGCUAUAGCUAGGGCCUAGGGUAUCAACGACGAGUAGUCACAAUCUCGUGCAGACAACUAGACAUGCUGUUGCUCUCCACGUUUUUCAUGUGUUUAGAACUACUUUCCUGUUUCCUGAAUCGACGAGGACUAUCACAAAAAUGAAUGACUUCUGAAAGACGGAAUCAGCACGAGUUAAUUAGUUCCAUGUCGGUGUAACUACUUGUAAUGCCAACAAGCCGAGAGCAGGUCAGGGAGCUUCAUCACAAGCAUUAUUUACCUUCAAAGCGUACAAAUCUUGAAGCACAACUAAAAGAUUGAAAUUGAAUCGGGGAUAACAUAUGUUUUCCUGGAUCACUGAGUGAUGUACAUAACAAUUAUCCAUACAUAAUUCAGUGAUGCAUAACAAUUUUCUUUUUUUUUUUGGUGCCACGUAGUUUUUAGACUGUGUUCAUCUUUUAAAAGUUUACUUUUUUCUGGUAAAACUCGUAUGCAGAUGAGCUUCACUCUGUGAUUCAAAAGCAGCUGUUUGGAGAGUAAAACUGAUUAAUUACUGUUAACCUUAAUAGUAGUGGUCGACUAUUAUACAUACGGUGAGUCGGUGACUCAAAUCCUACUUGUAACUAGAGAUGUGUGCUGUUAGCAGAACUUCUAUUUCUAUUAGGACUUGAGCGUAGGACUUCUAGUAGGAGUAGGACUCCUAUUUGUAUGUAUGAGAAUCUUGUACGUGAUAAUAUAAAGGAUAGUGGCCAUAGGCAUAAGCUAACACAUGGGUUCUCAUCGAAGGCUUCUAAUUAAGGAGCAACUAUGAGUGCUCGUGAGGAUGAAACUAGAUAGUUCUAUUGCACAAGAUUCUUAUAUAGGGCAAGAAUUAGUUGGUCCUAGAGAGUCAAGUACAUUGUAACAAAGAGAUGAUCACUUGUACUCUUUUGUUGUUGUGCUUAUAGAAUUUGUUAUGAGCUUCUCGCCAAAUCCUAAUGUCUUGUCGUGAUUGGUUCAACAUUGUCAUCCAGUGUAUUUUACGAGAUUCAUCUAUAUCAUUUUGAUACAGUGCAAGCAUGUGUCAUACUACUCAUACUCGUAAUAUCAUUUCAAAGAUUGGAGCACUGUUACGCAUAAUUUGGGGUAUCAGAUUCAAGAUGAUGUACUAGCUUAACCCCCAAGUCAGGUGAACUAUGCAUGUACCACUCGAGAGGCUCAAUGUAAAUCAUUUAUCUAAUUCUAUUUCUCUACAUGGUAUCAUGACACUAGGUUAACCCUAGCCACUGCUCGAUUUCGCACUAUGCACUGUUCUUCGAGAACUCAUUUCCUAGUAAAAGUUGAUACUAUUAUUGAAUCUCAGGAUGCAAUAAUCUUCUUUGAGAACUUAUUUACUAUGAAAGUUGUCUGUUGUAUAGGCAUAUGCUUCUCAAAAUGCAUACAACUAGAAAGUUGUCUGUAAUGAGACAAACUCGAUUCUUUCUGUUGGGGUGUGGGACUUAACUGAAUGACACUAUGGUUGUGAGCAUGUGGGAUGUAAGUGAGUGUUCAAGAUGAACCUUACAACUGAUGGCACCAUGUCCAAGGGUUAUACCCCAAAUUGAAGCGCGGGGACUUAUUUGAUACAUAUUCGCUACCACUAGAAUCACGACCUAGUACAUACAUCAAACAUUGGGUUAAACAAGAGUUAUAUGCCCAAAUGAUUUUAGGCACAUUUGGGCACUGAUUUUGUUGGAAUAUAUGUGAAUUGCCCAUCUCUCUCUCCAUCAUAUUAAGCUUUUGGGUUGAACUGAUUGGUGCAUGUAACAGAAUAUGGUAUCAAAGCGAGAGGUCUUGAGUUUGAAUCCUAGUUAGUGCAAUUAAAUAAAAUAAUUUCUUCUCUCUUCAUCCGAGGCCUGAGGGAGCCUCCACAUGAGGAGAAGUGUUGGAAUAUAAGUGAAAUUUCCAUCUCUCCCAUCAGCUUAAGCUUUUGGAUUAAACUGGUUGAUGCAUGCGACUUAAUAGAACUCAAUAGAUUUAAAGGAGGUCUGUUGUUGUGGCUUUCUAGAGACAUCGGAAACUUAACCUAGGUGUUCGAUAGAGCUUACCUAUGGUUAAAAUGGCUAUGGAUGAACUCGAAGAUUUAUGGAGGAGAGGGCAAUCAAGAGGCGAUUGAGGGUGAGGUGGCUUGGGGCUAUGGCACAGGGUUCUCUAUCAUUAGCAAUUUCAUCAAGGAUGCCUCGUAGAGAUAGAUCGAAAUGAAGUCUUUUUCAUGAACGUGUUGGAGAAGAUGAUGGUUGGGAGGCUCCAUCCUUAACUCCAGCAAGGUCGAGGACGAUGUGGAGUAGCUUGCCGGUGUGUUUUUUUGCUGAAUAGACAAGAGGGUUGCGUAUCUUUGUAUUAAGAAGAAAAAAGGUUCAGUACAAAUCCAUCCGACGCCAAAAACACCAGUGAUUAGUUUGAAGGACUCGGGUGGCAGCUAGCUACCCCCAAUGCUAAACACCAUAGGUUCUUGGUGCCUGCGUUCGUCGACUGCUUUGCCUCUAUCACUGCUGCAUGAUCGGGCAUUAGCACCGGUCGAGAAGGGCCUGUUGCCCGGUUCCCGAGCCGGUGCUGCCCUUCCGGGACUAAAGGCCCACCCUUUAGUCCCGGUUCGGGGAACCGGGGCUAAAGACCAACCGGUGUUAAAGGGACCUGCCAGGGCUGCCACGUUGCAUGACCCUUUAACACCGGUUGGUAUUACCAACCGGUGUUAAAGGGUUUCUUUUUUUUUGGUUCACUUCUUCGGUUCUGUUUAUUGUUUUUAUAUAAUAAUAAUAGGUUUUUCAAUACAUGUUUUUACUGAUACAAUAAUAUAUUUAUAUUACACGCAUAUUAAGCAUAUAUAAAUGAAAAUUAUAGGCAAAGCUUAAUUAUUAAGCUUUGCCAAUAAUAAAAUGAAUAGGCCACAUCAAAAAUUAAAUAGAUAUGUAAAAAGCUUUAUAUAUAUAUAGUUUUAUAUGUAUAAAAUUCGUAACACAUAUAUACAUAGAGUUUUUUCUCCCAAUGUCUACAAACGAUACAAAUGAUCAUCAUUGUUUGGAAUAAGAGUUUCGUUGCCAUUGAAGUGAAACUCACCGUUUGGAUUGAUCACUUGCUCGCGGAGAAAUCCUGCUAUAGUCUCUUGGAUAGCUUUGAUUCGGUCUUUUUGUAUGACCUUUUCCCUCAACCAUUCCGUCUUUAAUUUGAAAUAAAUAAAAAAGGUAUUAGUUAUCUAAGUUAUUCAAUAUAAUUCAGGAGAUAAUGAAAAGAGACAUGUAACGUACUCUGAGCGUCUCUGUGGGUGUUUGAUUGACUUGUGCCAUCAUGAAUUUGCACACGUAAUAUGCACAUAGAUUGUUUCCCCCUUCUUGUCUUAAACACCACUGUACGAUAUAUAUAUAUAUAAAAUAUUUACGACCACGACAAUAAGAAGGCUAAAAGUUAGCGAAAGUUUGCUAGCUAGUAGAACUUACUUGUGGAUGUAUUUUGUUAAGCGGCGUUUUACAUCCACUGAGAUGUUCACGGUCAAUGAAUCUUUUCCAAACCCUACACACAGCCAUUGUGGAUCGUGAACUAAUAAUUACAGAGUCAUAUUAUGAUAUUCUUCUAGCUGAGAUCGACAUUACGUACCUUUGAAUAAUGUUUACCAUUUGUUGAUAAUUUUCUUGUGGUUUUCUCAUUGAGUCAAAGAUUAUCAACCGGUUCUUAGGAAUUUCAAUGACCAUGAGUAUCUAGUGAAAGCUGUUUACACACAUAUAUAUAGUCAGGCCUAUAUAUAACUAUAUAAAAACUUGUCUCGAGUAAUAAUUAUUAAAAUAAAAUAUGCAUGCACUUAAUAACUAUAUAACUCACUCGAAGUUGAAGGGGAAGAAUAUUUUUUGUUUUUCUUUUUGGUUCAUAAAGAACCUCAUAAGAUUGGUGCAGACUUCUGUCUCACGAGCUGCUGUCCACACUGCCUGUGGAGCUUUGAAAACAAUAUAAGGGUCAACGAACCCAAUAUUAUUGUCAUUUCUGAUUCUGAGCUCUCUCAUUUGGUGCCUGCAUAUAUACAUACAAAUCCUAAGUGUGUAAGGAUUAUAUACAUGUAAUUAAAGAAGUUAGAAGUAUAAUAAAAAGAAAAAAAUACUUACAGACAAAAGCAGCUGACAAGAGAUUUGUCGAGAGCGUCGAGGUGACAUAAUUGGUGCAAUUCUUCGAACUGCACGUAUAUGAGGUCAUCUCCACGGAAGUAGUGAUGUUGUCUAAUACGAACAAAAAUCCAAUUCUCUCCCCUUUUAGACGCCUCAAUGCACCAUUUGUUUAUUGCAAAUAUUUGUGUGCCGAGCUCGUGUAAACGCUGAGGGUCGAAUAGACUCCUGCCCGGUUCAUAUCUUACCCUCCAUUGAUCAACUACCUCGGCUUUUUCAAAUGUUUGACAUCCAAGAAUGGCGGCAAUUUCUUCCAUAUUUAAACCGCUCUGUCCAAAGUAACACUCAAGCGAGUCUAGCUCAGACAACGCUAAGGAUUUCUUUGGCAUCAAGUCUUCAUUUGAGCCGUAUUGAUUUGGCACAAUCAAAGGGGGCACCGGUUUUGAUACUUCUCCGAGCUGUGGGACCCCCUUUCCUACUCUCUUCUUAGGCUGUGAAGACUUGACCAGAGACCGCUCAUAGUCCGAAAGUGCUGGCUUUUUCUAAGCUUCGCGUUGCUUCUUUUGCUGGUCCGCCACCUUCUGCCUCAGUUCCGAUGGCUUUACAUAAAAGUACGGUUUUUCGCGGUUUAGCCGUUUUUUUCUAUCCUCCUUCAAUUUAUCAAAAAAUUGUUUCACCUCAGCUUUGGAUGCAGCAAUUACCUCCUCUUCACUCUUUUUGUAAGAUAAUUUUUCUGGUGUCUUAGCUCUCUUUGCUGAGGCAGCCUUCUUUGGAGGUGGGACCGAUGACUUCGGUCGUUCUUGGGCGGACCGCUUCUGACUACCUCGCUUUGGAGGCGAGGGGACUGACCAUGCACUCUUUGGAGAGGGCGGUGCAGGCGGUGGAGGUGGUGGGGCCGAUCUUUUCGGUGUUGGAGAACGCGGUGGAGGAGUUGGAGACCUCGGUGGAGGAGGUGGAGACCGUGGUGGAGGCGGUGGCGGGGUCGGUGUGGCCGCCGCAGGUGUUGGAGGAGAUCCAGCAUUGUCACCGCCCGCAGCUCUAUGACGCGCUGGGGAGAGAACUGGACUUAGGUUGGAGGAUUCCCUGCAAAGAAAACAAUUACAAGUUUUGUGAGCAAACUUUUUUUUAAUUUCAAUACAUAAUAAAUAAUAUAAGAAGUAAAAUCACACACAAACCUAUGUUGAGGAAUAAUUAUGAAGCGCUUGCGCCAACAAAUAAAUGUCUUCUCAGCUUCACCUAAGGUCUUCUCUCCGUCUCCCCCUUCUAUGUCUAGAGGCACAUUGCCACAACCUUUCUCAACCCUAUCAACCGAGACGCUAGCAUAUCCACCAGGUACUGGUCGAUUAUGGAUUCUUGGAGUUCUCCUUCGGUCGAUAGGGUUGACAACAGCGAUAGCCACCUUUGUUUGUUGCAUUCCCAUCUGGUACAUGCAGCUCACAGGUAGUAAAAGCCUCUGUGACAUCAUCCAUGGGGAAGUGUAGCUUCGUGUCAUCCUGAAUGGUUGGUACUUCCAUAGAUGCGCAGCUGCUUUUCAACUGGCCUGGGGGGCUAACGUUGACCUCAGGCUGUGAUGUACCUUGCCCUUUCGUCAUUUGACUAAGUGCUGCUUGCACUUGCCUUUGAAUCUCCGCCUGCAUCCAUUCUUCACGAGCUUUCUCGCACUCUUCUGGCUGCAGAACAAAAGCUUCCAGGCAGCGGAUCCGCUCUGCCUCCUCAUCCUUCUUUCUCUGGCGGCUUCUGUAGGUAUCUUGAUCGGCUUGGAAUGAUUGCAGCCAUGGAACUGCCCCCAUAGCCUCUCGUACGCCCACCGUGCUCAGGAUUUUCAAGCGCAUAGGUGAGUUCAUCCUUCUCCCUGUUAGGCCUGAACUCACCAGACUGAACCGCCUCUCGUGCACGGACUAGUCUCUCUGCUGCUCUAGAGAUUUCUUGGCCCCAAACUAGCGCCCCGAUGUCUGGGUCCACGCUUCCCCCAUGACCGUAGAACCAAUGCUUGGAGCGCUCGCUCCAAUUCUUUGCUAUUGUCUCGGGUGUGACCCCCCUAGCAAGCAUAUCCUGUUCCAUUCGGUCCCACUUGGGAACAACACUCUUAUAACCACCUGAUCCCAUAUGAUGGUGGUAUGUCUUUUUACUUGCAUUCUCUUUAUUUCUAAUGGCUCGUUCCUUGCCCUCUUCUGAUGUUUUGUACUGCACAAAGUCAUCCCAGAAGGUCCUCAGCUUUACAUAUUGCUUGAGGUUGAAAUUUGGGGUCUCGUUUUUCUUGACAUAUUUAUUGUACAAAGUUUUCUUCCAAUUCUGGAAGAGUACUGCCAUCUUCUUCAUAGUCCAGUCAUAGAUUCGCACCUUCAACUCUUCAUCGUUGGUGUCGAAGGUGAAAACGUCUGUGACGGCUUUCCAAACUAACUCCUUGUCACGAUCAGAGACAAAACUGAUCUCAGGAGCACCUCGCUUCUCUCUCCAUUCACGAGCACUGAUCGGUAUUUGAUCUCUCACAAGAUAUCCACAGUGACUAACAUAUUUAUUUGCAUGUUCACCAAGUGGACUGCCUGUAGCUAUCUCAAACUCAGAGAUUACAUAGCGGCCGUCCAACGGCUUCUUUGGCCCUCAUGGAGGUACGCUUCUCCCCGUAGAGGUCGAUCCAGAAGGCUACACGUAGAUAUAGAAACAAAAAUACUAAAUUAAUAACCAAGUAAGUCUAAAACCUAAUGUAAGAGAUGCAUUAAUUAUAUAUGUUUACAUUUACAUACCUCACCAGUAUUUUCUUCUUGUUGCACGACCAGUUGUUGCUCAGGCGCAUUGCCCUCUUGUUGCUCAGGGGCAUUGCCCUCUUGUUGCUCAGUAGGAUUGCAUUGCAUGAUCUCGUGGUAAUCAAUAAAGUACUGACUACCGUCGUCGAUCAUAUUUUGAAUGGCAUCUUCCAUAUAGUCAGGAUCAUCAUGAGCACGGUCAGCCAUUUCUAUGUCUGCAACCAUACAUAUAUAUAUUCUAUAUAAGAUAAGAAAUACACUAGAAUAAUAUACUAAAAAAAUAAUACUAACAAUAACACUAGAAUUCAUAAUAUACUAAAACACUAGAAUUCAUAAUAUACUAAACAAAUAAUACUAGAAUAAUAGUACAAACAAUAACAUAUACAAAACACUACUAGAAUAUAUAUUAGAGACUUAUAUACUACUACUAGUACUACUACAAAUGAAAGUGUUGGAGUGCUCUAAAAAUAAUACUAAAAUCUUUUAAGCCAAGUAAUACACUAGAAUAAUAUACUAAAAACAAUACUAGAAUAAUAUAAUACAAACAAUAAUAUAUACAAAACCCUACUAGAAUAAAUUUGGUGGCUAAACACUACUAGAAUAUAUAUUAGAGACUUAUAUACUACUACUAGUACUACUACAAAUGAAAGUGUUGGAGUGCUCUAAAAAUAGUACUAGAAUCUUUUAAGCCAAGUAAUACAUUAGAAUAAAAAACAAUACUAGAAUAAUAUAGUACAAACAAUAAUAUAUACAAAACCCUACUAGAAUAAAUUUGGUGGCUAAACACUACUAGAAUAUAUAUUAGAGGCUUAUAUACUACUACUAGUACUACUACAAAUAAAAGUGUUGGAGUGCUCUAAAAAUAAUACUAGAAUCUUUUAAGCCAAGUAGUACACUAGAAUAAUAUACUAAAAAACAAUACUAGAAUAAUAGUACAAACAAUAAUAUAUACAAAACACUAGAAAAUAAAAUAUGAUAUAAGAAUAAUAUACAACAAAUAUAUACUAAAAAAUACUACUACAAAUAAUAUAUUAAAAAAAUAAUACUACAAAAUAAUACAAGAAUAAAAUUAAUAUAUUACAAAUAUAUAUUAGCAUAGUAUAAUUUAUAACAGGUCAACACUAAUACAUACAUACAAAAAACUAUAAUUCAUAAUAUACUAGAAUAAUAUAUUAAAAAAAUAAUACUACAAAUCAAAACACCAUAUAUAUAUAUGUAUACAUAUAUAUACAAUAUAUACAUACACAUAUAUAUAUAAUAUACAUAUUAUAUAUAUAUAAUAUACAUAUAUAUACAUAUAUAUAUAUACAUUUAUAUAUAUACAUAUAUAUAUAUAUAUAUGUGUAUAUGUAUAGAUAUUUCUGGUCUAGUGUAUAUAAAUAUAAUAACAUUCAUUUAUUUUUUUAGUAUACUUAAUUAAUCAAUAUAUGUGGAGAGAUGCAUGGCGUUCUCGAUCUAUACAGAUCAUACAGGGAGGAGAUCGAUGACGACGGUGGCCGGCGCUGGUGGUGUUCCCUCCGGCGUCGGCGCUGGUGGAGGCCGCGGCGGCGCUGGAAGAAGGACGCGGCGGCGCUGGGAGUUGAAACGGCGCGACGGCGGUGAAGACGACGAACGUCGCGGCGCUGGAGACGAAGAAGAUGAACUGCUCCAGAUCGAGGGCACCCAUAACUUAUAUAGGGGUAGACCCUUUAGCACCGGUCCGUGGCUGGAACCGGUGCUAAAGAGUCUUUAACACCGGCUGGUAACACAAGCCGGUGUUAAAGGGUGACCCUUUAGCACCGGCUCGUGUUACCAGCCGCACCGGUGCGAGCCACGGACCGGUGCUAAAGGGUCCUGAGCGCGCUAAGGCGGGCUCCUGAAAUUUUCAGGACCCUUUAGCACCGGUUCCCACUAUGGGCCGGUGCUAAAGGCCCUGUUUUUUAGUUUAGGGUUUUUCAAUUGUUUAUAUAUACACUUUAUAUUAUAAAUUGUAUAGUAAAUUAAAUAUUUUGCAUAAUAUUUUUUAAAUAGUGACAUAUAUUAUAAUUUUUUUAAUGUACAAAUGAAAAAUUUUAACCUUAAAUAUCUUACUGUAUUUUUAUAAUUUGCAAUGAUUUUGUAAGAAAUGUUUAGUAUUUUGUUAAUGCAAAAAUAUAUUAUUCUAAUAAAUUUACAAAAACUAUAUCCAAUCAACUGGAAAUCUAUUUUCACAUCAUAUUAACGUUAAACUUUUUAUUUUUGUUAUUUAUUACUCGGAAUGCUAGUAGGGUAUUGUUUUCAUCAAAUAAAAAAUCUAUUUAUCAUAUAAAAAUAUAUAUCUUGAUGAACACACCCUUUGACCGAACCCUAGAUUGUCCCAAAUGGAAAAGUCAUGAAUACAAAGUUUGUUACACUCAUCAAGUUCUACAUUUUGUCUAAUGGUCAACUUUUCAUUUGGAAAAGUUUGAACCACUGAAUUUUGAAUUUUCAUAGAAUUCAUAGCCACGCAGCGGUUUCGGAGCCCUAGAUGGUCUCGAAUGGAAAAGUCAUGAAUACCAAUAUUGUUCCACUCAUCAAAAUCUACAUUUUAUAUAUAGACUAUUUUUGCAAUUGACAAAGUUUUGGGAAGGUGUAGUUGAAAAUCCACAAUUAACACAUAUAGUUUCAUAUAGUUUGUAUGAGAUUCAAGAAUUGGUGGGUAUUGUUAACUUAAACUUUCUCAAAUGGAAAAGUUGUGUAUAUAAAAAGUUUAGAUCUUGUUGAUAUCUAACAACUUGGUGUUCAAAAUUUUUUCAUUUUAAGUAAUUUAGUUUGUCAUUUGACCAAGUUUGACCAAAAUCCGUCUUGGAUUUUAUAGAAAUGUGAUUAGGAUUGGCUCAAAAUUAUCCAAAUGGAAAAAUAGAUAAUAUAUAAAAUGUAGAUCUUGAUGAUCUCUAACAACUUUGUAUUCAAAUUUUUUUCAUUUGAAGUCAUCAAAUGGGCCAUUUGAUCAAGUUUGACCAAAGUCAAAGCAUUGGUUUUUACAAAAACACCCUUUGACCGAACCCUAUAUUGUCCCAAAUGGAAAAGUCAUGAAUACAAAGUUUGUUACACUCAUCAAGUUCUACAUUUUGCCUAAUGGUCAACUUUUCAUUUGGAAAAGUUUGGACCAUUGAAUUUUGAAAUUUCAGAGAAUUCAUAGCCACGCAGCGGUUUUGGAACCCUAGAUGGUCUCGAAUGGAAAAGUCAUGAAUACAAAGUUUGAUACACUCAUCAAAAUUGACAAUUCUCAAAUAUAGUUUCAUACAAUUCUCAGAAUUCGUACAUUUCUCAGAAUUCGUACAUUUUACAACACAUAAUAUUAAACAUGACUUUAUGUUAAGCCGACACAACAGUGAACUUCUUCUUGACGUAUGACCCUUGGUUAUGAUCCUGCCGUAACCAUGGAGUAUCCUCAUUGUUUAACAGAAUGCUUGGGUCUUUUUUGACUAUGAAGGGCGGAAUUCGAUCAUCACUUUCGUAAUCGCCUGACAUGUCUGACUUGUCCUCAAUUCCGACAAUGUUUCUUUUCCCACAAAGGACAAUGUGGCGCUUUGGCUCAUUGAUGAUUGAGUGGUCAUCAUUUUUUCCUCUCUUUGGUUUCGUAGACAUAUCUUUGACAUAGAACACCUGACUCACGUCUGCAGCAAGGACGAAUGGUUCGUCUUUGAACCCACUAUUGUUAAGGUCCACGGUUGUCAUCCCAUACUCCUUGUCGACUGUUACCCCACCUCCGGUCAUCUUCACCCAUUGGCACCGAAACAAAGGAACUUUAAAAUUAGCUGCAUAGACUAGUUCCCAUAUGUCUUCUAUGCGUCCAUAAUAUGUUUGUCUGUUCCCAUUUGGAUCCGUGGCAUCCACGCGUACACCACUAUUUUGGUUGGUGCUCCUUUUAUCUUGGCCAACUGUGUAAAAUGUGUUACCAUUUAUCUCGUACCCUUUGUACGUGAGGACAUGCCAUGAUGGUUGCCUGGCCAACAAAUAAAGCUACUCAUUAAUGUUUUCAUCACCUUGACAUUUUUUGUGCAACCAAUCGCCAAAAGUUUCCAUGUGCUGACGCAUUAUCCAAGCUUCAUUCUUCCCGGGCCACUAGGACCGUAGGAAAUCUUUGUGUACCUCAACAUAUGGUUCGACCAAUGAGGAGUUCUGGAGAACUGUGUAGUGUGCUUUAUUGAAGUAAUCGUCUCCCGUACCAAUAUAUGUUUUCUUCCCAAGUGUUCCCUUUCCGCUGAGUCUGCUCUCGUGUCGAGAUUCAGGAAUGCCAAUUGGGUCAAGGUCUGGAAUAAAGUCAACACAGAACUCUAUGACCUCCUCUGUUCCGUAGCCCUUGGCAAUGCUUCCUUCUGGCCGGGAAGGACUAUGAACAUAUUUCUUCAGGACACCCAUGAAUCUCUCGAAGGGGAACAUGUUGUGUAGGAACACAGGACCGAGAAUACGAAUCUCUUUGAUCAGAUGAACUAGGAGGUGUGUCAUGAUAUCGAAGAAGGAUGGAGGGAACACCAACUCAAAGCUGACGAGACAUUUAACGACAUCAUUUUGUAGAGUAGCUAGUUGCUCUAGAUUGAUUGCCUUCUGAGAAAUUGCAUUGAGGAAUGCACAUAGCUUUACGGUGGCUAGACGUACGUGUGGAGGUAAAAUUCCUCUUAAAACCACCGGCAGCAAUUGCGUCAUUAGAGCGUGACAGUCAUGGGACUUCAAGUUCACGAAUUUCUUCUCUGACACAUUAAUUAUUCCCUUGAUAUUGGAGGAGAAUGCAGAUGGGACCUUGAUGCUGCUAAGACAUUCAAACAUGCUUUCCAUCUCUUCUUUGCUCAGAGUGUAGCUAGCAGGGCUUAAGUAAUGACGUCCAUCAUCGGUCUUUUCUAGAUGCAGGUUGUCUCGUUCUUUCAUGCGCUGUAAGUCUUGUCGUGCUUCAAGUGAAUCCUUAGACUUCCCGUAGACAGCCAUGAAUCCGAGCAAGUUCACACAAAGAUUCUUUGUCAGAUGCAUCAUGUCGAUCGCGUUGCGGACCUCUAGGACAUUCCAGUAAGGUAGCUCCCAAAAUAUGGAUUUCUUCUUCCACAUGGGUACAUGUCCCUUAGCAUCCUUGGGAAUAGGUUCGCUGCCUCGUCCCUUUCCAAAUACCACUUUUAUAUCCUUGACCAUUUCGAGUACAUCAUCCCCGGUUCGAUUGAGAGGUUUGGUCCGGUGGUCUGCCUUGCCUUUAAAAUGCUUGCCUUUCUUUCGUACUGGGUUGUUCAUAGGAAGAAACCGAUGGUGGCCAAGGUACACGACCUUUCGACAUUUUUUCAAAAAUACACAGUCAAGGUCUUCAUAACAAUGUGUGCAUGCAUUAUAUCCCUUGUUUGACUGGCCUGAAAGAUUACUCAGAGCUGGCCAAUCAUUGAUUGUUACAAACAGCAAUGCUUGCAGGUCAAAGUGCUCUUGUUUGUACUCAUCCCACAUGUGAACUCCUAGUUUGCUCCAUAAAAGUUGAAGUUCCUCAACUAAUGGCCUUAGGUAGACAUCUAUGUCAUUGCCAGGUUGCUUCGGACCUUGGAUAAGCACCGGCAUCAUAAUAAACUUCCGCUUCAUGCAUAGCCAUGGAGGAAGGUUGUAGAGACAUAGAGUAACUGGCCAAGUGCUGUGACUACUGCUCUGCUCACCGAAAGGAUUCAUACCAUGUGUACUUAAGGCGAACCGCAAGUUUCUAGCAUCAUCUGCAAAAUCUGGGAAUUCUCUGUCUAUCGCUCUCCACUGGGAUCCAUCGGCAGGGUGUCUCAGCAUAUUGUCUAUCUUACGGUCUUCUUUGUGCCACCGCAACAACUUUGCAUUGUCCUUAUUUCUGAACAGACGUUUUAAUCGUGGUAUUAUAGGAGCAUACCACAUAACCUUGGUAGGAAUUUUCUUCCUAUGACGUUCUUCACCCUCAACAUCGCCAGGAUCAUCUCGUCUAAUCUUAUACCGUGAUGCCUUACAUACUGGACAUGCAUCCAAAUUCUCGUAUUCCUCCCCACGGUAGAGGAUGCAGUCAUUAGGACAUGCGUGUAUCUUCUGGAUUUCUAAUCCCAAAGGGCAGACAACCUGUUUUGCUUCAUACGUAGUGGUGGGCAAUUCGUUGCCUUUCGAAAGCAUCUUUUUUAUGAUCUUCAAUAACUGCCCAAAUGCCUUGUCAGACGAUGUACCAUUCUUUGCCUUCCAUUGCAGCAAUUCUAGUGUGGUACCCAGCUUUUUUUGCCCCUCUUCAGCGGUGGGAUAUAGCGAUUUCCUGUGGUCCUCUAGCAUGCGCUCGAACUUGGCUUUCUCUUUAUCACUUUCACAUUCUCUUUGUGCAUCACGGAUGACAUCACCAAAAGCAUCAUCGCCCCGAUCAUCUUCUACCGCUACCUCUUCUUCAUUAUCUCCCCCAUUGCAACAUCAUUGAAGCCACCGUACUGAGCAAUAAUAUUGGCAUGGUCCAAUUCUUCUUCUUCUUCUUCACCUUCAUCCAUUAUAAUUCCACUUUCUCCAUGUGUGGUCCAACAAAUAUAGUUUGGUACGAAACCAGACUUUAAUAAGUGCGAAUCAAGAGUUCUUGAGUUAGAAUAUUCCGUCAAAUUCUUGCACACGCCACAUGGACAGCACAUGAAACCGUCCCUCUUAUUUGUCUCGGCCACACUUAAGAAAUAGUGCACGCCAUUAAUGAACUCUUCGGAACGCCGAUCGGCAUUAUACAUCCAAUUAUGUGUUACCAUCUGCAUUAAAUAUAACAUAUAUAUAUUAUGAAAACCAUGCACACAUAUAGUUUCUCAUCCUAUUGCACAACAUGUCUAAGAUACAUAGUUGUUUUAUUCAGGAAAGCUUGGCUACAACAAAUACAAUCGCAACUAGCACUAAAAAAACCAAAACUAAAAUGCACUUAAGCAACAUAAUUAGUUCGCGUCCGAUCUCAACUAUAAUGGAUAGAUCAUUCGCUUGAUCAACAUCAUUGAACUCCUUUCGUCGGCUCACUGCCUCACCACCUUUAGCCUCAACCACCUGUGCAAAAGAUUUCUUAAUGUGUUCAAUGUAUUCUUCCUCCCAGUACCAAUCUGUACAUCCGCCGGUACCGUCCCACUGAAAUUAAAAGAGAGAACCAAAAGUUUAAUUAAAAUCAUUUAAAAAAAUAUGCACAUAUAUAAGCAAAUGUCUGAAAUAACUCACAUUACGAUCCAGACACUUAUAGAAUAUACGACCCUUGUUUACUCCCUCUUUCGACACUUUGUACUCCAUCACAAUCUUCUGCCCACACUUACCACAAGUAAUGAGAGGGAGUUCCAGCCGGUAUCGCUUUUGAACCCGUUGAGAGACCGAAGACCCGGUCACGGUUGCCAUCUACUAUCCAUACUCAAUUUUUAAACAAUUAUAAAUUCCACAUUUACUAGUAAAUAUGUAUGAUUAAAGAAGAACCUAAUAAUAUCUUUUAUUUGUCUAGUUACUUCAACAAAUCUUCUAAAUUAUACAAUGGACAUUAUGUAGUAAUAAAAAUAAAUCAAGUGAUAUUAACAAACCAAUUAAUUUGAACUAUCCUACUUUCUAAGAUCAUAAAAAGAUACUAUAAUUCAUUUUUGCAAACUAUAUUAAUACUAGAUUAACCAUGAAAUAUGAUAUAUAUAUAUAUAUAUAUAUAUAUAUAUAUAUAUAUAUAUAUAUAUAUAUAUAUAUAUAUAUAUAUAUGGAUACUAAUUCAUGUGAAUGAUUUAAAAUAACAAUGUGGAUUUGAGCUAAAAAAUAAUGGGAACAUCACAAGCCAAAAACAAUAUGAAAAAGACAAGAAAGACAAAAGUUAGUCACCUCCAAACACGAAGAAACGAUGACGGAGUCGAAGAAGAUCAACGAUGGGCGUCAGAGAUGAAGAACAAGGAAGAAGAAGCUCCAAGAACAACAAUGGUGAAUGGUGCUCUCGGUUUCAAAUAGGCAGAGAGGAGGAGGGAUCCGGCCUAUAAACCGAACCUUUAGCACCGGUUCAGGACAAAAACUGGUGCUAAAGGAUGACCCUUUAGCACCGGUUUGUAACACAAACCGGUGCUAAAGGCUUUGCCUCGGCCCGUAGCGCUGGCCGGUGCUAAAGGGGUCUUUAACCCCGGGCCGCAAAAAGGCCGGGGUUUUUGGCCAUUUUAGGCAUCGACCAAUGCCUCAUCCUGUAGUAGUGUAUCUUGAUCUUUGUUAGGAGCUCUCGAAUCGUGGUGGCGACGUCCCUGAAGCAGCGCGCAUUCCACUCCUUCCAGAUGGUCGAGGAAGUCAGCUCGAAGAGAGAAUCAAAGCCCUUCCUCGAGUUCCCUUGCCUGGUGCUCCUCGGACAAGUCCACUAGGCAAUGACUGAAUUUCCCAUGGUAGGCAAAGGCCGCCCAAGCGCCUGACACAAGUGGUGCCAUACCUCUCCUGUGAAUGGGCAGGUACAGAGGAUGUGGUCGAUCGUCUCUAGAGAUUGGUCGCAGAGGUAGCACUCUUCUCUAGCCUCGAGCACGUAGCAUGCGCGUCGAACAUUUGUUCAGUGUCGUUAUCGGAAGGACAACCAGAGGAAGAUCUUGCCGGUGUGUAUAUCACGAGAAAGAAAGUUAUAGCUCAACAAAAAACAGUGAACCUCAAUUGUAGUUCCAGUCAACCAGGAUUUAAUCCCUUGUUUUGCACCUAUAUAUUUAGGUGAGAACCUCAUCUCUUGGUGACCCUAAAAUUCAAAGAAAAAAAAAGUGAAGUUGAGUCAGACAAGAAAUGUACAGUUUACUUCAUCCUCACAAAUGAAUCUUUCAUUCCGCUUUUAUUUAUAAUCAAAAUUUACGGUAAAACAAAAUAGAAAACUAACGUUAAACGUCCGUGAAACCAGAUUUACAGUACACCUUGAAAGAACCAUACAAAGCCAAGUUGUGACGACACUGUGAAUCCGCAAGUUCCUUAUUACUCGAUCAAAUUUUCAGCCCUAGCCUCAUACAUCACCAAGCAUCGAAUUUUCAGCUCGUAGCCAUGCACACCUAGUACAGGUACACAUCGACCUCUACAACGCCUCCCUUGGCCAAGUCGUAGUCGUAGCUCCGGCUGAGCGCAUACCCCCGCGCGGCGCGGAACCGGCCGGUGCCGCCGACGAUGACCGACUCGCGCACCGCCAGGUCGGUGUCGACCCUGCCGCUGACCACCAGCGAGAUGCCGGCGUGCUCGCCGGCCUCCAUCACCAGGUGCAUGCUCAGGGCGUUAACGGAGCCGCGCUCCGCCACGCGCACCGUGAACCCCUGCGCCGUGCCUACGCGCGCGCUGCCGCGCUCGGGCCCUUCUGUGAGCGCGUUGUUCAUCACGGCGAUGUCGCCGAACCGGCGCGGGUCGUCGUCGUCGCUGCUGCCGGUGGUGGUGGCGUUGGAGUUGGACAGCGGCGGCCUUCCCUGCAUGAUGAGCGCGGCCGUCGGGUUCUCGCCGGUGUACUGGUCGUGCAUGUAGAAGUGGAGGUGCGUUCCGGCGGUGACGCUGCCGCCGCUGCUGCGUGUGUCAUGGCGGAAGUAGGUCGCUGCAGCAACGAGGAUGGCAGAAGCGAGAAGGACUGUAGGGAUCGUGCUAGCCAUGGCGUGCUUUACUAUAAAAAGAAAUUGAACUAAAAUUUAGCUGACAAGGUUCAGUUGUGGAUAUGAUUAUAUAAGGCAGUAGACUAAGACAACGACAGAAUAAUAGCGUCAAAACGAAUUCGUCAGGAGGUUUGAGCUCAUAGUAGUUGGCCCAAAUUCUUCGUGGAAAUGUCACACACCCACGUUUGUCGCGUGCAUCCAUAUUUGUAUGUGUGGAUGGUAGUGAGCCGGAGAUAAGGCUCCUGUGGACUGAAUGAACUCUCGUUACUGUUCUACGAGAUUUUGGAAGUUUGCCAAUACAUAUGUUUACAGUGAGCGUAGCUAUAUCAGAGGUCCAUCAAACAGCCUGGCAUCCGUGUGCGUACGUUCGAAUAUAGUUUUGGCUCACCGACAGCAGCAUACACAAUUGAUUGAGACACUCUAGCUAGAUCACCUCUAUUAUCAAGAAGCAAAGUUAAGACGAACUGAUCACAGAUCAGUUGGUUGGGUUCACUACCAGAAUCGUGUUCUAUGCUGAGUGCCAAAAUGUUUGCUAAGUUCAUUAUAUUGGGCACUCGGAAAAGAAGGGAUUUGUCGAGUGCCACACUCGACAAACCCAGACACUCGGCACACGUGGUCUUUGCCGAGUGCCUAACCCUCGGUAAAGCAAGACACUUGGCAUACAGGAACUUUGCCGAGAACUUGGCACUCGGCAAACCCAGGUACAAGACAUCAACUGAUGCCGAGCACCUCCAUUACUCUUUGACGAGUGCCAAGCGUUAGCACUCGGUAAAGGGAGAGAGUUUGCCGAGUGCCAGAGUCCAACACUCGGCAAACUUUUUUUUUAUUUGUGGCCUUUAAACUUUUUCUGCUCUCAUCUUCUACUAAGAUUUACUCCAUCUUAAGGUACGGCACAUUUCUCAGUCUACUUGCUAUAUUUAGUUAAUUUAUCUCAUUUAAUUGAAUUUUUGAGGAUAACUCAAAUUUGAAUCGCAGGUGGUUCUAAUAAUAGAAAAAAUGAAUGGAAAAAUGAUAUUCAUGCAAUUUCAAAUAGAAUAACAUUAAAAUCCAGGAAUUACAUCAAAUUUCAAAAAUGUUGCCCAUGAAGCAUAAGCACAAACUUGUGGCGAAAUUGUUUUAAAAUUUUAUAAAAAGCAAAUGAAGUCUGAAAAUCACGAGAUUUGUCAAGAUGUCUUGAUAUCAUAUGUGGAGACUAUGAUAAAAAUUUAAGAAAGUUUCAUGAAUGUUAUCACAUAUGAAUGCAAACAAAUUAGAACAUCUUCGAGGAAGUUUCAAAGAGUUGAGGAAGAUCCAUAGUCAAAUUGAGUGUCAAGUUAGAGUAUCACUUUAAAACUUUUUGUAUAGGCAAUAGACAACAGAGAUUAUUUCUUGUUGUGAAAUUUUGAUAAUUUUUUGGAUCCAUUUUGCUAAUUUUAAAUUAUUAAACGUAAUUAUAGAAUUUUAAUUGCGAUAAAUAGGAUUUGAACUAAAGCCAUGGUCUUUGUUGACUGUCCAUGUCAACGACACUAGGCAAAGAUGACCACUUUGCUGAGUGCCUUGACCCUGGUACUCGGUAAAGCCACCAUCACUGUAUCACUCGUCGUCACGGCAACUUUUCUUUGCCGUGCGUUAAAGUGGCACUUGACAACGCCUUUGCCGAGUGCCUGACGAAUGACACUCGGAAAAGCGCCCUUUGCCAGCACAUUUUUUACCGAGCCCUCUUUGCCGAGUGGUACAGGCACUCGGCAAAGAGCGUGAUUCUAGUAGUGGUUCCUCGACUUAGCAUGAGCUCUCACAUUUUCUAGGAUUUAACGGUACAAUGCUUUCAAUGGUAGGCAAUGUUCCCAUUGAUAGCGAGACGCCUAUGGUGAGUUCAUGAAUCUUAAGAUCUAUGGACUUAGUUCUUCGGUGGUGCUUAUAAGGGGGGGGGGGUUUGUAUGUGUAUUCAUAGGGGUGAGUGUACCUCCUUGUUGUGGCCAUCUACAUUGUAGUGUGUCAUUCUCAAAAAAAGAACCAAAGUUAAGGCUCUUCUUAUAUGGAUGUAAGGAAAAUGAAACCUUGGCCCAUUUAGUUUGGAUUUUGGUGUCUCAUGAUCAUCAAGACCAAAUUGAACUAUAGCGGUCCAAUGGUUGGCAUAUUUGCCCACCAAGGUGCCCAACGGCUCCAUUUGGUUGGGGGCUCAUAAGUACCCCAUGGUUGGCCAAUUGGAAGGGCGAGAGCCCAAGAAAUUACCAUAUGAGUUGAAGCACAAUUUUAGUUGCUCUGUCACCAUAGUGCUUAGUGAAAUACUUGGUGAUUAGCAUAGGCACUUUGCGAAGUGCUUAUUAGGUUAAUUAGACCACCACUUUGCACUUGCUCUAGGUGUUAGACUAGUGUUUAGUGAGCUACGCACACCUCUUACCACUUGGUGCUUGCAUGCACAAUUCUUGUCAGACCACACCAAUUGUGCUUGUGGUGUGGCCACCAACAUGUACCAAAGAGAACAAGGUGUGUGGCAUUUUAGACGGAAGCUUAGUAGUGAAGACGAUGUGGAGCGAUCUAGGAGAGACUUGCUGGAAGGCACACCAGCAACCCACUUGUGCGUGGGGAAGGUCCACGGAUAUCCAUAGAGUUACUCAACUAGGAUCUCCAACAAGGACUAGGGGGAAGCUUGAGCGCUUGUCAAUGCUUCUCAAUACAUCGAUAAAAAUACCGUAGUCAUUGACCGGAGUUUGCAUCUCUACCUCAUAUUUAGCUUAUGCAUUUAUAUUGUUGUGCUUUACCUUUCCUAGCUUAGUUGAAAGGAUUGGAACCUAGGUUGCAUAACUCUUUUUCGAUAGGCUAGUUGAUAGGAUUGGAACCAAGGUUGCAUAACUCUUUUAUGGUAGAGAUAGCAACACACGAGCAAAACCGUAGUUGCACAUUUAGAUAGUUUAUCCUAUUGUAUAGGUUUUGCUAAGGUUGGAAUUACAGGCCAUAGUUAGAAGUAGAUUUUUAAGUUACCUAAUUCAUCGUACCCCCUCUUAGGCAUCAUGGUUCUUUCAGUGGAGAACCACCAAAGCAUCAUGUUUAUUAAAACUUACUCUCAUUUGUUGCAUGACAAAAUUGGGAGCAUAAGCAGUUUUUUGUAAAACUCAUUGUGAACAAUUAGGAUUUUUAUCUCUAUCUCUCAUGUUCAACACAAAUAGAAGGAAGUAGAACACAUAGACAAAUGGAAGUGGGAACUAUUCUUUCCUCUCUGAACAUGUGCAGAACAACUUCCAUGUAUAUGUAGUCUUACUAAGGUCUAAGAAUUUGGUAAGCGCCUAAAUAGAUAAUGGAUUAUGAUUAAGAUUUGUCAUGGUCAUUUCCUUUUAGGUUAGAGUAUGUAUGUUUUAUAAUACUCCCCCUUUAAUACCACAAUAUGCACAAGUCUCAUUAAAAACUCACCCAAAAACCUAGUGGGGAAAAAAGGCUUCCAAGAAAAGAGAACAUUAUAUCCAUAAUUGGGCAAAUAGUUGUUGCAAGAUGCUAUUUGAAAACGCCUGCUGUAGUCUAUAGGCCUACAGAGCUGGAUGUUCGAAUCCCAUAGGAGUAAGUGCUGGGAGGAACUGUGGAAUAAAAACAUUAGGAGCAAGUGAGCACUCGGCAAAUAUCUCGGUAGCCAUUGUUGUUUGAACGUUGCUAGUUCAUUUUAUUUGGUAUGUUUCUAAUGCUCUCAAUGUUGUGGCGAUGGGAUAACUACUGAUUCAAGGCCUAUUUACAAAAAUAAGGGCUCAUGUAUAUCUAUUUAGAUAUUGACAUUUGUCAAACAACAGAUAAGCUAUAUAUGAUAUGGCACCUAGUCAAUUUUGACAUUUAAUUAUCAAUUAGGCUGGUAAGCUUAAUCAUUCGGACUAGGCAAAAAUUUUGGGCUAAGGAUAUUCAAUAUGGCUAAAAUAUUUAAAAAGAACAACUUCAAUUCACUCCUAAUCCAAACGAGGGAAAAACCUUUUCAUGGACUUUGUUACUAUUCCUUUUUUAUUUAUGAAGGAAUUAAUUGUAUGACUGUGAAAUAAUGACUGCAGUUGUUGUGCUCACUGAAAGAGCAAGGAGCGCAAGGAGGGCAAAUAUCAUGGGCUCCAAAUAUUUCCUUACAUGUUGUAUUAUAGGGUCAUGCACAAUUUGGGUUCUAGCAAAAAACAUAUGCACCAAAUAUUUACUAAAAACAAUAACUAAGAGGUAAGACUUCGCGCGAACAACUUUGCACACACAUAUAGGUUUACUCAUGAACUUAUAUUAUGUUUUGCUUGGUAUACGUUCACCUGAUUUGAGUGUUCACGGUCAAAGCAUAUGUGCCAAUCACUUUCUCAAAAGAACAUAUCACAGAUUUAAGUACUCAAUUACAAGCACGUACAGUCACAUCUAUCUUAUAAACACACAAGCACACAUCCAAACAAGAACAUUCAAGCGGUUCGAGCUGGCACAUCUUUGGCUUGGUGAAGUAUGCGGUAUUGUCUACAUAUUAACCAAGCAUGUAUCUUUAUAUUUGAUUUGAUGUUUUCAAAUGUAUAUACAAAGAACACUCUUAAGAAAUUGACUCAAAUUAAUUCUCAAACAAUAUAUUGAUUAUUUAUUGGAAGUUGCACACGCCGAUAUGAGACCUUUGUUAUGAAGUACAACUCAUAUGUAAUCUAGAAGAUGGCACUUCCAACGAUGGGUUGCUGCCAUGAAAAGGCAGGGUUCAUCAAAGAUAUCUGGUUGAAUGGCAACAAUUGUUGCUGCUGCAGGAAGGCGGCAGCCAAUGGGUUAGCAGCUACCACUGGAUUAACACGAAGCAGCUGUUGUUGUUGCAGGUAUGCGGCGGUGUUCGUCACAGCGAGUUGGUUGAAUGGAAGCAGCUGUUGUUGUUGCAAGUAGGCGGCCGGGUUCACCAAGGCUAGUUGACUGAGUGCUGGUAGGAUUUGUUGCAGCUGCUGUUGUUGCAAGUAUGCAGCAGCAUUGGCCGCAACCAGUGGGUUGUAUGCAAGUUGUUGUUGUUGCAAGUAGGCGGCAGGGUUUGCCAUGGCUACCUGACUGAUCACUGGCAGGACCUGUUGUAGUUGUUGUUGCUGGUAUGCAGCAUUGUUCACCAGAGCCAGUGGGUUGGAUGCAAGUAGUUGUUGUUGCAAGUAGGCCACAGGGUUUGCCAGGGCUAGUUGACUGAGUGCUGGUAGGAACUGUUGCUGCUGCUGCUGCGCUGCGAUGGUCUGUACGGUUAGAUGAGCCGAGGAUUGUUGUUGCAAUUGGGCAAAUGGUUGUUGUAAGAUGCUAUUCGCAAGCGCCUGCUGUAGUCUGUAAGCCUGCAGAGCCGGGUGUUCGAAUCCCACAGGAGUAAGUGGUGGGAGGAACUGUGAAAUAAUAGCAUUAGGAGCAAGUGAGCACUGCGGAAUAAUGACUGCAGUUGUAGUGCUCACUGAAAGAGCAAGGAGUGCAAGGAGGACAAAUAUCUUGGUAGCCAUUGUUGUGAGGACGUUGAUGUUUGUUUCCCUUGGUAUGUUUCUGAUUGCUCUCAGUGUUAUGGGCGAUGGAUUAACUACUGAUCCGGGGCCUAUUUAUACUAGUGAGGGCUCAUGUAUAUCUGUUUAGAUUUUGCCUUUUUUCAAACAACAGAUAAGCUAUAGAUGACAUGGCACCUAGUCAAUUUUGACAUUUAGUUAUUAUUUUUGUUGGAUUAUAUGGUCUAUGUAUGAAAGACAAUUUCCACUAAGUACAAGGAAAACUUGUUGUUUUCUAUUGGAGUUUUUUUGAUACAAUAGAAAUAACAUGCAUGAUCACUUCACCUUUACACAUGUUACAACCUUAGCCACAUCAUAAAUGUCCACUUUAUAUACAUGGCGAGUAUGUAAAGUUAUGACUUGCUCAUGUGGAUCAAAGCCUUUAUCAACGGACGUUCUUGUAGUAUUGUACUCAUGGUUGAAGAUAGCACGGUAGUUAGGUGAGAAGUUAAUCAAUGAAUAAACAAAUGCUAAAGAUUGAGACUAAAUAAAAAUACCAUUAUGUACACAUAGAAUUUAUAAAUUUAGAAUGCUUAUAGCCAAACAUGACAGUUGCCACACACUCCCUGUGUUCCUUGUUACAAUUUAUUUUUGAAUUAUCUAUACCCAACAUUGUAUAACUAUCAAAAAGUUUUAAAUAAACUUUGAUGAGAAUAAGCACUAUCAUGACAUUAUCAUUAAUAAUUCAAUGAAAAAACUUGAUGUUCAAAAUUUUAGAUAGAUUUAGUAGGAAGUAAGUGAAAGUUAGGGGAGUUAGCGAAAACCUAGAGCAUGUAAUAAACUAGAGUGGAGGAAGUAUUUGUUGAACUAUAGCUAUUGAUUCGAAUUAAUUUACAUCAAGCUUGUCAAAGUUAACUUGUUUCCAUAUAGAAUAGACAAUGACAAAUUUUAUGCAACUUUUCUUCGUUCCACUACCUAUAAUACGAGUCUAAGCUUCAAUAUACAUACGAAGAGGACCGUGGCCAUCCUCCUAGCUAUCUUACAUAUAAGUUAGAGCUCAAAGGCAUAGAUUCUUUCAAGCAGACAGACAAUAUGAUCAAUAAUCUAAACGGUUCUCAGCAAUGCUGCAAAAACCUCAAGAAACCCUUGGCUAAGAUGGGGUCAGGAUUGAUUUUAUAAUACUCCCCCUUUAGUACCACAAUAUGCACAAGUCUCAUUAAAAAAUCACCCAAAAACCUAGUGGGGAAAAAAGGCUUCAAAGAAAAGAGAACAUUAUAUCCAUAAUUGGGCAAAUAGUUGUUGCAAGAUGCUAUUUGAAAACGCCUGCUGUAGUCUAUAGGCCUACAGAGCUGGAUGUUCGAAUCCCAUAGGAGUAAGUGCUCGGAGGAACCGUGGAAUAAAAACAUUAGGAGCAAGUGAGCACUCGGCAAAUAUCUUGGUAGCCAUUGUUGUUUGAACGUUGCUAGUUCAUUUUAUUUGGUAUGUUUCUAAUGCUCUCAAUGUUGUGGCGAUGGGAUAACUACUGAUUCAAGGCCUAUUUACAAAAAUAAGGGCUCAUGUAUAUCUAUUUAGAUAUUGACAUUUGUCAAACAACAGAUAAGCCAUAUAUGAUAUGGCACCUAGUCAAUUUUGACAUUUAGUUAUCAAUUAGGCUGGUAAGCUUAAUCAUUCGGACUAGGCAAAAAUUUUGGGCUAAGGAUAUUCAAUAUGGCUAAAAUAUUUAAAAAGAAUAACUUCAAUUCACUCCUAAUCCAAACGAGGGAAAAACCUUUUCAUGGACUUUGUUACUAUUCCUUUUUUAUUUAUGCAGGAAUUAAUUGUAUGACUGUGAAAUAAUGACUGCAGUUAUUGUGUUCACUGAAAGAGCAAGGAGCGCAAGGAGGGCAAAUAUCAUGGGCUCCAAAUAUUUCCUUACAUGUUGUAUUAUAGGGUCAUGCAUAAUUUGGGUUCUAGCAAAAAACAUAUGCACCAAAUUUUUACUAAAAACAAUAACUAAGAGGUAAGACUUCGCGCGAACAACUUUGCACACACAUAUAGGUUUACUCAUGAACUUAUAUUAUGUUUUGCUUGGUACACGUGCACCUGAUUUGAGUGUUCACGGUCAAAGCAUAUGUGCCAAUCACUUUCUCAAAAGAACAUAUCACAGAUUUAAGUACUCAACUACAAGCACGUACAGUCACAACUAUCUUAUAAACACACAAGCACACAUCCAAACAAGAACAUUCAAGUGGUUCGAGCUGGCACAUCUUUGGCUUGGUGAAGUAUGCGGUAUUGUCUUCAGAUUAACCAAGCAUGUAUCUUUAAUUUUGAUUUGAUGUUUUCAAAUGUAUAUACAAAGAACACUCUUAAGAAAUUGACUCAAAUUAAUUCUCAAACAAUAUAUUGAUUAUUUAUUGGAAGUUGCACACGCCGAUAUAUAUGAGACCUUUGUUAUGAAGUACAACUCAUAUGUAAUCUAGACGAUGGCACUUCCAACGAUGGGUUGCUGCCAUGAAAAGGCAGGGUUCAUCAAAGAUAUCUGGUUGAAUGGCAACAAUUGUUGCUGCUGCAGGAAGGCGGCAGCCAAUGGGUUAGCAGCUACCACUGGAUUAACACGAAGCAGCUGUUGUUGUUGCAGGUAUGCGGCGGUAUUCGUCACAGCGAGUUGGUUGAAUGGAAGCAGCUGUUGUUGUUGCAAGUAGGCGGCCGGGUUCACCAAGGCUAGUUGACUGAGUGCUGGUAGGAUUUGUUGCAGCUGCUGUUGUUGCAAGUAUGCCGCAGCAUUGGCCGCAACCAGUGGGUUGUAUUCAAGUUGUUGUUGUUGCAGGUAGGCUGCAGGGUUUGCCAUGGCUACCUGACUGAUCACUGGCAGGACCUGUUGUAGUUGUUGUUGCUGGUAUGCAGCAUUGUUCACCAGAGCCAGUGGGUUGGAUGCAAGUAGUUGUUGUUGCAAGUAGGCCACAGGGUUUGCCAGGGCUAGUUGACUGAGUGCUGGUAGGAACUGUUGCUGCUGCUGCUGCGCUGCGAUGGUCUGUACGGUUAGAUGAGCCGAGGAUUGUUGUUGCAAUUGGGCAAAUGGUUGUUGUAAGAUGCUAUUCGCAAGCGCCUGCUGUAGUCUGUAAGCCUGCAGAGCUGGGUGUUCGAAUCCCACAGGAGUAAGUGGUGGGAGGAACUGUGAAAUAAUAGCAUUAGGAGCAAGUGAGCACUGCGGAAUAAUGACUGCAGUUGUUGUGCUCACUGAAAGAGCAAGGAGCGCAAGGAGGACAAAUAUCUUGGUAGCCAUUGUUGUGAGGACGUUGAUGUUUGUUUCCCUUGGUAUGUUUCUGAUUGCUCUCAGUGUUAUGGGCGAUGGAUUAACUACUAAUCUGGGGCCUAUAUAUUUAUACAAGUGAGGGCUCCUGUUUAGAUUUUGCCUUUUUUCAAACAACAGAUAAGCUAUAGAUGACAUGGCACCUAGUCAAUUUUGACAUUUAGUUAUUAUUUUUGUUGGAUUAUAUGGUCUAUGUAUGAAAGACAAUUUCCACUAAGUACAAGGAAAACUUGUUGUUUUCUAUUGGAGUUUUUUUGAUACAAUAGAAAUAACAUGCAUGAUCACUUCACCUUUACACAUGUUACAACCUUAGCCACAUCAUAAAUGUCCACUUUAUAUACAUGGCGAGUAUGUAAAGUUAUGACUUGCUCAUGUGGAUCAAAGCCUUUAUCAACGGAUGUUCUUGUAGUAUUGUACUCAUGGUUGAAGAUAGCACGGUAGUUAGGUGAGAAGUUACUCAAUGAAUAAACAAAUGCUAAAGAUUGAGACUAAAUAAAAAUACCAUUAUGUACACAUAGAAUUUAUAAAUUUAGAAUGCUUAUAGCCAAACAUGACAGUUGCCACACACUCCCUGUGUUCCUUGUUACAAUUUAUUUUUGAAUUAUCUAUACCCAACAUUGUAUAACUAUCAAAAAGUUUUAAAUAAACUUUGACGAGAAUAAGCGCUAUCAUGACAUUAUCAUUAAUAAUUCAAUGAAAAAACUUGAUGUUCAAAAUUUUAGAUAGAUUUAGUAGGAAGUAAGUGAAAGUUAGGGGAGUUAGCGAAAACCUAGAGCAUGUAAUAAACUAGAGUGGAGGGAGUAUUUGUUGAACUAUAGCUAUUGAUUCGAAUUAAUUUACAUCAAGCUUGACAAAGUUAACUUGUUUCCAUAUAGAAUAGACAAUGACAACUUUUAUGCAACUUUUCUUCCUUCCACUACCUACAAUACGAGUCUAAGCUUCAAUAUACAUACGAAGAGGACCGUGGCCAUCCUCCUAGCUAUCUUACAUAUAAGUUAGAGCUCAAAGGCAUAGAUUCUUUCAAGCAGAAAGACAAUAUGAUCAAUAAUCUAAACGGUUCUCAGCAAUGCUGCAAAAACCUCAAGAAACGCUUGGCUAAGAUGGGGUCAGGAUUGAUUUUAUAAUACUCCCCCUUUAGUACCACAAUAUGCACAAGUCUCAUUAAAAACUCACCCAAAAACCUAGUGGGGAAAAAAGGCUUCAAAGAAAAGAGAACAUUAUAUCCAUAAUUGGGCAAAUAGUUGUUGCAAGAUGCUAUUUGAAAACGCCUGCUGUAGUCUAUAGGCCUACAGAGCUGGAUGUUCGAAUCCCAUAGGAGUAAGUGCUGGGAGGAACUGUGGAAUAAAAACAUUAGGAGCAAGUGAGCACUCGGCAAAUAUCUCGGUAGCCAUUGUUGUUUGAACGUUGCUAGUUCAUUUUAUUUGGUAUGUUUCUAAUGCUCUCAAUGUUGUGGCGAUGGGAUAACUACUGAUUCAAGGCCUAUUUACAAAAAUAAGGGCUCAUGUAUAUCUAUUUAGAUAUUGACAUUUGUCAAACAACAGAUAAGCUAUAUAUGAUAUGGCACCUAGUCAAUUUUGACAUUUAAUUAUCAAUUAGGCUGGUAAGCUUAAUCAUUCGGACUAGGCAAAAAUUUUGGGCUAAGGAUAUUCAAUAUGGCUAAAAUAUUUAAAAAGAACAACUUCAAUUCACUCCUAAUCCAAACGAGGGAAAAACCUUUUCAUGGACUUUGUUACUAUUCCUUUUUUAUUUAUGAAGGAAUUAAUUGUAUGACUGUGAAAUAAUGACUGCAGUUGUUGUGCUCACUGAAAGAGCAAGGAGCGCAAGGAGGGCAAAUAUCAUGGGCUCCAAAUAUUUCCUUACAUGUUGUAUUAUAGGGUCAUGCACAAUUUGGGUUCUAGCAAAAAACAUAUGCACCAAAUAUUUACUAAAAACAAUAACUAAGAGGUAAGACUUCGCGCGAACAACUUUGCACACACAUAUAGGUUUACUCAUGAACUUAUAUUAUGUUUUGCUUGGUAUAUGUGCACCUGAUUUGAGUGUUCACGGUCAAAGCAUAUGUGCCAAUCACUUUCUCAAAAGAACAUAUCACAGAUUUAAGUACUCAACUACAAGCACGUACAGUCACAUCUAUCUUAUAAACACACAAGCACACAUCCAAACAAGAACAUUCAAGCGGUUCGAGCUGGCACAUCUUUGGCUUGGUGAAGUAUGCGGUAUUGUCUACAUAUUAACCAAGCAUGUAUCUUUAAUUUUGAUUUGAUGUUUUCAAAUGAAUAUACAAAGAACACUCUUAAGAAAUUGACUCAAAUUAAUUCUCAAACAAUAUAUUGAUUAUUUAUUGGAAGUUGCACACGCCGAUAUAUAUGAGACCUUUGUUAUGAAGUACAACUCAUAUGUAAUCUAGAAGAUGGCACUUCCAACGAUGGGUUGCUGCCAUGAAAAGGCAGGGUUCAUCAAAGAUAUCUGGUUGAAUGGCAACAAUUGUUGCUGCUGCAGGAAGGCGGCAGCCAAUGGGUUAGCAGCUACCACUGGAUUAACACGAAGCAGCUGUUGCUGUUGCAGGUAUGCGGCGGUGUUCGUCACAGCGAGUUGGUUGAAUGGAAGCAGCUGUUGUUGUUGCAAGUAGGCGGCCGGGUUCACCAAGGCUAGUUGACUGAGUGCUGGUAGGAUUUGUUGCAGCUGCUGUUGUUGCAAGUAUGCAGCAGCAUUGGCCGCAACCAGUGGGUUGUAUGCAAGUUGUUGUUGUUGCAGGUAGGCGGCAGGGUUUGCCAUGGCUACCUGACUGAUCACUGGCAGGACCUGUUGUAGUUGUUGCUGCUGGUAUGCAGCAUUGUUCACCAGAGCCAGUGGGUUGGAUGCAAGUAGUUGUUGUUGCAAGUAGGCCACAGGGUUUGCCAGGGCUAGUUGACUGAGUGCUGGUAGGAACUGUUGUUGCUGCUGCUGCGCUGCGAUGGUCUGUACGGUUAGAUGAGCCGAGGAUUGUUGUUGCAAUUGGGCAAAUGGUUGUUGUAAGAUGCUAUUCGCAAGCGCCUGCUGUAGUCUGUAAGCCUGCAGAGCCGGGUGUUCGAAUCCCACAAGAGUAAGUGGUGGGAGGAACUGUGAAAUAAUAGCAUUAGGAGCAAGUGAGCACUGCGGAAUAAUGACUGCAGUUGUUGUGCUCACUGAAAGAGCAAGGAGCGCAAGGAGGACAAAUAUCUUGGUAGCCAUUGUUGUGAGGACGUUGAUGUUUGUUUCCCUUGGUAUGUUUCUGAUUGCUCUCAGUGUUAUGGGCGAUGGAUUAACUACUGAUCUAGGGCCUAUAUAUUUAUACAAGUGAGGGCUCCUGUUUAGAUUUUGCCUUUUUUCAAACAACAGAUAAGCUAUAGAUGACAUGGCACCUAGUCAAUUUUGACAUUUAGUUAUUAUUUUUGUUGGAUUAUAUGGUCUAUGUAUGAAAGACAAUUUCCACUAAGUACAAGGAACACUUGUUGUUUUCUAUUGGAGGUUUUUUGAUACAAUAGAAAUAACAUGCAUGAUCACUUCACCUUUACACAUGUUACAACCUUAGCCACAUCAUAAAUGUCCACUUUAUAUACAUGGCGAGUAUGUAAAGUUAUGACUUGCUCAUGUGGAUCAAAGCCUUUAUCAACGGACGUUCUUGUAGUAUUGUACUCAUGGUUGAAGAUAGCACGAUAGUUAGGUGAGAAGUUACUCAAUGAAUAAACAAAUGCUAAAGAUUGAGACUAAAUAAAAAUACCAUUAUGUACACAUAGAAUUUAUAAAUUUAGAAUGCUUAUAGCCAAACAUGACAGUUGCCACACACUCCUUGUGUUCCUUGUUACAAUUUAUUUUUGAAUUAUCUAUACCCAACAUUGUAUAACUAUCAAAAAGUUUUAAAUAAACUUUGACGAGAAUAAGCGCUAUCAUGACAUUAUCAUUAAUAAUUCAAUGAAAAAACUUGAUGUUCAAAAUUUUAGAUAGAUUUAGUAGGAAGUAAGUGAAAGUUAGGGGAGUUAGCGAAAACCUAGAGCAUGUAAUAAACUAGAGUGGAGGGAGUAUUUGUUGAACUAUAGCUAUUGAUUCGAAUUAAUUUACAUCAAGCUUGUCAAAGUUAACUUGUUUCCGUAUAGAAUAGACAAUGACAAAUUUUAUGCAACUUUUCUUCCUUCCACUACCUACAAUACGAGUCUAAGCUUCAAUAUACAUACGAAGAGGACCGUGGCCAUCCUCCUAGCUAUCUUACAUAUAAGUUAGAGCUCAAAGGCAUAGAUUCUUUCAAGCAGAAAGACAAUAUGAUCAAUAAUCUAAACGGUUCUCAGCAAUGCUGCAAAAACCUCAAGAAACGCUUGGCUAAGAUGGGGUCAGGAUUGAUUUUAUAAUACUCCCCCUUUAGUACCACAAUAUGCACAAGUCUCAUUAAAAACUCACCCAAAAACCUAGUGGGGAAAAAAGGCUUCAAAGAAAAGAGAACAUUAUAUCCAUAAUUGGGCAAAUAGUUGUUGCAAGAUGCUAUUUGAAAACGCCUGCUGUAGUCUAUAGGCCUACAGAGCUGGAUGUUCGAAUCCCACAGGAGUAAGUGCUGGGAGGAACUGUGGAAUAAAAACAUUAGGAGCAAGUGAGGACUCGGCAAAUAUCUCGGUAGCCAUUGUUGUUUGAACGUUGCUAGUUCAUUUUAUUUGGUAUGUUUCUAAUGCUCUCAAUGUUGUGGCGAUGGGAUAACUACUGAUUCAAGGCCUAUUUACAAAAAUAAGGGCUCAUGUAUAUCUAUAUAGAUAUUGACAUUUGUCAAACAACAGAUAAGCUAUAUAUGAUAUGACACCUAGUCAAUUUUGACAUUUAGUUAUCAAUUAGGCUGGUAAGCUUAAUCAUUCGGACUAGGCAAAAAUUUUGGGCUAAGGAUAUUCAAUAUGGCUAAAAUAUUUAAAAAGAACAACUUCAAUUCACUCCUAAUCCAAACGAGGGAAAAACCUUUUCAUGGACUUUGUUACUAUUCCUUUUUUAUUUAUGAAGGAAUUAAUUGUAUGACUGUGAAAUAAUGACUGCAGUUGUUGUGCUCACUGAAAGAGCAAGGAGCGCAAGGAGGGCAAAUAUCAUGGGCUCCAAAUAUUUCCUUACAUGUUGUAUUAUAGGGUCAUGCACAAUUUGGGUUCUAGCAAAAAACAUAUGCACCAAAUAUUUACUAAAAACAAUAACUAAGAGGUAAGACUUCGCGCGAACAACUUUGCACACACAUAUAGGUUUACUCAUGAACUUAUAUUAUGUUUUGCUUGGUAUAUGUGCACCUGAUUUGAGUGUUCACGGUCAAAGCAUAUGUGCCAAUCACUUUCUCAAAAGAACAUAUCACAGAUUUAAGUACUCAACUACAAGCACGUACAGUCACAUCUAUCUUAUAAACACACAAGCACACAUCCAAACAAGAACAUUCAAGCGGUUCGAGCUGGCACAUCUUUGGCUUGGUGAAGUAUGCGGUAUUGUCUACAUAUUAACCAAGCAUGUAUCUUUAAUUUUGAUUUGAUGUUUUCAAAUGAAUAUACAAAGAACACUCUUAAGAAAUUGACUCAAAUUAAUUCUCAAACAAUAUAUUGAUUAUUUAUUGGAAGUUGCACACGCCGAUAUAUAUGAGACCUUUGUUAUGAAGUACAACUCAUAUGUAAUCUAGAAGAUGGCACUUCCAACGAUGGGUUGCUGCCAUGAAAAGGCAGGGUUCAUCAAAGAUAUCUGGUUGAAUGGCAACAAUUGUUGCUGCUGCAGGAAGGCGGCAGCCAAUGGGUUAGCAGCUACCACUGGAUUAACACGAAGCAGCUGUUGUUGUUGCAGGUAUGCGGCGGUGUUCGUCACAGCGAGUUGGUUGAAUGGAAGCAGCUGUUGUUGUUGCAAGUAGGCGGCCGGGUUCACCAAGGCUAGUUGACUGAGUGCUGGUAGGAUUUGUUGCAGCUGCUGUUGUUGCAAGUAUGCAGCAGCAUUGGCCGCAACCAGUGGGUUGUAUGCAAGUUGUUGUUGUUGCAGGUAGGCGGCAGGGUUUGCCAUGGCUACCUGACUGAUCACUGGCAGGACCUGUUGUAGUUGUUGCUGCUGGUAUGCAGCAUUGUUCACCAGAGCCAGUGGGUUGGAUGCAAGUAGUUGUUGUUGCAAGUAGGCCACAGGGUUUGCCAGGGCUAGUUGACUGAGUGCUGGUAGGAACUGUUGCUGCUGCUGCUGCGCUGCGAUGGUCUGUACGGUUAGAUGAGCCGAGGAUUGUUGUUGCAAUUGGGCAAAUGGUUGUUGUAAGAUGCUAUUCGCAAGCGCCUGCUGUAGUCUGUAAGCCUGCAGAGCCGGGUGUUCGAAUCCCACAAGAGUAAGUGGUGGGAGGAACUGUGAAAUAAUAGCAUUAGGAGCAAGUGAGCACUGCGGAAUAAUGACUGCAGUUGUUGUGCUCACUGAAAGAGCAAGGAGCGCAAGGAGGACAAAUAUCUUGGUAGCCAUUGUUGUGAGGACGUUGAUGUUUGUUUCCCUUGGUAUGUUUCUGAUUGCUCUCAGUGUUAUGGGCGAUGGAUUAACUACUGAUCUAGGGCCUAUAUAUUUAUACAAGUGAGGGCUCCUGUUUAGAUUUUGCCUUUUUUCAAACAACAGAUAAGCUAUAGAUGACAUGGCACCUAGUCAAUUUUGACAUUUAGUUAUUAUUUUUGUUGGAUUAUAUGGUCUAUGUAUGAAAGACAAUUUCCACUAAGUACAAGGAACACUUGUUGUUUUCUAUUGGAGUUUUUUUUGAUACAAUAGAAAUAACAUGCAUGAUCACUUCACCUUUACACAUGUUACAACCUUAGCCACAUCAUAAAUGUCCACUUUAUAUACAUGGCGAGUAUGUAAAGUUAUGACUUGCUCAUGUGGAUCAAAGCCUUUAUCAAUGGACGUUCUUGUAGUAUUGUACUCAUGGUUGAAGAUAGCACGGUAGUUAGGUGAGAAGUUACUCAAUGAAUAAACAAAUGCUAAAGAUUGAGACUAAAUAAAAAUACCCUUAUGUACACAUAGAAUUUAUAAAUUUAGAAUGCUUAUAGCCAAACAUGACAGUUGCCACACACUCCCUGUGUUCCUUGUUACAAUUUAUUUUUGAAUUAUCUAUACCCAACAUUGUAUAACUAUCAAAAAGUUUUAAAUAAACUUUGACGAGAAUAAGCGCUAUCAUGACAUUAUCAUUAAUAAUUCAAUGAAAAAACUUGAUGUUCAAAAUUUUAGAUAGAUUUAGUAAGAAGUAAGUGAAAGUUAGGGGAGUUAGCGAAAACCUAGAGCAUGUAAUAAACUAGAGUGGAGGGAGUAUUUGUUGAACUAUAGCUAUUGAUUCGAAUUAAUUUACAUCAAGCUUGUCAAAGUUAACUUGUUUCCAUAUAGAAUAGACAAUGACAAAUUUUAUGCAACUUUUCUUCCUUCCACUACCUACAAUACGAGUCUAAGCUUCAAUAUACAUACGAAGAGGACCGUGGCCAUCCUCCUAGCUAUCUUACAUAUAAGUUAGAGCUCAAAGGCAUAGAUUCUUUCAAGCAGAAAGACAAUAUGAUCAAUAAUCUCAACGGUUCUCACCAAUGCUGCAAAAACCUCAAGAAACGCUUGGCUAAGAUGGGGUCAGGAUUGAUUUUAUAAUACUCCCCCUUUAGUACCACAAUAUGCACAAGUCUCAUUAAAAACUCACCCAAAAACCUAGUGGGGAAAAAAGGCUUCAAAGAAAAGAGAACAUUAUAUCCAUAAUUGGGCAAAUAGUUGUUGCAAGAUGCUAUUUGAAAACGCCUGCUGUAGUCUAUAGGCCUACAGAGCUGGAUGUUCGAAUCCCAUAGGAGUAAGUGCUGGGAGGAACUGUGGAAUAAAAACAUUAGGAGCAAGUGAGCACUCGGCAAAUAUCUCGGUAGCCAUUGUUGUUUGAACGUUGCUAGUUCAUUUUAUUUGGUAUGUUUCUAAUGCUCUCAAUGUUGUGGCGAUGGGAUAACUACUGAUUCAAGGCCUAUUUACAAAAAUAAGGGCUCAUGUAUAUCUAUUUAGAUAUUGACAUUUGUCAAACAACAGAUAAGCUAUAUAUGAUAUGGCACUUAGUCAAUUUUGACAUUUAGUUAUCAAUUAGGCUGGUAAGCUUAAUCAUUCGGACUAGGCAAAAAUUUUGGGCUAAGGAUAUUCAAUAUGGCUAAAAUAUUUAAAAAGAACAACUUCAAUUCACUCCUAAUCCAAACGAGGGAAAAACCUUUUCAUGGACUUUGUUACUAUUCCUUUUUUAUUUAUGAAGAAAUUAAUUGUAUGACUGUGAAAUAAUGACUGCAGUUGUUGUGCUCACUGAAAGAGCAAGGAGCGCAAGGAGGGCAAAUAUCAUGGGCUCCAAAUAUUUCCUUACAUGUUGUAUUAUAGGGUCAUGCACAAUUUGGGUUCUAGCAAAAAACAUAUGCACCAAAUUUUUACUAAAAACAAUAACUAAGAGGUAAGACUUCGCGCGAACAACUUUGCACACACAUAUAGGUUUACUCAUGAACUUAUAUUAUGUUUUGCUUGGUAUAUGUGCACCUGAUUUGAGUGUUCACGGUCAAAGCAUAUGUGCCAAUCACUUUCUCAAAAGAACAUAUCACAGAUUUAAGUACUCAACUACAAGCACGUACAGUCACAUCUAUCUUAUAAACACACAAGCACACAUCCAAACAAGAACAUUCAAGCGGUUCGAGCUUGCACAUCUUUGGCUUGGUGAAGUAUGCGGUAUUGUCUACAUAUUAACCAAGCAUGUAUCUUUAAUUUUGAUUUGAUGUUUUCAAAUGAAUAUACAAAGAACACUCUUAAGAAAUUGACUCAAAUUAAUUCUCAAACAAUAUAUUGAUUAUUUAUUGGAAGUUGCACACGCCGAUAUAUAUGAGACCUUUGUUAUGAAGUACAACUCAUAUGUAAUCUAGAAGAUGGCACUUCCAACGAUGGGUUGCUGCCAUGAAAAGGCAGGGUUCAUCAAAGAUAUCUGGUUGAAUGGCAACAAUUGUUGCUGCUGCAGGAAGGCGGCAGCCAAUGGGUUAGCAGCUACCACUGGAUUAACACGAAGCAGCUGUUGUUGUUGCAGGUAUGCGGCGGUGUUCGUCACAGCGAGUUGGUUGAAUGGAAGCAGCUGUUGUUGUUGCAAGUAGGCGGCCGGGUUCACCAAGGCUAGUUGACUGAGUGCUGGUAGGAUUUGUUGCAGCUGCUGUUGUUGCAAGUAUGCAGCAGCAUUGGCCGCAACCAGUGGGUUGUAUGCAAGUUGUUGUUGUUGCAGGUAGGCGGCAGGGUUUGCCAUGGCUACCUGACUGAUCACUGGCAGGACCUGUUGUAGUUGUUGUUGCUGGUAUGCAGCAUUGUUCACCAGAGCCAGUGGGUUGGAUGCAAGUAGUUGUUGUUGCACGUAGGCCACAGGGUUUGCCAGGGCUAGUUGACUGAGUGCUGGUAGUAACUGUUGCUGCUGCUGCUGCUGCGCUGCGAUGGUCUGUCCGGUUAGAUGAGCCAAGGAUUGUUGUUGCAAUUGGGCAAAUGGUUGUUGUAAGAUGCUAUUCGCAAGCGCCUGCUGUAGUCUGUAAGCCUGCAGAGCCGGGUGUUCGAAUCCCACAAGAGUAAGUGGUGGGAGGAACUGUGAAAUAAUAGCAUUAGGAGCAAGUGAGCACUGCGGAAUAAUGACUGCAGUUGUUGUGCUCACUGAAAGAGCAAGGAGCGCAAGGAGGACAAAUAUCUUGGUAGCCAUUGUUGUGAGGACGUUGAUGUUUGUUUCCCUUGGUAUGUUUCUGAUUGCUCUCAGUGUUAUGGGCGAUGGAUUAACUACUGAUCUAGGGCCUAUAUAUUUAUACAAGUGAGGGCUCCUGUUUAGAUUUUGCCUUUUUUCAAACAACAGAUAAGCUAUAGAUGACAUGGCACCUAGUCAAUUUUGACAUUUAGUUAUUAUUUUUGUUGGAUUAUAUGGUCUAUGUAUGAAAGACAAUUUCCACUAAGUACAAGGAACACUUGUUGUUUUCUAUUGGAGUUUUUUUUGAUACAAUAGAAAUAACAUGCAUGAUCACUUCACCUUUACACAUGUUACAACCUUAGCCACAUCAUAAAUGUCCACUCUAUAUACAUGGCGAGUAUGUAAAGUUAUGACUUGCUCAUGUGGAUCAAAGCCUUUAUCAACGGACGUUCUUGUAGUAUUGUACUCAUGGUUGAAGAUAGCACGGUAGUUAGGCGACAAGUUACUCAAUGAAUAAACAAAUGCUAAAGAUUGAGACUAAAUAAAAAUACCAUUAUGUACACAUAGAAUUUAUAAAUUUAGAAUGCUUAUAGCCAAACAUGACAGUUGCCACACACUCCCUGUGUUCCUUGUUACAAUUUAUUUUUGAAUUAUCUAUACCCAACAUUGUAUAACUAUCAAAAAGUUUUAAAUAAACUUUGAUGAGAAUAAGCGCUAUCAUGACAUUAUCAUUAAUAAUUCAAUGAAAAAACUUGAUGUUCAAAAUUUUAGAUAGAUUUAGUAGGAAGUAAGUGAAAGUUAGGGGAGUCAGCGAAAACCUAGAGCAUGUAAUAAACUAGAGUGGAGGGAGUAUUUGUUGAACUAUAGCUAUUGAUUCGAAUUAAUUUACAUCAAGCUUGUCAAAGUUAACUUGUUUCCAUAUAGAAUAGACAAUGACAAAUUUUAUGCAACUUUUCUUCCUUCCACUACCUACAAUACGAGUCUAAGCUUCAAUAUACAUACGAAGAGGACCGUGGCCAUCCUCCUAGCUAUCUUACAUAUAAGUUAGAGCUCAAAGGCAUAGAUUCUUUCAAGCAGAAAGACAAUAUGAUCAAUAAUCUAAACGGUUCUCAGCAAUGCUGUAAAAACCUCAAGAAACGCUUGGCUAAGAUGGGGUCAGGAUUGAUUUUAUAAUACUCCCCCUUUAGUACCACAAUAUGCACAAGUCUCAUUAAAAACUCACCCAAAAACCUAGUGGGGAAAAAAGGCUUCAAAGAAAAGAGAACAUUAUAUCCAUAAUUGGGCAAAUAGUUGUUGCAAGAUGCUAUUUGAAAACGCCUGCUGUAGUCUAUAGGCCUACAGAGCUGGAUGUUCGAAUCCCACAGGAGUAACUGCUGGGAGGAACUGUGGAAUAAAAACAUUAGGAGCAAGUGAGCACUCGGCAAAUAUCUCGGUAGCCAGUGUUGUUUGAACGUUGCUAGUUCAUUUUAUUUGGUAUGUUUCUAAUGCUCUCAAUGUUGUGGCGAUGGGAUAACUACUGAUUCAAGGCCUAUUUACAAAAAUAAGGGCUCAUGUAUAUCUAUUUAGAUAUUGACAUUUGUCAAACAACAGAUAAGCUAUAUAUGAUAUGGCACCUAGUCAAUUUUGACAUUUAGUUAUCAAUUAGGCUGGUAAGCUUAAUCAUUCGGACUAGGCAAAAAUUUUGGGCUAAGGAUAUUCAAUAUGGCUAAAAUAUUUAAAAAGAACAACUUCAAUUCACUCCUAAUCCAAACGAGGGAAAAACCUUUUCAUGGACUUUGUUACUAUUCCUUUUUUAUUUAUGAAGGAAUUAAUUGUAUGACUGUGAAAUAAUGACUGCAGUUGUUGUGCUCACUGAAAGAGCAAGGAGCGCAAGGAGGGCAAAUAUCAUGGGCUCCAAAUAUUUCCUUACAUGUUGUAUUAUAGGGUCAUGCACAAUUUGGGUUCUAGCAAAAAACAUAUGCACCAAAUAUUUACUAAAAACAAUAACUAAGAGGUAAGACUUCGCGCGAACAACUUUGCACACACAUAUAGGUUUACUCAUGAACUUAUAUUAUGUUUUGCUUGGUAUAUGUGCACCUGAUUUGAGUGUUCACGGUCAAAGCAUAUGUGCCAAUCACUUUCUCAAAAGAACAUAUCACAGAUUUAAGUACUCAACUACAAGCACGUACAGUCACAUCUAUCUUAUAAACACACAAGCACACAUCCAAACAAGAACAUUCAAGCGGUUCGAGCUGGCACAUCUUUGGCUUGGUGAAGUAUGCGGUAUUGUCUACAUAUUAACCAAGCAUGUAUCUUUAAUUUUGAUUUGAUGUUUUCAAAUGAAUAUACAAAGAACACUCUUAAGAAAUUGACUCAAAUUAAUUCUCAAACAAUAUAUUGAUUAUUUAUUGGAAGUUGCACACGCCGAUAUAUAUGAGACCUUUGUUAUGAAGUACAACUCAUAUGUAAUCUAGAAGAUGGCACUUCCAACGAUGGGUUGCUGCCAUGAAAAGGCAGGGUUCAUCAAAGAUAUCUGGUUGAAUGGCAACAAUUGUUGCUGCUGCAGGAAGGCGGCAGCCAAUGGGUUAGCAGCUACCACUGGAUUAACACGAAGCAGCUGUUGUUGUUGCAGGUAUGCGGCGGUGUUCGUCAUAGCGAGUUGGUUGAAUGGAAGCAGCUGUUGUUGUUGCAAGUAGGCGGCCGGGUUGACCAAGGCUAGUUGACUGAGUGCUGGUAGGAUUUGUUGCAGCUGCUGUUGUUGCAAGUAUGCAGCAGCAUUGGCCGCAACCAGUGGGUUGUAUGCAAGUUGUUGUUGUUGCAGGUAGGCGGCAGGGUUUGCCAUGGCUACCUGACUGAUCACUGGCAGGACCUGUUGUAGUUGUUGCUGCUGGUAUGCAGCAUUGUUCACCAGAGCCAGUGGGUUGGAUGCAAGUAGUUGUUGUUGCAAGUAGGCCACAGGGUUUGCCAGGGCUAGUUGACUGAGUGCUGGUAGGAACUGUUGCUGCUGCUGCUGCGCUGCGAUGGUCUGUACGGUUAGAUGAGCCGAGGAUUGUUGUUGCAAUUGGGCAAAUGGUUGUUGUAAGAUGCUAUUCGCAAGCGCCUGCUGUAGUCUGUAAGCCUGCAGAGCCGGGUGUUCGAAUCCCACAAGAGUAAGUGGUGGGAGGAACUGUGAAAUAAUAGCAUUAGGAGCAAGUGAGCACUGCGGAAUAAUGACUGCAGUUGUUGUGCUCACUGAAAGAGCAAGGAGCGCAAGGAGGACAAAUAUCUUGGUAGCCAUUGUUGUGAGGACGUUGAUGUUUGUUUCCCUUGGUAUGUUUCUGAUUGCUCUCAGUGUUAUGGGCGAUGGAUUAACUACUGAUCUAGGGCCUAUAUAUUUAUACAAGUGAGGGCUCCUGUUUAGAUUUUGCCUUUUUUCAAACAACAGAUAAGCUAUAGAUGACAUGGCACCUAGUCAAUUUUGACAUUUAGUUAUUAUUUUUGUUGGAUUAUAUGGUCCAUGUAUGAAAGACAAUUUCCACUAAGUACAAGGAACACUUGUUGUUUUCUAUUGGAGUUUUUUUUGAUACAAUAGAAAUAACAUGCAUGAUCACUUCACCUUUACACAUGUUACAACCUUAGCCACAUCAUAAAUGUCCACUUUAUAUACAUGGCGAGUAUGUAAAGUUAUGACUUGCUCAUGUGGAUCAAAGCCUUUAUCAACGGACGUUCUUGUAGUAUUGUACUCAUGGUUGAAGAUAGCACGGUAGUUAGGUGAGAAGUUACUCAAUGAAUAAACAAAUGCUAAAGAUUGAGACUAAAUAAAAAUACCCUUAUGUACACAUAGAAUUUAUAAAUUUAGAAUGCUUAUAGCCAAACAUGACAGUUGCCACACACUCCCUGUGUUCCUUGUUACAAUUUAUUUUUGAAUUAUCUAUACCCAACAUUGUAUAACUAUCAAAAAGUUUUAAAUAAACUUUGACGAGAAUAAGCGCUAUCAUGACAUUAUCAUUAAUAAUUCAAUGAAAAAACUUGAUGUUCAAAAUUUUAGAUAGAUUUAGUAGGAAGUAAGUGAAAGUUAGGGGAGUUAGCGAAAACCUAGAGCAUGUAAUAAACUAGAGUGGAGGGAGUAUUUGUUGAACUAUAGCUAUUGAUUCGAAUUAAUUUACAUCAAGCUUGUCAAAGUUAACUUGUUUCCAUAUAGAAUAGACAAUGACAAAUUUUAUGCAACUUUUCUUCCUUCCACUACCUACAAUACGAGUCUAAGCUUCAAUAUACAUACGAAGAGGACCGUGGCCAUCCUCCUAGCUAUCUUACAUAUAAGUUAGAGCUCAAAGGCAUAGAUUCUUUCAAGCAGAAAGACAAUAUGAUCAAUAAUCUAAACGGUUCUCAGCAAUGCUGCAAAAACCUCAAGAAACGCUUGGCUAAGAUGGGGUCAGGAUUGAUUUUAUAAUACUCCCCCUUUAGUACCACAAUAUGCACAAGUCUCAUUAAAAACUCACCCAAAAACCUAGUGGGGAAAAAAGGCUUCAAAGAAAAGAGAACAUUAUAUCCAUAAUUGGGCAAAUAGUUGUUGCAAGAUGCUAUUUGAAAACGCCUGCUGUAGUCUAUAGGCCUACAGAGCUGGAUGUUCGAAUCCCAUAGGAGUAAGUGCUGGGAGGAACUGUGGAAUAAAAACAUUAGGAGCAAGUGAGCACUCGGCAAAUAUCUCGGUAGCCAUUGUUGUUUGAACGUUGCUAGUUCAUUUUAUUUGGUAUGUUUCUAAUGCUCUCAAUGUUGUGGCGAUGGGAUAACUACUGAUUCAAGGCCUAUUUACAAAAAUAAGGGCUCAUGUAUAUCUAUUUAGAUAUUGACAUUUGUCAAACAACAGAUAAGCUAUAUAUGAUAUGGCACUUAGUCAAUUUUGACAUUUAGUUAUCAAUUAGGCUGGUAAGCUUAAUCAUUCGGACUAGGCAAAAAUUUUGGGCUAAGGAUAUUCAAUAUGGCUAAAAUAUUUAAAAAGAACAACUUCAAUUCACUCCUAAUCCAAACGAGGGAAAAACCUUUUCAUGGACUUUGUUACUAUUCCUUUUUUAUUUAUGAAGGAAUUAAUUGUAUGACUGUGAAAUAAUGACUGCAGUUGUUGUGCUCACUGAAAGAGCAAGGAGCGCAAGGAGGGCAAAUAUCAUGGGCUCCAAAUAUUUCCUUACAUGUUGUAUUAUAGGGUCAUGCACAAUUUGGGUUCUAGCAAAAAACAUAUGCACCAAAUAUUUACUAAAAACAAUAACUAAGAGGUAAGACUUCGCGCGAACAACUUUGCACACACAUAUAGGUUUACUCAUGAACUUAUAUUAUGUUUUGCUUGGUAUAUGUGCACCUGAUUUGAGUGUUCACGGUCAAAGCAUAUGUGCCAAUCACUUUCUCAAAAGAACAUAUCACAGAUUUAAGUACUCAACUACAAGCACGUACAGUCACAUCUAUCUUAUAAACACACAAGCACACAUCCAAACAAGAACAUUCAAGCGGUUCGAGCUGGCACAUCUUUGGCUUGGUGAAGUAUGCGGUAUUGUCUACAUAUUAACCAAGCAUGCAUCUUUAAUUUUGAUUUGAUGUUUUCAAAUGAAUAUACAAAGAACACUCUUAAGAAAUUGACUCAAAUUAAUUCUCAAACAAUAUAUUGAUUAUUUAUUGGAAGUUGCACACGCCGAUAUAUAUGAGACCUUUGUUAUGAAGUACAACUCAUAUGUAAUCUAGAAGAUGGCACUUCCAACGAUGGGUUGCUGCCAUGAAAAGGCAGGGUUCAUCAAAGAUAUCUGGUUGAAUGGCAACAAUUGUUGCUGCUGCAGGAAGGCGGCAGCCAAUGGGUUAGCAGCUACCACUGGAUUAACACGAAGCAGCUGUUGUUGUUGCAGGUAUGCGGCGGUGUUCGUCACAGCGAGUUGGUUGAAUGGAAGCAGCUGUUGUUGUUGCAAGUAGGCGGCCGGGUUCACCAAGGCUAGUUGACUGAGUGCUGGUAGGAUUUGUUGCAGCUGUUGUUGUUGCAAGUAUGCAGCAGCAUUGGCCGCAACCAGUGGGUUGUAUGCAAGUUGUUGUUGUUGCAGGUAGGCGGCAGGGUUUGCCAUGGCUACCUGACUGAUCACUGGCAGGACCUGUUGUAGUUGUUGUUGCUGGUAUGCAGCAUUGUUCACCAGAGCCAGUGGGUUGGAUGCAAGUAGUUGUUGUUGCAAGUAGGCCACAGGGUUUGCCAGGGCUAGUUGACUGAGUGCUGGUAGGAACUGUUGCUGCUGCUGCUGCGCUGCGAUGGUCUGUACGGUUAGAUGAGCCGAGGAUUGUUGUUGCAAUUGGGGAAAUGGUUGUUGUAAGAUGCUAUUCGCAAGCGCCUGCUGUAGUCUGUAAGCCUGCAGAGCCGGGUGUUCGAAUCCCACAAGAGUAAGUGGUGGGAGGAACUGUGAAAUAAUAGCAUUAGGAGCAAGUGAGCACUGCGGAAUAAUGACUGCAGUUGUUGUGCUCACUGAAAGAGCAAGGAGCGCAAGGAGGACAAAUAUCUUGGUAGCCAUUGUUGUGAGGACGUUGAUGUUUGUUUCCCUUGGUAUGUUUCUGAUUGCUCUCAGUGUUAUGGGCGAUGGAUUAACUACUGAUCUAGGGCCUAUAUAUUUAUACAAGUGAGGGCUCCUGUUUAGAUUUUGCCUUUUUUCAAACAACAGAUAAGCUAUAGAUGACAUGGCACCUAGUCAAUUUUGACAUUUAGUUAUUAUUUUUGUUGGAUUAUAUGGUCCAUGUAUGAAAGACAAUUUCCACUAAGUACAAGGAACACUUGUUGUUUUCUAUUGGAGUUUUUUUUGAUACAAUAGAAAUAACAUGCAUGAUCACUUCACCUUUACACAUGUUACAACCUUAGCCACAUCAUAAAUGUCCACUUUAUAUACAUGGCGAGUAUGUAAAGUUAUGACUUGCUCAUGUGGAUCAAAGCCUUUAUCAACGGACGUUCUUGUAGUAUUGUACUCAUGGUUGAAGAUAGCACGGUAGUUAGGUGAGAAGUUACUCAAUGAAUAAACAAAUGCUAAAGAUUGAGACUAAAUAAAAAUACCCUUAUGUACACAUAGAAUUUAUAAAUUUAGAAUGCUUAUAGCCAAACAUGACAGUUGCCACACACUCCCUGUGUUCCUUGUUACAAUUUAUUUUUGAAUUAUCUAUACCCAACAUUGUAUAACUAUCAAAAAGUUUUAAAUAAACUUUGACGAGAAUAAGCGCUAUCAUGACAUUAUCAUUAAUAAUUCAAUGAAAAAACUUGAUGUUCAAAAUUUUAGAUAGAUUUAGUAGGAAGUAAGUGAAAGUUAGGGGAGUUAGCGAAAACCUAGAGCAUGUAAUAAACUAGAGUGGAGGGAGUAUUUGUUGAACUAUAGCUAUUGAUUCGAAUUAAUUUACAUCAAGCUUGUCAAAGUUAACUUGUUUCCAUAUAGAAUAGACAAUGACAAAUUUUAUGCAACUUUUCUUCCUUCCACUACCUACAAUACGAGUCUAAGCUUCAAUAUACAUACGAAGAGGACCGUGGCCAUCCUCCUAGCUAUCUUACAUAUAAGUUAGAGCUCAAAGGCAUAGAUUCUUUCAAGCAGAAAGACAAUAUGAUCAAUAAUCUAAACGGUUCUCAGCAAUGCUGCAAAAACCUCAAGAAACGCUUGGCUAAGAUGGGGUCAGGAUUGAUUUUAUAAUACUCCCCCUUUAGUACCACAAUAUGCACAAGUCUCAUUAAAAACUCACCCAAAAACCUAGUGGGGAAAAAAGGCUUCAAAGAAAAGAGAACAUUAUAUCCAUAAUUGGGCAAAUAGUUGUUGCAAGAUGCUAUUUGAAAACGCCUGCUGUAGUCUAUAGGCCUACAGAGCUGGAUGUUCGAAUCCCAUAGGAGUAAGUGCUGGGAGGAACUGUGGAAUAAAAACAUUAGGAGCAAGUGAGCACUCGGCAAAUAUCUCGGUAGCCAUUGUUGUUUGAACGUUGCUAGUUCAUUUUAUUUGGUAUGUUUCUAAUGCUCUCAAUGUUGUGGCGAUGGGAUAACUACUGAUUCAAGGCCUAUUUACAAAAAUAAGGGCUCAUGUAUAUCUAUUUAGAUAUUGACAUUUGUCAAACAACAGAUAAGCUAUAUAUGAUAUGGCACUUAGUCAAUUUUGACAUUUAGUUAUCAAUUAGGCUGGUAAGCUUAAUCAUUCGGACUAGGCAAAAAUUUUGGGCUAAGGAUAUUCAAUAUGGCUAAAAUAUUUAAAAAGAACAACUUCAAUUCACUCCUAAUCCAAACGAGGGAAAAACCUUUUCAUGGACUUUGUUACUAUUCCUUUUUUAUUUAUGAAGGAAUUAAUUGUAUGACUGUGAAAUAAUGACUGCAGUUGUUGUGCUCACUGAAAGAGCAAGGAGCGCAAGGAGGGCAAAUAUCAUGGGCUCCAAAUAUUUCCUUACAUGUUGUAUUAUAGGGUCAUGCACAAUUUGGGUUCUAGCAAAAAACAUAUGCACCAAAUAUUUACUAAAAACAAUAACUAAGAGGUAAGACUUCGCGCGAACAACUUUGCACACACAUAUAGGUUUACUCAUGAACUUAUAUUAUGUUUUGCUUGGUAUAUGUGCACCUGAUUUGAGUGUUCACGGUCAAAGCAUAUGUGCCAAUCACUUUCUCAAAAGAACAUAUCACAGAUUUAAGUACUCAACUACAAGCACGUACAGUCACAUCUAUCUUAUAAACACACAAGCACACAUCCAAACAAGAACAUUCAAGCGGUUCGAGCUGGCACAUCUUUGGCUUGGUGAAGUAUGCGGUAUUGUCUACAUAUUAACCAAGCAUGCAUCUUUAAUUUUGAUUUGAUGUUUUCAAAUGAAUAUACAAAGAACACUCUUAAGAAAUUGACUCAAAUUAAUUCUCAAACAAUAUAUUGAUUAUUUAUUGGAAGUUGCACACGCCGAUAUAUAUGAGACCUUUGUUAUGAAGUACAACUCAUAUGUAAUCUAGAAGAUGGCACUUCCAACGAUGGGUUGCUGCCAUGAAAAGGCAGGGUUCAUCAAAGAUAUCUGGUUGAAUGGCAACAAUUGUUGCUGCUGCAGGAAGGCGGCAGCCAAUGGGUUAGCAGCUACCACUGGAUUAACACGAAGCAGCUGUUGUUGUUGCAGGUAUGCGGCGGUGUUCGUCACAGCGAGUUGGUUGAAUGGAAGCAGCUGUUGUUGUUGCAAGUAGGCGGCCGGGUUCACCAAGGCUAGUUGACUGAGUGCUGGUAGGAUUUGUUGCAGCUGUUGUUGUUGCAAGUAUGCAGCAGCAUUGGCCGCAACCAGUGGGUUGUAUGCAAGUUGUUGUUGUUGCAGGUAGGCGGCAGGGUUUGCCAUGGCUACCUGACUGAUCACUGGCAGGACCUGUUGUAGUUGUUGUUGCUGGUAUGCAGCAUUGUUCACCAGAGCCAGUGGGUUGGAUGCAAGUAGUUGUUGUUGCAAGUAGGCCACAGGGUUUGCCAGGGCUAGUUGACUGAGUGCUGGUAGUAACUGUUGCUGCUGCUGCUGCUGCGCUGCGAUGGUCUGUCCGGUUAGAUGAGCCAAGGAUUGUUGUUGCAAUUGGGCAAAUGGUUGUUGUAAGAUGCUAUUCGCAAGCGCCUGCUGUAGUCUGUAAGCCUGCAGAGCCGGGUGUUCGAAUCCCACAAGAGUAAGUGGUGGGAGGAACUGUGAAAUAAUAGCAUUAGGAGCAAGUGAGCACUGCGGAAUAAUGACUGCAGUUGUUGUGCUCACUGAAAGAGCAAGGAGCGCAAGGAGGACAAAUAUCUUGGUAGCCAUUGUUGUGAGGACGUUGAUGUUUGUUUCCCUUGGUAUGUUUCUGAUUGCUCUCAGUGUUAUGGGCGAUGGAUUAACUACUGAUCUAGGGCCUAUAUAUUUAUACAAGUGAGGGCUCCUGUUUAGAUUUUGCCUUUUUUCAAACAACAGAUAAGCUAUAGAUGACAUGGCACCUAGUCAAUUUUGACAUUUAGUUAUUAUUUUUGUUGGAUUAUAUGGUCCAUGUAUGAAAGACAAUUUCCACUAAGUACAAGGAACACUUGUUGUUUUCUAUUGGAGUUUUUUUUGAUACAAUAGAAAUAACAUGCAUGAUCACUUCACCUUUACACAUGUUACAACCUUAGCCACAUCAUAAAUGUCCACUUUAUAUACAUGGCGAGUAUGUAAAGUUAUGACUUGCUCAUGUGGAUCAAAGCCUUUAUCAACGGACGUUCUUGUAGUAUUGUACUCAUGGUUGAAGAUAGCACGGUAGUUAGGUGAGAAGUUACUCAAUGAAUAAACAAAUGCUAAAGAUUGAGACUAAAUAAAAAUACCCUUAUGUACACAUAGAAUUUAUAAAUUUAGAAUGCUUAUAGCCAAACAUGACAGUUGCCACACACUCCCUGUGUUCCUUGUUACAAUUUAUUUUUGAAUUAUCUAUACCCAACAUUGUAUAACUAUCAAAAAGUUUUAAAUAAACUUUGACGAGAAUAAGCGCUAUCAUGACAUUAUCAUUAAUAAUUCAAUGAAAAAACUUGAUGUUCAAAAUUUUAGAUAGAUUUAGUAGGAAGUAAGUGAAAGUUAGGGGAGUUAGCGAAAACCUAGAGCAUGUAAUAAACUAGAGUGGAGGGAGUAUUUGUUGAACUAUAGCUAUUGAUUCGAAUUAAUUUACAUCAAGCUUGUCAAAGUUAACUUGUUUCCAUAUAGAAUAGACAAUGACAAAUUUUAUGCAACUUUUCUUCCUUCCACUACCUACAAUACGAGUCUAAGCUUCAAUAUACAUACGAAGAGGACCGUGGCCAUCCUCCUAGCUAUCUUACAUAUAAGUUAGAGCUCAAAGGCAUAGAUUCUUUCAAGCAGAAAGACAAUAUGAUCAAUAAUCUAAACGGUUCUCAGCAAUGCUGCAAAAACCUCAAGAAACGCUUGGCUAAGAUGGGGUCAGGAUUGAUUUUAUAAUACUCCCCCUUUAGUACCACAAUAUGCACAAGUCUCAUUAAAAACUCACCCAAAAACCUAGUGGGGAAAAAAGGCUUCAAAGAAAAGAGAACAUUAUAUCCAUAAUUGGGCAAAUAGUUGUUGCAAGAUGCUAUUUGAAAACGCCUGCUGUAGUCUAUAGGCCUACAGAGCUGGAUGUUCGAAUCCCAUAGGAGUAAGUGCUGGGAGGAACUGUGGAAUAAAAACAUUAGGAGCAAGUGAGCACUCGGCAAAUAUCUCGGUAGCCAUUGUUGUUUGAACGUUGCUAGUUCAUUUUAUUUGGUAUGUUUCUAAUGCUCUCAAUGUUGUGGCGAUGGGAUAACUACUGAUUCAAGGCCUAUUUACAAAAAUAAGGGCUCAUGUAUAUCUAUUUAGAUAUUGACAUUUGUCAAACAACAGAUAAGCUAUAUAUGAUAUGGCACUUAGUCAAUUUUGACAUUUAGUUAUCAAUUAGGCUGGUAAGCUUAAUCAUUCGGACUAGGCAAAAAUUUUGGGCUAAGGAUAUUCAAUAUGGCUAAAAUAUUUAAAAAGAACAACUUCAAUUCACUCCUAAUCCAAACGAGGGAAAAACCUUUUCAUGGACUUUGUUACUAUUCCUUUUUUAUUUAUGAAGAAAUUAAUUGUAUGACUGUGAAAUAAUGACUGCAGUUGUUGUGCUCACUGAAAGAGCAAGGAGCGCAAGGAGGGCAAAUAUCAUGGGCUCCAAAUAUUUCCUUACAUGUUGUAUUAUAGGGUCAUGCACAAUUUGGGUUCUAGCAAAAAACAUAUGCACCAAAUAUUUACUAAAAACAAUAACUAAGAGGUAAGACUUCGCGCGAACAACUUUGCACACACAUAUAGGUUUACUCAUGAACUUAUAUUAUGUUUUGCUUGGUAUAUGUGCACCUGAUUUGAGUGUUCACGGUCAAAGCAUAUGUGCCAAUCACUUUCUCAAAAGAACAUAUCACAGAUUUAAGUACUCAACUACAAGCACGUACAGUCACAUCUAUCUUAUAAACACACAAGCACACAUCCAAACAAGAACAUUCAAGCGGUUCGAGCUGGCACAUCUUUGGCUUGGUGAAGUAUGCGGUAUUGUCUACAUAUUAACCAAGCAUGUAUCUUUAAUUUUGAUUUGAUGUUUUCAAAUGAAUAUACAAAGAACACUCUUAAGAAAUUGACUCAAAUUAAUUCUCAAACAAUAUAUUGAUUAUUUAUUGGAAGUUGCACACGCCGAUAUAUAUGAGACCUUUGUUAUGAAGUACAACUCAUAUGUAAUCUAGAAGAUGGCACUUCCAACGAUGGGUUGCUGCCAUGAAAAGGCAGGGUUCAUCAAAGAUAUCUGGUUGAAUGGCAACAAUUGUUGCUGCUGCAGGAAGGCGGCAGCCAAUGGGUUAGCAGCUACCACUGGAUUAACACGAAGCAGCUGUUGUUGUUGCAGGUAUGCGGCGGUGUUCGUCACAGCGAGUUGGUUGAAUGGAAGCAGCUGUUGUUGUUGCAAGUAGGCGGCCGGGUUCACCAAGGCUAGUUGACUGAGUGCUGGUAGGAUUUGUUGCAGCUGUUGUUGUUGCAAGUAUGCAGCAGCAUUGGCCGCAACCAGUGGGUUGUAUGCAAGUUGUUGUUGUUGCAGGUAGGCGGCAGGGUUUGCCAUGGCUACCUGACUGAUCACUGGCAGGACCUGUUGUAGUUGUUGUUGCUGGUAUGCAGCAUUGUUCACCAGAGCCAGUGGGUUGGAUGCAAGUAGUUGUUGUUGCAAGUAGGCCACAGGGUUUGCCAGGGCUAGUUGACUGAGUGCUGGUAGGAACUGUUGCUGCUGCUGCUGCGCUGCGAUGGUCUGUACGGUUAGAUGAGCCGAGGAUUGUUGUUGCAAUUGGGGAAAUGGUUGUUGUAAGAUGCUAUUCGCAAGCGCCUGCUGUAGUCUGUAAGCCUGCAGAGCCGGGUGUUCGAAUCCCACAAGAGUAAGUGGUGGGAGGAACUGUGAAAUAAUAGCAUUAGGAGCAAGUGAGCACUGCGGAAUAAUGACUGCAGUUGUUGUGCUCACUGAAAGAGCAAGGAGCGCAAGGAGGACAAAUAUCUUGGUAGCCAUUGUUGUGAGGACGUUGAUGUUUGUUUCCCUUGGUAUGUUUCUGAUUGCUCUCAGUGUUAUGGGCGAUGGAUUAACUACUGAUCUAGGGCCUAUAUAUUUAUACAAGUGAGGGCUCCUGUUUAGAUUUUGCCUUUUUUCAAACAACAGAUAAGCUAUAGAUGACAUGGCACCUAGUCAAUUUUGACAUUUAGUUAUUAUUUUUGUUGGAUUAUAUGGUCUAUGUAUGAAAGACAAUUUCCACUAAGUACAAGGAACACUUGUUGUUUUCUAUUGGAGUUUUUUUUGAUACAAUAGAAAUAACAUGCAUGAUCACUUCACCUUUACACAUGUUACAACCUUAGCCACAUCAUAAAUGUCCACUUUAUAUACAUGGCGAGUAUGUAAAGUUAUGACUUGCUCAUGUGGAUCAAAGCCUUUAUCAACGGACGUUCUUGUAGUAUUGUACUCAUGGUUGAAGAUAGCACGGUAGUUAGGCGAGAAGUUACUCAAUGAAUAAACAAAUGCUAAAGAUUGAGACUAAAUAAAAAUACCAUUAUGUACACAUAGAAUUUAUAAAUUUAGAAUGCUUAUAGCCAAACAUGACAGUUGCCACACACUCCCUGUGUUCCUUGUUACAAUUUAUUUUUGAAUUAUCUAUACCCAACAUUGUAUAACUAUCAAAAAGUUUUAAAUAAACUUUGAUGAGAAUAAGCGCUAUCAUGACAUUAUCAUUAAUAAUUCAAUGAAAAAACUUGAUGUUCAAAAUUUUAGAUAGAUUUAGUAGGAAGUAAGUGAAAGUUAGGGGAGUCAGCGAAAACCUAGAGCAUGUAAUAAACUAGAGUGGAGGGAGUAUUUGUUGAACUAUAGCUAUUGAUUCGAAUUAAUUUACAUCAAGCUUGUCAAAGUUAACUUGUUUCCAUAUAGAAUAGACAAUGACAAAUUUUAUGCAACUUUUCUUCCUUCCACUACCUACAAUACGAGUCUAAGCUUCAAUAUACAUACGAAGAGGACCGUGGCCAUCCUCCUAGCUAUCUUACAUAUAAGUUAGAGCUCAAAGGCAUAGAUUCUUUCAAGCAGAAAGACAAUAUGAUCAAUAAUCUAAACGGUUCUCAGCAAUGCUGUAAAAACCUCAAGAAACGCUUGGCUAAGAUGGGGUCAGGAUUGAUUUUAUAAUACUCCCCCUUUAGUACCACAAUAUGCACAAGUCUCAUUAAAAACUCACCCAAAAACCUAGUGGGGAAAAAAGGCUUCAAAGAAAAGAGAACAUUAUAUCCAUAAUUGGGCAAAUAGUUGUUGCAAGAUGCUAUUUGAAAACGCCUGCUGUAGUCUAUAGGCCUACAGAGCUGGAUGUUCGAAUCCCAUAGGAGUAAGUGCUGGGAGGAACUGUGGAAUAAAAACAUUAGGAGCAAGUGAGCACUCGGCAAAUAUCUCGGUAGCCAUUGUUGUUUGAACGUUGCUAGUUCAUUUUAUUUGGUAUGUUUCUAAUGCUAUCAAUGUUGUGGCGAUGGGAUAACUACUGAUUCAAGGCCUAUUUACAAAAAUAAGGGCUCAUGUAUAUCUAUUUAGAUAUUGACAUUUGUCAAACAACAGAUAAGCUAUAUAUGAUAUGGCACCUAGUCAAUUUUGACAUUUAGUUAUCAAUUAGGCUGGUAAGCUUAAUCAUUCGGACUAGGCAAAAAUUUUGGGCUAAGGAUAUUCAAUAUGGCUAAAAUAUUUAAAAAGAACAACUUCAAUUCACUCCUAAUCCAAACGAGGGAAAAACCUUUUCAUGGACUUUGUUACUAUUCCUUUUUUAUUUAUGAAGGAAUUAAUUGUAUGACUGUGAAAUAAUGACUGCAGUUGUUGUGCUCACUGAAAGAGCAAGGAGCGCAAGGAGGGCAAAUAUCAUGGGCUCCAAAUAUUUCCUUACAUGUUGUAUUAUAGGGUCAUGCACAAUUUGGGUUCUAGCAAAAAACAUAUGCACCAAAUAUUUACUAAAAACAAUAACUAAGAGGUAAGACUUCGCGCGAACAACUUUGCACACACAUAUAGGUUUACUCAUGAACUUAUAUUAUGUUUUGCUUGGUAUAUGUGCACCUGAUUUGAGUGUUCACGGUCAAAGCAUAUGUGCCAAUCACUUUCUCAAAAGAACAUAUCACAGAUUUAAGUACUCAACUACAAGCACGUACAGUCACAUCUAUCUUAUAAACACACAAGCACACAUCCAAACAAGAACAUUCAAGCGGUUCGAGCUGGCACAUCUUUGGCUUGGUGAAGUAUGCGGUAUUGUCUACAUAUUAACCAAGCAUGUAUCUUUAAUUUUGAUUUGAUGUUUUCAAAUGAAUAUACAAAGAACACUCUUAAGAAAUUGACUCAAAUUAAUUCUCAAACAAUAUAUUGAUUAUUUAUUGGAAGUUGCACACGCCGAUAUAUAUGAGACCUUUGUUAUGAAGUACAACUCAUAUGUAAUCUAGAAGAUGGCACUUCCAACGAUGGGUUGCUGCCAUGAAAAGGCAGGGUUCAUCAAAGAUAUCUGGUUGAAUGGCAACAAUUGUUGCUGCUGCAGGAAGGCGGCAGCCAAUGGGUUAGCAGCUACCACUGGAUUAACACGAAGCAGCUGUUGUUGUUGCAGGUAUGCGGCGGUGUUCGUCACAGCGAGUUGGUUGAAUGGAAGCAGCUGUUGUUGUUGCAAGUAGGCGGCCGGGUUCACCAAGGCUAGUUGACUGAGUGCUGGUAGGAUUUGUUGCAGCUGCUGUUGUUGCAAGUAUGCAGCAGCAUUGGCCGCAACCAGUGGGUUGUAUGCAAGUUGUUGUUGUUGCAGGUAGGCGGCAGGGUUUGCCAUGGCUACCUGACUGAUCACUGGCAGGACCUGUUGUAGUUGUUGUUGCUGGUAUGCAGCAUUGUUCACCAGAGCCAGUGGGUUGGAUGCAAGUAGUUGUUGUUGCAAGUAGGCCACAGGGUUUGCCAGGGCUAGUUGACUGAGUGCUGGUAGGAACUGUUGCUGCUGCUGCUGCGCUGCGAUGGUCUGUACGGUUAGAUGAGCCGAGGAUUGUUGUUGCAAUUGGGGAAAUGGUUGUUGUAAGAUGCUAUUCGCAAGCGCCUGCUGUAGUCUGUAAGCCUGCAGAGCCGGGUGUUCGAAUCCCACAAGAGUAAGUGGUGGGAGGAACUGUGAAAUAAUAGCAUUAGGAGCAAGUGAGCACUGCGGAAUAAUGACUGCAGUUAUUGUGCUCACUGAAAGAGCAAGGAGCGCAAGGAGGACAAAUAUCUUGGUAGCCAUUGUUGUGAGGACGUUGAUGUUUGUUUCCCUUGGUAUGUUUCUGAUUGCUCUCUGUGUUAUGGGCGAUGGAUUAACUACUGAUCUGGGGCCUAUAUAUUUAUACAAGUGAGGGCUCCUGUUUAGAUUUUGCCUUUUUUCAAACAACAGAUAAGCUAUAGAUGACAUGGCACCUAGUCAAUUUUGACAUUUAGUUAUUAUUUUUGUUGGAUUAUAUGGUCUAUGUAUGAAAGACAAUUUCCACUAAGUACAAGGAACACUUGUUGUUUUCUAUUGGAGUUUUUUUGAUACAAUAGAAAUAACAUGCAUGAUCACUUCACCUUUACACAUGUUACAACCUUAGCCACAUCAUAAAUGUCCACUUUAUAUACUUGGCGAGUAUGUAAAGUUAUGACUUGCUCAUGUGGAUCAAAGCCUUUAUCAACGGACGUUCUUGUAGUAUUGUACUCAUGGUUGAAGAUAGCACGGUAGUUAGGUGAGAAGUUACUCAAUGAAUAAACAAAUGCUAAAGAUUGAGACUAAAUAAAAAAACCAUUAUGUACACAUAGAAUUUAUGAAAUUAGAAUGCUUAUAGCCAAACAUGACAGUUGCCACACACUCCCUGUGUUCCUUGUUACAAUUUAUUUUUUAAUUAUCUAUACCCAACAUUGUAUAACUAUCAAAAAGUUUUAAAUAAACUUUGAUGAGAAUAAGCGCUAUCAUGACAUUAUCAUAAACAAUUCAAUGAAAAAACUUGAUGUUCAAAAUUUUAGAUAGAUUUAGUAGGAAGUAAGUGAAAGUUAGGGGAGUUAGUGAAAACCUAGAGCAUGUAAUAAACUAGAGUGGAGGGAGUAUUUGUUGAACUAUAGCUAUUGAUUCGAAUUAAUUUACAUCUAGCUUGUCAAAGUUAACUUGUUUCCAUAUAGAAUAGACAAUGACAAAUUUUAUGCAACUUUUCUUCCUUCCACUACCUACAAUACGAGUCUAAGCUUCAAUAUACAGACGAAGAGGACCGUGGCCAUCCUCCUAGCUAUCUUACAUAUAAGUUAGAGCUCAAAGGCAUAGAUUCUUUCGAGCAGAAAGACAAUAUGAUCAAUAAUCUAAACUGUUCUCAGCAAUGCUGCAAAAACCUCAAAAAACGCUUGGCUAAGAUGGGGUCAGGAUUGAUUUUUUCUAUCAUAAAACUACAACACCGUAACUUGAAGUUCCAUGACAACACACUCCUUCAAAUACCUUUUUGCUAGAACAAUGUGCCUUGGGCACACAUUCAAUUCAUCAUAGUCUACGUAAAGAUAUUUUGGCUUUCCCUACACAUGAGUUGAAUCUCGUCCCAAAGAACAUCGAGAACAUUUGGCUUGUAUGCUUAAUCGCGAGGACUAGGCAAAAAUUCAGAGCUAAGGAUAUUCAGUAUGGCUAAAAGAUUUAAAAAGAAUAACUUCGAUUGAAUUGUAGCUAUUGAUUCAAAUUAAUUUACAUCUAGCUUUUAUAAAUGUCAAAGUUAACUUGUUUCCAUACAGAAUAGACAAUGACAAAUUUUAUGCAACUUUUCUUCGUUCCACUAGUUACAAUAUGUGUCUAAGCUUCAAUAUACUGAUAGAGCAAGGAGCGCAAGGAGGGCAAAUAUCUUGGUAGCCAUUGUUGUGAGAACGUUGUCAACUUUAUAGAUAUGAAGAGUAUGUAAAGUUAUGACUUGCUGAUAUGGUACAAAGCCACAUCAGGGCACUCACAAUGCAGACUCUAUCAUAGAGUCUAAAGUUAUUUAUUACCUCGAACAAUGUGGACUUGGAGUCUAAAUAAGACUUGGAGUCUUAUUUUUUUCUAUCUCUUUCAAUAAAUAUGCUGCCACAUCAGUAAAAUACCACCUCGGUAAAGGCUCCAAAACCCUCGGCAAAGGCUUGCCGAGGGCUGCCCUCAAUAAAGACCCCUCUGAAAAUUUUUAGACGGCAAAGGGGUCUUUGCCGAGGGCCGUCCUAGCAGCUGUCACGGCGCCGGCGCCGUUGGCAGUUUCUUUGCUAAGGGCCGGCCCUCGGCAAAGAAAUGUUUUUAAAAUUCUUUGCCGAGAGCUUCCUUGGGCAAAUAUUUUUUUAUUUUUUUAAAAAAACCUUUGCCGAGGGCCAGGAUCCUGGCCCUCUGCAAAGAAAUAUUCAGGAUUUUUUCCAAACAAAUCUUUGCCGAAGGCUAUUUCCAAGGCCCUCGGCAAAGACACUACUACAGAAAAAAAAUACAAUAAUUAAAAGAAGCAGUUAGCACUCUAUAUAUAUAUAUACAUAUAUAUAUAGAUAUAGAUAUAUAUAGGGUUUACUUUUACUCUUUGUAUAUUUGGAUGAUGACUAAGACUUAAUCUAACCACAUCACAGCACAUAAGUCAUAGUCAUCAUCCAAAUAUACAAAGAGUAAAAGUAAACUAUCUAGGCCUACCACAUUUGUUACAGGAAAUAAACUUUCAAGAUUGUUCAUUCAUAGUUUGUAUAGUUUAAACACGUCCUUUACAAAUAAAAUUUAGGUUUCCACUACUCUAGCUACAUCCAUCCUACUAGUAUGAUGAACCAACAAAAGUAGCUGAAAAAUAACUUAGACCAAAAGAUGACUGGUGCACUCUUCCACAAUCGACUUUUGUGCUUGCUGACUGAUACCCUAUAGAAUUGACAAAAAAAAUAUUUAGAAUGGGAACAUGGGACUGAUUUAGAUCACUUAAUGAAAACUAGCUAAGUGCAGGUCAUUAGGUAAGCAAUAUAAAUCUGACCUUUUACAAGAACAAAUGCAAACGAGGCAUUUCCUUGAAGGUGGUUUAUACACUAGUUUCCGAAACAUAGUGCUACUUUUUAUCCUUAUUCCUUAUGUGUUAAAAUCAUCUUGAAGGUGAAUUAUGAUAGAAAACUAGCAUUUCCUAACACAUGCAUUUCUUAAAAAAAAAGAAGUGCCAUAAACUUGAGAAAUAAAACAUGGACAGAAGUGAGAAGUGCCAUAACCUUGGAUAAGUGAGUCAUUAGUUCUCUUAAUUACAUCAGCAAAAUAAUUGAUACACAUUGACAUCAAAAUACACAGAUCAUGUAUUAAUCCUUAGAAAUUUUCUUUACAUGGUUAAGCCAAAUUAGCCUCUCAGGUUACCACACGCACACACUCACACCAUUGACAUCAAAAUAUUCAAGCUGCAAGAAAAAUAUGAGCUAAUUGUUGCCAAAACAAGAACUGUUUUCUUUCUUUUUUCUCAGCACAAGUAUUCACUUAAUACUUAAACGUGGGAUGAAGAUUUAACACAAGAACUAGUACUAGAACUCUCAAUGUAUCUUUGAGCUACAGAUUAGGUUUAAAAAAAAGAACAGUCAAGUUACUUCAGUGACUUCUGAAAAAACAAUGGAAUACAAUGAACUAUAUAUCUCUAGUACGCACUAGCAGUAGCACACAGCACGCAAGAUUUAGACUUGCAGUUACAGAUAAGACACAGGCCGUUUAUAUCAUCUCUAGAAAUAAAAGCGUUGAAAUAUACAUAAGUGCAUAUAGUCACUGAACUCUCAAAUAUGAUAUACAACUGGAGCAAUAUCACUUUUAUUUUACAGAAAACAACACCAGUUUGUCCAGGCUGCAGAAUCCUUCAGCAGGAACAAGCAAAUUACUGAUAAAAUUCAGAACGUUACAUGCAUCAGCAUGCUCCAGGUACUACAGCAAAUCUAUAACAGAAUGAUAUGUAUAGUUAUGGAAUCUCUUCUAGGAAGCAGUGAUUGCCAGGACUCGAAUUGCAAACCACUGACCUUCUAUGUCUACUAAAUUUGGAUCUUGGAAGCAAGUAAUGGAAAGGGAGUAAGGAGACGUGGCAUCUCUUACUUUAUGAGGAUGUCAUAGUACUCAGGGAUCCAGAGAAUUGAACAUGCCGUCGCGGUGCACUACGCAACUGCAUUCAAACGACAUCAACAGUCAAGAAACCCAGAUUGAAUCCACGGAAAGAAACGAGACGAGCCAUAUAAUAAGAAGAAAAAAAAACAUUGCAUCGCUCGUCGUGGGUCUGGAGCAGCGACCCCUCGAGUGCCGUUUUUCCAAGGCCUCCACUGGCUUCAACCUACCCAAACACCGCAGAGAAAUGAGCAGGCGAAUCAAAAGCAGGGAGAGGUGGAGAGGGAAACAGGUGCGUACUGCAUAAGGAAGGUCUCGAUCUUUCGAGACUUCUGUUAGAUGCGGGUGAUGAUUGCCAGGUUCUCAUCCUCAUCCACGUCGGGUACGCCGCCGAAAAAGCCAUCCCGCCGGCGCUGGCGGCAUGGAGGGCAGGGUUGCCUGUGAACGACUGGAUCCGAUGAAUCAUCAGUGAACAAGGCCCGAUUCACACUUGUGCGCCCCCAGAUCUGAUUUGGGCUGCAGGGUGCUGGCCUAGUCCUCGUCCUCCACUGCAGAGAGAGAAGAGGAUGCGUGCGUGUGUGUUGCCCCUUGCCUGUUGCAGGCGUGGCGAGCGGCGGCGGGGGAUAGCCGCGCGCGGGAGGCGGCGGGGGAGCGGCGGCUGGGCAUGCGAGGGUGGACAAAGAAAAGGCUGCGCGUAGCUUUUUUGGGCCGGCCUGAUUGGGAUUUAGGGUUAGGGCUUUGCCGUGGGUCGAGUUAUGAGGCACUCGGCAAAGAGUCCCUUUACCGAGUGCCAGGCUAGACCCUCGGCAAAUUAAAUUUUUCUUUUUGCAUUUUUUAGUCAGUUUGUUUUAGUGGAAAAAUAUAUUAUUUGAAACUCAAUUUUAAAGUUGGUGCCAAUAUUGAUUUUUUCUAUAUUUUCUUAAUUUAUUUGUUUCGUUGAUUUUUUCGAAUAUUUUAGAUUUGAACUAAAUGUGUAUGGAAUAAUACAAUGUAGUGUUUUGAAAAAUGUUAUUCAUGUUAUUUGGUGUAUGUUGAGGCCCUAUCAACGAACUCGCAUUAAAUUUUACGCGUCUUCUUCGCAUAAUACGAGAAGUGACUUGUAGAAAAAGUGUUUUAAAUUUAUCUAAAGUCCAUACGAAGUCCGAAAAUCAUAAAACUUAUCGUGAUGUUAUGUUGUCCCAUGUGUAGGCUAUGGUAAAAAAUUGAGAAGGUUUCGAGCGAGUUAUGACAUCGGAUGCUUAAAACCCACACAUGGAGAUGUCUGCGUUUUAGGCAUUUGACAGCGCAACUUGCUUGAAACCUUCCCAAUUUUUUACCACAGCCUACACAUGGGAUAACAUGACACCUCGACGAGUUUCGUGAUUUUCAGACUUCGUAUGGAUUUUAUAUAAUUUUAAAACACUUAUUCCGCAAGUCGCUCGUCAUGUUACACGAAGAAGAUGCGCGAAAUUUGGUGCGAGUUCUUAGAUAGGGACUCAAAAUACACAAAAUACCAUGAGUAACAUUUUUGAAACACUACACUGCUUUAUUUUAUGCACUUGCAGUUGAAAUUUGAAAUAUCCGGAAAAAAUAAAGAAAAGAAUUAAACUAAGAAAAUAUAUUUAAUAAAGUCAAAAUUGCACCAAAUUUUAAAUUUGGGUUCAAAAUAACGUAUUUUAGAAACACAAAAAAAUGGGCUCAAAAAACUAAAAAAUAAAAAAAUCUUUGCCGAGUCGGCAAAGGGGGUCUUUGUCGAGGGCCAGACAUGGAGCCGUCGGCAAAGGAGGCCCUCGGCAAAGACUAGUUAUAAAAAGAACUUUUGGGACGAACAUUGAUUUUUUUUUAAAAAAAAACUUUGCCAAAGGCCUAACGGAUAGCCCUCGGCAAAGCCUAACGGGCUCUUGGCCGCCGUGACCCAACGGGCCAACUUUGACUAGGACGCCUUUGCCGAGGGUCACGGCCCUCGGCAAAGACAAUCUUUGCCGAGGGCCUACCUUUGCCGAAGGCUAGGCCUUUGGCAAAGGUCUCUUUGCCGAAGGCUAGUCUUUGCCGAGGGCUCCUGGGCCUGGCCCUCGGCAAAGGACGCUUUUUGUCCUAAAUAUGAAUUAUGGAUUGAUAGUUAUUGGGUCCUCUUUGGUAGGACUUUUGCUGAGGCUUCUCUAUCGACUUAUUUAAAUCCUACCAAACUCACAAAAGAAUUGCUUCUAAAGGCAAGAACAAUGAAACCCAAGUCAUGUUGGAGCCAAAAGCCGAAUCCACCAAAAUAUAGUUUUUCUUAGCUUCCCCAUUUUCAGAGAAGCCUAAUAAGUGUGUCUACAAUUUUAUUAAAAAUUUUUCUUACCUUGCGUGAAUCUAGAUAUGCAUAGGAGAGAAGUAAUAUCGAGAUUACGGCAAAUAUUCACUCGGUAUUUUGAUCUUAAAAUCGAUAAAGGCUUCCAUCAUUAUUUGGAUGGAUGUAGCCAGGUAGUCUGUUGCAGCUUUGCACGUCUGAUGGUCUGACAAGAGAACAGCUCACGUGACUAUUUCACUGAUCAAUCACUCUGUGUAAAACAUUACUCAUAUCAUAAUUUGGUUCUGUAAUCAUUUUUCUUAUAUAGCUUUAGUUUCUGUGAGGACUCUGACUUUUGGUAAGAAAGGAGAAGCACAAUUUGAUUUCUGUAAUCGCUCUAUGACUGAUUGAAACAAACAUUAUUGGGUCAUCUACAGAACAAUUGUCAAGAACACCAUUGCACUAACAAGUAUUCCUCUCGUUCUAUAUAUCCCUCAUCUAAAAUCAGUAACCGUGACAGCAUACUCCCUCCGUCUAAAAUAAAUACUUCUAAAAUUUCUACUGAAAUUCAAUGCAUUCUAUAUAAUGACUAUGUUUUUGAUUUGGCAAGGUUUGUUAAAAAGGAAGCCUAGAUUUGAGAAGAAACGCUAUAAUUGGAAUAAUCUAUGGGUAUAUGUGUUAUUUGAGUGUUCCCUUAAGUUGUCUUCAAAUUCAUAGAAAGCAUUGUAUUAUAGGACAGAGGGAGUCAGUUAAGAAACUCGUGAAACCGUAUAAAUCUAUAUCCUAAAGAGGCAAAAUUUCUGCCACAAUUUUUGUUCUAUUAUUUUUGUCUAGUCCUCACUAACAAACUAUGUGAAUGUCCAAACUGUUUGUAUUUUGUAUGUCUAUAACCCUCCUACUUUAUAUGCCUAGCUUAGACACCUAAAUAACUACGAAUCCUAAUCCAAAUAGGUUCCUUCCAUCUAAGUAAGCUGAAUAGAAAUCCUAAUUUAAAUAAAAAUAAAAAUAAAAAUAAAAAGUAGUAUGAAUCUUAUUUUGAUAUUAAAUCACAAAGAGUUUGCAUCCUUAUUUAUUCAUUCAUUUAUUCUUUUUUUCUAGACCCUAGUUAUAAAUGUAGAUGUUGACAAACACGAGCGCACACUCCGAAGAACUAAGUUGGACCAGCAAAUCUUGAGAUUGACGAAGUCACCACAGGUGCCUCGUUGUGGAGAGGCACGUCGCCUACCACUAAAAUCAUAACGCCGCUAAAUCCUAAAAUAAAUCUAGAAAAAUGUGAGCACCUGUGUCAAGUCGAGGACUUAAACCCGGGUGGACAGGUUCCACCACAGUAAACCGAAUCCUGAUGAAACCGUGGCAGUUGAGCUUACAUGGGUUGGGUUGGUUCCCGCUCUUAAGCCAGGAAAAGUUAUGCAGAAAACGAGCGGGCUGCAGAUAGAACCAAAAGUCCCCCCAAACUCACUGCACAACCCCCCGUGCUUCCCUCCCGUGACUACCGACGUCCCUGUUUAUAGGUUCCAAUAAAGCUUAUUUAUUACUGAGGCCUGGUUUACAUCCAAAUCUUUUUUGCAAAAAAGACAUCAUAGCAAUUUCGUUUGCAUUUACCGAGUGCCAGCCAUGUGCCGAGUGUGGCUUUCAGCAAAGAUGCUCUUUGCCGAGUGUCCAACUUUUGGCACUCGACAAAGCAUAUGAUACUCAGCAAAGUCCUGGUUUCCUAUAGUGUAAGGUAAAUUGUGCAAUUAGUUAUUUUUUUAAUUUAUAUUUAAUAUUUUAUGCAUGUACCGCAAGAUUUGAUGUGAUGGAGAAUUUAAAAAAUAUUGCAAAAUUUUUCAGGAACGACUAAACAAGGCUGAAUCGAGCUUCCUGGUGCGAUUUGAGUCCUUCCGCACCAAAUCGAGCCUCUAUUGUUUGAAUAAGGUCCGUCACUACAAGCAUUGCGCUUUUUUUUCCCAUGAGAUCGACUUUGUUCCAUGCCGAUCGAUUUUGUUCCUGGUCCGUCACUACAAUCAUAGAUCAUGCACUCCUCCAGGCGGUUAGAGAAAACUCUGAACACUGAAUGGCCAGGCUAUUUCUGAAUUUCCCAUACAGCUAUACCAAUUCCAAGAACCAGAGUCGUCCAGAGCAGCACCAUUAGCAACUAGAUCGCCCACUCCUCUUGCUCCGGUUGGCCAUACCUGGCCGCAGCAACGGCAUAGCAGUAUAGCAGUAGCACCCGAGCCCAUAACAGAACACAAGAAACACAAGCCCAAAAAACUGGAAGUUAGAUAAGAAAAUAAAGUUAGAGGCAGAUAGAAGGCCAAAUAAUGCAUACUUGCAUAUAUAUUGUACGAAAAUCAGUACCGCACCUGCAUGUUAACCCGUGCAUCAAUCGAGUUGAUCAGAUUCGCAGGGUGGGACGAUUGGGAUGGUUUUGUGCUGCAAGACGCAGCGCCUCCUUCGCUUGCUUCACUGCCUCCUUGGUGGCUCCUUCAGAUACGAACUCAAAGUUGAUACGUUGGAGAGAUGGCAGCUUCCCUAGUCCCAAACGGCUGCUGCUGCUGCCACCAGUGCCAGUUUCUCCCCCCAUCCUCACAUAGCAAAGGCUGAAAGAGAGCUCUCUGAGCCUGGGCAUAGCUCCUCGUCCAAAUACCACAGGCCAUGCGAACCUGCAGAACUCGCCGCGUACCAGGCAUGGGAACGAACCAGCACCAAAAGCCAACUGAUCAUGGUUCUUGUGGUUCUCGUGGUGCACCUCCAGAUCCAGAUAGCGAAGGGCUGGAAACCUCCCAAGGAAUUUGAGGUCAUCUAGCUCUAGCACAGUCAUGGCAAUGGAUACGGUGGUGAGACUCGCAACAAGCGACGGAUUCAUCAUCCAAGUCGGCAGCUUUGACAACCAGCAGCUCCGCCGUGUCUUCAGUGCACUGAGGUGUCGAGGGGCGACGUCGGCCCAGCAGUCAUCCAAUCCACCAAUGCUGCGUUCAUCGCUACCACCGGGGCCUUGGAUAGAUAGAGUGUGUUUGGUUGGGCUGCCAGGUUGAGUUUUGGCUAGGUUGGGCUAGAUUUCGCUUGUUUGGUUUGCAGGCCAGCCCAUCUAGCCAGGCUCCAAGAGGCCAUCCGUACAUCUGGAGCCAGGCCCAGAAAGAAACACGGGGUUGGUGUUUCUUCUGGGGCCUGGCUCCGUCCGGCUCCGCGUGCGGCCAGAGUGGUAGGCCUGCUUGGCCUCGGCCGACCGCCGAAUAAAAGGAGAAGUCUCACCGCUUGGCUAGGGUUUCGGGCUAGUGUUCACUCGUUUCCCCGCCCCGCCCAACGCCCAAACUCUCCUCACACCCGCCGCGAGACAUGCUCCGCCGCGCCGCCGCUGUGACGGCUACGCUCAAUGGCCGCGCGCGGCGGUUGCCUCCAUCUCAGGCGCCAAACCCACCAUCCGCAAGCCCCACUCCGACCCACACAUGUCGUGGUGUCGGCGCCGCCGCUCCUGCCGUGUCUGUGUGGCGCGCGGGGCUACAGCUACAGACGCAUGGCAUGGCGCAUCCCGAUGGCGAGGCCCGACGAGUACCCCAGCUCCGACGGCGAGGCGGAGGAUCCCGACGCGCGCGAGGCCGGGGAGAUCACGGAGCCCGUCGGCGGCGCGGGCGUGGAGGGCGACGACGACUCAGAGAGCAGCGAGGUGGAGGGGUUCAUGCUGGACUUGAGCUCCUUCCCCGGCUCCGGCGACGGCGACGAGGAGGGCACAGAAGAGGGAGGGAAGUAGCGAGGCGGGAUUUCGCUGUGGGGAGCUGGCGAAUCGAGCUUCGUCUCGGGGGGGAAGGGACGUUCGCUAGGUGCUCGUGGAAAUGCCCGUAUAGCGUUUUUAACAUUGGCUUUCGAACGAAGAACGGUUUUCAACAUUGGCUUUCAACACUGGAAGGUUUCCAUCUGAUAUCUGUAUAUGAUGGAAGAUGUAUUCCAGUUGAAUUCACUGCAUUUGAUUGCUAGAAUUUUGCGGUCCACAGACUAGUCGAUGAGCUCUGUUAACAGUCGAUGAGUAUCGAGACUGCAUUUGAUUGCUUCAAUGAGCUCUAACAGUCAAUGAGUAUCUAACUUUAUGCCCCCAUUGUGCUCUUCAAGCUUUCAACACCGGAAGGUUUCCAUCUGCAUAUGACCGAAGAUUAUUCAGUUCGCUGAAAAGAGAACUUUGAGAACAGGCUUACUUUCACGAGUCUUCAUGACGAAGAUUUAUAUCCUUCCAGUUGAAUGCAUUGUGUUUGUUUAUCGGAAAUCUGCAUUCCGCAGAUUAGUCUGAUCCAAGCUUAAAUAUUGUGAUGUCGGCUUUUUAUUACAGCGAAGCAAGGGAAGGGGUAAGGCUACCAGUUCACUCUUUGGGUGAAGCCACCAAACAGGAUCGCCAGCAACCAAACACCCAUAAGUCGGCUACACUAGGCUAGCCAAGUAGAAUUACAUCAAACCAAACACUUCAACAUACAAACCAGGCCAGCGAGAGCCUAGCAACCAAACAACCCCGUCUUGGCUACCUGGGGGCAGGUUCGGGCUGGCCUGGCUACAUUGGGCUAUCCAGGCUACCUGGGGCUACAAACCAAACACACCCAUAAAUUCUGUAUCUUUGUUAGCUUGCAUAAGCACUCCACUAACUUGUCUUCCCAUCUACCCAAGACGAUAUGUAGCACCCUCAGUUCAGAGAGCUGGCCCAACUCUUCUAUAAUGUCCACGCUCGACUUGUCGAUUCUUAAUUCUGACAGCUCUUCAAGGCAUGUUAGGUUCCUAAGUCCAUUUGGCAUUCUUGUCCACUUGUCAACCGAUAGGCACAUCAAAUUUCUUAGCUGAACAACAGAAGAUGGCAAGCAAGAAAUUUGAUUCUCCAUCACGUUCAGUGUUUGCAAAUUUUUCAAGUUUCCUAUUUUUUCUGGGAGCUGAGCAAUACCUGUGCGACUUAGACCUAAGUAUCUCAAGUAAAAUAAGUUACCAAUGUACGCAAGGCUGUAAUCUUGUGAAAGAGUACAGUUGUGUAAAUCUAGUACACGUAAAACUCUGAAACUCCAAAUGGCUGGAACUAGAUGAAUGCCAGAUGGAAAGACAACAGCUGACCUCACUUGUUGCAGCUGGUUCAGAGUAGCAGCAUGAUCUUCCUUGCCAUUUUGAAAGGAUAACCUCCGGGUCAUAUUUGAAGGAGAUGUGCCAUCUACAUCAGUUAGUAUAGUAACAAAGUUCUCUUCACUUGAUAAGGAACAAAUUAGAUCAAGUAUCAUAUCAUGUACACGGCAUUGUUUUAUCAAGCCAGUGUCUGUGUCAUGUAUGGGCUGAAUCAUACUUCUAUUUAUGAGCUCAUUGAAAUAACUCUCGCCGCAAGCAAAAAGGGUCCCCCAGUGUCUUCCAGACUGAAUAAAACCUUCAGCUAUCCACAUCCAUAUCAAACGGUUCUUGCUAAUUUUAUAAUCUUCUGGAAACACACUUAAAUAUAACAAGCAAGUCCUUAGAUGGUAUGGCAGAUCAAAAUAGCUGAAUGCUAAAAUCUUUCUCAUGUUCUCCAAAGCUGAGUUGUUUUCAAGACCAGUACCAACAGAUUUGCACACCUUACACCAUUCCAUUUUGUUUCUUGCUUUACAAGCCAACAGACUAGCCAUGGUAAUGAUAGCCAAGGGUACACCCGCACAUUUCUUCAAUAUUUUUUCAGAUACCUCCACCAGCUCAUCAGGACAUUUUUCAUUGUCUUCAUUGUUGUCUUUGCUGUCAGUUCCAAAUAUUCUUCGAUAAAGUAAUUUUCGGGAGUUGUUCAUAGAAAGUGGCUCUAAGUUGUAUGCACCACCAGCUUGUUUAGCGAUAUUGAGAAUACGGGUAGUUGUGAUGAUUUUAUUUCCAUAACAAUUAUCCGGCAGAGCACAUUUUAUCAUUUUCCAAGCGGUGAUGUCCCAUAUGUCAUCAAUAACAAUUAAGUAUCUGUGCACAGAAUACAAGAAAUCCAUGUUACUAUCGGAUUAAGCUAGUUAAGGUUAUAGUUUGCUUACCACGUACUAAGGGCAUUCACAAUGCAGACUCUAUCAUAGAGUCUAAAGUUAUUUAUUACCUCGAACAAUGUAGAUUUAGAGUCUAAAUAAGACUUGGAUUCUUAUUUUUUUCUACCUUUUUCUUUAAUAAAUAUGCUACCACAUCAGCAAAAUACCAUAAAUAAUAUGUAAUUAAUUGUCUUGGACUCUGUGAUAGAGUCUUGCAUUGUGAGUGCCCUAAGUCCACAUUGUUUAAGUUAAUAAAUAACUUUAGACUCUAUGAUAGAGUCUACAUUGUAAGUACCCUAAGAGGUAAAAGGUAAUAGCGUUAUAAUUUGAUGAAGCGUCUCCAUUUCCUCUCGCUUCCUUUGUUUAGUGUAGGUGACAAAACGGCUCUAUGACUUAGAGUGCAUUUGAUAGGAAUCUAGGUUCACAAUGAAGCAUUUUGGAUCUAGAUUCUCAAGAAACAUUUCAGAUAAUGAUUCAAAAUUACUUCAUCAUGAGAUUAUUUUGGCUAAUAGGCUGGAUUCUGAUUCAAAAAAAUGUUUUUAUAACAGCUAUAUAAAUGAAAAUACUCUCCCAAAAAAUGUUUUUAUAACAGCUAUCUAACCAUUUAUAGACACGGCUCCCAAAAAGUGUCUGACUCUAAUUCAUGAGUGGGCAUGUCUCCUAAAACCCUGCCAAGGAAGAUUUAAUUUUAUAUUCACUCUACGGAAUCUUAUAUUGAAACUGAGCUUUUAGACAAUCUUAAAUGAAAAUUUGUUAAACAUAAAGUUGUAGAUCAUGUUAAGUAUUAUUAGAACUCUAUAUAGAGCAUGUAUCCUCCCAGGUAGUUUGAACAAUUAAAAAGUAUCAAUUUAAAAAAUUGAGAAAUUCUCAUGAAUAUUAAGCUCUAAAAGAUCUAAGAUGAAAAGGUUGUUGGCUACAAAGUUAUAGAUCUUGUCAAGAUGUACCAUUUCGAUAUAAAGUUCACCUUCGUCUAAUUUGAUAUGACAAAGAUUACCAAUUUAUUUGGACGGAUUUUUUUUUCCAUGGGUGAUUCAUGUGUUGGGACCUCUCCAUUUCUGUGAUAAGAUAAAGUUGUAAAGUUCACCUUUCUCAACCGCAUGUAAAAAAAUGGAGAUGUGUCUAAAACAAUUACGGUGCAUGACAAUUUCCAAGAAAAAGAAACCAUAUUAUGAUGGGUAUGUUCAGAGAUGCUUUCGUACCUUUUCUUCUCGAGAAAUUCUCUGACCUCACUCAUAACUUGACUUCUUGCAUUCCUUUUCUUUGCAAGUUGAUAGAACAUGUCCUUGAGUAAUAUAUCCAUGUCAGGAGUCUGAGAUACCGAAACAUAGGCCGAGCAAUCAAAUCGUGAUCUAAGCUUUUCAUACACUGCAUUGGCAAGAGUUGUCUUCCCUAGACCACCAAUUCCAACAAUAGAAACUAUCGUACGUGUCUUGUUGCUGCCUACACACUUUUUCUUUUAGGGGAAAUUGUUGCCUACGCACUUCAUUGUCUUCUCCGAGAAUCUUGAUUACCUCUUCUCUUGCCUCGUCAAUGCCAAUAAGCUCUAUUGCCUCGUAGUAAGCCAACCAUCGAGGAUCGACUGUUACAGGCUUAGCAGCAUCAUUACUGACCUUGUACCGAUCACGUUGCUUGGCUACCUCUUCAACACGGCUCUUGAUGUCUCUGAUUUUUGUAGCAAUCUUACGACGAAUCUUGGGCUGCAUCAACCAUUCGAGGCACUUAUCAACGGCCUCCUUGAAACCAUGCUGUUUGACUAGCUUCUUCCCUUUGCAUCGAACCAUGAAUAUGUCAAGGCUGUCCUCUAUGUCGUAGGAGAGCUCCCUGACGUUUCUAGCCCAAAUCUUGUCCUGAUUGUCCAGCUUGUGUACUGGUGUAUUUGAGAUCUUCUCUAGAGCACCCUGCAUGCUCUCAAGCUCUGACACUAGGAACUUGAUCCCGCUCUUCACCUCCUUUUGCAGGUUGUACUCGCCAUGGAUCAGAUCAGCAAGCUUGGCGAGGAGGUUUGGUAGUGGCCCCGCUACAACCUCUGCCAUGGAUCUGCGAGGGCUGAAGCGACAAAUUUUGUUGUGUAUACGUGUGAGCUGUGUAUAGUAGGGGGAAACAUUAGUCAGGACAAACAUAUCAUAUCUUUAGUUGAAACAUAUUUUGGGGUUUUCAGCAAGUUUGAAAUGAUACACAUAAGUAGUGCAUUUAUAUAUGUGCUUGUCACAAAAAAGUUGAGUUUACAAACUAAAUCUAGAAAGGAAAAAGUCAUGUACACCUGUAGAUACAGUAUGCCAGUGCAUGUCGUUUAAAAUUUUAAUUUCUGAAAGUUCUUAAAUAUGUAUUUAUAGGUGUUUCAUGUGUCUGAUUGUUUUCUCGUGUUAGAUUAGAAUGGAAUCCAGUGAAAGAGAAAAACUCACCGGUCGCUUGUAGCUGAGAGUCGAGCCGCCCCCAACUUCUUCCGCCAAUCGAUCCUCCCCUUGCACCUUACUUGACUCCUAUCUAGUGCUUGUUCUGCCCGCUUUGAACAUGUACAAUGCGCGCAAGUUAUACUGCAUGCUUUAAAUAUAUAAUAUAGAAGAAAAAUGCAAGCAGCAACGUCCAAAUAAAUAAACUUUUCAUGUCUACUUGACCUAGAAAAUAUUGGCAAUAUUUAUAUUUUUAAAUAAUUUUACUAUAAAAAAAUAUAUUCAGUGAUUCAUCUAAUGGUAAUGAUUAUAUGUAGUAUAAAUAUUAAUAACUUUCUUAUAGAUAAUUGGUCAAAAUUGAUAAUGUUUUACUUCUCAAGUAAGAAUAACAUUUUCUAUGAAAUGGAGGGAGUGAUUUUUUUUUCAUUGUUCUCUAAUACUCACUAUUGGUGUGAUUGGUUGCCAUGACCAUAGAAACUAGUCCACACGUUCUGAACGAUGGAACAGUGCAUGGACUUAUUCCAAAGAAAUAGAUAGGAAGAUUCCUCUUCUACAGUUCUAGUAGAGGGCAACUAGAUGGAACAAUGCAUACAGGACUAAUUCUAAAGAAAUAGCCAGGAGAGUCCCCAUCUAGUCGUCUGCAUUGAGUAGUUUAUAUUUAUAUGUGGUUGUCCUUUGAUGGCCCUUCUGGCCCAUGGGUAAUUGUGUGUCUCUUUCCUAGUCCUCCAACAGGUUAAGGUUGUGUUUGGUUAAACUUCUGAAAAAAUAUUUUUCUGCUAAAAUUCAGAAAGUUAACCAAACAAGUUGCUUGUUGUUUAGAAGCAACUGCUUUCUUGUAGAACAGUUUCAGAAACACCUUGGACCCUGCUUUUGGCUUUCUGUGUUCCGAAAUAGGCAGGAACAGAGAGCUGUUUUAAGGGAGAGAAAAAAGGGUAGGUUUUAUAUUUGUUUCAACCAAACAGCUUACAACUUUUGUACAACAUAUAACUCACAGUAACUUUAUUAUAGCUUACAACAUCUUUUCACACAGCUUACAAUUUAACAAAAUAGAUCCUAAGUUUGUUUUCAUUUGCCUCGUUGUUAUGCUACUAGUGGUUUUUAGUUGUGUCACUGUGGUGUUUUUUUUAAAAAAAAAUCACAAACAACUCGUGGUGGUUGUUCUGAAAGUAUGUUCUACCAUGUGUUUUUUGUCGGGUUCCCCAAAUGAACCAUGGGCCACUUUUAUUAUUCUAGUAAAAUCUAAGGAAAGCUCUUUUCAUUCGAUGGCAAAAAAAAGCGUAAAACUCAUAAAUGAUACCUACACUUCACUGUGGCAUCUCCUCGGUCCACAACUCUUGAGUUAAAAUAUGUGGAUUGGAAGAUUGUAGAUUGGUGUCCACAACCCUUGAGUUAAGACAUGUUUCACCCUGGUAAAUAAUUCAGAAAAGUGGGGAAUAAGCAUCAGGAGAAUCUGAAGAGAAAAAGCACAAGUUGGUAAUUUUUACAUUUGUGGCACCUCACAGUGAUGAGGCCUUCCCUACUCUCAAGGACAUGAUAGUUGAGAUUAGAGAAGGACAACUUCAGAUUGCUUGGAACGCAUUCAUGUUUCGCUUUCGGAAAAAAUAAAUGGAUGCAAAUAAAAGACAGAAUUUAUCCCUGGAAAUGGGGAUAAACAGCAAAAAAUUCAGGUCCAUUCAAAAGCUUUUGCCGGCCGAAAUUUGCGUGCCUCUUCCAACGGCUAAGCGUGCCGUACUCAAUUUCAGGAAUGUCUGCUUGGACGCAUGUCGCGUGUGAAUUGUGCUGGCAAGUCGAGAUUCAUAAAGCUUAAAAUCCAAAGGAGUUUACAAUAUGUCUAAUAACUUUUUCAGAUAGAUAGAGAGAGCAUUUUAUAAUUAUUUGAAUCAAACAGUUUACAACUGUUUAGCAUCACAUAGCUUAUAGUAGCUUUUUCACAACUCACAGUUUAUAAUAACUUUUUCACAAUUCAUAGCUAAAUCAAACACACCCUAAGUGUGUUCAUAAUUUUACUAAAUUUUUGUUAUCAUGUGAAACUAGAUAUGAAUACGUGAAAAGUAAUUUUAAGAUUACGAUUGUAUCAACUCUAAUUUUAUCCCAAAAUUAAUAAAGACUUUCUUUAUAAAAAAAACUGCACAUCCCGCUGGACGUAGCCAGGUAGCCAGUUGCAGCUUUGCAGGUCUGAUGGUCCGAAUAAUUCCCAUUGCGAAUGCCGACAAGAGAACUGCUCACAUGACUCCUUCACUCUGUAAAGCAUUACUGAUAUCAUCAUUUGGGCCUUGUUUAGUUCCAAAAAUUUUUGCAAAACAGGUACUGUAGCACUUUCGUUUGUUUGUGACAAAUAUUGUCUAAUCAUAGACUAACUAGGCUCAAAAGAUUCAUCUCAUCAAUUCCGACCAAACUAUGUAAUUAGUUUUUAUUUUCGUCUAUAUUUAAUACUCCAUGCAUGCGUCUAAAGAUUCGAUGUGACGGGGAAUCUGAAAAAUUUUGCAAAAUUUUUUGGGAAGUAAACAAGGCCUUGGUUUCUGUUAUCAGUUUUCUCAGAUUUGGUUUCUGAAAGAACUCUGCUUUUCUAUUGAGGUAAGAAAAGUGCAAUUUUGUUUAUGUAAUCGCUCUACGAAUGAAACGAACAUUAUUGGGUCAUCUACAACACAAUUGUCAAGAACACCACUGCACUAACAAGUAUUCCUCUCAUUUUAUAUAUCCCUCAUCGAAAAUCAAUAACAGUUAAUUACCGAAGUUAAGCAACUCGUGAAACCAUGUAUAAAUUUGAUGAGAAAAGGCUUUGGUAAUUUUGCUUGAAUUAAUCCCAAAAUGUACACUCUCUACCCUGAUACCGGAAGUCUGAAAACUCUGAAAUCUGAAUGGCCAGGCUGUUUCUGAUCAUGCAUGUACAGUGAUCAGUGAAUUUCCUAUACGGCAAUACCAAAUCCAAGAACCAGAGUCCAGAGCAACACCAUUAGCAACUAGAUUGCACACUCCUCCUGGCGGUCACCACCGCCGUCAUCACUAAGGCACUCCAUGGCCGUAACAUGCCUGUCGUACAUCAUGGCUGGCUCCGGGUGCCCAUACCUCGCCGCAGCGACAGCAUAGCACCCAACUACCCAAGCACGUAACAGAACACAAGAAACACAAGCCCAAAGAACUGGAAGUUAGCGAGCUGCUCGGCGCGCUCCUGCGUGGCGCGUGCAAGGCACUCGAUGUGGCCAUCGGCAUCAGGUGCGCACACAACAGGGACAAGGGCGGAUCUAGAAUUUUCAUCCAUUGAUGUCACUAAGCUAUAAUCUUAUCAAACCUUCAUAAUCUUCUACUGUAAUAUGUUAGAUAUUAUAGUGGUACUUAUACGAAGUCAUUGAUGUCAUCAGGCAUCAAUGCUUAUACUGUAGAUCCACCCCUGGGCGGGGAGCAUGGGCCCGUAGAGCUUGAACACCGUCUGGUAGAACUAGAGCCCCUGCAGCGUCAUGAGCACGCCCAAGGCAAGGUCCACGGGGAAGCUCUCCGGCAGGAGCGCCCCAAGGACGGUGGCGACAAAGCAGAGGCCGACCAGCACAAUGAGGAGGUAGUGGUAGUAGACCUCUAGCCCAUGUGUGUCGCAGAGUGAUGUGUGUCAUACUCCACACAAGAAACAUAGCCCCCUCUUGUUAACAAUGGUUGUUGUCUUGCAGGGACAAAGGUUCCAGGAUGGCAAGAGAAACAAAAUGGCAAUAUGAUUGCACACCAUAAACAAAAGCCGGGAGGGUUCAGGCAUGAUUGCAAGGGAAAAAGGAUUAAGCAUAGAGAGAGGGACUGCACUCAUUCGGGUAAGAUCAAUCUUGCCCCCUGCCCCUAACAGCCCUCAAAUGCAAAACAGAGUCAGACUACACUUGGUACUGUACUUAGCAACAGUAACACACCGGCCCCCACCUCGCGCUUGUAGUAAUAAAGGUGAAAUAAAAGUAUUUCUAUCCAGCUCAACUAUGUAAUGUCAGAUGCCAAAAGCUUUUCAUUCAUUCACUCAUUCCGAGGAGGAUAUAUUUAAAAAACAGACUUAGUGGGCCAUACGACGUCAAUAAAUCAAGUCCAUUCAAAAUAAAACUAACUCCACUAGGUUAUAAUCCAUUGUCCAAGAGAUAAUGAAGAAGAUUCCCAUCGAAAGGAGCAAGAGCGGGGUGAGACCCAACAUGUAGGUCGGCUGCCCCCCCCCCCCCCCCCCGACCGACCUGUCGGCUUCAGGAUUGUUCAAUUGCCUCUAAGGAUGAAUCUCUACCAUCUAUCAAGGUCGGUUCGAAUGUAGAGUUGAGACGAAGCAUUGCCAUGGAUCCAUGGGUCCAUAUGGUGCCAGGUGCGCCUAUAAAAGGACCCCUAGACCCCCUCCAGAUAAGGAUCAUAGUUGAAGAGAAGAAUAGUCCUUCAUAGUAGGCUCUAUUCUUUGUACAUAGAAAAUAGUGAGAUAGAGAGUGAGGGAAGAGUUUGGAGGAGUACUGGGCUUGUCAGUGCUCUCUCUCUCUCUUCAACUUGGUGGUGGAUUCAGGUUAUGUCUAAGCCCGCAUCUGAGACAUCUCUGGUAAUUGAUUUUUGAUUCAAUGUAAGUAUUGUGCUCUUUUGUUCAUUAGGAUCAUGAAUCUUUGAGUGCUUUAAUCUAUGUUAAGCUCUUGGGUUAAAGUAGUAACUGUGUAAGAGUGGUCCUUAGACUUUCGGCUACUCGUGGAUGCACCCUACAUUAUGAAUCGUGUGGUAGUCUCUUGAUCAUCUAUAGUCCACCUCCUGUUUAUAGGCCUACCUGGAUGGCUGGACCUGUGUUGCGAUGGAAGAAGUAUAUUUCUUUAUACUCUUCCUUAGUAAUGUGCCUAGGUGAACACUAGAAUACAACUCUAUCUUAAAUUAGAAAUUAAUAACCUUAGAAGUUCUCUCUACACUCCUAUCUUUAACCUUGUUGCUAUCCCUAGUUAAGUUAGUCCAUUGUUAAUCUCACAUGUUUCUAUGUGGAUAUAAUACUUAUUCAAAAAGCUACUUCGAUUCCGUGCACUUGCAAUUUAUUCCAUGUGCCACCACAGGUGUCAACAUUCAUCAUCGUAUAUUAGGUGGACCAACAUAGUCGUCGAACACUCAUCUCACAAUCUCCCCAUAUGGACACCCGUAUCAUAUGGUGUCGAAAGCAUCAGACCUUGCCUAAUUUUGCUCCACCAUUAACGUGAGAAAUUUAACAACCUGGUACGGCCAUGCAAUAGAGUUCAACAACCUAUUACUGGCUAAACUUGUGGCGUGAUCUUACACACAUAUAAGUAGCAAAUAGAAGAGGUGGGCACCCAACAUAUAGUUUAGGCACAUAUUGGUUCACAAAAUAUUGUAUUGUUACAUAGAUUGACAUGCAACAGAGUUCAAAUGCAAAGGUUAUGUUGGUAAUUAAAUUUCAUCGCCGGCACUUUUGCUUUUUCGUCGAUGGGAUAAUAAGUACACUUCAAUUUUCAUGCAAUAAGGAGCCAGAUGUCCUAAUAACCAUGCAAUGACUAUUCUAAAAAUAUAACCAGCUACUUGUAUGAGUUGUACUCCAACUCUUGUCCCAAUAUAUUGAUAAACAAAUGUAACUGAACCAUUUACCAUUACCGUCCCUCCAACACUGUGACAGUCAUGUUAUUCAUGGAGCUAUUUGUAUUUUCUCCUGUUCCUUGAGCUUCUAAAUACCAUUGCGAGAAGUACAUGGGCUGUUUUGGGACUGAAAGUAACGUGGUUUCGUUCUCCAACAUGAACACAACUGUUGACAUAAGUGGCCUACUAUUCGGAUUGUCUUGCACACACAAGAGUCCUAUGUGGAUGCACCUCAAAGCUUCAUUUGCCGAACAACUUUCAAGAACAAAAGAGUCCACCAAAUCCAUUGCCUUGCCAUCAUUCCAUAAGCUCCAUGCCUGGACCAAUUCAAGAAAAUUCAUAGGAUAUCAACAGGUUUUAUUGUUUGAAUUAUAAAUUUGAAGAAUUCCAGCAUACUUACAUAAGCUAAUAGGCUAGGGAAGCUCGUGGAGUGAGUCGAAGUGAUUUUCAAACCGCUUAUGAUCUCCAAGAGUAUAACACCAAGGCUAUAUGUAUCAGACAUGACAGAAAAAGCUCCAUCCAUUGCAUAUUCAGGAGACAUGUAACCACUGAUGAAAACUAGUUAGCACUUAGCAGUAUGUGUGUAAAAAAUUUUUGGAUUGGUAUAGGAAAAAAGAUAACUGGACUGGAUAUGAUUACUUACUAUGUCCCAACAACUCGGUUAGUAUUUGCUUCUUGUUGGUUCCCUCCAAAGAUUCUUGCCAUACCAAAAUCUGAUAUCUUAGGGUUCAUAUCUGCAUCCAACAAUAUGUUGCUUGUUUUCAGAUCUCGGUGCACAAUUGUCAAUCUUGAAUCCUGGUGCAGAUAAAGAACUCCCCUUGAUAUUCCUUUGAUUAUCCUGAACCUUGUUGGCCAAUCAAGAACGUUUUUCCUUGCAGCAUCUAUAAACAUACAAUGGUAUUAUAAGUAAAGUAAGCAAGCAAAUUAGAGUAGUAGUACCUAUGACUGUUUGUCUUUUUUUUUCCUGUAUAAAAUACAGCUAGUUUAUACAUACCAAAAAUGAAGGAAUCCAAGCUUUUGUUUGGUAGAUAUUCGUAAAUUAGCAACUUCUCAUCUCCAUGAAUGCAGCAACCAAGGAGCCUAACAAGGUUCCUGUGCUGCAAUUUCGCAAUUAGAACUACCUCAUUUCUGAAUUCAUCUGUGCCUUGUCCAGAGCCCUGACUGAGCCUUUUGAUCGCGACCUCUCUGUUUUCGCCUAGAAUACCCUGCAUUAUUUCACCAUCGAUCAUUAAAUUGAACAAGCAACCUUAUAACUUCUGCUGGAUGCCAUGGUUGAAAAUAUUUAUUACCUUAUAAACUUUCCCGAAGCCUCCUUGCCCGAGCAUAUUGUCUUCAGCAAAAUUAUUUGUUGCAGAAACAAUAUCAUCAAAGCUAAAAAACGGAAGGUCGAGAUUUUCAUCACCAAGUGUAUUUGUCUCAUCCAAGUGUCCUAGCAUCAUCUUCUUAUGGAUAUCCAUGUUUCGUCGUUUGCCUAACAGAAAUGUUAAUGUUUUUGUUCAGUUUCAGUAUGAAUCACCAUUGACUUCCGAGUAGUGAAGUGAGUGGGUUCUACAACUUCUACCUCUAAGCUUGCGCCUGCACCAUACCCAGACAAAGAACAUCCCCAUGAGGGCAAGCAGACAUGUCGUAACUGGCAGCAAGAUUAUUAGUACCACAUUCCUCUUCUUCUCAACUGCAGAAAUAUGCAUGUUGCACCAUGAGAAUAUAUAUAGAUGAUGAUGAAACUUACUCAUGAUUUCAAUUCACACUAGCUAGGAGAUGCAUCUGUGCUUACCUAAUUCAGACUUUGCUAACCUCAGGUACAUAUCCUGCCCUUUGUCAAUGUAUCGAACAUCCACGAUCGCAUCCGUCCACAUGACGCAGCCAUGGUCACCGCCUCGGAUGUCGGCGGCGGCGUAGGCCACGCAAGCGCAGUUGGCGAGGCACCUCUCCCUGCACUGCUCCAGCGUCACGCCCAUGUCCACCGUUGUGUUGUCCGUGUCCGGCAGCUUCACCGCCCGCACCAUCUUGAACCCGUCUGUCGUCGUCCCGUUGCCGCACUCCAGCGGCACGUCCCUCCGGCACCCGCCAUGGGUCUCCCUCAUGGACCACUGAGACGGGUUCACGGGGCUGAACCCCACGGCGCAGCUGCAGAACAUCGUGGACGCCGUGUUCAUGUUGCACAGCCCGAACGCGCCGCACAUGGCGUAGUUGUCGCAGACGUCCCUCGGCGCCUCCGCGAACGAGGUCCACACCAGGCUCACCGGAUCCCACCCCAGCCGGUGCAUCACGCCGUUCUCAUUCAGCAGUAGCCUGGAGAUCGGCGCGCCGGCCGUGGUGUUGAAGGAGUACGCGAUCUCGUCGGCGCCGACGACGAGCUGGUUGGAGUACAGGUCCAAGUACGACGCCAUCUCCGGGAUGCCGCUGAACCACUGCCCGUUCCAGGGCCCCGUCCGGUACAUCUUGACGUUGCCAUGCCAAGUUAUGGUGUCCGGGAGGCCCCUGGUGUCCAGGGAACGCCAGUAGUCUCCGGGCGCCGGGUCGUUGGACGCACGCCACGACGUCGUGGUCCACUCAGCGCCAGUCCGGAGGUUCUUGCCGAAUUUCAUGCCGGCGAGGUAGGUGUUCCCCGGGUGAUCGAACCACUGCCAUAGCACGUCGCCGGUGCUCUGAUCGCGAACGACUAGGUUGCCAGAAUCGAGGAGCUGUGCCUGCGGCAGCACGACAGGUGGAGGAGGAGCGGAACUCGUCGUCGUGGUGGAACUGGAAGAAGACCACGCGGUGUGGCCAGAGCCGUCGAGAAGGCGAAGGGUGCCGGUGCUGUCGUCGACGACCAGCACGCCUGAGGUGUUGUUGAGGGGUGUUUCUUGGUUGGCCACCCAACAGAUGGCCUCUGGUGACAUGGUGAACCAGACGCCAAGAUAUCUCUUGGCUGGCACGCCGGCCGGGGAGAAGAAGCCCAAGGUGAAGGAGCUGCCGGAUGAGACCAACGUCUCGCCAUCGGUGAUGUUGCUGCUGCUGCUGAGUGUGUCAGAUGGAGUGCCGGCGGCCGAGGCUUUGAGCAAAAGCAAGAACACGGUGAAGAUCACGGUGAGAAGGUACGACGACAGAAGUCUUGUCAUCCCGCCUCCCCGUCGCCAGUACUAGUGAUGAUGUUUGUUGCAGUACGUAGCUCAAGAAAUUUCAUAGUACGGGCGAUAUGUAUCGAUAUAGUAUUAUGAUCACGUUGGUGCUCGCUUAGUUUAUUAGUUGCAUAUUUAAUUUAGCACCAAUGAUACAUUCAUACCAAAACUGUCACAUUCAUUAACUUGGUCAAUUACGGCAUGUUUAUAAUUUAUUAACUAGCCUAUUAUUUUUUUGAGGUAACUAUUAACUAGCUUAUUUGUCUACAUUCUUACGAGUCUAGUGGUUGAAAGCGAUGGUCUUAUUAAAAGUCUACGGAUGACUGACCGACCGAGUACUGCCGAGAGCCCAGAUGUUGAAAUGGUGACUUCCAGUCUUCCACCCAACCCCCAUAUGUUGAAAUGGUGACUUCCAGUCUUCCACCCAACCCCCAUAUGUCUCCAAAGAAAAUUCUAUGCGACGACGGUACGGAGUCAUGCAUGCCGUGCGACAUCUCCCGAUCGAAUGGCAAAACAUGUCCGCAUGCCGAGAUGAGAGUGUCUUUGAGUGGAAAAGAGUGGCUUUGUACACUGCAGAAUGAGGCAUUGGUCGAUGUUCAAAAUGGCCAAAAACCUCAGCCUUUUUGCCGCCCGGGUUAAAGACCCCUUAACACCGGUUCGUAACACGAACCGGUGCUAAAGGGUCCUGCCCAACGGCUACUGACAUGUGCUGUCGGGGCGGAGACCCUUUAGCACCGGUUCGUAUUACAAACCGGUGCUAAAGGGGUCCCUUUAGCACCGGCCAGAGCCACGGGCCGAGGCAAACCCUUUAGCACCGGUUUUUGUUACAAACCGGUGCUAAAGGGUAACCCUUUAGCACCGGUUUUUGCCCUGAACCGGUGCUAAAGUUCCGGUUUAUAGGCCGGCUCCCUCCUCCCCUCUGCCCAUUUGAAACCGAGAGCACCAUUGUUGUUGUUGGAGCUUUUUCUUGCUUGUUCUUCAUUUGUUCUUCAUCUCCAACGCCUAUCGUAGAUCUUCUUCGACUCCGUCAUCGUCUCUUCGUGCUUGGAGGUGACUAACUUUUGUCUUUCUUGUCUUUUCAUGUUGUUUUUGGCUUGUGAUGUUCGCAUUAUUUUUAGCUCAAAUCCACGUUGUUAUUUUGAAUCAUUCACAUGAAUUAGUAUCCAUAUAUAUAUAUAUAUCAUAUUUCAUGGUUGACCUAGUAUUAAUGUAGUUUGCAAGAAUGAAUUAUAGUAUAUUUUUAUGAUCUUAGAAAGUAGGAUAGUUCAAAUUAAUUGGUUUGUUAAUAUCACUUGAUUUAUUUUUAUUACUACAUAUAAUGUCCAUUGUAUCAUACAUGUUUACUAGUAAAUGUGGAAUUUAUAAUUGUUUAAAAAUUGAGUAUGGAUAGUAGAUGGCAACCGUGACCGGUUCUUCGGUCUCUCAACGGGUUCAAAAGCGAUACCGUCCAGAACUCCCUCUCAUUACUUGUGGCAAGUAUGGGCAGAAGAUUUUGAUGGAGUACAAAGUGUCGAAAGAGGGAGUAAACAAGGGUCGUAUAUUCUACAAGUGUCCAGAUCGUAAUGUGAGUUAUUUCCAGACAUUUGCUUAUAUAUGUGCAUAUUUUUUUAAAUGAUAUUAAUUAAACUUUUGAUUCUCUCUUUUAAUUUCAGUGGGACGGUACCGGCGGAUGUACAGGUUGGUACUGGGAGGAAGAAUACAUUGAACACAUUAAGAAAUCUUUUGCACAGGUGGUUGAGGCUGAAGGUGGUGAGGCAGUGAGCCGACGAAAGUAGUUCAACGAUGUUGAUCAAGCGAAUGAUCUAUCUAUUAUAGUUGGGAUCGGACGCGAACUAAUUAUGUUGCUUAAGUGCAUUUUAGUUUUGAUUUUUUUAGUGCUAGUUGCGAUUGUAUUUGUUGUAGCCAAGCUUUCCUAAAUUAAUCAACUAUGUAUCUUAGACAUGUUGUGCAAUAAGAUGAGAAACUAUAUGUGUGUAUUUUUUUCAUAAUAUAUAUGUUAUAUUUAAUGUAGAUGGUAACACGUAAUUGGAUGUAUAAUGCCGAUCGGCGCUCCGAAGAGUUCAUUAAUGGCGUGCACUAUUUCUUAAGUGUGGCCGAGUCAAAUAAGAGGGACGGUUUCAUGUGCUGUCCAUGUGUCGUGUGCAAGAAUUUGACGGAAUAUUCUAACUCAAGAACUCUUCAUUCAUACUUAUUAAAGUCAGGUUUCGUACCAAACUACAUUUGUUGGACCAAACAUGGAGAAAGCGGGAUUAUAAUGGAUGAAGGUGAAGAAGAAGAAGAAGAAGAAUUGGACCAUGCCAAUAUUAUUGCUCAGUACGGUGGCUUCAAUGAUGUUGCAAUGGGGGGAGAUAAUGAAGAAGAGGUGGCGGCAGAAGAUGAUCGGGGCGAUGAUGCUUUUGGUGAUGCCAUCCGUGAUGCACAAAGAGAAUGUGAAAGUGAUAAAGAGAAAGCCAAGUUCGAGCGCAUGCUAGAGGACCACAGGAAAUCGCUAUAUCCCACCGCUGAAGAGGGGCAAAAAAAGUUGGGUACCACACUAGAAUUGCUGCAAUGGAAGGCAAAGAAUGGUACAUCUGACAAGGCAUUUGGGCAGUUAUUGAAGAUCAUAAAAAAGAUGCUUCCGAAAGACAACGAAUUGCCCACCACUACGUAUGAAGCAAAACAGGUUGUCUGUCCUUUGGGAUUAGAAAUCCAGAAGAUACACGCAUGUCCUAAUGACUGCAUCCUCUACCGUGGGGAGGAAUACGAGAAUUUGGAUGCAUGUCCAGUAUGUAAGGCAUCACGGUAUAAGAUUAGACGAGAUGAUCCUGGCGAUGUUGAGGGUUUAGAACGUCAUAGAAAGAAAAUUCCAGCCAAGGUUAUGUGGUAUGCUCCUAUAAUACCACGAUUAAAACGUCUGUUCAGAAAUAAGGACAAUGUAAAGUUGUUGCGGUGGCAUAAAGAAGACCGUAAGAUAGACAAUAUGCUGAGACACCCUGCCGAUGGAUCCCAGUGGAGAGCGAUAGACAGAGAAUUCCCAGAUUUUGCAGAUGAUGCUAGAAACUUGCGGUUCGCCUUAAGUACAGAUGGUAUGAAUCCUUUCGGUGAGUAGAGCAGUAGUCACAGUACUUGGCCAGUUACUCUAUGUAUCUACAACCUUCCUCCAUGGCUAUGCAUGAAGCGGAAGUUUAUUAUGAUGCCGGUGCUUAUCCAAGGACCGAAGCAACCUGGUAAUGACAUAGAUGUCUACCUAAGGCCAUUAGUUGAGGAACUUCAACUUUUAUGGAGCAAACCAGGAGUUCGCGUGUGUAAUGAGUACAAACAAGAGCACUUUGACCUGCGAGCAUUGCUGUGUGUAACAAUCAAUGAUUGGCCAGCUCUGAGUAAUCUUUCAGGCCAAUCAAACAAGGGAUAUAAUGCAUGCACACAUUGUUAUGAAGACCUUGACUGUGUAUUUUUGAAAAAAUGUCAAAAGGUCGUGUACCUUGGCCACCGUCGGUUUCUUCCUGUGAACCACCCAGUACGAAAGAAAGGCAAGCAUUUUAAAGGCAAGGCAGACCACCGGACCAAACCUCUCAAUCGAACCGGGGAUGAUGUACUCGAAAUGGUCAAGGAUAUAAAAGUGGUAUUUGGAAAGGGACGAGGCAGCGAACCUAUUCCCAAGGAUGCUAAGGGACACGUACCCAUGUGGAAGAAGAAAUCCAUAUUUUGGGAGCUACCUUACUGGAAUGUCCUAGAGGUCCGCAACGCGAUCGACGUGAUGCACCUGACAAAGAAUCUUUGUGUGAACUUGCUCGGAUUCAUGGGUGUCUAUGGGAAGUCUAAGGAUUCACUUGAAGCACGACAAGACUUGCAGCGCAUGAAAGAAUGAGACAACCUGCAUCCAAAAAAGACAGAUGAUGGAUGUCAUUACUUAAGCCCUGCUAGCUACACUCUGAGCAAAGAAGAGAAGGAAAGCAUGUUUGAAUGUCUUAGCAGCAUCAAGGUCCCAUCUGGAUUCUCCUCCAAUAUCAAGGGAAUAAUUAAUGUGCCAGAGAAGAAAUUCCUGAACUUGAAGUCCCAUGACUGUCACGUUCUAAUGACGCAAUUGCUGCCGGUCGUUUUAAGAGGAAUUCUACCUCCACACGUACGUCUAGCCACCGUAAAGCUAUGUGCAUUCCUCAAUGCAAUUUCUCAGAAGGCAAUCAAUCCAGAGCAACUAGCUACUCUGCAGAAUGAUGUCGUUCAAUGUCUCGUCAGCUUUGAGUUGGUGUUCCCUCCAUCCUUCUUCGAUAUCAUGACACACCUUCUAGUUCAUCUGGUCAAAGAGAUUCGUAUUCUCAGUCCUGUGUUCCUACACAACAUGUUCCCCUUCGAGAGAUUCAUGGGUGUCCUAAAGAAAUAUGUCCAUAGUCGUUCCCGGCCAGAAGGAAGCAUUGCCAAGGGCUACGGAACAGAGGAGGUCAUAGAGUUCUGUGUUGAAUUUAUUCCAGACCUUGACCCAAUUGGCAUUCCUGAAUCUCGACACGAGGGCAGACUCAGCGGAAAGGGAACACUUGGGAAGAAAACAUAUAUUGAUACGGGAAACGAUUACUUCAAUAAAGCACACUACACAGUUCUCCAAAACUCCUCAUUGGUGGAACCAUAUGUUGAGGUACACAAAGAUUUCCUACGGUCCUAGUGGCCCGGGAAUAAUGAAGCUUGGAUAAUGCGUCAGCACAUGGAAACUUUUGGCGAUUGGUUGCGCAAAAAAUGUCAAGGUGAUGAAAAUAUUGAUGAGCAACUUUAUUUGUUGGCCAGGCAACCAUCAUGGCAUGUCCUCACAUACAAAGGGUACGAGAUAAAUGGUAACACAUUUUACACAGUUGGCCAAGAUAAAAGGAGCACCAACCAAAAUAGUGGUGUACGCGUGGAUGCCACGGAUCCAAAUGGGAACAGACAAACAUAUUAUGGACGCAUAGAAGACAUAUGGGAACUAGUCUAUGCAGCUAAUUUUAAAGUUCCUUUGUUCCGGUGCCAAUGGGUGAAGAUGACCGGAGGUGGGGUAACAGUCGACAAGGAGUAUGGGAUGACAACCGUGGACCUUAACAAUAGUGGGUUCAAAAACGAACCAUUCGUCCUUGCUGCAGACGUGAGUCAGGUGUUCUAUGUCAAAGAUAUGUCUACGAAACCAAAGAGAGGAAAAAAUGAUGACCACUCAAUCAUCAAUGAGCCAAAGCGCCACAUUGUCCUUUCUGGGAAAAGAAACAUUGUCGGAAUUGAGGACAAGUCAGACAUGUCAGGCGAUUACGAAAGGGAUGAUCGAAUUCCGCCCUUCAUAGUAAACAAAGACCCAAGCAUUCUGUUAAACAAUGAGGAUACUCCAUGGUUACGGCAGGAUCAUAACCAAGGGUCAUACGUCAAGAAGAAGUUCACUGUUGUGUCGGCUUGACUUUGUAUGAAACUAUAUUUGAGAAUUGUGAAUUUUGAUGUGUGUAACAAACUUUGUAUUCAUGACUUUGUAUUCAAGACCAUCUAGGGUUCCGAAACCGCUGCGUGGCUAUGAGUUCUAUGAAAAUUCAAAAUUCAGUGGUUCAAACUUUUCCAAAUGAAAAGUUGACCAUUAGACAAAAUGCAGAACUUGAUGAGUGUAGCAAACUUUGUAUUCAUGACUUUUCCAUUUGGGACAAUCUAGGGUUCGGUCAAAGGGUGUGUUUGUAAAAACCAAUGCUUUGACUUUGGUCAAACUUGGUCAAAUGGCCCAUUUGAUGACUUCAAAUGAAAAAAGUUUGAAUACAUAGUUGUUAGAGAUCAUCAAGAUCUAUAUUUUAUAUAUUGUCCAUUUUUCCAUUUGGAUAAUUUUGAGCCAAUCCUAAUUACAUUUCUAUAAAAUCCAAGACGGGUUUUGGUCAAACUUGGUCAAAUGACAAACUAAAUUACUUCAAAUGAAAAUAUUUUGAAUACCAAGUUGUUAGAUAUCUUCAAGAUCUAAACUUUUUAUAUACACAACUUUUCCAUUUGAGAAAGUCUACGUUAACAAUACCCACAAAUUCUUGAAUCUCACACAAACUAUAUGAAACUAUAUGUGUCAACUGUGGAUUCUCAACUACACCUUUCCAAAACUUUCUCAAAUGCAAAAAAGGUCUAUAUAUGAAAUGUAGAUUAUGAUGAGUGGAACAAUAUUGGUAUUCAUGACUUUUCCAUUCGAGACCAUCUAGGGUUCCGAAACCGCUGCGUGGCUAUGAGUUCUAUGAAAAUUCAAAAUUCAGUGGUUCAAACUUUUCCAAAUGAAAAGUUGACCAUUAGACAAAAUGUAGAACUUGAUAAGUGUAGCAAACUUUGUAUUCAUGACUUUUCCAUUUGGGACAAUCUAGGGUUCGGUCAAUGGGUGUUUUUGUAAAAACCAAUGCUUUGACUUUGGUCAAACUUGAUCGAAUGGCCCAUUUGAUGACUUCAAAUGAAACAAUUUUGAAUAUAAAGUUGUUAGAGAUCAUUAAGAUCUACAUUUUAUAUAUUGUUCAUUUUUCCAUUUGGAUAUGUUUGAGCCAAUCCUAAGCACAUUUCUUUAAAAUCCAAGACGAGUUUUGGUCAAACUUGGUCAAAUGACAAACUAAAUUACUUAAAAUGAAAAACUUUUGAAUACCAAGUUGUUAGAUAUCAUCAAGAUCUAAACUUUUUAUAUACACAACUUUUCCAUUUGAGAAAGUUUAAGUUAACAAUACCCACCAAAUCUUGAAUCUCACACAAACUAUAUGAAACUAUAUGUGUCAAUUGUGGAUUUUCAACUACACCUUCCCAAAACUUUCUCAAAUGAAAAAAUGGUAUAUAUAUGAAAUGUAGAGUUUGAUGAGUGGAACAAUAUUGGUAUUUAUGACUUUUCCAUUCGAGACCAUCUAGGGUUCCGAAACCGCUGCGUGGCUAUGAAUUCUCUGAAAAUUCAAAAUUCAGUGGUUCAAACUUUUCCAAAUGAAAAGUUGACCAUUAGACAAAAUGUACAACUUGAUGAGUGUAACAAACUUUGUAUUCAUGACUUUUCCAUUUGGGACCAUUUAGGGUUUGGUCAAAGGGUGUGUUCAUCAAGAUAUAUAUUUUUAUAUGAUAAAUAGAAUUUUUAUUUGAUUUAAACUAUACCCUACUACCGUUCCGAGUAAUAAAUAACAAAAAUAAAAAGUUUAACGUCAAUAUGAUGUGAAAAUAGAUUUCUAAUUGAUUGGAUAAAUUUUUUGUAAAUUUAUUGGAAUAAUAUAUUUUUGCAUUAACAAAAUACUAAACAUUUCUUGCAAAAUCAUUACAAAUUAUAAAUAUACAGCAAGAUAUUUAAGGUUAAAAAUUUUCAUGUGUACAUUAAAAAAAUUACAAUAUAUGUCACUGUUUAAAAAAUAUUAUGCAAAAUAUUUAAUUUACUAUACAAUUUAUAAUAUAAACUGUAUAUAUAAACACUUUAAAAUGACCUAAAGUAAAAAACAGGGCCUUUAGCACCGGCCCAUAGUGGGAACCGGUGCUAAAGGGUCCUGAAAAUUUUCAGGACCCCGCCCGAGCCCGCCUAGGACCCUUUAGCACCGGUCCGUGGCUGUAACCGGUGCUAAAGGGUCCCUUUAACACCGGCUGGUGUUACGCGCCGGUGUUAAAGGGGGGCCCUUUAACACCGGCGCGUAACACCAGUCGGUGUUAAAGGCCCUUUAGCACCGGUUCCAGCCACGGACCGGUGCUAAAGGGUCCGCCCCUAUUUAAGUCAUGGGCAUCCUGGAUCUGAGCAGUUCUUCGUCUUCGUCGAGUUCAUCGUCUCCAGCGCCGCCGCCCGUUCAUCUGCCCGCGUGCGACCUCGUCAAUCUCCAGCGCCGCCGUCUCCAGCGCCGCCGCGGCCAGCUCCGGCCACCAGCGCCGCCGCCGCGGGCACCAUCUCCAGCGCCGCCGCCGCCGCGCCGUCUGCAGCGCCGGCCGCCACCAUCUCCGGCCACCGAUCAUCGAACUCCGCCGCGUCGUCUCAGAUCUACAUCCUCUACGUAUACACUAAAUUGAUCUCCAACAGUUUAUAUAUAUAAUCUGCAGAAUGAUGAAUGAAUGUAUAUUAGUUUUUAGUGUAUAUAUAUAUAUAUAUAUAUAUAUAUAUAUAAUCUGCAGAAUGAAUGAAUGUAUAUUAGUUUUUAGUAUAAUAUAUAUAUAUAAUCUGCAGAAUGAAAUGUAUAUUAGUUUUUAGUAUAUUAUAUAUAUAUAUAUAUUAGUUUUUAAUUAGUAUAUUAGUAUAAGUGUAGUGUUGACCUGUUAUUAUAAAUUAUAUUAUGCUAGUAUAUAUUUGUAAUAUAUUAAUAUUAUUCUUGUAUUAUUAUGUAGUAUUAUUUUUUUAGUAUAUUAUUUGUAGUAUUAUUUUUUAGUAUAUAUUUAUAGUAUAUUAUUCUUGUAUUAUUCUUGUAUCAUAUUUUAUUUUCUAGUGUUUUGUAUAUAUUAUUGUUUGUACUAUUAUUCUAGUAUUAUUCUUUUAGUAUAUUAUUCUAGUGUAUUACUAGGCUUAAGAUUCUAGUAUUAUUUUUUAGAGCACUCCAACACUUUCAUUAUUCUUGUAGUAUUCUUGUAAUAUAUAUUCUUAUAGUAUUUUUAGUAUAUAUUUGUAGUAUAUUAUUCUUGUAUUAUUCUUGUAUCAUAUUUUAUUUUCUAGUGUGUUGUAUAUAUUAUUGUUUGUACUAUUAUUCUAGUAUUGUUUUUUAGUAUAUUAUUCUAGUGUAUUACUUGGCUUAAAAGAUUCUAGUAUUAUUUUUAGAGCACUCCAAUUUGUAGUAGUAUAUAAGUCUCUAAUAUAUAUUCUAGUAGUGUUUAGCCACCAAAUUUAUUCUAGGUUUUGUAUAUAUUAUUGUUUGUACUAUUAUUCUAGUAUUGUUUUUUAGUAUAUUAUUCUAGUGUAUUUCUUAUCUUAUAUAGAAUAUAUAUAUAUGUAUGGUUGCAGACAUAGAAAUGGCUGACCGUCCUCAUGAUGAUCCUUAUUAUAUGGAAGAUGCCAUUCAAAAUAUGAUCGACGACGGUGGUCAGUACUUUGUUGAUUACCACGAGAUCAUGCAAGGCAAUCGUACUGAGCAACAAGAGAGCAAUGCCCCUGAGCAACAAGAGGGCAAUGCCCCUGAGCAACAACUUGUCGUGCAAUAAGAAGAAAAUACUGGCGAGGUAUGUAAAUGUAAACAUAUAUAAUUAAUGCAUCUCUGACAUUAGGUUUUAGACUUAUUAAUUGGUUAUUAAUUUAGUAUUUUUGUUCCUAUAUCUACGUGUAGCCUUCUGGAUCGACCUCUACAGGGAGAAGCGUACCUCCACGAGGGCCAAAGAAGCCGUUGGAGGGCCGCUAUGUAAUCUCUGAGUUUGAGAUAGCUACAGGCAGACCACUUGGUGAGCAUGCAAAUAAAUAUGUUAGUCACUGUGGAUAUCUUGUGAGAGAUCAAAUACCGAUCAGUGCUCGUGAAUGGAGAGAGAAGCGAGGUGCUCCUGAGAUCAAUUUUGUCUCUAAUCGUGACAAGGAGUUAGUUUGGAAAGCCGUCACAGACGUUUUCACCUUCGACACCAACGAUGAAGAGUUGAAGGUGCGAAUUUAUGACUGGACUACGAAGAAGAUGGCAGUACUCUUCCAGAAUUGGAAGAAGUCUUUGUACAAUAAAUAUGUCAAGAAAAACAAGACUCCAAAUUUCAACCUCAAGCAAUAUGUAAAGCUGAGGGCCUUCUGGGAUGACUUUGUGCAGUACAAAACAUCAGAAGAGGGCGAGGAACGAGCCAAUAGAAACAAAGAGAAUGCCAGUAAAAAGACAUACCACCAUCAUAUGGGAUCAGGUGGUUAUAAGAGUACUGUUCCCAAGUGGGACCGAAUGGAACAGGAGAUGCUUGCUAGGAGGGUCACACCCGAGACAAUAGCAAAGAAUUGGAGCGAGCGCUCCAAGCAUUGGUUCUACGGUCAUGGGGGAAGCGUGGACCCAGACACCGGAGCGCUAGUUUGGGGCCAAGAAAUCUCUAGAGCAGCAGAGAGACUAGUCCGUGCACGAGAGGCGGUUCAGUCUGGUGAGUUCAGGCCUAAUAGGGAGAAGGAUGAACUCACCUAUUCGCUUGAAAAUCUUGAGCACGGUGGGUGUACGAGAGGCUAUGGGGCAGUUCCGUGGCUGCAAUCAUUCCAAGCCGAUCAAGAUACCUACAGAAGCCGCCAGAGAAAGAAGGAUGAGGAGGCAGAGCGGAUCCGCCACCUGGAAGCUUUUGUUCUGCAGUCACAAGAGCGCGAGAAAGCUCGUGAAGAAUGGAUGCAGGCAGAGAUUCAAAGGCAAGUGCAAGCAGCACUUAGUCAAAUGACGAAAGGGCAAGGUACAUCACAACCUGAGGUCAAUGUUAGCCCCCCAGGCCAGUUGAAAAGCAGCUGCGCAUCCACGGAAGUACCAACCAUUCAGGAUGACACGAAGCUACACUUCCCCGUGGAUGAUGUCACAGAGGCUUUUACUACCUGUGAGCUGCAUGUACCAGAUGGGAAUGCCACCAAAAAGGUGGCUAUCGCUGUUGUCAACCCUAUCGACCGAACGAGAACUCCAAGAAUCCAUAAUCGACCAGUACCUGGUGGAUAUGCUAGCGUCUCGGUUGAUAGGGUUGAGAAAGGUUGUGGCAAUGUGCCACUAGACAUAGAAGGGGGAGACGGAGAGAAGACCUUAGGUGAAGCUGAGAAGACAUUUAUUUGUUGGCGCAAGCGCUUCAUAAUUAUUCCUCAGCAUAGGUUUGUGUGUGAUUUUACUUCUUAUAUUAUUUAUUAUGUAUUGAAAUUAAAAAAAAGUUUGCUCACAAAACUUGUAAUUGUUUUCUUUGCAGGGACUCCUCCAACCUAAGUCCAGUUCUCUCCCCAGCGCAUCAUAGUGCUGCGGGCGGUGACAAUGCUGGAUCUCCUCCAACACCUGCGGUGGCCACACCGACCCCGCCACCGCCUCCACCACGGUCUCCACCUCCACCGAGGUCUCCAACUCCUCCACCGCGUUCUCCAACGCCAAAAAGAUCGGCCCCACCACCUCCACCGCCUGCACCGCCCUCUCCAAAGAGUGCACGGUCGGUCCCCUCGCCUCCAAAGCGAGGUAGUAAGAAGCGGUCCGCCCAAGAAGGACCGAAGUCAUCGGUCCCACCUCCAAAGAAGGCUGCCUCAGCAAAGAGAGCUAAGACGUCAGAAAAAUUACCUUACGAAAAGAGUGAAGAGAAGGUAAUUGCUACAUCUAAAGCUGAGGUCCAACAAUUUUUUGAUAAAAUAAAGGAGGAUAGGAAAAAACGGCUUAACCCAGAAAAGCCGUACUUUUAUGUGAAGCCAUCGGAACUGAGGCAGAAGGUGGCGGACCAUCAAAAGAAGCAACGCGAAGCUCAGAAAAAGCCAGCACUUUCGGACUAUGAGCGGUCUCUGGUCAAGUCUUCACAGAUACUAAGAAGAGAGUAGGAUAGGGGGUCCCACAGCUCGGAGAAGUAUCAAAACCGGUGCCCCCUUUGAUUGUGCCAAAUCAAUACGGCUCAAAUGAAGACUUGAUGCCAAAGAAAUCCUUAGCGUUGUCUGAGCUAGACUCGCUUGAGCGUUACUUUGGACAGAGCGGUUUAAAUAUGGAAGAAAUUGCCGCCAUUCUUGGAUGCCAAACAUUUGAAAAAGCCGAGGUAGUUGAUCAAUGGAGGGCAAGAUAUGAACCGGGCAGGAGUCUAUUCGACCCUAAGCGUUUACACGAACUCGGCACACAAAUGUUUGCAAUAAACAAAUGGUGCAUUGAGGCGUCUAAAAGGGGAGAUAAUUGGAUUUCUGUUCGUAUUAGACAACAUCACUACUUCCGUGGAGAUGACCUCAUAUACGUGCAGUUCGAAGAAUUGCACCAAUUAUGCCACCUCGACGCUUUUGACAAGUCUCUUGUCAGCUGCUUUUUUCUGUAAGUAUUUUUUUCUUUUUAUUAUACUUCUAACUUCUUUAAUUACAUGUAUAUAAUCCUUACGCACUUAGGAUUUGUAUGUAUAUAUGCAGGCACCAAAUGAGAGAGCUCAGAAUGAGAAAUGACAAUAGUAUUGGGUUCGUUGACCCUUAUAUUGUUUUCAAGGCUCCGCAGGCAGUGUGGACAGCAGAUCAUGAGACAGAAGUCUGCACCAAUCUUAUGAUUGUGAACCAAAAAUAAAAACAAAAAAUACUCUUCCCCUUCAACUUCGAGUGAGUUAUAUAGUUAUUAUGUGCAUGCAUAUUUUAUUUUACAUUAUAGGACUGACUAUAUAUAUAUGUGUGUAAACAGCUUUCACUGGAUACUCAUGGUCAUUGAAAUUCCCAAGAACCGGUGAUAAUCUUUGACUCAAUGAGAAAACCACAAGAAAAUUAUCAACAAAUGGUAAACAUUAUUCAAAGGUACGUAAUGUCGAUCUCAGCUACAAAAAUAUCAUAAUAUGACUCUGUAAUUAUUAGUUCACGAUCCACAAUGGCUGUGUAUAGGGUUUGGGAAAGAUUCAUUGACUGUGAACAUCUCAGUGGAUGUAAAGCGCCGCUUAACAUAAUACAUCCACAAGUAAGUUCUACUAGCUAACAAACUUUCGCUAACUUUUAGCCUUCUUAUUGUCGUGGUCGUGAAUAUUUUUAUAUAUAUAUCGUACAGUGGUGUUUAAGACAAGAAGGGGGGAACAAUCUAUGUGCAUAUACGUGUGCAAAUUCAUGAUGGCACAAGUCAAUCAAACACCCACAGAGACGCUCAGAGUACGUUACAUGUCUCUUUUCAUUAUCUCCUGAAUUAUAUUGAAUAACUUAGAUAACUAAUACCUUUUUUAUUUAUUUCAAAUUAAAGACGGAAUGGCUGAGGGAAAAGGUCCUACAACAAGACCGAAUCAAAGCUAUCCAAGAGACGAUAGCAGGAUUUCUCCGCGACCAAGUGAUCAAUCCAAAUGGCGAGUUUCACUUCAACGGCAACGAAACUCUUAUUCCAAACAACGAUGAUCAUUUGUAUCGUUUGUAGACAUUGGGAGAAAAAACUCUAUGUAUAUAUGUGUUACGAAUUUUGUACAUAUAAAACUAUAUAUAUAUAAAGCUUUUUACAUAUCUAUUUAAUUUUUGAUGUGCUCUAUUCAUUUUAUUAUAGGCAAAGCUUAAUUAUUAAGCUAAGCCUAUAAUUUUCAUUUAUAUAUGCUUAAUAUGCGUGUAAUAUAAAUAUAUUAUUGUAUCAGCAAAACAUGUAUUGAAAAACCUAUUAUUAUAUAUUAUAUAUAAACAAUAAACAGAACCGAAGAAGUGAACCAAAAAAAAACCCUUUAACAUCGGUUGGUAAUACCAACCGGUGUUAAAGAGUCCUGCAACGUGGCAGCCCUGGCAGGACCCUUUAACACCGGUUGGUAUUACCAACCGGUGUUAAAGGGGGGCCUUUAGCCCCGGUUGCCAGAACCGGGACUAAAGGGUGGGCCUUUAGUCCCGGAAGGGCAGCACCGGCUCGGAAACCGGAGCAACAGGCCCUUCCCGACCGGUGCUAAUGCCCGAUCAUACAGCAGUGGUAUGUGUGAGCUGAUCGUGGGAUUGACAGAGUGAACUCAAGAAUUAAUAUGAGGAUGAAGAUGGCUUCGCCGACGACGUACGUACUCAGCAGACAAGCACCGGUGAUUGCAAUGGUCUCCGACGGCGAAGUCGCCGUCGUCCCUCUCUCCUCACACCCUGCAGGCCCCACAGGGCCACAGGUAGACUUUGUGUUUCUCCAGUCAGCAAAGGUGGCUUCUUCUUUUCUUGGAUGAUCCGAGGCCCAAAAUGUGCAUGGGAGAAGUCGACACACUCGACGCCUAGCUGACUGCCGUCUGCAGCGGGCGGGCGCCGGGUUGGACUUGGGUUUGCAUGCCUGCUCGGCACUUUAUCCCGUGAUUUUCAGGGUUUCAGGAGAUGGAAUUACAAGUUAUUACGUUCGCAAUUCCGUUCUGCAGGUAUACAAAUCUUUCUUAGCAUAUCACCUUUGUUUUAUACUUCUGUCUGAAUGGACAUCUGUCGUAUCAAAAGUACCGUCAUUCAAAUUGAAUAAUAAUAAUAAUUUUCCUGUCAAAAUUUGAAGCUUGUUCUUAUUCCUCAACAAGUUGACAAGUAAACUGCAAAAAAAAAUGAAACCUUGGAAAUGCUGCUACAAAAAUAAAAAAAUAAAAAGAUACAUCAUAUUUAUUUACAUUGUAACCUGGACAAGACGAGUGCGAGCUACCGAAACAACAACCAAGCUACUCAAGCUCAAAUGCAUCAACAAACGCACGUAAUAGUCGUACAAACAUUUCAUGAAAUUGCAUAUUAUGUAGUAUAUAUGUGGUAUAAGUACUUUGCACUUUUUAGGUGGCCCGAUGAUGAUUAGCAGUUCUAUCCAAGAAAAAUUAAUAUACUUUAGUCAAUUUUUACAAAAUUAAAUCCGUUCUUAUUAUUGGUGGGAAUAUAAUAAUAGUAUUUUACAAUCUAGCUAGUAUCAUCAAAUUCCAGUCAAGUCAUAGCUAGUAACAAUCAAAUUCUAGUCAUGUCAUAGCUAGUUACCAUCAAAUUUCAGCCAAGUCAUAGCUAGCUACCAUCAAAUUUCAGUCAAGACAUAGCUAGUUACCAUCAAAUUUGAGCCAUUCCAGUCAAUUCAUAGCUAGCAACCAUCAAAUUUCAUCCAAGCUAGUCAUAGCUAGUUACUAUCGAAUUUCAGUCAAGCCAUAGCUAGUAACCAUCAAAAUUUAGUCAAGUCAUGGCUAGUUAGCAUCAAAUUUCAGUGAAGUCAUAGUUAAUUAUCAUCAAAAUUCAGAAAGGCAUGGCUAGUUAUAAUCAAAUUUCAGUUAAGUCAUAGCUAGUUAUCAUCAAAUUUUAGUUAAGACAUAGCUAGUUAUCAUCAAAUUUCAGUCAUGUAAUAUCAAGUUACCAUCAAAUUUAUAGCUAGUUAUUAUCAAAUUUUAGUCAAGUCAUAUCAAGUUAACAUCAAAUUUCAAUCAAGUUGAUGAGGACAUCACUCUUUUGGAUGCGCCCGCUCAUCCUCCAAGCUCGAAUACGGCAACUAAACUUAGAGGUGAGCUCUUUUUAAGCGAUCUUUUUCAUACUUUUGAGAAUAGAUUACAUCCUAAUGAUGUUAUCUUGCUUAGGAACAUUGGAGAGAGUCAUGAAGAACUUGGAGGAAGGUGUGGAGGCAUAAAAUACCAGCAAGGACGUCCAACACAAGCUGGAGGGCGCACUCCAACUCGACUUUGAGUCUACCUCGGCCUUCAGGACCAGUCUGCAAUAAAACAUACGCCCAGGAUAUAUUAAGACUCCAUUUUCAAGGAUGCACAUAUGGAUAGAAAGAUGAUUUCAUAACCUAACCAAUGGUUUUGGUUUGAGACCCAAAUUUGUCGGGAGUCAAUUGGAAUUUUCGUAACAAGGAAGUGUCCAAAAUUUGUCAUGUGUUGCGCCAUCGCGUUUGGUCUGUUGGGCAGUAUAUAGGUUUUGGGCUCAUUAGGGUGAGCAACGACGCUUAGACCUUAUAAUCAGUCGUCGCUGUCAUCAUUAGGUUUUGGAUUUUGAAUAUAUCAAUUUGUCUUUGACAGUCACCGAUUUUCGUUUUAUAGACCCACAUAUUGAAAACUUAAUCAUACAUCUAAAGUUUGUCCCAUUCUUUGAGUUGUGUACUUUUGAAUUCUUAUUUGUGUUCUUCAUUUGAAAGGCAGAGAUUAGCCUUCUUAGCAAGGUCAACUAGAUUGGUGAUACGGUUGAUAAUUAGAGGAGUCAUGGUGCUAAGAUUGCAGAGUUUGGGUCUUUCGAUCUAAAGCUGGAUCGGUGUGGUAUGCUCCACGAAAAUGAUAGUUAUCAUCACCUGUUGGAAGAUUGGGAACCCCACUUUCUAUCAAAUGGUAUCAGAGCUAAGGUAUAUUGUCAAGUUCGCAUAUAUCUCCUAUUUUUUUAGUGUUUUAACUUCGUCUCAUAGUGUAGUGCCACACUUAUUUUCUUGUCCUAGAACCUUUCGAGUCCCCUUGCAUAUUUUAGUAUCAAAGUCCUCAUCACAAGUCAUAGCUAGUUAUCAUCAAAUUUUAGUCAAAUCCUAGCUAGUUGUCAUCAAAAUUUAGUCAAGUCAUAGCUAGUUAACAUCAAAUUUUAGUCAAGUCAUAUCAAGUUACCUUCAAAUUUUAGUUAAGUCACAGUCAUUUGUCAUCAAAAUUUUGUUAAGUCAUAGCAGUUAUGAUCAAAUAUCAGUCAAGUUAUAUUAAGUUACCAUAAAAUUUCAAUCUAGUCAUCGCUAGUUAUCAUCAAAUUUCAGUUGAAUCUGAUGAUUGAAUCUCACCCAGCCAUAAUAGUUGAAUAUGAUCUGCCCUAACCCUAGCAAUUGAAAUAGCUAUACCUUCUUCUCACAUUUGGGUUUUGUGGCCAUCGCAGGCCUUUUAAGUAGCUCCUUCGCCGCCUCACCUUUGCCCCACCCGGUGGCAGAGGUUGCCAAUGUUGCUCCUUUGCCCCACCUAGCAGCACGGAUCACCUAUGCCGCUCCUUUGCCCUACCCAGUAGCAAGGGUCGUCGAAGCAGAUCCAUUGCCUUGUUCGGUAGCAGAGGUCACCGACACCGUAGAUCCAUUGCCCCACCAAGUGGAAUGGGUCCUCGACACCGCGUCGUUGCCCCACCAAUGAUGGCGGAUGACUCCCCAUACCAUUGCCUCACCUAGCGACGGUAGACAACUCCCCCAAGCUCCACGCCCUUAAGGGCGAGGCACAUCAUGAAAGGCUUCACCUCCUCGUCGGAGUCGAUGAAUUAGUGAGGAUGUCAUUCUAGUUUUCCCAUCUUGUGUGUAUAUAGUUCAUCAGGGUGAAGCACUAAAGGGUCGUUUGGUAUGGAUUUUGUACUAGCUCUAGGAGCAGUUGGGAGCACUUCCUUAAUAAAUGGUAAAGAGGAAACAACUUUCCAUGGAGCCAUAGAAAAUCCACUGACAGAAGGUGUUGGCGAUGGAUGAAGUCGAAAAAGUGAUCUUCUUGCGACUCCCUCGUCCUUGCUUGUGGGCUAGACCCAAAAUACCCUCCACGCGUGGGUGAUGCAUGCUAGCUCUGGGUCACCGAGGUGAAUGGAGGUCGGACGGAGUAGCAAGGCUAGGGCUCUAGGUCAUUGGAGGCUAGAUGUUGGGCCAUGCAGGCACUGGCUCGCCAAAGGACGACGGUGCCCAACGCUGCCUCACCGGAGGCAAGAGCGUGGAAGGGAGCUUUCGCCAGGGCACCAUAGGGGCACACAGGCACCGGCUUUGCCUGAGGAUGGAGUGUGGGGUGCCCAACGCUACCUUGCAGGAGCCAAAGCGUGUGCGCGGAAGUGGAGGUAGGGCUUGCAUGGGCGCGGACUCAUCGGGCGCUCAAUGCAGGGAGCAGCAGCUACCAAUGGCGUACGGAGGCAAAAUGAAUAGAUAGAUGAAUAGACGGUCAAAUAGAUGGCUACGUAGGAGAGGAAAGAUGAACAGCCAGUCGAAACAGAUAGAGAAAAAAAAUAGGAAAGGAAAAAAAAAGAAAAAUAACAGUGUUACGAACGUUUCAUUCUUUUAAAAAAAGAGAAGUUAUUUUACCAAACAGUCUAGAAAACUAGACCACCUCGCAUAGUAAACUCCUGUUUAGUCACCCAAAAACUAAAGAUUUUUCAAGAUUCUCCAUCACAUCGAAUCUUGCGGCACAUGUAUGUACAUUAAAUAUAGACAAAAACAAAAACUAAUUGCACAGUACUGUAAAUCGCGAGAUGAAUCUUUUGAAUGAGGCAAAAUCUGUUACGCACGCGAAGUAAUAAGUGAAAUUGUUUUGAGGCCAUAGCUCGACGGGGCUUGUGCAUGCCGGCCGCCCAGCCCUCUGAAGGAACCUUCUUAAAUUCCGGUCUGCCUUGCCACACCACACCAACUUCCAAACUCAGUCGCUCCAUCAGUCGAUCCCCCACAAAUUUGAGCAGCCAAAAUGAGCAUCAAGUCAGAAACCAAUGAGCGUAGCAGCACAAUCCAGAGCGCCGGCCACCGGAUAUGCAGCAUCGUCAAGCUGUGCUACCAACACCUGAUGCUGGCGGUCUCCUACGCACUCUACCUCUUCCUGGCGCCCAUCAUCCUUGCCACACUCGUGCUCCACCUCUCACGACACACUAGCGCUGACGAUGACCUCAUCGUGUCCGCACGCUCCACGCUCACCGCUAAUCUGCCCUUCACCGUCGUCGUCGUCGCCGCCGCCGCCACUGCCGUCUACCUCAUGCGGCGGCCGCGGGCCGUCUACCUGCUAGACUUGGCGUGCUACAAGCCCGGGGCGGAGCACGCGGUGACCCGGGAGACGUUCAUGCGGCUUGUCGUCGGGUACGGGACCUUCUCCGACGACAGCCUUGCUUUCCAGCGCAAGAUCCUGGAGCGGUCGGGACUGGGGCAAGGAACCUACUUGCCCAAGGCCCUGACCAGCUCGCCGCCCAACCCGUGCAUGGCAGAGGCCCGCCGCGAGGCGGAGGCUGUCAUGUUCGGCGCCGUCGACCAGUUGCUUGCCAAGACUGGCGUCCGCGCCGGCGACAUCGGGAUCGUCGUCGUCAACAGCGGCCUCUUCAGCCCCACACCGUCGCUCUCUGCCAUGAUCGUCCACCACUACAAGCUCCGCCGGGACGUUUCCAGCUAUAACCUCGCCGGCAUGGGCUGCAGCGCUAGCCUCAUCUCCGUCGACCUCGCCAAGCAGCUGCUUCAGGUUUACCCAAUGAUGAUUGAUGAUUCUUUCCCUCGAUCUAGCUAAGGCCUGAAACUGAACGACGAUGGGUGUUUGUUUCUUCCUGAUUGCCUGCCUUUGCAGGUGCAGCGGAACACCUACGCUCUGGUCGUGAGCCUGGAGAUCAUGGCGGCCAGCGCGUACGUCGGCAACACCCGGUCGAUGCUCGUGCCCAACUGCAUCUUCAGGAUGGGCGGCGCCGCCGUGCUCCUGACCAACCACGGCACGGAGCGGCGCCGGGCCAAGUACCAGCUACUGCACACGGUACGGACGCACCAGGGCGCCGACGACCGGGCGUACCGCUGUGUGUACCAAGAAGAGGACGAGUCCGGGCACGUAGGGGUGGCGCUGUCCAAGGACCUCAUGAGCGUGGCUGCCGAGGCGCUCAAGACCAACAUCACGACGCUGGGACCGCGGGUGCUGCCCAUGUCGGAGAAGAUGAAGAUGAUGCUCGUCGGCGGCAAGGCGGCGGUGGUGCAGGUGCUCGGCGUGCAGCAGCAGGGCCAGGGCGGCAGCAGGAGCAGGCCCUAUAUCCCGGACUUGACGACGGCGUUCGAGCACUUCUGCAUCCACGCCGGCGGGAGGGCGGUGCUGGACACCGUGGAGAGGAGCCUGGACCUCAGCGCGUGGCACAUGGAGCCGUCACGGAUGACGCUCUACCGGUGGGGGAACACCUCCAGCAGCUCGCUGUGGUAUGAGCUCGCCUACACGGAGGCCAAGGGACGGGUGCGGCGCGGCCACCGCGUGUGCCAGAUCGCCUUUGGGUCAGGGUUCAAGUGCAACAGCGCUGUGUGGCGCGCGCUGCGCACCAUUGAUCCAGCCAAGGAGAGCGCCGCCGCCGGGAACCCGUGGGUGGAGGAGAUCCACAGGUUCCCCGUCGAGGUGCCUCAGGUAGAGAGGGUCGACGUCGCCGCCAUGGCGUCCUGACUACAGCGUGGGAGCGCGAUCGACGACUCUGGUUGCGUUAGUGGGUCAACUUCAAGAUUGGCUAUAUAUAUACGUACUCCGGUCUGAGUUAUAUAUAAGAUGCAAUCAAUAAAUCUGUACGAUUAGUUGGAGAGUGUUAUACGUGUGUCUACGUGUCUAUUAGAAAAAAAAACAAUACUUUUAAAAAAUUUGUCCUUUUCUCACGGCAAGUGUGUUGUACUGUGCUACCCUAAAUAUUUAUCGUUUUCGCUUUUUAUAAAAAUUUUUUGAUUAAAUAUUUAUUAAAAAUAUUAAUAUUUAUAAUAUAAAAUUAGUAUCAUUAGAUAGAUAUUUAAAUCUAAUUUUUGAAUAAAUUUAUUUCAAGUUAAAAUAUACGUCUAAAAAUUUUAUGUGACGGGGAAUCUGAAAAAUUUUAUAAAUUUUUUUGGGACCUAAACAAGGCCCAGCACCCUAGACUACUCAUGUGGUCACUUUGCCUCUCACGUCACCUUGCCCAUGCGAUGCGCAGCCUGACCCUUCUCUCUCUCCAUGCAUACACACUAUGGUCUGACCUUGUUUAGAUUCAAAAACUUUUUAGAUUUUAACACUGUAGCAAUUUUGUUUUUAUUUAAUAAAAAUUAUCUAAUUAUAAAAACUAGGUUUAAAAGAUUAUAAUUAGUGCAAUUUACAGACAAUGAUUACCACAAAUGAACGAAAGUGCCACCAAGGAACGCAGAGAAAGUAGGAGGUGGGCCGUUUUGUCAGACAGGGAGCACCCCGCCAUGAUGCGCGGCGAGGUUGCCUCCCGCCAUGAUGCGUGGCGGGAUACUCUUUGCCACGUACUCGUCCACGUGUUAGCCACGUCAGCAGGUGUCCCCUGAACCAUGCCACGUCAGCAGUAGUACUCCGCCGCCAUGCAUUGCGAGAUUCUGUGUAUUUACCCCGCCAUGCAUGGUGGUGGGUCCAAACAGCCUAGUUUUGAAAAUAUUUUUAUAAGCAGAUCAAAUUUAAAAUAUGUUUUAAAUUUGGGCUAAAAAUAAAAAAAUCCCAAAAACUCAUGUACGACGGUAAUAACAAUGGUAUGCCGGUAUGCCACCUUUUUUCUUUUCUUCCAUUAAAUCCCCAGGUACGACGGCUGUGGCGGUUAGCUACUAAAUGGAGUAGUAGUACCUCUUCAUCGUCGUGUUCAUCGUGAGUUCUUCAAGUAAUCCUAGUCUUGUUUUGGAACGAUCCAAGGUUUUACCAUUUUAAGUUUUUAACUACUGUAUGUAUGUACUACAUCCGUCCUAAAGAGAUCCUGUUCUGAGUUAACUGAUUUAAGUUUGUAAAAAAGAUUAUUAAUAUUUGUGAGUUCAAAUGAUUAUCUAAGGAGUAUUUAAAUACUUCUCGUUUAUAUAUGUUAGUUAAAAUUAAAAAUUGCUUGAACUUUUUUUAAAAGAAAAAGAAUUGUUAAUCGUUUAGAGGAGGGAGUCCUGUAUUUUGCUCAAUCAGUGUUGGAAAAAAAGGAAAAAAAAAAGGAUAUAUGUCCUUCACUUCCUAAAAAAAUAUAUCACAGAUGCAAGUACUCAACUUCAAGCAUAUGGAGUACCUUAUAAACACACACCCAAACCAGAACAUUCAAGAGGUCGGACUGGCACAUCCUUGGAUUGACGAAGUAAUGUGGUAUUGUCUACGUAUUAACCAAGCAUGUGUUUUUAAUUAUGCUUUGAUAAUUUUAAUUGUAUAUAUGAAGACCACAGUUAAGAAAUAGACUUAGGUAAAUCUCAAUCAAUAUAUUGAUUAUUUUUAGGAAGUUGCACACGCUGCUAUUAGAGCAAUUGAGAUCAAGUACAACUCAUAUGUAAUCUAGAAGAUAGCUCCUCCAACGAUGGGUUGCUGCCACGAUAGGGCAGGGUUUAUCAACGAUAUCUGGUUGAAUGGCAACAAUUGUUGCUGCUGCAGGAAGGUAGCAACCAAAGGGUUAGCAACUGCCAGUGGGUUAACUGAAAGCAACUGCUGUUGUUGUAGGUAUGCGGCUAUGUUCGCCACAGCCAGUUGGUUGAAUGAAAGAAGUUGUUGUUGUUGCAAGUAGGCAGCAAGGUUCACCAUGGCUAGUUGACUUAGCACUGGUAGGAUAUGUUGUUACUGCAGGUAUGCAGCGGUGUUGGCCACAUCAAGUGGGUUGGAUACAAGCUGUUGUUGUUGUUGUAGGUAGGCAGCGGAGCUCACCAUGGCUAGUUGGCUGAGGCCUGAUAGGCCCUGUUGUAGUUGUUGUUGCUGGUAUGCAACAGCGUUUGCGAGAGCCAGUGGGUUGGAUACAAGCAGCUGUUGUUGCAAGUAGGUGACGGGGUUGGCCAUGGUUAGUUGAUUGAGUGAUGGUAGAAAUUGCUGUUGUCGCUGCGCUGCGAUGGUCUGUACCGAUAGAUGGGCCGAGGAUUGUUGUUGCAAUUGGACAAUUGGUUGUUGCAAGAUGCUCGCUGCAAGCGCUUGUUGUAGCCUGUAGGCCUGCACAACUGGGUGUUCGUACCCUAUAGGAGUAACUGAUGCCAGGAACUGCGGAAUAAUAGCAUUAGGAGCAAGUGAGUACCGCGGAAUAAUAACUGCAGUUGUAGCGCUCACUGAAAGAGCAAGGAGCACAAGGAGGGAAAAUAACUUAGUAGCCAUUGUUGCGAGGACGUUGCUAGUUCGUUUCACUUGGUGUGUUUCUAAUUGCUCUAAAUGUUAUGGGCGAUGGAUUAAAUACUUAUUUGGGGCCUAUUUAUACAAGUGAGAGCUCAUAUAUAUCUGUUUAGAUUAUGCCUUUUAUCAAUAGCAGAUAAACUAUAGAUGAUAUGCCACCUAGUAGAUUUCAACAUUUAGUUAUCAAUUUCAUUAUUGGAUUAUAUGGUCUGUAUAGUAAAGACAAUUUUUGCUUUUGCCAAACAGCAGAUAAGCUAUAGGUGACAUGGCACCUAGUCGAUUUUGAUAUUUUCUUUUCAGUUUCAUUGGAUUAUGUGGUCUGUGUAGGAAAGACAAUUUUCACUACGUACAAGGAAAAAGUGUCAUUUUCUAUUGGGAUUUUUUGAUACAUGAGCAAUGACAUGCAUGAUCACUUCACUAUACACAUGCUAUAGCCUUAGUCAUAUUAUAAAUGUUGCACUUUAUAAACAUGAUGAGUAUGUAAAGUUAUGACUUGCUCAUGUAUAUCAAAGUCUUUAUCAAAAAACUUUAUUGUAGCAUUGUACUCAUGAUUAAUGCUUGCACGGUAGUUAGGUGAGAGUUAUUCAGAGAUGAAUGUGCAAAUCAACAAGAUCGAGAAUAAUUGAAAUCCCAGGAUGGACUCAUGUCAGUAAUGAACUUCUUAAUUUUUUAGAUUUAACAUUAUAAAGCAUGUCCUUUGUCACAUGCUACAUAGAAGGAAAUUGCAAUCCAAUGGACAAACUAGGAGUAGAAUGGCACUCUAGGUGGAUUUUGUCUACAAAAUUGUAGGAUGAUGAUGGCCGGUUGGUACUUCAAUCUUAGGGCUUUACUUUUGGAUUUAGAUAGCCCAAAUCAAAUUAUUAUGUUAGUGGGUGUGGUGUCCAGUGGCGCGGCUAUAUGGUGGUCUAGGUGCUCCAUAGACCGCCAUAUGCACGGCCCAUCCAAGUCCAAAGAGAGGAAAAUUUAGAUCUCAGCAGCCAAAUUGAUUCCGUCGAAAAUCGAUUUUACGGUAUAGGCGCGCCUCCCCCUCUAUGCCUUACGGUAAUGAUUCCUCUGGCAUUACGAUCUUUACCACAACGGUGCCGUUCAUGGAUUAAUUUAUUUCGUGGAUUGGAUUUCACUUGCCUGUCUAGGUUUCCUUGCAUAUGCUCAGUAUCGAUGUUUUGUAUAAAUAUUUCGCCUUAUUAUGUGGAGCAUCCGCGGGCUGUGGCCUUUGUGUUUCGUGAAUACACGUGAGUGUGAGCUUCAUAUUUCCCUUGCGGUCGACCGGCACCUCUUCAUAUCCCUGUUGUGUUGUGCUUUGUAGCUAUAGAUUUCCAAACGGGCGGCUCGGCCCUAACCUGGCCCAGGCACUAUUCGGCCCGGCCCUAUCGUGUCGUGCCUUGUUGGGCCGUCGUGCCAGCCGUGCCGUGCCAAAUAGGGCCGUCGUGCCCAACCCUCAGCCCAGGCACGGCCCUAUGGAGACUUGGUCGUGCCGUGUCGUGCCGAAGGCCCGUCGGGCCUCCCAGGUCCGUCGUGCCGCCACCGCCUGCAGACGCUGAUGGAGGCGUGCCACUGCCUUAGCCAUGGACCUGCAUCGCGCGCGCAUGCAAGAGGAUGCGCAGCCGCCUCAGCCGCGCCUCGUCGUCUCCACGCCGCCGAGCCACUCCUCGCGUUGUCAUCGUCGCUGCAGCACCGCCGUCGUGGCUUCGCCUUGAGAAGAAGAUGAGUGGGGGAGGAGAGUGGCCUUGGAUUCGAGCCUCCGAGAGGCUUCUGUGGACUGCGUCGGCACUCGUGAAGUCGGCAUCGGGAGUUCAGGACGGGAGGAGCAGGGAGGAAAAAGAACGACAGUUGGGUGAAAAGAAUAAGAGAAAGUUGCUUUUAUACCUAGCUUAGAGAUGUUCUCAGUCAAUCCAACAGCUAGAAAUAGUAGAAAUUAAUCUAACGAAUAAAAAUAAUCGGGCCACUAUCGUGCCGGCCUAUUAAACGUGUCGUGCCCGUGCCGUGCUGUCGGGCCAGACCUUCGGCCCAGGCACGGCACUACGUCGUGCCCGUGCCGGCACUGGCACUAUAAACUUCGUGGCCGUGCCGUGUUAGUGUCGUGCUUUUUCGGACCGUUCCCAUACCGGCCCAUCGUGCUUGGCCCAUUUGGAAAUCUAUAUUUGUAGCAGCGUUGAAGGCAGGCACUGGACGACAAGAAGCACUGCAGCAGCACACGUGACUCACCGAGUUCUCUGCAAUGUCUCAAAACCUUCAUUUAGCUUGCUUGUUUAAUUUAGGAGCCUAGAUAAUUUACUGUUCAAUAAGAUUUGGUUUGGCAGCCGUUAAUUAUAUGUUUUAGACUUUCUCAUAUAUCCUAAUAUUAUAUGUCAAGAAAUAAAGGAGUGUAUACUUAGUCUGCUUUAUCCUAGGGUUGAUAGUUAUUAGACUCUCUUUGGUAUGACUUUUUGUUGGACCCUCUCUACAGAUUUAAUUAAAAACUCUAUGAAAUGAGCACACAUAAGGGUUUCUAAAGCCAUGAACAAUGAAACCAAAAUCAUUUUGGAGCAAAAAAAAACUAAACCACAAAAACAUAUUCUGCAUUUUUUGAGAAACCUAAGGCUCCUCGGCGAUCUGCGCCCUCAGCGGGCCAGCGCACGAGCGCUUCCUCCCAGAGCCUGUGCGCUCUCCUCUAGCGUGGGAAUGGUCUUUUGUGUAGAUUAGGCCCUAUAUGUGUCAAGAGAAGCUAAGAUAAGCUACCUUAGCUUCAUCCCAAUUUAUUCUUUCAUGAGAAGAGAAAAAAAAACAGCUUCACCUAUAAAACUGUUUUGAAAAUAGAUGAUUGGUAAAAAAAACAUCUCAGAACAUCUUGCAACAGCUUAUGAAGCUAUUGUGAGAUAUGACAAAUAGGCCCUAAGUGUGUCCAUAAUUUUAUUAAAUUUUUGUUACCUUGUGUGAAUUUAGAUACGCAUAUAUAGGAGAGAAGCAAUUUCAAGAUUACAUUGUAUUGACUCGGUGUUAAUAUUCUGAUGUUAAAAUCAAUGUAAAGACUUUCUUUAUCAAAAUAAAAUGUGGCCCUGUUCUCAACGAAUAAAUAUUUUUUUUCCUCACAGAAUUUUUAACAUAAGCAUCGCGUAAGCUAAAUUUCAGGAAAACCCGCUCUGCCCAGGUAGUCUGUUGGAGCUUUGCAAGUCUGUCAGUCCGGCUAAUUCACAGUGCGAAUGUCGACAAGAGAACAGGUCACAUGACUCCUCCACUCUGGCCUUGUUUACUUCCACCCAAAACUUAAAAUUUUUUAAGAUUUUUCGUCACAUCGAAUUUUUAAACAUAUGCAUAGAGUAUUAAAUAUAAAAGAAAAUAAAUUUAAUUUUAUAGUUUGUCUAUAAUUUGCGAGACGAAUCUUUGAGUCUAGCUAGUCCAUGAUUGAACAAUAUUUAUCAAAUACAAACGAAAAUGCUACAGUGAGAAACUAAACACGGCCUCUGUGUAAAGCAUUACUGAAAUCAUCAUUUUGGUUUCUACAAUCAGUAUUCUUAGUUUAAUUUUGUUUAUUUUACUAAUUUUGGUUUCUGUGAUCACUUCGUGUAAAGCAUUACUGACCUCUGCCUUUCGAUUGAGGUAAGAAAAGGAGAAGCACAAUUUGGUUUCUGUAAUUAAAACAUACAUUAUUGGGUCAUCUACAGCACAAUUGUCAAGAACACCACUGCGCUAACAAGUAUUCCUCUCAGUUUACAUCUCCCUCAUCAAAAAUCAGUAACAGUUACAUCAUAAGUUAAGCAACUCGUGAAACCUUGUAUAAAUGUAUAAAUAAGAAGAGAAAAAGCUUUGGUAAUUUUGCCUGAAUUGAUCCCAAAAUGUACACUCCCUACCCUGAUUCUGAAAGUCUGAAAACUCUGAAUGGCCAAGCUACCUCUGAUCAUGCAUGUACUCUGAAUUUUCCUAUACAGCUAUAUCAAAUCCAAGAACCAGAGUCCAGAGCAACCACCAAUGUCCAUCGGCCACUAGAUCGCGCACUCCUCCUGGCGGUCACCGCCGCCGGCGUCGCCAUGGCCCUCCAUCGCCGCGACGUGCUUGUCGUGCAUCGCGGCGAGCUCCGGGUGGCCAUACCUCGCCGCAGCGACAGCGUAGCACCCAAGCACAUAACAGAAGGCGAGGAAGACGAGUCCAAAGAACUGGAAGUUGGCGAGCUGCUCGGCGCGCUCCUGCGCGGCGCGCGCAUGGCAGUCGAUGUGGCCGUCGGCGUCACGCGCGCACCCGGCGGGGAGCAUGGGACCGUAGAGCGUGAACGCCGUCUGGUAGAACCAGAGCCCCUGCAGCGCGAUGAGGACGCCCGAGGCGAGGUCCACCGGGAAGCUCGCCGGCAGGAGCGCGCCCAGGACGGUGGCGGCGACGCAGAGCGCCACGAGGACGACGAGGAGGUAGUGGUAGUAGCCUUCGAGACCCAUGUGCGUCGUGGAGUGGAAGUAGAAGAGCACCAGCUCCGCCGUGAACGCCGUCGCCGCUACCAGGCAGAGUGCGCCGUCGGUCAGCGGGAGGUACCUGUGUGUGUUCAUAGACGUUGCAAGUGAAGCAAAUGACAGUGAGCCAUGGCCGUGAAAUGUUAUCAGAUUCACUGAUCUGGUAGCACUACUGAAGAAAGAAUAAAAAUUAUACGGAGGGAAAACAUGAAUUCAGACUGGGUGAUUCAGCUCUUGUACUAUUACACCUGAAUCGCUUAAAAAUUGUUCCUUGAAACUCAUGAUUAUUGCUGCCUAAUGGGGGUACGAAUGCAUGAUUGCUGUGUAGCCAUCUUGGACAAAGAUUCCAAGAUGGCUAUAUGAAACAAAAGGGCAAUAUGAUUACAGGAUAAACAAAACAUGAGCAGGGUAAAGUAUGAUUGCAGGGGUGAGAUCAAUCUGGGCCCCCUGUCCCCAACAGCACUCAAAUGCAAAACAGAGUCAGACUGCACUUGCUACUGUACUUAGCAGCAGUAAGCCAGCAACACACCUGGCCCCACUUCGCACUUGUAAAGUUGGGAUAAAAGGUGAAACAAAAACCUUUCUGUCCAUCUCAACCCAUGUAACGUCAGAUGGCAAAAAGUUUCUCAUCCAUUCAUUCAUCUACCUAAGGACCAGUUAGAUUCUGGUCUGAUGUUGAGGGGACCUAAAAGUAGUGAAGAAUGGACGAGUCCAUUCACUGUUGCAUAAGUUAGCAGCUGCUAGGAGUACUACUAACAUUAAACCCAAUCCUUUAAAUUAAAAAAAAACAUUAAACCUAAAUAUUUCCUCUUUUGUUUUGGACUGCAAAGUCAGUGUGGCCUGAAAACCAAAAAAUUUUCAAAAUUCCCCGUCACAUCGAAUCUUGUGGCACAUGCAUAAAACAUUAAAUAUAGACGAAAAUAAAAACUAAUUACAUAGUUUAGCUGUAAAUCACGAAACAAAUCUUUUGAUCCUAGUUAGUCUAUAAUUGGAUAAUAUUUAUCACAAACAAACGAAAGUGCUACAGUACCGAAAAGUUUUCACUUUUCGCAACUAAACAAGGCCGUAGAUGGAUUUGCAGUGUGCUAGGCAUCACCGCAUCAGGCAAGUUGGACCAGCAGCUCAGCUCUUUGUGAGCUGGAUGGACCACAUGGCCGAUGCCGCCUCAUGGCUGGGCCAGCCAGGCAUUCCCCGGCCGGCGAGGAGAGGACGACGAGUGGAGCCCGUCAAGAACAUACACUAAUCCAAUCCAGAUGCGGACGCCGCAAUAGUCAAAAACCAUCCGAAGAUUCGUACUACGUGCCCGCCACCCAACUAAUCCAACCAUCCAACUGUCUGAUGGUGCUGAUAACAAUGGCAUGAUUCCACCUUUUUCUUUUUCUUUUUUUCUUAUUUGGGCCUUGUUUACUUCUACCUCAAAAUUAAAUAUUUUUUAAGAUUCUCCGUUACAUCGAAUCUUUACUCGUAUACAUGGAAUAUUAAAUAUAAACAAAAAUAAAAACUAAUCAUAUAGUUUGGUCGAAAAUAACGAAACGAUUCUUUUAAAUCUAGUUAGUUUAUAGUCAAACAAAAAUAAUACGCGAAAUUUUUCAGAUCACGAGAGAGAGAAAAAAAUACAUGUACGACGGCCGUGUGGCAGUUAGCUACUACUAAUAAAUGCUAGUGAUGUACUACCUGUUCUUCAUCGUGUUCAUCGUGAACCAGCAAAUCAUAUUCUCGCUUUAGAACCAUCCAAAGUUUUACUAUAAUUUGUAAACUUUGCUGAUCCCCAUGUUUUGUUGGGAACAAAAAAAAAAUAAAAAAGACGAGGUUUUUAGGCAAAAAAAAAUCGGAUCUUGAUCACGCCGGCGGUGCCGCCGACGUUGACGUCGAUGGGACACGUGAUUGAAAGAAGCAAGAGGAGGUCGUUGCCCGGCGCCGGCGGCGGCGGUGACCGACGACAGACGACGACGACGACGGACGGGUAGAGGAGGACAGACAGACCGACCUGGGCCAGAGCUGGGAGGCGAGGGCGAGAGCGCCGAAGAGGAAGAACAUGAGGAGCAUCCCGCCGUGCUCGAGGUCGUUGAGGUGCGCCGGGUUGACUUCCCCGCCGUCGACGAAGAUCCGGAGGUGCGUGGAGUAGAGCACCUCCACGCACAUGUCCGCGAACGCGCCCCCCGCCACCACGUAGAGCUCCAGCAGCCGCAGCGGCGAGGAGGAGGUGGUGGUGCGCACGGGGUUCCAUGCCCGGACGCGGAACGUCGACGGCGACGCGGCGUGUCGCGACGCCGAGCACCAGACCCGCCAUAGACCCACCAGCAGGAAUAGCGUCCCCGGCAGCACGUGGCCCUUGAACGACCCCAUGGUUGUCCGGCGGCCGGACGGACGGAUGGAUCGGCUGGUCGUCGACUGAGUCGGUCGGUCGGCCGCACCGCACGGCGACGCGCGCGCGCGCACUCCGGCGGCGUUGACCUGCGCGCGUGCGACCCGACCCGACGAACGGGGCGGCCGGGCCCCGAGGAGAGAGAGAGAGAGAGAGAGAGAGAGAGAGAGAGAGAGAGAGGAGGUGGAGGGAGUUGUUGACUUUUCUUGUUCGUCCGCGCUCCGGGAACGGCGGCUUGGCUUGGUUUGCGAUGGAUCGGUGGGCGACGACGCGUGCGUCGGCGACUGUGGGUGGGCGGCGGAGAGAGAGAGAGAGAGAGAGAGAGACUAGAUGGCGGCCACCGCCGAGGCCCGAUCGGACUGAGGUGCAGGUGCUCCGGCGAGCGGGGGGUGUGGGAGGUGCAGAGCAGGGGAGUGAUCAGCAGAUGGAUGGAUGAGAUGCGAUGCUAGGCGUAGCGAAUCAUUGCUUUAUCAUUCAUGGGAAUGGGAUGGGAACCGCAGAAUCAUGAGAGAAGCGUAAAAGCGGAGGGAGGGAAGGAGAUUUGUAAACGGAAGGAGGAGGAGCUUGGGGCACGUACUACGUGCGACGGGGCCCGUUGAUCUCAGCGACAAGUUUGGUCGGUACGGUUCCGUUCCGUUCCAGGCUCGGGCUCCGUCCCUGCCCUGUCCUGUCCUGCUCUGCUCUCUCCCGGAUCCCUCUGUGUGUCUGCUGGUCUCGUUGCAUCCACGACGACGUGGGCCUUUUUUAGUUCAAAUUUUUUUUUUCAAAAUAUAAAUAGUACUACUUUCGUUUGUAUUUAACAAAUAUUAUCCAAUCAUAUACUAACUAGACUUAAAAGAUUCGUCUUGUCAAUUCCGAUCAUAUGCAAUUAGUUUUUAUUUAAUACUUCAUGCAUACGUCUAAAGAUUUGAUGUGACGGGGAAUCUGAAAAAAUUUUGCAAUAUUUUUUGGAACAUCCUUGUUUAGUUCUAAAAAAUUUUGCAAAAUCGAUACUGUAGCAUUUUCGUUUGUAUUUGACAAAAAAAUGUCCAAUCAUGAACUAACUAGGCUCAAAAGAUUCGUCUCAUCAAUUUCGACCAAACUGUGGAAUUAUUUUUUAUUUUCAUCUAUAUUUAAUACUCCAUGUAUGCGUCUAAAGAUUCAUUGUGACGGGGAAUUUGCAAAAUUUUUCAAAAUAAACAAGGCCUUAAACAACGCCGUGGUGGAUUGGGAUUAGCGGCUACAGUGAGAGCUUCCAAAGCGGUUCCGUGAGCGCACGUGGACAGGUAGUACAAGUACAGAUGGGCAGAGGAGGGAGGGAGGCGUUGGAGUUGCUGCGUGACGUGGGUCCGUCCGUCCAUGGAUGCUGCUGCUGCUGCCCGCCUGCUCUGCUCUGCUCCCCUGCUCUGCUGAUCUGCCCACCCCUGCAUGGCAUGCCGUCGGCGCUGCUGCCGAUGGACCAACAGCGGCGGCAGCCGGCAGCGCCGCGUCGGCGAGCGAACGGGGCCCACUGCAGACCACAGUGGCGAAGCGAGAAGAGGUCAUGGGUGCAAAUUUUCACUGUGGGCUUGUUUAGUUCACUUAAAAAAAUAAAAAGUUUUUAAGAUUCCUCAAUCUUUUACGAAGUAUUAAAUAUAAACGAAAAUGAAAACUAAUUGCAUAGUUUAUCUGUAAAUCACGAGAUGAAUAUUUGUCAUAUACAAACGAAAAUGCUACAGUAACGAAAUCCAAAAUCUUUUUCAUUUAAACAUGGGUGCAUUUACACCCCGUGCUUAUAACUUUAGUUUCACCCCUGAUGCAGACGUACGGCCGUUAACAAAAUCUAUCUGUCCAUAUCUAUCCAUUAUAUUGUACUCCGUCCGUCUCAAAAAAACCAAUCGUUAUUGACUUUCAGAUAUUUUAUUUCACUGUUUUAUUAUAACUUUUUAUAUAAAUAUCAUUUAUUUUGAUAUGACUUAUUUGAUCAUUAGAUGUACUUUAAUAAUAAUUUAUCUAUUUUAGAGUUUGCAAAAAAAAAUUAAUAAGACGAGUGGUCAAACAUGAUUGGUCAAAGUCAAAAACAUCAGUCUUUUUGAGACGAAGGGAGUAGGUCUUGUUUAGUUCUAAAAAAAUUUAAAGAUUUUUCUGAUUUUCCAUCACACUGAACCUUACGGCACAUACAUGGAGCACUAAAUAUAGAUUACAAAAUAACUAAUUGUACAGUUUAUCUGUAAUUUGCGAGACAAAUUUUCUGAGCUUAGUUAUUCUAUAAUUGAACAAUAUUUAUUAAAUACAAACAAAAGUGUUACAAUGUCCAUUUUGCCAAAAAAAAUUGGAACUAAAUAAGGUCGUAGUUAAUAAUUAGUACUUACUUCAUAUUAAUAAUAAUAGGUGUCAUGUUAGCUGGACAAUCUAGAACUUACAAAAUUAAUUAAACACAAAAAGAACAGUUACAUUUUAUGAUGAUCUACCAUUGACUAAACCAAAUACCAUAUCUUUAGUACAUUACCAGUACAGUACUAAGUAAACUAAAAUAAAAGAGCAGCCAAGGGCAAUCAGCCUUUCCCGUGAAAAGUUGUUCCCAAGCUGAAACCAACAUGGUCGUAGCAUGGUCAUUAUUGGUGGGCGGAGUGUGGUAGCAGCUCGCUGACGAUAGUGAUGAUUCUAGAAGCUUGUCGUACUAUGGAGACUACAGCGUUAAACCUUUUGUUUUUGGUAUCUUUUGGAUAGGCUUUAGGUCUUGUUUAGUUUUAAAAAAAAUUAGGAUUUUAGUACUGUAGUAUUUUUGUUUUUAUUUGAUAAAUAUUGUCUAAUUAUAUACUAACUAGUCUUAAAAUAUUUAUCUCGUGAUUUACAGGCAAACUAUGUAAUUAGUUUUGUUUUAGUCUAUAUUUAAUACUUCAUGAAUGUACCGCAAGAUUUGAUGUGACAGAGAAUCUUGAAAUUUUUUUGAUUUUUGGAGUGAACUAAACAAGGCCUUAUUAUUUAAAAUGAGUUCUUUAGUUUAUUUUAGGAUCCAGGAGUAUCUAUUUAUAAUGAGUUUAUUUAAAAUGUCACGACCCAACUAUAAACAAACUCUUGGUGCUUGUAAUCAGGGAUGAAAACCAAAAUAAUAAUUUUUGAAAAAAAUUAAGUUUUUAUUUAUUUUCAUGCGUAUAACCAAAAAACAAAAAAUAAUAACAAUACAAAUAAUUAGAAACAAAAUUGAAAAUAAUUUUACCAUGUUCCAGCCAUUUUCGAAGAUUAUCAUAUUUAGCCGGUAAUUUACUGUCGAUAACUAUCGAUUCAAAGGGAUUAAAUUCUAAAGACUAUAAUGCACAUACUUUAGACCCACUUAGCCCACGUCUAAGCAUCUCAUCUGCACACACAAGCACAUAAGACAUUUUUUUAAGAAGGAACUAUACGGUAAGUAUUUCAUCCCUAUAUGAAUAAGAAGGCAAGUAGGCA